rnacentral:lncRNA from 1 species
UCUCACGCAAAACGGUACAUAAAAUAUCGCGACUUUUGCGAAAUUACCGUUUUGCCAACACCGACCUCUCCUCGAUCAACGUGCGAUCUCUGUAAAUCCGUCCGUCAGAUUUGCGAACGGAUUGCACCAGUACGAUCAGCACCUCAGAGACAACAAAGCUACAAUUUUGGUUCACCUCGAUCGACCACGGAUUCGCGACGAAAUCCAACCUUUCAUUCCAACAAAAUGAAUAACACAAAAAUACAUAUAAAACAUGUAUUUUUGGAUUUUCUCGAAAUUCGUGCGUCAAACUCAAAAUCCGUCAGCGCCAUUAGUUCCAGAACAGCUGAACCGGUCGAAACGAGCUAUUGGACCGCUAGGAACGGAGUCCGAUAUGCACCAGAAGCCAACUCUACUCCGUGGCUUCUCCGGAAAAUCGGAGUUACUAUUCACUUAAGUGAAAACUAAAAAUUGCGUAUCUUCUCCAUUUUAGCUCAUUUUCUUCUGAAACUUGACGAGUGCUUAUGUAAUUAAAUUACACACAUAAACAUCGUCAACUGAGAGUUUAACUACACUGCAAAAAUCUCAGUCCUUACACGGGCAUUACUCGGCUGUAAGCUAUAUAUCCAUCGUUGUACUUCCCAUCAAUCAAUAGAAUCUCUUUUCGGCUCUUCAGGCUGACUAGAUCUCGUGUUGUUUUGGCCAUUCGACUCUUCUCCUGGCUUAGUUUCUGGCCUGUUUUGAUUAUUCGGCUCAUCCCAGCCGAAUCGAAUUUGCUGUAGAGGUCUUCGAACCCGGCUGAUCCGAUCCCUCAUCAGCCGAAUCGCUUGAUCUGUCGAAGGGCGCAAACUUCGAGGGUCAUCAUCCGCAGCCGUUCCUCACCCCGACGCGCUCCUCGAGGAGGUCUUUGCCUAGGUCAAGGGUCGGGAAAUUCGACUACCAACACUAACAAUCUAUUCAUACUAUUCUAAUAAUCAAACAAAAAUUCUAAUAAUUCACGUACAAUCCUAACAAUUCACAAAAUUUCUUUGUCACGCCCCGAGCCCGAUCCUUUUGGCCGGUUCGAGAGCGUCGAACAGACGUUGAACGGACAGAGCCUCCCCUAUCUGCCCAAGGCUCAACAUCAAGUAUCAAUAGAGUAUAAGGUUUGUAUAAGCGGAAGCAUACACAAUGGCUUGCAUGAGGGCAAUCAAUAGCCAAUAGUGAAAGUAAAUAACUACACUUAGGAAAUCAAUUAUAAUUUUUCAUCAUUUCUUUUCACAUUUCAUUUCUCCAAAAUAUAACAUUGAUAUUAAAUAAACUCUUUUAUAUCAUUCAUGUCAUUUCUUUUAAUAACUAUUAUCAUCAAAAUACAAAAGAUGAUAUAUCAAAGGGUAUGCAACUAAGAAAUAAAACAUCUCAGGCGGUCUCUACCUAGGGCGCGAUGCCCUUACCGUGGUCAUUUACCGGCUCGCUCGGUACCGGCUCUGUGGAAAUAGGGGUGUGAGAACUACAACAAAGUUUUCAGUGGGUUCGGCAACCAACCACGUCGAUUAUCCCAUUAGGUCUAAUCAGGCAUAAUAGAAUAGAAGAAAGAAAGUAACCAACUAACAAAUGCAACUAAUAUGCCUGAACAAUAUAAAAUGCGAUACUCGAUAUAAUGCUCAUGAUGAAUGUAGGAUCGCAAUUUCUUUACCCAAUCUCUUGGCUAACCCGUAGAUUUCGCCCUCAACAAACUCACCAACCCAAAAUCCUAUUAACCGGGGAGAUACCCGCUACAACCCGAUAGGACCGUCCUCUGAGGAGAUACCCGCUACAACCCAGUGAUGUCGACUCCGGAGCACAUCGUCCGAGGGGGAGCUACCACCCUCGAGCAAGGACUAAAGGUGAGUACGAUCAAUCCUACAUUGAGGAUUUCAAGUUCAAUCCAUUCCUUAACUUUAAGAAAGACCAUGCUCAAUGACCCUUAACUUUAAGGUUGAAAUGUCAUAAUAUCUCAAUCAUUCUUUACCAACACUUGUGUCAUAUACACUAUCAAGUUCUUAUACUCAUGCUACACUUGUUUUCUAAGUGCUAUAUUCUUGUUCUUGUUCUCAUGCCAAAUGCCACACUUAUUUUUCUAAGUGUUUUAGAUUCAUCAAUGUCACUCACUAGAUCUAUGUCCAUGUGUCACUUUUGUUCACUAACCCUUCUAUAUUCUUGUCACUUGUCAGACAUAAAUAGGGUUUAUCAUUCUCACAUUCUUACAAGUAUUUAACAUGCACUUGAAUUUACACCAUGCUAUAAAAAAUUCACAAUUUAACCCUAUUAUGCAAAAUGCUCAAAUAUGUAGUUAUGCUCAAAACAUGACACUUAGACAUAAAGAAAUUUUCGAGGUCCUUGAAAUGCACCACCCAUCUCGAGUGAUCGUGUAGGUGUAGACUACGCCGACUCCCGAACUUUACGAAAGCCGAUACCGCGUCCUAUAACCAAAAUAGUGCCAUAUUAGGCCUUUUAUACAUGGACCCUACCUAAAUAUUUUCGUAACAUCGAACGGAGUUGUCCAGCGUGUCGAGGACACCCCCAAUUAGGUUUUUACGAGGUCAAUUCGCCCCCGAAAAAUUCUAGGGCAAAAACUCCAAAUUUGGUGCCCUAACCAAACCCAUUGCUAAACCCUAGGUUUUGAUCUCUAAAACAAGCAAAAGAGAGCUUGUCAAGCUUCUAGGUGCUCACCUAAGGUCAACUAAGUCAUUUCUAGGGCAUCCAAGAUGAACCCUAGAAGUUCACCAUGAGAGGACCUUGGGCUUCCAUGGAUUUUCAUGAAGUUCAAGCCUCAAGAGGUACUCUAAUCAUAAAAGAAGCUCCAAAACCUAAGUUUUUUUGGGAGAAAUCCAAACCCUAGAGCUCUACAUGCUAAAAACUUACCUUGGCCGAAGUUCUAGCAAGCUUCUUCUUGUUGGAGAGCUUCUAGACCCACCAAGUCCACCAAAAAUCCCUCCUCAAGCUUCUUCUUCUUCUUCUCCUUCAAUCCCUAGGUGAGUUCUAGAGAGAGAGGAGAGGAAAUGAGAGGGAGAGGUGUGUGUGUGUGUUUGCUGUGAAAAAGGGAGAGGAUUGGGCCAUAUAAGGUGUUGUGACAAUUGUAUUUAAGCCCUCGCACUUUAUCUCUAGUGCACUGCCCAGACUGGGCAUUUUUCGCAGUCAGGGACCGGUCUCCCCGACCUGGGACCGGUCCCCAAGAGCUCAUCCCGCGGACUGCGCAGGCUGCGCGCGAUGCAACCGGUCUCCCUCGAUGGGACCGAUCUUUGGGGGACCGGUCUCUCCUCGCAAGGACCGAUUCCCGAGAGCUAGUUUUUCAGGACUUAGCCGAUUUCUCAGCCUUCUAGCUGCCUACGCGUUCGGGGACCGGUCUCUCCCACCAGGGACCGGUCCCCGAGAGCACAAAACCUGCAGUCUACAGAUUUUAAUUUUCAAAAGCUCUCGAAGAUUCCCAGUAAUGCAUUUUGCAUUAAUUGACGCCUUCCGCCUCUUCGAAGUGUACCAAACUCGCACUUUGGUCAAUUUAACCAAGAUUCGAAUUUAAUUACCGAGGUUUCGGUAUGUUACAUUCUUACUACUUAUACAUAAUAUGAAAACGAUAAAUAAUCCACCGCUUUUUAAAAGCGGCACUCAGUUGGUAAAAUGAGGUUUAAUUGGCCAAAUAAAAUUUUAAAAGAGUCAUUUGGUGAAUUAAAAAAUUUUAUGCAUAAUGUAAACACGUGUGAGGAGAAGCUGGUAAAUUGCACUGCUAGCCCCAACAUUUUAUGAAGCUUCAUCCUAAAAUUUUUAAAUUUAGGAAUAAUUUUGUAUGACCCUUCAAAAAUAAUACAAUCUCAUUUGGUGUUAUUACAGUCUUUUUAUUUUUUUAAAUAGAAUGUUUACAUAAAAUCUAUAAUCUAUAAAGGCCAAUUUACAUAAAAAAUUUACUAGUUUUGAGAUUUUGCAAAAGUAGGCUGCCUUUUUGAAUUUUGCAGAUUUGGACCAGAUUUUUAGGAAACUGACCAAAAUAACCUUAUUUAUUUUUCUCUCUUCUUUUUUUUCUCUGGUUCUUUUUUUCUCUCUGACCCUUCUCCACCGCCUUCCCUGCCCUUUGCGAUAAUAAAGAGGAUGUAGUGUUCCAGAGGUUUGGAUAGGAUUGGCUACAGUACUAGUGACUGGUCGACACAUCUGGAGAGUGUCGGACUGAGUCGGAGUCGUUUCUGCACGAAAUGGAUGUAGAAAUGGACUCGGCGCACUCAAAUAAGCAAAACUGAAGUUUUGCUAAAUUUAGGCGCCCAGAAUAGGUUUUGGGUCACCCAGAACUUGAGUGCAGAACUAAGCAGAACUGGAAGCCAAUUCGGAGUCUGGUUUCGGACGCCCGGAAGUGGGUCCGAAAGUUCGCAUCGUGAGUAUCAUUUGCGUUGAUACGUGGAUGGUGGUAGGUGAGGUCCGCCGAAGCCGGAUAUGGGUGCAGCAGACUGCCGGUGGAAGAACCUAAGGGGAGCAUUUGUGCAGCCUGGAUGUUUCGGACGCCCAGAAAGGGGCGCCUGAAAGUGGCCGUUCCUGCAGAGUGAGCAGUUUAACGGCUUUUGUUCUUCGGGUUUAUUGGAUCAUCCUAUCACCCUAUAAAUAGAGGGAGUACGUCCCUGGUGAGCUCUUUUCCUCCCUUCUUCACAAAGAACCCAUAAUUUGCAUUUCAACCCUUCUAAACUUCCCAAUUUACUCCAAAGUCCACAAUUCCAAGCUUGAGGAGUGCUGAUUCUGCAGAUUUCCAGCAGUGACCUUCGGCGUUUCUGCUCGUGUGGGACGUAGGAAGGUCGUAUUGCGGUGAAACUUGGUUUGUUGGAUUCUAGACUUCAAGAGAAAUUUGUAGAGCCCAAUUUGACAGAAUUUGAUUAAGGUUAGCUUGGUCAAUUUCGUGUUCUCUUUGCUGUUGGUGGUUUAGACCUGAUUAUGAGUUUUCCUGGACUUUCUUGAUGUAAUCUUUGGAGGGAGCUAGAAUUGCUACCUGGGCCUUGUGUGCUAUCACUCUCCCCUGGAUUUGGAACCUUGCUUCACCAGAUUUGAGUAUUAGAAGGUGAAGUUGACGUUGAUAUUGAUGGAAGUUAAGCUUAAGUGCUGAAUUUUUGGGUUAUAAUGCAAUUUGUUGGGUUUUGAUGUUCAGAUCUAUGAGGAGGUUUACUGCUGGUCCUGUGGUGAUUACAGCUGAGAUUACCAGUGUUUUCGUGACCUUCUUUCUACCGUGGAGUUGCGCGAGAGGUGGGUUAAUCAUCAGUUUUGCUCCUAAGUGCACGCAUUGUCGACAUGUAUAUUUCAGCUUUUGUAUACUAUGUGAUUAGCUUUAAUUCAUCGAUUAGCAUGUUAAUGAAAAUCUGAAUUUGAAGCAUGCUGAAAUGAGUUAGUUAAAUAAUACAUGUUGGACUUGGACUUGAAUUAGGAGAUAACUGGCGCUUAUACACUGUCAUAUGUUAAAACAACCAGAUUUAGCUCUAGGAGCCGUAGUUUGAUUGUAUCACUGCAGUUUGUGGGCGGUGGAUAUUCUGGAUAGUGUAGAUUAUGUUUAUGCUCGGGCUGAGAUGCAGAGCUUAUUUUUACAGCAGUGUUUAGGCUGUUCCGGACUGUCAUGUGCCGUUUGGGUUGACGGUGGACCCAAAUUGCCGUUGUUACAUCAGAUUGUGCCGAGAGCACGUGAGUUGGUUGUUAGACCAGUUGGACCCUAUUUAUUUGGAUCUUAGCCUGUAAGAGCCUGAUUGAGCUCGACAGAGAUACGCUUCCAUACUCGGUUGCGUAGCGCUCACGAGUGCCACUCCGAAGUCGGGCUUUGUGCGUUUGCGUUGGUGUCGUUGUGUCCUGGUUGGACUUGCUCUCCACUGACUGCUUAGUAUGGAGGUAGCGUUAGCUUUGGCAGGCGGGACGGGUGUAUUCACAGUCCCUAGUGAGAUUGGGUCAGAAUUUACUUUUCUACAGAUUGUUAGUGUUAGAGCAUGAUAGUAUAGUGGCAUUUAGCUGUAGAUUUGUUCCAGCUUUCCUUACUAUCCCUGCUUACUUCUGUAGACUUGGUGGGUGAACCGAUGAGUUUAAGGGCGGUACCCACUGAGGACUACUUCUUUUGCAGUAGUUCUCACGCCCAGUUGUUACCCCUAUUUUUGCAGAGCCGUCGUCUUCGGCUGCUGUUGUUGCUGAUUCUGAGCAUGGCAAGGGCGUCAUGAAUUGGAGCCCUUCCAGACGAGCCAGAGCUAGAGGAGUACCGGCUACAGGUAGUUGUAGUUUUUGGUCCUUUACAUACAGAUGUUGUACCUCGCGUGAGCGAGUAUUUUUGUACCCAGAUGCUAUGUAUGUAUAGAACCACUGUUUUAUAUAUGGUUUAUUUUUCCUAGCAGCUCUAUACUACUAUUUGUAGUGUUGUAUGAUUACAGAUACUGUUACUGUUUUGCUUUGUAUACAGGGAAAAUUCCUACCUAUACGGCGGGUUUGUAAGCGUGCCGGGGGAAACGAGUAAUCCGGGGCAUGACAGAGGACAAUGUUGCGUCUUAUUCCUCUCUUUUUUUCCUCUCGUUCUUUUUUUUCUCUUCGACCCUCCUCCACCGCCUUCGUGACCCUCCACGACAGUCAUAAGGACAGCGCCAUGUCCUCUUCCUCUGCCACUUCGCCGGCGCAGCCUCCGAUGCCAGUGCCAGAGAAGGAGCAUUCGAAGCGAGUGCAGGUGAGAGCGGAGCAGACAGAGGUGAUGAGAUCGUGGCCGAGGCAGUGCUCGAUGUCGCGCGAGAGUAAGGGCGAAGAGGUGCCCACACUUCUCUAAUGAGCUCUUCCGGUGAGAUGGUGGUUGUGGAUAGAGAGCGAGGAAAAGAUCGCGAUAGCAAAAAAAGAUACAAAAAAUUAAAAAAGAAUAAAAAAUAAAAAAAUAAAGAAAAUACCUUUUUGUAAAAAAAAUAAGAAAUCAGAGAGAAAAGAAGAUGAUGAUGAACUUGCACUAUUUCAAAGGAAUAUUGCACUGCUUUAUAUGAUAUUUACACUUUUUGAGGAAGGAGGAGGAGGAGGAGAAGGAGAAAUAGUAUAAUUUUCGCCCUAAGAGUGCAACUUUUGUUCAAAAAGUGCAACUUUUUUCUCUUCUUUUUUGUUUUCAUGUAUUUUUCUGUGCUCAUCUCUUCUUCGCCCUCCACCUCUGCCGGCAGAUCCUCCACCCACGAAAUCCAUAUUCGAGAACCUCCGUCCCUACCUCUGCCACCGACGAUGAAGAGGAAGAGCUUCUCGGCGCCGUGGGUCGUGCUCGAAUUCAAAUGUUACUUUUUCCUUGAACAGUAAUUUUUCUUUCAUCUCCUAGUUUUGCCAUUGUAUUUACUUUCUAAUCUAAAUUUAUAAACAUCUCCCUUUUACCGCACAUGUGGUUGUUACAACCUGAAUCUAAAUACCAAAUAUUAUUUUUUGAUAUUUCAACAAUAUUGCAAACGAGAAGCAUAUGUGCAUUAUUUUCAUCCUUAAAUUUGAAAUUUUUAUCCUUAUUUUCAAUAAAAUUUGCAUUAAUAUUAUUCUGCUCAUUCGUUUGUUUUCUUCUACAUUCAGAUUGAUAGUGUCCAUAUGUAUUGCAAUUAUAACAUUGAAUCCGAGAUUUCUCAUAUCUUUGUUGAUUGUGGUAAUUACUUUCUCCCUCUUGUUCUUCUAUUUGAAUUUGAACCAUCUGCAUCACCAACUGAUGCUUCGUUUUGGCCUCGGCCUCUACCGUGGCCAUGGCCGCAUCCACCUCUGUUUCCUCUCUGAGAUCUGUCACUAAUUGUCAGUUGAAUUUUGAGAGCUUGUUCAAUCGUGCGCCGCGCUCUCAGUUUCACACGCUGUUCGUAGGUUUGGAACGAUCCAAGCAAAUCUUCUACUAUUAGGUUGUCUGUCUUUGGCUGCCUCAAUUGAAGAAAUGACGUGAUAAUAUUUACCAAUAACUGAUCUCAUGAUUUUUUUCAACAAUUAAUUUGUCGGGCUAGUUUUCUCCAUUCAUCCGUAUUUGAUUUGAUACGGAUACUAUCGACUAAAAUAGUCGCCGAUUGAUUCAUCUUCAUUUAUCUUUAAAAAUUCAAAUUCACCUUUAAAGUUUGGAUUCGUACCUUUUUUACUUUACCUACUCCUCGAUAACUCCUCUCGAGCAUGUCUCAAGCCUCUUUCGCUGUCUUGGCAUUUGAUAAUCUCUAAAAAACAACUUCAUCCACCGCAUGAUACAGAAAGAAUAGUGCAUUUCUAUCUUUUUUCAUCAAUCUUUGGGUACCUCCUUCUUUGCAGCAGCGAGUGUUUCGAACUUACUCUCGGUGACAUCUUUGAAGUCAUCCUUCACAAUAUCCCAUAACUCUUCAUAUGAGAAUAAAUUUUGUAUUUGGAUACUCCAUUAAUCGAAGUUCUUUUCUGUAAAGUUCGGAAGUAGUGGUUGAAUUAUCUUGUUUAGGGCCAUGAUUAACUAUCGAUGUGGAUGGAGAGCGCAAUGCCGGCACAUUCUACAUCCUUUAUCACGAAGCCAACAAUCUUUUCUUCAUCGUAAGGCUUCUUCAACUUUGUUCUAAUACCACUUGUUGGGAGAAGAGGAGUAUUGCAGCAAAUUAAAUUAAAAACUUUUUUAAAUAUUUUUUGACUAAAUUUUGGUGGUGGAUUAUUUUAUUUUUCACAUAUUUACACAAAUAUAUAUAGAGACAUAAAGCAAAAAUCCUAAUAGCAAUAAUUGAACAAGAUUUAAACUUAUCUCUUAUAUCUAACCAACAAAAUAUUAAGAGAUAAACUUGACAGAAAUAAAUCUAAACUUAUCAAAAAUAUUAUGUUACUUAUCACCAUUUAAUUUCAAAAUUCUAAAUUCUAAGUAUAAAAUGGGAUUAUAUUAAUAAGUAUAUAUUGAUUAGUAACGGUAUUUAGCAAUAAGUGCCACUACUUUGUUACAUUUAGUAUCAUUUUUUAUAAAAUGCUGAAAACAUUAGUGCCAUUUACUAAUCUACACUGCUAAUUUUUCUUAUUUUACAAUAUUAAUAGUAAAUUACUGCUAAAUUAUUAAAUCUAAUGACAAUUAUCAAGUAAUGCUGUUAAAUAUAUUAAUUAGAAUGAUAUAAGGACUGAGAAUUUGGCAGUGUAGCUGAACUUUCUGUUGACGAUGUUUUUGUGUGUAUUUUAAUUACAAAAAACACCCGUCAAGUUUCGGAAAAAAACGAGUUAGAAUGAAGAUUUUACGUGAUCUUUACUUUUCACUUAGGGCGUGUUUGGUUCGAAGUUGGAGUCGGAAUCGGAAUCAGAAUCAAAAUAAGCUGGAAUCCAAAUCGGAAUGACUCAUUACCUAAUUCUAUUUGGUUCAUCACCUGAAUCGGAAUCGAAAUAAAUCAUUCCCAUUGUCGGUGUUUGCUUCAGGUGGAUAUAAAAAACGUAAUUAAAUUAAUAUAUUAACAUUAUCUUUAUAAUAUAUUAAUUUAAAAUUCAAAUUAAAAAUUAAAUAUUAACAAUUUAUAUCAAAAUUUUGAAAUAAUGUCCAUUUAUAUCAAAAUUAAAUAUUAAAAAUUUAUAUCAAAAUUUUGAAAUAAUGUCCAUUAUCUUUAUAAUAUAAUUCAAAAUUUAUAUCAAAAUUUUUUUAAAAAAUUAAACUUUGAAGUUGAGUGGAUAAUUCAAAACAUGAAAUGAAAUUUUGAUUUAUUCAAAUUCUAACUAAAAUUACAAUUUAAAUUUUAAUUUGAAUCCAUAAAUUUAAUUUAAGUUUGAAAAAAAAAAUUGAAUAAAACUUUAUAUAAAUUAAAAUGUAAUUUAAAUUGAAAUUCAUAAGUUAGAUUCGAAAUACUUGAUUAAAUUUUAAUUUUUAAUUUAAGUUCAAAGUAAAUUUUAAAAUUAUAUAUUUAAUUUUUAAAUUUUAACUCAUAUUUUAAUUAAAAAAGUUGAAAAAAUAAAUUUAAUCUGAAUAAAUAUCCAUUCCGUCUGGAUUCAACUUUCAAUCCGACCUCCUACGCCGGAUUGAAAAAUGAGGUUAUUGGGGGAUUCUCAUUCCACUCAGAAAUCGGAAUCGGAAUGGGACUCCCGCGUACCAAACACCUACAAACGGAUUCACCCAUUCCGAUUCCGAUUCUAGGGUAAAAAAGAAGCGAACCAAACACGCCCUUAAAGUGAAUAGUAACCCGGGUUUUCGGAGAGGCCAAUGGAUAUAGAUGGCUUCUGGCGCGUAUUGGACUCCGUUCAUAGUGAUCCAAUAGCUCGUUUUCAAUGGUCUGACUAUUCUGGAACCAUUGGCGCUAACGAAUUUGAGGUUUAACGCACAGAUUUCGAGAAAACUGGAUAUACAUAUUUUUAUGUAUUUGGGUGUGUGGUUUUGCUUAUUGGAGAGAGAAUGGGUUUUGCCGCGAAUCUGCAACUAAACCAGGUGAAACAAAAUUGUGGGUUUGAUGUCUCAGUUGUACUGAUCGCACUGGUGUGAUCUAUUCGCAAAUCUGAAAGACGCAUCUCCUGAUAUCGUGCGUUGAUCGAUGAGGGGUCAUUAAUAGUGAAAUGGAGAUUUUGCGAAAAGCCCUACAUUUUAUGUAUCGUUUUGCGUGAAAUCGGAUAUGGGGGUGUGUUCGCGCGUUUUACACGCGCUGUAGAGGGCUUGGUCGAAAAUAACCAUCAUUGGAGAACUAGGUUGCAAAUUGGCCAACUUGUAUAUAUAGGGCAACUCGGGUUUUCAUGCAUGAAACCCUAACCCUAGCCCUUGCCACCCUGAGUCGCACCCCCAGCCACCUUCACCUCUCUCCCCUGCCCUCACCGCGCGUACCCCGACCGCCGACGCGCGCCUCUGGCCGCCGGAGUAAGCUACAUUACCUCCCUUUCCUUUAACACCUCCACCACCUUUGCCCGUGGACCACCUAGGGUGAUCCUCACCCUCGGGCACCCCCCUCUGGUAGCGGCCCCGACCUCCGGCGACUCCCCCGCCGGUCCCCGCCGUCCCCGCGUGCCACCGUCACCGUCUUGGUAGCUUGUGGCCUAGUCGGGUCAGCUCGGGCCGAGGGCAUUGUAGAUCCUGGCCCGCGCACCGCCACCGCCUAGGGUCGACCACGCCGCCCUCCUCAACCUCGGGCGACUCACCCCGUCGGUCGCCGCCGCCAAUGCGCGCCACCCUAGGCAGCUGCGGCCGGCCUUGGCUAGCUCGGGCCGAGAGUGAAGCAAAGCCUCCCCCUCGUGCUGCCGCCGCCUGGGGUCGGUUGCGCCGCCUCCCUCCGGCCUCCGGCAGCUCACCGCAGUCGCCCCUGAGCAUCUCACCGGUCGCCGUGGCCGCCGCUGCUUCUGAACCCAAGCCCUAGCCCGUGCGGGCUCGGGUUGCUCUAGCACCGCCACCGCCGCCUCCCACCUCCAGCCGGCGUGAGCCUCAGCCUCCCUCCGUCGGCCGCAACCGCCUGCCGCCAGUGCACCCGCCAUCGAGCAGUCGCCGACCGUGCCCUAGUUCCUCCUUGGCGGUAAGCCUACUUAAUACAGCUUCUGGUUGGUGUUCUGGGUUGUGCUUGUUUUUUCGGCGAUCCGAGGCUGUCCCGAUGCCUCCGGAGGUGAGCACGGUGAUCGCCGGUCAGUGCUGAUCACAGUGCUCACCUCACUUAGGAUCAGCUCUGGACUGAUCGUCCAAGGUCCGUUAGCCUUCGCGAAAAUCGAAUGUCUAUUUCGGUGCGUUUUCGGUGAAAUUCGCCGGCGGAAAGCGAUUUCGGUUCGGAUUUCAUCCGACGAUGUGUGAUUGCCCGGAGUUGUGUCACUGAGCCUUGCCUUGACAGCGUGCCGGCGUGAUUUUCGGGACUUCCGGCGAAUUACGGUGAUCGAUUUUAGGAAACUGAUUUCGGGGAUUUGUGUAGGGUUCAUGAGUUGGGUAUUUUGGAUUUGUGGGUUGGAUACUGACCCGGUGGACCCCGUAGGUCCGGUUGACUUUUGGCGCUUCUAGGAUUUCGACACGAUUGUGACAGAUGGGUGCUUCGAGCUGUUAGUCGGUGAGAUCGUUUCGCUUUCCUCUAUUCUUCUAUAUCAGUAUCGUAGUCUUUACAUGUCGGUAAUUUUUGUUUAUCGUUCAUGCAUCUAUAUCUUGUUGUUUGCAUGAUGAUAGUUGUUGAUAGACAUGUAGAGUAGGCUUGCAUAUGUUGUAUAUUUGUGAACCUUGGGUCCAGGGAACACAUCGACUCAUUUGUCGUGUGUUUCGAUUUAGUUGAUCGUGGUUCAGCAUUGUAUGCCCUUAUAUCUGGCUUCAGCCAAGGCACUGGUUUUCUAUCGGUUUUCGUAUUGAGCAUAUCAGUAUGAUUUAGUCAUAGCACUGUCUAUUCUAGACACCGGUUGGUUUGGCCACCGACCAGGGGGUGUAUGUAUCCGGAUAGGUCGUCAAUGGACGCAUGAAUCAAGUUAGUGCAUGCUCUGUGACAGGGAACGAUUGAGGUCUGCGGACCAAUAUGGCAAGCACCAGAUUAGGUUUGAUUUUGGAUUAUUUACCUUUGAGGCAUAUGUUCAGUUGAGUUUUAUUACAGUAGUAGUUUGGUUUUUGCUCAUUUACUAUCAUGUUUCUAUUACUACUGUAGUUGCUCUUAUAUCGUGCCAUAUACAUAUCUAUUGUUCUAUCUUCUUUAUUUGUCAGUGAAUACGAUUUGCCUUCGUGGCUCUGUCGUAUCCAUUGGAAAAUCUUGAUUGUGGUUUCUCACCCCCCAUUUUCUCAGGUGGCUCGGGCAAUGAGUUGGCUUUUGGCGCAAUAAGAGAGCAUUCUAGCUAGACUACAGUAACGAUCGUCACCCUAGUUACUUUUCUUUCCGCAUUUAGUAAUUGUAAUAAUUAAAUGGUUAAGUUAGAUUAUCACUAUUACUGUUUGAGUAUUUGUGAACCUGUUUGAGUUGGUGAUUUUCUAUUAUGCAUGCAAACAAAGUUUUAUAAAUAAUUGGUUCUUGGAUUUAUGUAUUUACACAUUGUGAUUUUUUACCCCUCGAGAUAGUCGGUUUUCAAAAGUGAAGUUUUCGAGUGGAAAACAGUUUUAAAAAGGUUUUCGAAUGAUUUUUAUGGAUGAUUAAAAAGAGUUUAAAAACAAAGCUUCCGAGUGGAGAGCACUUUUAAUUAGGAUGAUUGUUGUAUUGUGCAUCCAAUCAUUCAGCGUCUAAGCAGUAUUUAGAGGCAUGCAUCAUCCCUAAGGAUCGCUAGCUGUAUAAAAAUGCAUCACAUGAAUUGUUUGUGGAUUGAUAAAUGUAAAUUGUUGUUAUGAUCCUAAAAUUGUUGUUGGUAUGCCGGGCAAAUACAAAGUAGACUCUGUCUGUGUAGCCAGAGAAACUUUGUAUUUGUGGCGGGUCUGUACGUCACGUGGGCCAGGUUGAAUUCGAAAAAAAAAAUGCACGUUUUCUACAACUCUGAUUUCAAAAAUUGUAUUCAUUAUAAAAAGGCUUCUAAAAUCGGCCCCGCGGCGUGACAAAUGAUUUAAAUAAAUACUGCGAAGUAAAUGUCGCUAAAUUAUGAAUUUGUUAUAGUGAACAUGCAAAUACUAUGCCUCUAUAUUGAUGCCAUUGUGCCAAAAUAAUAUGCCACUAUGUUAAAAUCUAAGGAAAGAUCUACUUAUGACAUUUUCUUAACUCUAAUCGAUUCUUUAGUUUAAUUCCAAUUUCUUUAUAAACACCUCAUAGAGAGUCAAAGGUGAUCGAACUUCUCACCACUAGGUAAGCACUAGGACAAGAGUAAUCAAAGUUAAAGCAUAAGAAGAGUCGAGGGUGAUUAAGCUUCUCUAAUGAUGACUCUUCCAGAAGGUCAUGGCUUGCAAGAUUGCGAUCCCACGAGCUAUGUUGUUGCCUAUCUCUUAGUUUACACCCUAUAUAUCAACUGACGCUAGGGUUAAUCUCAUGAGUUCAUUCAUAUGUUGCCAUGUCGCUUACAACAAAUUCUCAUAGUUUACUUAUAUGUUGUUAUGUUCAUCAACAUAGGUUUUCCCCUAUGUUAGUACCAUUGCAAUGCCAAUUAAGUCCAUAUGUUCUCAUAAUAGAGUUUAACUUGCUUGUAAAGAAUGCUAUUAGGAUGAUUUGAGCGCAUUAAAAAUAUUUAUAUGCUAGAUUAUAUGUCUAAUUUUUUUAUGAAUUUUCAUAAAUUUGUCUCAUGCAAAUCCAUCAAGACUAAUCUACUUACAAGAAUAUGAAAGUUUAAGUUAUAUGCAUAGAAAUAAAAAAUACUUUAGAUGAAAGGGAGAUCAAACUCAUUUGGGUGAUAUUCCCUAUUUUGUCUUGUAAAACCGUCUUGAAAGUAUCCCUUGAGCUCUUGAAGCUCCUAGAAAACCAUAAAUAGGAAGUUCUAACUAAGUUGGAAUCUUCAAAACCCUUAUUUGAAAAAACUCUCUAAAUUUGAACCCUAAAAACUCUAACUCACCUCUACUUCUCUAAACAAGAGAAAUGAGGCUUAGAAAGGUUGUCUUCUCCCUCCUAGAGCUCCUUCCAAGUACCUUUGUCUUUCUCUAAACUUGCUAGAAGAUAAAGCUCCAAAAUCCCAACAAUGUUGGCCUAGGAUUUUCUUUUCCCUUUUAAAAAGAGAAGUAGAGAGAGAAAGUGAGUGGAAAAAUAAAGGUGAGAAAGGAGUGUUGAAUGUGAAUUUAUAGGAGUGUUAUAAUUGCCCUUAAAUCCCUAAUCAUUCAUAUUUACAAUUAAUGAAUUGUUGCCUCUACGAUAAGUUUCAGGUGCCCGCCCGAUCUUUCGGGCACCUGAAGCCCUAGGUUGCAGCUCCAGGGCCUUCUUGUUCAGCAAAUCUAGAAGUUGAUCUCAGCACUUGCCCAUCCGCUCGACACCGUUUUCGGAUGCCCAUAGGGCAAACUAGGUGUUUGAUUAAUUAAUGAGCCGAGCGGCUCCUCCUCUCAUGUUGAGCAUCUUGAAGUGGAACUGGACACCCGUAAGAUCAAUCUAGAAGGUUUCAGAUAGCUAGAGGAUAAUUCAGACGCCUGAAUAAUUAAUCUUUUGCGAACAUUUGCUCUCGAGUAGAAUGUGCGGUAGAAUUGGGUGCCCGAUUGGACAAUAUGAAAGGUUCAGGCACCCAAAAUACUUUUCCAGACGUCCAAAAAGUGUGGGAAACUAGAUUUCCACUUCUUCCAAAAUUCGAUUUCUAUCGGAAUUAAUUCUAACUCAUUUCAAACUCUUCUAAAACCUUUCAAACCCAUUUAAUCAUGUCUAACAUGACUUUACUCCUCACUUAACUAAUUUAGUUAAAGUUUAAUUAGUGCAUUAUGUCGAGUUUCAAUAUAUCUCAAUAGGGAUAUUUUGGUCGGUUUUUAAAAAAUUUGGUCCGUAUCUAUAAAAAUGAAAAAACUAGCCUAUGUUUUUACAAAGCACAAAACUAAUGGAUUUUUUAUUCCUAUGCAAAAUUAGUGGAUUUUUUAAAUGGAAAAUGGCUAUUAAUUUUAAGAAAAAAAAGUUUAAGAAAACCCUUCCAUGUGUGGUAUAACUUACUUUACUCUCUUGUGGUUCAAAAUACAUAGUUGGUUGAUAAAUUUGAUGCUUCUCCUACUAAAGAAUCUAUUGGGAAAGAUGACAUUUAAAAAGAUAGCAAACUUUUGUACUUUCAACUCUUAAGCUAUAAAAUACUAGGUUCUGCUUGGAUAUCUGGAUAUUUUAUUAUAUCCCUUAAUUUAUUUAAAAAAUUUAUAUAUUUGAUAAAUAAGGAGUAUGAUAGGAUAUUUACAACAGAAUAUAGUAUUCAUUCAGUAUGAGACUUUUUCUAAUAUGAUUAAUUGUAAUUAAGAAGUUUGAUUUUUGUUUUUCAAAAGUUUUUUUUUAUACAUAAUAUUGGUAAGGUAGUAUAUUUCACUAACAAGGUAAUUUAUCUUAUUCUAAAAAAAUGAGUUGGUUAUUCUUAAAUUACUUACUCCAACAUCUAAAGAGGGUCGAAAUUACAAUCGGGCUAUACAAUGCGGAUGAAACACCUUUAUCGUAAAGAAAGGUUCUAUUAUUUCAACUGUUUUAUAUUAUAAUAAUAACAUAGAAUCAAAAAUUUUCCACCUUGUAUGAUAGUAUAGAAAAGAAAAUUUUUGAUAAUAUUUUAUUAUAAAAUUAUCAUAUUGCCGGUGACUUAUCUUAGAUAACUUAUAAAACUGUGGUCUAUAUUAAUUUCAUAUUAUAAUUAUAUAUUAUGUUUGAAAAUUUAGAAGCAAAGUCAAGAUGGCCGAGUUGGUCUAAGGCGCCAGUUUCAGGUACUGGUCCGAAAGGGCAUGGGUUCGAAUCCCAUUCUUGACAAAAAAUUAUUUUAUCAGAUUUUUUGUUUAGUUUGGUUUUGGGGGUGUUAAUGAAAUUUUAAAGAUAAUCCUUUCAAUUUGAAUACUAAUUGAGGCAUUAUAGUUGCCAUGUUUUUAUUUUUUAAUACUAAUUUUAUAUAAUUUGACGUUUUUGAGAAAAGAUUUUUAUUUUGUUGUUAUAGUUUGUUAGCUUACAAUAAUUCAAUUAAAUGAUAUAUGACAAUUUGUUUUUAAAAAAUUGAAAGCAAAAAAGAAAAAAAAUAGGCCUCGCUUGGUUUUGUGUUUAUUUUUUAUUUUUUAUAAUACUAAUUUCAUAUAUUUAAUGCAUUGGAGAAAAUACUUCUUUUUUUUUUGUUGACUAGCUUAAAAUAUAUUUGGCUAAAUAAUACAUGAUAACUUGUUUUAAAAAAAUUUCGAAGCAAAGAAAUUGCUUUUAAAUUUUUAUUUCUUUGCAAAAUAAAUACUUCAGAUUAAAUAAUUACAAUUAAUCGGUCAUCCCCUUCUGCAUUUUUUGAUAUACAAAAUUCUAUUUAGGGCAUGUUAGGCCUAUCUAAGGGGAAUAGUACUGUUGAAGGGAACUUGGUUAUUUUAUUAAAAAUACUGUCUAUUAUAGAAAACUUUUGAUAAAAAUUUUGUUAAAUUAUUAAAAAUAAUAUAAAGUAUAUUAAAAUAAAUUUAAUUUUGUGAUCCUAUUAAUUACAUUUUAAUAAUGAAUUAAAAAUAAAAUGAAAGUUUGAAUUUAUAGUUAAAUUAAUUCUAAAUCUAAAUUGAAUCUAUACUCUGAAUUCAAAUUCACACUUUGUAUUUGAAGUUCAAAAUCAAAAAAAUUAAAUUAUUUAAAUUUUAAAAUUAAGUAUAAAAUUUAAAAUUCUAAAAUUGAAUUUAAAUUAAAAAUUCUAAUCCAAAAUAAAAGUUAAAAUUUUAAAAUUUGAAUGUAAAAUUAAUUUAAAAUUUAACUUCAAAAUUAGAAUUUAAACUGGAACUCAUCAAAUUUAAAUUUAAAAAUUGAAUUAGAAAAAUAUAACUAUGAAUUUUAAAAUUUAAUUCAAAAUGUAAUAAACUUUAGAAUUUAAGUGUAAAUGUAAAUUUAAAUUUAUAGAUUUUAAAUAAAAGAUAACCUUCAAAAAAUUAACUGGGGACUAAAUAAGAAAACUUGCAAACAUUGAGGACCAACAUUACAAUAGGUCCAGAGUUUCUAUCGGAAUAUUUUUAAUUUUGGUCCAAAAUUUAUUUUGGUCUCCAAAAUUAACUCCUCACACCACACUUUAUUUUGGUCCCCAAAAUGCUGACGUGGCGCUUCCGUGGCAGGAUUAAGGUUAUUUUUACAAAUAUAAAUUUAUUGGGACUAUUUUUAAAAUAAUUUUUUUUCAGGGGGCCAAAUGUAAAAAACACCCUAUUAUGGUCCCCAAAAUUUAACACACCUCCCGCCCCGCCCAAAAAAAAAAAAAGAAGGGAAAAUUGUCUAUAUACCCCUUAUACGUUUUAAAAUAUCUGAUUUAUCACCUACUUUUUUUUUUUUUUUCUAAAAUAUCUGUAGUACACUAAACUUUAACAAAUUGCGAAGUUCUAGUGUUAUAAUGAUUUAGAACUAUUCUAGAUCUUAUGAAGUGUUGUCGAGAGGCUUUCGGCAGGUUACUUGAGUGAUUAAGUGGCCGGAAGAGGGAAAGUGCAUUACAAAAUGCGAAUUUUAUUUUUUGCACUGAGUACCGGUACCCUCAUGCCCGAGUAUCGAUAUCCAGCAUAGCAGCUGCAUGGCUGAGGGUUGUUUUGGUCAUGUCACUCUCAAGGCUUAUCUUCUUAAGCCCCUGGUGAUCGACCCCUCAGCUUGUUCUUAUCAAGUUUGAGUGGAGAAACAGGCUAUGAGCAUUCCUCUUUCUCUCUCUAGGUUUUUCUCCAUUUUUGAAGUGGAAAGAAUAGAUUGAGCUUGUUUCUUUCCCUUCUUGAUGCUAGCUGAGUUGGAGGGCUUUGGACCAGCUGUGGAAGGUUAGAAAAAGGAGUUUCACAGGUGUCUCUCUGUUCUAACUCAGCAAAUAACUGAGUUGAAACUUGGUGAGGUUAGUUAACCAACUUCUCUCUAGUUUGAGGCAUUAGUAGUUGUAAUAGUGAAGUUUGAGCUUGUGCUUUGCUUCUUUGCUGCCAGCUGAGUUGGGGAAGCUUGUAGCAGCUGUAGAGGAGGUGUCUUAGCUGUGGUUCUUCAAUCCUAGCUCAGUCAAAACUGAGUUGGAGCUGGACAAAGUAAACUAGCUACUAUUCUCACUAGUUUUGAGGUGUAAUAGAAGUAUUGAUAGAGUUUUUGGGAUUAGCUCACGGCAGGUUUGUGAACCACUUGGGCUGAGUUUUAGUGAUCCUUGUAGAUUGGUUUUGGGGUGCUUCAACCUAAGUUGGAGCAGUGUAAGAUGAGCAACCUAACUUCUUUCUAGUUUGGAUGUGUUAGUAAUAGUAUUGAUGGAAUUUAUGUGUGAUGGUUCACAGCAGGUUUUGGAUCCUUUUGGGCUGAGAAUUGUGAGCUUUAGAAGGUUGGUUGUGAUGUAUUCCAACCUGAUUUGAAGUGGAAUUCAAGUUGGAUUCCAUUCUAUGUAAGAUUCUUGCCUAAACUAGGUUAAUUUGUGAAGUUAUAUGUGAAGGCUUAAUUUAAGCUUCUAGCUAAUUUAGUAUACUUGUCAGGGUAUUUGAAGGCCGGUGAAUAUAUUCGCUUGCAGGAUCGACAAGAGUUGACGGCGAUUCGGUGAGUUUGACCUUAAUUACCGAAAUAGGUGAAUUCCCCCUAUAUCUACUUUGAUAUUAUGACAUUGGAAUUCUUACAUAUAAAUGUUGAAUAUAUCUUGAAUGGGGUUAUGUUUGCAUAAUACAUGCAUGGUUGGUAAAGUAAAGUUAACCUCUAUGUAGUAGAGGAAAGGUUUUGGACCUUGUUUAGUAUGCAUAGGUCACUUGCUCAUUUAGCAUGUAUUCAUGAUAUUAGCAAACUUGUGUAAACAAGAUAUGUAUGACGACAUUCAAUAGUGAACGGCUGUUAAGCUAUGAAUAUGACACUUAGGCUCCGUUUGGUAACGGAAUAUAUGAAGAAUAACACUUUUUAUCCUUAUUAUUCUUCCAAACAAAAUAACAUUUGCCAUUGAUAAUUUAUUCUAGUCAAAGCGGGUUAUUCCAGUUGAUCUUGGAAUAACCCGUUAAUUAUAUUCUCCCCCACCCGUAGAAUAAAAUUCAUCCCUCAUGAAUUCAAGGGUGGGACAAUAAACAAGUAGUUUUUUUUCCUACUUUUUAUGAUGUCUCGACCCAUGCACCCUCUAUUUAUGACGCCUCGACCCCCGCACCGCCACUUUACUCCAUCCUCCUAUCCGAUUUCUAUAUAUAGCGUUUACUAAUAUAUAUAUUAUUAGUAUAAAUUUAAUUACUGUAAUAAUACUUGAUAGUGUAUAUAUAAUAAAGAUUAUUUCUUAAUCAUGUUGAUUAAUUAAUUAAUAAAUUACUUUGUACAAUUAUUGAAAAUAUAUUUACAUUUUUUCAUGUGCUAUAUAUUCUAUAACACAUGCUAUGAAUGUGAAACAUUCAUAAGAGCAAAAUUGGCAUUUAAAAAAAUUCAUUUAACUUUUUUCACUAUUCUUCUCUUCUUUCAAGAAAUUAACUAAACAUCAUAUUGCUUAUACCCUAGUAUAAAUUAAUAUAAAUCCAAACAAAAAAUUAUUGGUAUUCCUCUCUAUUCUAGAAUAUUGAGAUAUACCAAGGAAAAAAAAAUUUAUCCUGUGUAACAUAAUUCCAUUGCCAAACAGAGCCUUAGUGUAGUGGUACAACUAAGUGAAUGAUGUAUUAUGGUUUUUACCUUUGAGAUAAUCAUGUAAUUCCAUGUUGUAAACAUGACGACAGAACUUCUAGUAUUUCUUGUAUAGUGGAAUUACAUACAUAUACACUUAUACAGUAGAAUGAAUUGUGGAGAAAUCAUGUAUGGAGUAUCUUAUAUGAUAUUUUGCAUACUGGUGGGGACCAAUUGAUUAUUGCUCUCACAUGGUAGAACUAGCAUGAAUUUCGUGUUCUUGUAAAUGAUCUAAUUAAGUAAUUAGAAUCGGGCAUUAUGACAUAACAUGAACGUUAUAUUAUUGAAUGUGAUCUAGUUAAAUAACUAGAAUUGGACAUGAUGAUAUACUUGUGUAGUCAAGUAGAGGUAAUUGCAUAAUGCUUGGGUACUCCAAGUAGUGGAGGUUUAUGUAGAACUAUAGAAUAGGUGCCAUGAGUCGCAUGAACACCAGAAUGAGUCAUUGAGCAUGACCUUAGUAAACCACUUUCCUUAUGUAUAAGGAGUAGUGAGAGGACUAUAUGUGAGUAUGCUGGUAUAGCUAGUUAGAAUCAUUCAUAUGAUUAAGUACAUGCUAUCUAUUGGUAGAAAUAUAUCACCAAGUAGUUGAAAGUGGAAUUUGAGUUGAAAGUGGAAUUUGAGUUAUUAUUAAUUGUCGAUCUUGUGUUAAAGUUGAAAUUCCAUGUUAGAGACAUGAUGAACUUGUGAACCCUAUACUAUGGAUUACGCUUGCUUGCCAAUAUGCUCAUUCACACAUGCUUGUGAGGGUCGCACCCCACAAGCCGGUAUUUCGGAGUUGGCCUAUGCGACAGCAGAUCGCUUAUGUAUGAGACUGAGCGCUGAAGUGGAUUGCCGUGGGUAGUGUUGACUUCCAUGGGGUCAUUAGGCACGGCAUGAGCCGGGACUUACCACGUGUAAGCCUCUUGUUAAUUGGGUUAAUGUAAAUAAGUGUAACCUUAGAUGGACAUAGUAGUAAAGGUACUUUAUGUCAGUAGUUGAGAUAUACCUAGUAAUGAACAUACUAGAUGGUUGACAUUUUUGUUAGUCAUUAGUUGUAGUGACAUUACCUGUAUGAUUACACUCUUGUUAGUGUAGGAAGGUAGCUACAUAAUAUUCUUAUCCUGUUGAACUAUAAUAGUAGAAUCCCGUUUUAACAUUGGCAUAUAGUUAAAGAUGAACAAACUGAUAGCCAGCACGACAUACAGAACUUGUAUACCUGAUAAGUAGCAUAUAAAACAUGUUAGAAAACAUAUCUUGAUGAGGCAUGUUAUAGUUGAAUUACUUUAUUUACUUGUUGUAUUUACUUUUCUUACUUGUUAUAGUCUACUCAUGCCUUAAUUGACCUAGUGGUGUACUUUGCCACUCUCAGCGGCUAACCCACUGGGAACUAUUAUUUAACAGUUCUUACGCCCUUUUGUUGGUUGUUUUUGUGCAGAGCCUUCCAUAACGGGAAAGGCUAGGGUUCCUGGUGAGAGGUCAGCGAUUAGCUAGAGCAUUCUCAAUGUUAAAUAGAUGAACCUCUACAAGUUUAUUUUAGUUUAGUUCUGAGAUGUAUAUUGGGACUGUUUAGAAUGUACUUUAUACUCAUACGCUGUAAUAAGGUUUUGUGUUGUAUAAGCUUUUAAACUUUUAGUUUUGCUCUGACUACCUGGUUAUGAUACUAUGUUUUUGCUAUGUUGAUUGUUGACGCCUAGUGUACACUGGUGGUGGUGGUGUACACGGCGGGUCUGUGCACGUGACUGGUGAGCUUCCGCUGAAAUCCAAGGCGUGACAAUACCCCUCAUAUGUUCCAUCGUUAUUGCAAAAUACCCCCGCAGUUAUCUCCUGUUAAGUUAACUUGGGUUAAACGUAAGUUAAAUAUCUACCACAGUUAAAAAAAAUUAAAAUACCAAUUUUGCCCUUAAGUAAUACCAAUUUUACCCUUAACUUAAGGGCAAAUAAGAAAUGUUGGUGACGGUAGAGGGGUAUAUUAGAAAAGACCAAAAAUCAAAAUACUUUUUGUGCCCCUGAUUUUAAAGGCAAAUAAGAAAGUCAGUGAUGGUGGAAGGGUAUAUUUGAAAGGGCAAAAUAAUAAUUUUACAGAGAUUAUAGAGUUCAUUAACAGAUUUUAACUCUAGGGGUAUAUUAGAAAUAGGUGGGAACGUAGAAAUAGUAUUUUCAAUAUUAGCCUUCUAAGAAGGGUAAAUCGAAAAGUCAAAAACUUUUCAAGAGUAUAUAAGUAAUUACCCCCCCUCUCUAAAAAAAAAAACACCCUCCUCCCUCCCCCCCCCAAAAAAAAAAUCUACUGUGGAAGCUUCUGAGGUAAGAAAUGGCAAGGGUGUGGACAAUUUUUUUGUGCUCAACUCCCCUUCCGCCAAACGACAGGAAUUCUAUACUAUCACACUUGCACCAUGCCAUCAGUAACAAGCCAAUCACAUUCCUUCUUUUCAAACAGAAAGUACAAUAAAAUAUUUUUUUACAAUCAUGAUGGGAUAUAUACCCUAAAGGAGACAUAUUGAUUAGUUUGUUAUGUUACGUCAUCAAUAUAGCCGUUGCAUUCUAGAAUUUUCCCCGCCAAACACCUCCAUACGGGGAAGCCCGUUUUGCGGGGCAAAAUUGGGCUAACGGGCACUCAGGAAAACAAAAAAAAAACAAAUAUGAUGUUGAAGAUGCCUGAUUGUUUCUAUUUUUUGUUGCCAAAUAAAUAUCCAUGGGUGUAAAAAUUGCUUAUAAUCUCUAGCCUUCCUUAUACAUUUUGAUGUACAAAAUUUUAUUUACAAAAAUAAAUGUCACGUUCCGAAUCCCGCCAAUUGGAUUCGUUCGGCUACGUACAACAGAUCUGUCGAACGGACAAAACUUUUUUCCUAAUCACACUAAGUGGGACAUACACUAACUUAUACAAAGCAUAUAUGAUAUGGAUGUUGGAUGUGGCCCAUGUGAUUUAUUUAAAGCGAAUUUAUAAAAAUACAGUCGAUCUAUUUGAGAUGAUUUAUAAAGAUACGGUCGAUCCAACGGUUAGGAUGUAUCUGGAUACGUUUUGAUGAACGGACAUGAUUAAAUAUCCCUACAAUAGGUUAUGUAUAUAUAUAAUAUACGAGGAUUCCGGUUUAACCUUAAUUCUAAUUUCAUGUGACGGCUCCAUCUUGGGGAUAAAGGAAUAAAUUCGAAACAUCCCUCUCUUUUAUAUAUUAUAAAUGAAGAGGAAUUACAAGUAAGAAUCACCAUUUACAAUUCGAGUUUAGAAAUUAAAAUCAUGUCAGAAAGUACGAUCUUAGUUUUUAUAAAAUUUAACCUAUGGUAUCAGAGCCAAAUGCCAUUUUUUUUUUGGUUUUAUUUUAUUGAAAUAAUUUGUUGAUUGACUUGCGUUAAUGAUGACGUUGGUCGACCGCAAUCGACACUAGGUUUUGGCGAAAUUGCGCCGCCAUUGCCCCACCGUCCUAGGCGUCCCUCCACCUGGGCCGCAUAAAGCAGCCCCAUCAGGGGCCGUAGAAAGCAGCCCCUUGGGCCUGACUAGGGCAGCCCCUCUAGUCUCUAGUCAGCCAGUCUAGUCAAUCUCACGUUUAUUUUUUAAUGAAAAAGAGGAAUAUACAUACGAUGAUCAUGAAAAUUUAGAAUGAGUAUAUAGGCUUCAUAUAGUUUAUAAAUUUGAGUCAUAUAAGGUUGUUAAGAGAAUUAUUUUGGACUUUUAUUCUUUUUCACUAUAUACUCCCACAUUGCAUUGGAGUGCCAAUCCUCUUGACUGCUUAUGCGGCGCUUGGUGGGACGAUCGCCCCCGACUCCAAUUGCCUAUCGAUUGGAGAGUAAUAAGAUCUCUCUCGGCUCUCUAUGAGAUGUAGAGUAUCUACUGAUUGGAGAGUAGUACGAUCUCCCUUGGCUCUCCAUGAAGUACAGUAUAAAAUGGAAUCAAUCAAAUAGAUGGUUAGAAAUAUAAGAUAAAUUGGGUAAACUUGUAACUAAUGACAUGGUAGCAUAUUGUUAUAUUUGAGAUUUUGUAGUUGUAAUUCAAUUAUUGCAUUCUAUUGUAGAAAUAUUUAUUGUUUAUUAUUAUUAUUAUUAUAUACUAAUAUCUUCUUUAGACCAAGUGAAUGUAGAGCGCCAGUUUCGGCGGUUGCACUCAUUGGAAACUUACCUUAAGUUCUCAUCCCAUUGUGGUUGAUGUUUUCUAGGGUUACCCUUCGGUAGUGAAGCGCGUGAUCACGGCAAAGAGGUCGUGAGUUAGAUAAACCGUGAUUAGUCAGUCUAGGUCAAAGUACCCCAUUAUAUAUAUAAGACUGCAUAUGGUUUGGAGAGUGAAGUGUGUAAACAUUAAAGAGAUUAAAUUGUAGUAGUUGUAACUUAGAAGUUAAUGUUGUAAUGGGUUCAGAUUUAGUAAUAUGUACUCUGACGCUAUAAUGUAUCCAUAUCAUGUACACAAUUGUAUAGGAUGGUACAUGUUUUCUUUUCAUGUGAGAAGAGGGAAUCUUGCCCGUUUAGCAGGUCUGUUGCACGUACCUAGGCAAGCUGAAUUGACGGUCUCAAAGCGUGACACUGUAAGAUUUACACAUCACUUUAAAAUAUACCUCUUUAUUAAAUAAUUAUUUGAUUGGGAAAAUUUUAAAUUAUCUAAUUGAGAAAUCUUAAUUAUUUUGUUUCAAUUUUACAAUUUUGAUAUUCAAUUUUUUUAAUUGACAUUUCAAAAUUCUAUAGGUUCAAAAUAUGAUAUAUUUGACAUUCAAAAUAAAUUUAAUAAAAAUUAUAAUAUUUGAUCACACCUUUAAUAGUAUUAGAUCGUGUGAAUUCAAAGAUCUAUCAUUAAAAAUGAUGUGAAAGUAUCAAGAAAUUGAUACUUUUUUGAAGUAUUUUAGAUCACCUCUUAGUAAACAAAUGCCCAAAAAAUUUGCUAACUAAUUUUAAGAAAUCGUGAAGUAAUAUCAAGAAACUGAAAAAAAAAAAUUGUAAGAAAAGAGUAUCAUUUUGAUUUGUAACAAAAAUAUUUAAUUUAUUUUUUGAAUUAAUUUAAAUCUAAAAUAAAUAAAAAAUGAAUGGAUCUCUGUAAAAAAGAAAAAUUCAGUGACUUAUUUCAAAAUAGCCUACAGUUGAGGGGAUUGAAUAUAGAUUUUCUCCCAGUAUCUUUCAAACAACUUAGAAGUAGGGAUGCAAACGGAUCCGGGUUGGUGGAGCUCCUGUCCCGAUCCGCCCCGACGGGGCAGUAAAUAGGAGAAAAUAAAUGGAUUCGGGAUAGGAAACGAGGUAAAUUUUACGAUCCGAGAUGGAUUCGGGGCAGGAAACGAGAGAAAUUUUGAUCCGCCCCGAAUCCGCCCCAAAUCCGCCCCGCUAUGAUCCGCCCCGAAUCCGCCCGUCCCGAAAAUUAUUUAUAUUUUAAAAAAUAUUCUUAAAAAAUAAUAUAUUUACAAAAAAGUUCAAAAUACAAAUAAGUUAGUACUCUCAUUUCUAAUAUUUUUGAAACUUAUGAAUUUUGUUUUGAAUUGUGAUUGAUAUUUUUGAUUUUUAUAAUUGAUAUUGUUAAAUUAUACAUAUAUAAUAUUAUUAAAAAUUAUUAAUUUAUAUUUUAUAAAAUAUUAAUAAUAUUAUAAUUUUAUAAAAAAUAUUAGUUGGUGGGGUGGAUUCGGGUCGCCGGCGGGAGGCAGGUUAUGAGGCGGGACGGAUUAUGGGAUGUAUUUUUUAACCCGUUACGGAUUCGGGGCGGGAGGUAGGCGGGAUUUUGCUAGUUGGGGCGGGAGGCGGAGCGGGGAUCCUGCCCCCAGAUCCGCCCCGUUUGCAUCCCUACUUAGAAGGGUCAGGGGGUAAAAUCGGUAAUUAUUUUGGGCAGAUUUAAAAGAUCAUACACAUUUUGAAUGGUAAUAGUGAUAUUAAUGAUUUUGAGAGGGUAUUUAUAAAUUUUGAUGGUCACCAUUGAAAUUAACUCUAUUAUAUUUAUAGAGUUCUGUUAGGUCUACAAUUCUAUUUGGGUUGAAACCUUACAAUUUAGUUCAUUUAUUAAAGACUAUAAUUAAUCCACUAAUUUUAUCAUUUUUAUCUACUAGAAGAUAAAAAAAAUAUAUUUAAAGCCUUAAUUCAUUAGAUGAAAGGCUGCAAAGAUUAUAAAUUUUUUGGACCAUAAACUCUCUAAAAUUUAUGGGCUACCUUUUUUUAUAAAAUCAUUGACUAUUAAACUCGACAAACUGUCCUUGUCUCAGUGAUGAGGACUAAACUUUAGACAAACCUGCCCUAGCCUCACUGCCUCGUGAAAAAGAUGCAUCUAUUAUUCCAUACCAAUUAGCUUUUUUUUUCCCUAUCAUGCAACAGAAUUCACACACUCAUUGGAUUUUUUUUUGAAAAUAAUUUUACCAAAUAUUUUAAUUAGAUAAAUAACGGUAUAAAAAAACAAUUAGCAAACUAUUUUUUUUUUUGCUAUGUAGGAGUGACGGUAAAAUUUUCUCUUAAAGGCGAUGAAUCAUUUAUCGUGUUCAGCAUUUCUAAUUUUUCAAAAAAACGGUGAAUUAUUCAUCGUCUUUUUUUUUUUCUUGUUCCUUUCUAUUUUCAAUAUAAUUCUAACAACCAAACAGAAAUAUCAAUAAAUCACGUACAAUCUUAACACCAAAAAAAAAUCCUAAUAAUCUCUCUAUACAAUCUUAACAAUAAAACAAAAAUUCUAAUAAUCUACAUACAAUUCUAACAAUUUCACUUUUUUUUAUUUCUCGUAUAUAAUCCUAACAACCAUAUAAAAAUUUCAACAAAUCACAUACGGUGAAUAAUUCAUUGUUUUUGUAAAAAAUUAGAAAGACGGUGAAUGAUUUACCACCGCUUUAAAAAAAAAAAUCUAACCCUAAUUUUAACAUAGCAAAAGAAGGAUUAUUUAGUCAAAUAUUUUUUUAGUAGAAAUAUUUAGCUAAUUAUAAUAUUUUCUAGAGUUAUUUGAAAAAAAAAAGUCCAUAUCUGCAAUUGAAAAAUGGGUACUAACCACUUUUCCUUGACUGAUUUUAUCACUUCAAUUUUUAUUACUAAAAAUAAAAAAUAAGAGUUAGAAAACCUAAAGAAUAAUUGAGUUAGAAAUGACAAAGAUUAUAAUUCUUUUUUAGUUCUAAACUAGACGGACACUUUCUCUAGUCCUAAAACCCCUUCAUACUACCUGGUACUCGAUCGCAUUCGUUCAAUCAUCAACUCAUGAAAGCAUGGUUUCUCUCCUCUCUCUCCUCCUCCUCCUCUUCAUGCUCGUCGAAAUUAAAGCCGCGCCCACUUCUGACUCCUUCACCUACAACGGCUUCAUCGGCUCCGAACUCCACCUCGACGGCAUAGCCGAGGUGGCCGGGAACGGCCUCUUGGUGAUGACCAACACCACCAAGAACCAACAAGGCCACGCCUUUCACUCCUCCCCUCUCCAAUUCAAGAACGCCAACCGCACGGUUGAGUCUUUCACCACCACCUUCGCCUUCGCGAUCGCCUCCGAGUACGCGGACGUGAGCGCGCACGGCCUCGCCCUCGUUCUCUCCCCGACGCGGGGCCGCCCGGGCGCGCUCGCGGUCCAAUACCUCGGCCUCUUCAACCAGUCCGACAACGGGAGCCCCGCCAACCAUGUGGCGGCUGUCGAGCUCGACACCAUCUACAACGUCGAGUUCGACGACCUCGACAACAACCAUGUCGGGAUCGACAUCAACGGCCUCCGAUCGGCCGCAGCGGCCCCCGCUGCGUACUACGACGAGGGCGGGAAAUUGACCAACGUGAGCCUGUAUAGCGGCGAGCCCAUGCUGGUGUGGGUGGAGUAUAGCAAAGAGGAGACGAAGCUCGACGUGACAAUCGCACCCGUCGACGCGCCCAAGCCGACGAUCCCUCUUUUAUCCCUCCCAGUCGAUCUCUCUUCAGUGAUCGAAGAAACCAUGUUCGUGGGCUUCUCUUCUUCAUCCGGAUCGGUUCGAAGCUCGCAAUACGUGCUCGGAUGGAGCUUGCGAAUCGGCGGCGAGGCCCCACCUCUCGAUCUCUCGAAGCUCCCCUCGCUCCCCGCGAGAAAAAGAAGCGAAAAGAGCGCUUUUUUGCUUAUUGGGCUGCCAUUGGCGGGCUCGGCGAUGCUGAUCACAGCGAUUUUGUGCACAAUUUUGGGGGUGCAGAGGAGGAUUAGGUACGCGGAGGUUGUGGAGGAUUGGGAAGGGGAGUACAGAACCCACAGGUUCUCCUACGAGGAGCUGUUCAGAGCCACGAAGGGGUUCAGAGAAACGGAGCUUCUGGGGAUCGGAGGGUUCGGGAGAGUGUACAAAGGGAAGCUCCCGAGCACGGGCGCGGAUGUGGCGAUUAAGAGGGUUUCGCACGGCUCGCGCGAGGGGACGACGAUGAGGGGAUUCGUCGCGGAGAUGGCGAGCAUCGGGAGGCUCCGCCACCGACAUCUGGUGCGGCUCUUCGGGUACUGCAGGCGCAAGGGCGAGCUCUUUCUCGUCUACGAGCUCGUCCCCAACGGGAGCCUCGACAAGCUCCUGUUCUGCGACGCCCCGCCGCCGCCGCCGCUGGACUGGGCGCGGAGGGUCCGGAUCGUGCGGGGGGUGGCCUCGGCGCUCUUCUACCUGCACGAAGGGUGGGAGAAGGUGGUGGUGCACAGAGACGUCAAAGCGGGGAACGUGUUGCUGGACGAGGAGAUGAACGCGAAACUGGGGGAUUUCGGGCUGUCGCGGUUGUACGAUCGCGGAGGAGGGGAUGGGGACGAGGGGGGCGCAGGCGCACGCGCGACGCACGCGGUGGGGACGAUGGGGUACAUGGCGCCGGAGCUCGCGAGGACGGGAAUGGCGAGCCCCGCGAGCGACGUGUACGCGUUCGGGGUGCUCCUCCUCGAGGUCGCGUGCGGGAGGAGGCCGAUCCCGCCGAAGGAGUCGGCGGGGGCGGGGGAGCCGGCGCCGAAUCUAGUGGAUUGGGUGCUGGGGUGUUGGAGCCGCGGGGCGAUUCGCGACGUGGUGGAUCGGAGGUUGGGGAUCGCCGUGGAUGGGGAGGAGGCGGAGGAGGCGGAGAAGGUAUUGAGAUUAGGGUUGAUGUGCGCGCACCCCGAUGCGACGGCGCGGCCGAGGAUUGGGAGGGUGAUGCAGUACCUGGGUAGGGAGCUCCGGCUCCCGCCCCCGCCCCCGCCCCCGCCCCCGCCCACGGAGAUCGCCGAGGCGGAGGGCUGCGGCGGCGCCGCCGGUGGAGAAAAAAUCGGGUGUGAGGAGAAGGGGGUGAAGUGCGAGAGCCCUGACGAGAGUUCAGGGGGAUCGUCGGCGGAGACGAAGACGACGACGACGACGACGGAGUCCCUCCUCCAUGGAAGGUGAUUGGUUGGUAGACUGAAGGGUGGGCAACAGUUGAAGGUGAAAAUGUACGUACACCUCCCUACUUGGUCUUUUUUUUUUUUUUUUUUUUUUUUUGUCAAAAGAUCCAAUAGGCUAAUUUAUUAAAAGCAAAAAUCAAUUAUACUUUACGCAAAAAGACUCUACCUGCAGAGUCUUCAAAAAGUAUCCUAACAAAGUCUAUGAGAAGGUGACUGGUAGAAUCAAAAACCAGUUUACUUCUUGAAUUAAGCGCAUGACUUGCUAAAUAAUCAGCGGCCCUAUUGGCUUCACGAUAUAUUUUAACAAAAAUACACUGCUGCAAAUGCAUCGCCAGAGAUGUGCAUCGGUCAAUGAUAUUUUGGAGUCGCCAAGAAGGUUCAAUCUGUGAACUAACAUAAGAGAACAAGUUUCUAUUUUUGAAAGACCAAUGUUAUCCAUGUUCGCUUUUUUAGCUUUGAUUGGAGUUUUAUGAUAUUACAAAAUAUUUCGAUAUAUUUAAUUAUUUUGAAUUUGUAAAUAAGGUUAUUAUGAAUACUGUAUUAGCGUGUUUGAUUUAAUACAGUAAUAUAAUACUGGAUUUGAGCGUUUAUAGUAUUACUAUAUUUAGUUCACUUCAUAAAACUCAGCAAUCUUAACAAUAAAGUAUAAUUUAUUCCAAAGUUGCCCGUAAUUAUAUUUGGCUAAAAUUUUUUACUAUUUACAAAUAAUAAAUUUUCUAGUAAAUUUUCUUUUAAAUAAUUUAAAAUUUAAAAUUUUAAAAUUAAAUUUAUAAUUUUAAAAUUUAAAUUUAAAAAUUUAAAAUUAAAAUUUGAUAAUUUAAAAUUUUAAAUUAAAAUUUUUAAAAUGACGUAUUAAAAGGACUUCGAGAAUUGGAGGUGUAAACUUGUAAUUUUAUAUAAAAUGCAAGAUUGUUGCCUUCAGUAAUUCAAGAUACACCCCCACCCCUCCCCCCGGUAAUGUUUUCAGUGUAAUCUUACACUCUUUGUAAUAUUGCAAUGCCGAACAAAUUACAUACCGGAUUAACUAAAUGCGGUAAUCCUAACAUGAUUAUCUGUAAUUUUGCUAAGAUAACCCGAACUAAACGCACCCUUAGUAUAAAUAAAACCCUCAAGCUCUAGUUUUCUUGAAUCUAUGUAAUCUAUUUUACUUCAAUUGUAUUAUCAAAUUUGUUUUUUAUUUUACAAUGAUCCUGUUUGAAUGUAUCUUGUUCCGUAUAAUAAUUUUGUAAUAUGAUGGUAAAUAAUGGUUUAAUUUGUAACAUUUUAAAGUUUUGCUAUCUAUGACUUAAUAGGAUAAUAUUUUUAACUUACGAGGAGGAGGUUUAUUUUAUUCUGAAUUUUUAAUAUUUUAUUUUAAACAUUUGAACAUGCUUGUUGUUGAGCCAAUUAGGCGCGGACAAGUGGGAUGCUGGUAUUCCUUCAAAAGUGUCUAUUCGGUCGUGCACCAGGAGCACCGGAAAAGUGUAAUUGAAACCAAAUCGCGCCAAUUGAAGGAAGUUACGGUAACCGUAAGCAGUUACGUGCGGUUCCGAUCGGCUAGAUGUAGUCCGGAAUAUGAGGAGAUAAUGGCCGAUCGUGUAAGAGCAAUAACUGACCAUGGGGGCUAUCUAUAAAUAGGGUAAUAACACCCUAAAAAGGGGUUCUUGUCACGCCCCAGAUCCGACUGCUCGAAUCUGAACCGCAACAACCGGCCACGAAUUCAGAGGAAGAACCUCCGAAAACGGAAGGCCUUAAAUUGAUCCAAAGCCACCAUCUCAGUUAAAAACUAAAUAAUUUAUUAAUUAAAACGAAACUAAACAAUAACUUCUAAAUGUCCAUAUAAUCAAUCUCAUGUCAAAAUAAAUCAUAUGUCCAAUAUUUGAAAUCUAUCUAACGAGUUCUCGCCGGCCAAUUAUCUCACACACCCCGACUCUCGGUACCUGAAACAGUAGACAACAAAAAUAAGCGCAAUGCUUAACAAGAAAUCUACAUCAAGAAUAACGAUAAUUUAAAUUUGAAACCACAAAGGUCAUAAUUUAGAGCAUCUCCACUCCGUCGCUCUAACCGCGAGAGCUACAAUUACGCGCUGUUUCUCCUCGGAAACCGCGUACCGGAUAAAUCCCUUUCCUCCGAGGAAUCCGACCGCAACAGUCAUAUCCAAUAAUAGAACAUGAUAAUAAUAAUGUGCAAAAUAAAUAAAUCAUGUCUGUUAAUAAUAAUUAUAAAAUCCACUCGGAUGUAUCAACAAUUAGUAAACAGAACAGAUAAUAAUUAGGGUUUUUUUUGCAAAUAGCCCCCUGAAAAAUUUUAUUUGCUCAAAUAGCCUCGUCUAAAAAUUAUUUGCAAAAAUGGCUCUAGCCCUGCCACGCCAGCGCCACGUCAGCGCCACGCGGGCAGGGCCUGGGCCAGGUGGCUAAGUUGAACACGGCAAUUGGUUCACCGUGUUUAGACACGGUGAACCAAUCACCGUGUUCAUUGUAUUACUCACGCCCACGGCGGGGUGUUAGUAUUACAUUAGACACGGUGAUUCGUUCACCGUGUCUAAACAAGGUGAACUAUUUACCGCGUUGUCUAAUGUAUUACACACCCUCACGCGGGUGCGGGGUAAUGCAUAGAACACGAUGAUUGGUUCACCAUGUCUGAACACGGUGAUUGGUUCACCGCGUUUAGACACGGUGAACCAUUCACCGUGUUCUCUUUGAACACACCCCCCCCUGAACUCUGUGUGUCUCGAUCUCUCUCUCUCUCGCUCUCUUCCUCUUCCUCUUGCUCUCUCUCUCUCGCUCUCUCUGGCCGACGCCGCCGCCGACGCCGCCCCGCCCUUUAUUGCCCGAGGUAGCUCCCUUCCUCGUUCUCUCUAGGGCUAGAUGCAUAUCUCUCUCUCUCUCUCUCUCUCUCUCUCUCUCUCUCGCUCUCUCUGUGGCCCACCCUGCCGCCGCCGGCGACGCCGCCGCCACCCUGGUCCCAGCCCCCCUCCCCUCUCUCCCCCCCCCCAAGUCUUCCCAAACAAUUGUGAGAAGGGCUUUCUCUACAGUGAGAGCCCCCCAGGUUGGUUCUUCCCCCCCCCCGGUACCCCCCCGACGCAAGCUUCUCACAGUGGGAUGCCACCUGUGAGGCUCUCAUAUGAGAAGCCAUAAUGAGGCUUCCCUGUGAAAAACAGACCCCCCCUCCCCAAUGCAUCUCCAUUCCACAAGUGGCUUAUCUCACAGUGACAACCCCCCCCUUUUUACUGAUUGCUCGGUUUUGUCACAGAUCAAUUCCGGCGUUUCUUAAUGGCAACAGUAGUCGCGCCGACCGUGCUUGACAAUGGUAAUAAUCUUUUUACCCCUCUCCUUUUGUUAUAUAAUUAGAAAUUGUGAUAUGUCUUGAGUUUAAUAUUUUUUACCAUGUUAAUAAUAUUACUUAGAACUCUAUAUCAGCGAACAUUUGUUUCCUCUUCCUAUAUCCAUUGGGACGGAAAUUUUGUCGAGAAACAAAUAAUGUACACGAUAUAUUGGUGCUAAAGAUGGUUCGUCCGACGCAAUAUCUUUAAUUUCGGAUUUAGAAUAGAAAUAUAUAUGUUACUAUUAUGAUCGAGUGGAGAACCGUCUAUGCCGCAAUCACCGGGAAUGUCCAAAUGGAGCGAAUGGGAUUAUUAACGUCAAAUGACAUACACUAUCUGGCGUGAAUGAGUAUUUAUUCGUUUUCAUGGAGUAUAAAAUUUAUACGUUGGAGAAAGAUGGGUCGAACGGCACACGACCUCGUCAAAGAACCGUUUAAUCAAACGAAAUGCGUCAUAACCCGCAAUGAUCAAAGUAAUUAUCGUCAAACGCGAACGAGGUCGUACAUCAAGUAUAAAAGAAUGAUCUUUAAUAAAUCUUGUUUCGUGAAAAUUUCUCAAUUUAGUUUAGGUUGCGGCGAAAUUAAUAACUGUUUGUCUUGUUAAGUGUUCAGAGAGUUUUGGUGGAGUCCAUCUCAGCUCAGUUUAGUGCAGCAUUGCCAUCCCUCUGUGAUGGGAUCCGUCUCGGUUGGUUGAACUCCAAAAUGAGUGUAGGUGAUUGUAUGAUUUUAGUUAUCAUAAAAAAUCAAUGUGAAUAGUUAUUUAAUUCUCUACAGGUCCUACUGUUUCCCUCCUUAUCAAAGUCCACGACCAAUCCAAUCAUUGUGUUCAUGGAAUGGACGGAAUGGGAAGGCUCAGAACACCUUCCCUCCUUAAUCAAAAAUGAGGUAUCAAUGAGUGUUCAUGCAAUGGCCGGCCUUUGGGGAAGUAAGAAUACUAGCCCUCCUUAAUGUAGAUGAGUCCAGGAUCAUCUAAGUUGUUAAUGAAUGGCCGUUUUGGGGGAAGUAAGAAGUAUAACCCUCCCUUAUGUGAUGAAGGUCCAGGAACCAUCUAGCGUGUCAUCAAUGGGUCGGCUUGUGCCAGUAAGAAAAAUACACCCAUCCUUAUCAAUAAUGAAGAUCCAAUCAUCAACUGUCAUCGUUGGUAAAUGGAACCAAUGUGGGAGGACUAUAACAACUGAUAGUGGAGAACAAGUAGAAUGAUGAAGGUAUGUUAGAGAAAACUGAAUGAAGAGGAUCAAGGGCGAAUUGAUGCUGAUUCUAUGUGAUGACGAGGAAUCCUUUGUUUGCGUGUUCUUUGGAUUGAUCAUGACGGUGGCUUGAUGCCCCUCGCAUACGCCAUUCGAGAUGAAGGUGUUGAAUGAUUGAAAACUCAAUUGUUCAACAACGAAUGUACCGGACCCGGUGGGAAUCUGGAAUUUUAAGAUUCAACGACAAACGGUUUUGUUCCUGCCGGUAUGAAUAAUAAAUCAAGCGUUGUGUUGCUGCCAUCUUUAAGUGGAAACAAAAUAUUGAUCAAGGUCCUCCCCAAAGGUUGAAUGAAACAUGGGCUAAUCGGACUUUUUUCUGAUUAAAUCAUCGCUUGUAAGGGCCUUGGACGUUUGGCACAUUUGCACCAUAAUGUGCAACUAACAAGUUGUUAAACAAAUAAUAGUAUAUACUGUUGCGAUGUGUGGUCGAUUUCUUGCCAAUGGAGACUUACAUGCCUCUCAGACAAAGAUAAUUCAUUUUUUAAAGUAAAGACUAUAAAGGUCCGCACACCUGUUUUGGUUCCAAAUUCCUAACAUACAAGUCAUCGAAACUGUAGCAUGCAUCCUUUUCAUGAUGUCCAUUAUACUAACUAAACACCCGAGGCAAAGCUUACAAUUGAUCCCUAUGGAAUUCAAGCCCGAGUUCAGAGCGAGUUACAACGUUAGCAAAUAUCAUACUACAAGGCUUGGUGGCAACAGAAUAAAGCACUACAAAUUAUAUACGGUAGGUUGGGAGCGCAAUUCAUACCUGCGACCCUCCCUCGAAUACUUCCUCCUAUGUUGGAAAUCAACAAAUCCAGGAACUAUUACAAAGAUUGAAUUAUAUUAGUCGUGGCAAGCAAUACCGAAGAAUACUUGUUUCACGCUGCCUUUGGGCAUUUGGACCCGUCGUUUCCAUGGUUUUGGAAGUAUGCCGGCCAUUACUUAGUAAUCCGAAUGCUACUCAUCUAUAUGGGAAACAUACGUGAGGCCACGCAUUAAUGUCACAGGUGUCCGAUGCCAAUGGUUGGUUAGUUUCUCGCUAGCUUUCGCAAUUUGUUUGAGGGGAAUGGCUUUCGAGUUGGGAGUGGUUUUUUAAGUGCCGUAAGCAAGUAAUACAAGAUCUCGAGUAUUACACUAAUUUUCAGAUCAUUUUAAGGCCUAGCGAACCUCCGUUCACUUGUAUCCACCAUCUGAAGGUCCAUGCGCAUCCGAUGGCGUUAACGACCAAUAUGAAACGGCCAAAUAUGAAUAAUUCAAUUUAAGGAAACACUUAAAACUCAAAAAUUUUUUAUCGAAUUGGAGUUGCUUCAGAAUAACGGCAAUAUUCAGCGCCAUUAUAAAGGAAGAAUAAAGGCUAUGGAUGAAGGAAGCUUGGCGUUGGGUUAACAAAUCUUCAAAUAACGAUAGGACAUAACUGGGCUAAAGCUUGAUGGUGGUCCGACCGAUUGGUUAUGACAACUAACCGAUCGGAAAGUUUAAAUGCGGUGUUGAGGGGAGUAUAAAACACACACAAAAACACAGCUUUUGUGAUGGGCAACAUUUCAUCGAGUGGUAGAAUUCUUUUUCAAACAUCCGAGGCGGAGGGUGGCUGCAUAUGUUCUAACUGUCACAAUGUAUCGAAUGUUGAAACACCAAUCCAUAAGCCGGAUGAGAAGUGCUAGAAGCAUAUACAGUUCGACGAUUUGCAUUUUCACAUGUUCGACAUACUUACUGGCCGGGUGGAGAAUCAAUACCAAUGAUUAUCAAUGGAACAGUUCCUAGCAUGUUCAUGUUGUGUUUGCAACUCCACAGGAAUCUCUUGUUACCACAAAUUGUCUGUUGGUAGUUCAAUCACAUAUGAACAUAAAUUAUUAUGCCCUUAUGUUUCUUUUCGUGUAUACUGUUCGCAUCAAUUGUAAAACUUAAUGAACGCGCAAGUUUCAAACCCCGUACCGAAUGUCGUUUAUUGGAAUGUGUCCAUAAUGAUUCCCCUAUAGUGCCACCACCGCGGAGAAGAAAAAAUAGAUGACCGCCCAGAUCUAAACGCGUAUCCGUAAUGUUAUGGAUGUAAGCCAGUGGGAAGAGGGGCAAAGUGGUUAGUAUCGUGUAACAGCCUGGACAAUUAAUAAAAUCACCUGUCCUGAAAAAUCAGCAAAGAAGACCGACGGAGGCCGUCGUCGAUAGGCUUUUUCUAUAUGAAUAUGACCUACUUCUUUAAACUUCUUAUACUUGCCCAAUGUUACAUUCAUCGUUUGUUUUUAACUCCCAGUUUUUUUUUUAAGCCCAAUUUCAAAUGGACCGAUCAAUGACCGAGUCGGGACCCGUAUUGAUAACAUCCCGCUGCUGACUUGAGCAGCCCACCGACAUAGAUCUUACAUUGAUUAGAGAGGAGGUUGAAAAUUUUUUCUAAACAUUUUUCAAAUUUAGUCUAGACUUCUUUAACUUUUAUGUAUAAUUUUUGAAGCCUGGCUUGACAAAGUCAUCCGCAGGGUAUUCUCCUGUUCAAUUUUAACCGAGCAUGGCCGUAAAUUGAACAGAUGGCAGUGCGAGCAUCCUGCGGUGUUGGACUUAUUGCGACGAGAAGCAAUUUUAUACUUACGAACUGUGUCCCUAACAGCUCGAUCAGCUCGUUAUUGGGAGCAUUAGUCCGAGAGGCGGCGGCGAGAGACAGAGGUUUUCAAUUUGCACAAUGGACGAGAUGAGUUUUACCAUUGAUAGACCGUCGCACGUUAUUACGGGACUCCCGUCGAUUGUGGGGCAUGUGACUGGAGGGGGAUUCCUAUCAGUGGGCAGAGCUCUGGCGGGUUUUAACUUCAGGGGUUGGUUCCGCAAGGAUAUAGGGGUGGUGAGAAUCAAGAAUAGACUGGUAAUCAUCCAGUUCCAUGAUAUCUCCCUUAGACGCACCUCCCCGCUAUUGUUAGAGAUACGGCGAGAGCAUAUAUACUAUUUCAAAAAGAUAAGGUUGGUAGUUUGUUUCCCAAAUUCCACGCGAGAAAUAGGGUGCAUUUGAAAUGGUUGCCACAUCUGAAGAAUUUUUGACCUUUGUAGCUGGGUUGGCAUCGGGUGGCCAGCGCGCUAGCCCAUCUUUAAUCCGCCCUAACGGAAAUGCUUGCCUCCGGGAAAAGGUCGAGUGUUGUGUUUUUGGGGAGCCAAAUUAGUUAAGUAACAAUUUGCGACACGAGCCCUUACAAUAACCUUCUAACCUUUAAGUCAUGCCCUGUAAGUCAUGAAGUUCAUGGUUAUCUUCCUUUUAACAAGACGUUAUUUUAUUUAAUAGAUAUGGGCAUGGGAACCACCCAUUGGCCGCCCGGAGGUGUAGGACCCACAAGCCUUGCUCUUGUCGAAUGCCUCUAGGGUAUCGUAAGUAAUUUCAUUUUUAAGUUUUUUUGGUAUAUACUAACUUAUCAUAACUAAUAUGAAAUAAGAAAUCAGGUUGGAUAACCACGCCUGGCUUUUCGGGACAAGGUCAGGAACCUACUGACCAUUGAGUUUUUAUCCGGUGGAUCAGCUUGGAUCAAAGCAUUAUAGUCUCAGGGUAAAUAAAGUUACUCAAAUCUGUCGAAUUUUUGUAUCCAAUUCUUAAGUUUUGGAUUGAAACUUUUGUUUUAGUUUGGAAAAAUUUCACCAUAAAAAGAAAUUAGUUGUUUGUAUGAAAAGAUAAUAGAGCAUAAAACCUGGUAAAGAUAAUAGAGUGAAUGAAUCAGUAAUUGAAGUAAGAAAAGACAACCAGAUAUGUUAAUUAAAAUAAAACUACAAUAGUUACAUAUAUCAUGACUUAAGCUUGUAUCAAGGUUGUAUCAAGGCUUAGCUACAAUAGUUACAUAUAUCAGCAUUUGGGUUCACAAGCGUGGAGAACUAACUCUGAUUAUUAAUCAAAUGAUACCCCUCAUGACUUAAGCUUUAGUCAUAUAUCAAGCAGCGCAAGUAGUUCAUUUACAAUGUAGCGCCGAAAAACGAGAUCAAUAUAGUUUAAUUUUUCUUCAAAACACGAGUCGCAAUAUAGUUUAAUUUUGAUAACUAAUCAUAUUUAUUUUUCACAAUAGAUUAUAUACAAGCCUUAUGACGAUACUGUUUUAGAGACGCUCCCACCUUUUUGUCUAGCAGGGUUCCAGGUUUGGCGAUCGAGGACUACCUUAGUCUGCUUCCACAUUAUUGGGCUCCAUCAUCCCGAUCGUGUGCUGUGACAGUUUGGGCUAUUACAGCAUAUACCUGAUGCAGUACUUGCCAUACCUCGCAUCAAUUCACGAGGUAGAGCAGAUGAGGAUUGGGUGGCACACCAUGCGUCAUACAUUCAGCGUUGGAAUGAUAGAUUGAUAGAUAUAGCAGAGCUGGCCCCAGAGAUAGAUCCAAAUCCAAUACGAGCUACCGCUGUUUACAUGCAGUGGUAUUGGACGAUCACCAGGAGGUGGAUCUCUACACCUAUACAGCGGCCACCACUCGCGUAUCAACCACAUGGGCACGUCAAGAGAGUAUUGGUAUGAUUGUAAUUGCAAAUAUCUUUUUAUAUUAAUUUUUAUAUAUAUAAGAAAGUUUCGUAUAAUCUUUUUUGAUUGUGCUUUUAUUUCAGGUCGAUAUCGUGCAGAGAUCAUAUUAUACGAUCAGACGUGUCCUGCCCGAUAUUUCAGGAGGUAGAGUCUUAACUACCCUAUCACAAGUCGCCGAUCAGAUGGAAGCAGUUUUGGAGACUUUUUCUACGCUUCCACACUAUGUACCUCCAGGACCAGCAGACUAUGGUGGAGCAUCGACGUCCGGCCAUGCACCCGUAUAUAGUCCACCGAGGCCAUCAUCACCUAUAGAGGAGCCACCUUAUGCUGAUGUUACGGACCCGACACUAGCACCAGCACCGCAGGAUCCAGCUCGAGCAGGUAAUCUUGUUUAUUUUAGGCGUCGACGACAUAUGAGGUCUACUCGUACAGAUCAGCCCUCCUCUUUAGCUCCUCCACGGCCAGACAUACUACCGGCACAUGCUACUACUAUGAUUGAGCCGGUUAUUGAGGGUGCUGCUAUAGAGCGUUUAGACCAGUUGGAGAUCAUAGAGCCUUUUUAUGAGCAUGAUGUUGGUCGUGGUCGUGGUCGUCGUUGUGGUCGUGGUCGCGGACACGAUAGACGACGUGGUCGAAGGAGGCGAACAUGAUAUUAUAUUUAUAUAUUAUUGUAUAACUUGCAUUUAUUUUGUAUAUUCUGUUUUGAUUAUUUGGGAUUGAUAAUUUAUUAAGAUACUAUUGGUUGUGAUGUUGUGAUGUGUAUUAAUUUUGUGAUGUUGUGAUAUGUAUUACAUUUGUGAUGUUGUGAUGUUGUGAUGUGUAUUGAUAGGUAUCUGUAUUGUAUUCUUGUAUUGAAUAUUGUAUCGAUUUUGGGUUAAUCUGGAUUUGUCCAAUACAAUUGCAGGUGUUUGUAAAGGACACGGUGAAUGGUUCACCGUGUCUAGACACGGUGAACCAUUCACCGUGUCUAAUAUGUUACCCCCGCCCUGUAAUACAUUGGACACGGUGAACCAUUCACCGUGUCUAAUGUAUUACCCUACCCCUCACACAGGUGUGUGUAAUACAUUAGACACGGUGAAUGGUUCACCGUGUCUAAACGCGGUGAACAGUUCACCGUGUUUAGACACGGCGAAAAAAUAACCGUGUCUAAUGUAAUACUAACACCCCGCCGUGGGCGUGAGUAAUACAAUGAACACGGUGAUUGGUUCACCGUGUCUAAACACGGUGAACCAAUUGCCGUGUUCAACUUAGCCACCUGGCCCAGGCCCUUCUCGCGUGGUGCUGACGUGGCGCUGGCGUGGCAGGGGCAGGGCCAUUUUUGCAAAUAAUUUUAAGACGGGGCUAUUUGCGCAAAUAAAAUUUUUCAGGGGGCUAUUUGCAAAAAAAGCCCUAAUAAUUAUGUCCCGAACCCACUCGGAUCUGCAUAUUUUCUACCAUUUGCAGAAAGUAGCUAUUUACUUGCCUCUAUUAGUGCUCACAAAUUCGUCACGUUCUAAGAUUGAGGUUUUUUGGCUGUCUCAGCACCUACAACGACGAAAAGACCCAAAUAAAAUAUAUUUUCAAACAAGCCCUUUACCUAUUAAAAAUUCUGCAAAAAUUAUACAUUAAAUCAGGAUAAUUAGACCACACGAUCUUAUCCGUAUUUUCAAAACGAGUCCUAUAGCGCUUGAAUCGCAAAAUUUCGCCUUACGGACAAAAAGUUAUACCUCUUUUACGAAUUAGUCCCCAAAACCAAAACUGCUAUUUACAGAUUGGUCCCUGGCUGAUCUUUUAAGCCAUUAUAAGCACCAAAAUUUCGCUGCACCCGAUCCAGCAUCAGCAACGUGCACCAGAAGCUUUUCCAAUUAAAUAUAAUUCAACCGAUAGAGGCAAAACACUCUAAUUAACAACUUAAUUACGUCUAAUAUCGUUACGAUAAAUUGAAACUUAAAUAUAAAAAUAAAUCAUGAAAAAAUUAACAUGGUCCACCGUGAACCGGGUCUAGCCAAAUCCAAAAUAAUCCCAUCUCCUCUCUUCUUCUUCCCAACUCAAACAAAGCAGCUCUCUCAUACCCCUCUCAUGGCCAACCAUGGUUACCCCAUAGGGGGUUCACCCCAACCCGUCCGUAGGUGGCCGGCGACCACUCCGGCAACGGCGGCGGCGGUACAACGAGGAGAGAGGAUAAGACUGGGAGAUAGAAGAAGAAAGAAAAGAGAGAAAAAAACGAGAAAACUAAUUAUUGGAGACUCACGUCGCUCUCGUUCUUUUUCCUCUUCCCCACGAUUGUCGGAUCUUGCUCCCGUCGGCGGCCACGCUUGCACAAAGAAUCCGGCAACAAUAUUUAUUAUUAUAAUAUUUUUGGCCGUACACCCUCCCUAAAUUACCUAUUUAUAGGUGAUUAAUUAGGGCUAAAUCUCAAUCCUACUCUAACUAGUAUUAGAGUAUAAUUAAUCCGAAAAUCAAAUCCAACCGAAUCCGCUUAAUCCGACGGUACAAAUAAAUCAAAAAUAUUUAAUAACGGGUUUAUCACAAAACUACAAUCAUGGCCACAUAUUUAAAUUCUAAUUUAAAUUAAUUAGAUACGGGUAUUACAUCUUACCCCCUUUAAAAGAAAUUUCGUCCCCGAAAUUUACUUAACAGAAUCUGGAAAGAGCUAAGGAUAUUUGCUCCGUAUCUCCUCUUUCGGCUCCCACGUCGCCUCAUUCUCUGCGUGAUGCCUCCACAGCACACGUACCAGCUGAACCGUCCUUUUUCGCAAAACCUUUUCCCUUCGAUCCAAGAUCCGGAUAGGCUGCUCCUCGUAUGAUAGGUCAUCUCUCAGCUGAAUUGGAGAAUAGUCGAUGACGUGUUUUGGAUCUUGAACAUACUUUCGGAGCAUCGACACAUGGAACACAUUAUGCACCCCAGCAAGAGAAGGCGGUAAUGCUACUCGGUACGCCACGUUGUUGACUCGUUCGAGUAUUUCAAAAGGUCCAAUGUAACACGGAUUCAGCUUUCCUCGAAGCCCAAACCAUAUUACCCCCUUGGUUAGCGACACCUUCAGGAACACGUGAUCACCAACUGUGAAUUCUAACAUUCGCCGACAACUAUCACUAUAGCUCUUCUGUUUAUUCUGUGCGGCUCGUAGACGUUCUCGCACAACCCACACUUUUUCAUUAGCUUGCUGGACCAACUCAGGCCCUAGAAUCUGUCUCUUGCCAACAUCAUCCCAGUGGAUAGGCGAUCUACACUUUCUUCCAUAGAGAGCUUCAAAAGGGGGCAUCUGUAUGCUGGCUUGAUAACAUUAUUGUAUGCAAACUCCGCCAAUGGUAAGUGCCGGUCCCACGACCCACCCCAGUCAAUCACGCAUGCUCGCAACAUAUCUUCUAAGAUCUGUAUCGUGCGCUUUGACUGACCAUCGCUCUGCGGAUGAUAUGCCGUACUCAUAUCCAAGCGAGUCCCCAAAGCCUCAUGCAAGCUAUGCCAAAAUCGCGACACGAAUCGCGGAUCUCGAUCCGAAACGAUGGAUACCGGGACACCAUGUAGUCUCACCACAUCUUUGAUAUAUAAUUCCGCAAGUUUCUCCAAAGGAUAGCUCACCUUAAUAGGUAUGAAGUGCGCAGACUUAGUCAGCCGGUCGACGACCACCCAAAUCGCAUCGGACCCUGACUGUGUACGUGGUAACCCUACCACAAAAUCCAUAGUAAUCUUCUCCCAUUUCUACUCGGGUAUCGGCAGCGGCUGCAAUAAUCCCGCCGUCCUCUGGUGCUCAGCUUUGACCCGCUGGCAUACAAGACACUGUGAAACAAAUCGAGCAAUGUCUCGUUUCAUGCCGGCCCACCAGAAAAUUUCUCUUAUGUCACGAUACAUCUUUGUGCUACCCGGAUGUAUGGUGUAAGCUGACGAAUGAGCCUCCUCCAAGAUUUUUCUCUUUAAGGCCUCAUCGUUGGGAACACAUAGUCGAUUACCGUACCUUAACGAUCCAUCCUCGUGGAUAUGAAAUUCUAUCUGAGAACCUGCCCCCACGGCCGCUCGGAUCUUCUGAAGAGCAACAUCGGAUGACUGGGCCAACUUAAUUUGAUCCAAUAAUGUGGGUCGAAUUCGAAGUUGAGCCAAUCGAGCUCCCGGCUCGUGAAUAGUCACCUCUAAGUCUAUCUUUCGUAGAUCCUCUAAAAGAUACUUUUGCUCAGUAAUCAGUGUAGCCAAAUUUCCAGUGGCCUUGCGGCUUAGCGCAUCCGCUACCACAUUCGCUUUCCCGGGAUGAUACAAGAUUGUCAAGUCAUAAUCCUUCAUAAGCUCAAGCCAUCUACGCUGUCGCAUAUUUAGCUCUUUCUGAGUGAAAAGAUAUUUUAAGCUUUUAUGAUCGGUGUAGAACUCACAUUGCUCCCCAUAAAGAUAAUGACGCCAAAUCUUAAGAGCAAACACUACUGCGGCAAGCUCUAGGUCAUGAGUAGGGUAGUUUUGCUCGUAUGGCUUUAGCUGUCUAGAAGCAUAAGCAAUCACUGGAUCAUUUUGCAUCAAGACACACCCUAAACCUCGUAGGGAUGCAUCACUAUAAACAGUGAAGCCUUCACUACACACAGGAAGUGCCAAGACAGGAGCCGUGAUCAACCGUCGCUUUAGCUCUUGAAAGUUCUCCUCACACUCAUCGGUCCACACAAAUUUCGCUCUUUUUUGCGUCAACCGCGUCAAAGGGACCGCGAUCCGAGAGAACCCCUCUAUGAACCGUCGAUAAUAGCCAGCUAGGCCCAGAAAGCUACGAAUCUCGGUAGCACUCGUAGGCCUCGGCCAUGCCUGCACAGCUUCGACCUUUCUUUUAUCAACCGAGAUACCAUCCUUGGACACGACAUGCCCCAAGAAAGAGACCUCUUCCAACCAGAAGUCACAUUUCUUUAGUUUAGCAUAAAGUUUCCUGUCUCGUAGGAUCUGGAGCACUAAUCUCAGGUGUAGUUCGUGUUGCUCUGCACUCCGCGAGUAAAUAAGAAUGUCAUCAAUAAACACCACCACAAACUGGUCUAGAUAAGGCUUGAAGAUCCGAUUCAUUAGGUCCAUAAAAGCAACCAGAGCAUUUGUCAACACGAACGGCAUAACAAGAAACUCGUAAUGCCCAUAGCGCGUCCUAAAUGCCGUCUUAGGAAUAUCCUCAGCCCUGAUCUUCAGCUGAUGGUAGCCCGACUGCAAGUCGAUUUUUGAGAAAAUCUGGGAUCCUUGUAGUUGGUCGAAUAAGUCAUCAAUACGAGGUAGAGAAUAUUUGUUCUUCACCAUGAUCCGAUUCAACUCUCUAUGUCAAUACACAGUCGCAGACUUCCAUCCUUUUUCUUCACGAACAAAACUAGCGCACCCCAUGGUGAAACACUCGGUCGAAUAAAACCUUUAUCCAGCAGCUCUUGUAACUGGUCUUUCAAUUCCCGCAACUCUACGGCAACCAUCUUAUACGGGGCUUUAGAGAUAGGUUCCGCACCCGGAGCCAAAUCAAUCGUAAACUCGAUCUCUCGAUCCGGCGGUAGCCCCGGCAAAUCAGUUGGGAAAACAUUAGGAAACUCCCUUACAACUGGAAUCUCCCCAAGCUUUAGUUGCUCAUUCUGUGAGUCCACAACGUACGCUAAGAUAGCGAAGCGCCCGCUCCGCAGCAUUUUAGUAGCCUUCAAGGCUGAGAUGAUUCUUGGGGGAGAGCGGCUUCGAUCACCGACAAAGAUAAACUCUGAUCCGUAGGAAGUACAAAACACCACCUUUCGACCAGAGCAAUCGAUAGUGGCUCCAUGGGCCGUUAGCCAAUCCAUCCCGAGGAUGACAUCGAACUCUUUCAUAUCGAUGACGAUAAGAUCAGCUGGCAACACAUGACCGUUGACUUCUAUUGGACAAGAUUUGCACACUCGGCAAACCCUAACGCCUCCCACAGGCGUGUCAACCCACAAAUCACAACCCAACGGUAAAUGUGUCAAACCAUAAUCUAAGACAACCUUACUAGAUAUGAAAGAAUGCGUGGCACCAGAAUCAAAUAAGGUAUAUGCAUAAAUGGCUGAGAAAUGUAAUAUACCUGUCAGCACGUCCGCGCCUCCUGAUCCAUCCUGCUGUGUCAUAGCAUAAGCUCGUGCCUGGCUUGUCUGACCCGAGCCACUCGAGUCCCUCCAGUUUUGUAUCAACCUUUGCGCAUGCGGACCCUGUGGGGUCAUCCCGCUUGUUGAUGCUCCCGCACUUUGCUGGUGGUUUGCAUCUCGCUUUUGUUUCUUGACUGGGCAGUUUGCAAUUUUAUGUUCAAAUGAACCACACUCAAAACAGGCGCCCGACUCCCACCUGCAUCUAUUUGUACGAUGCGGUCCGCCACAAUAGUCACACUUCAUAUCUUUAGGUUGCGGUCGUGGGAGUCGACCUCCAUUUCUUUGUCUCGCGCCGCCAUUCCUACUCUUCCGAUUGUCUCGGCGUCCGGAUGCACCUCCUGAAGAAGACUGAGAAGGCGGGGCCUGAGUUCGACUCAGCUCAGAAAUAGCCGGUGCACUCUGCGUCCUUUGUAAUUCUUUCUCUAAUAGCAAUGCCUUGUUUACAACAUCUCUUAGAGUUGGCAGCUCGUAACCAACAACCAGUUGCCUAAUGUCUGGCCUUAGACCUUCUUCAAAUUUUCGAGCUCGCUCCAGUUCGAACUCCACCAGUUUAGGAGCAAAGCGCUCUAACCGAGUAAAUUCGAGCUCGUACUCGAUAACCGUGCGAUUACUCUGUUCCAAGUGUACGAACUCUGCCUUCUUAGCUCGACGAAUACUAUCUGGAAAGUACUUGUCAUAGAAAAUCUUACAAAACUCCUUCCAUGUCCAAGAUUGUGUCUUGUCGCUGUGUCCGUCCCGAACUGACUUCCACCACUCAUAAGCCCCUUCUCGAAGCAUAUAAGUGACGAAAGUCACCUGUGUCUCUCCUCCGAUGCCCAUAUGCGUCAAGGCCUUCUCCAUCUCCUGGAGCCAAGACUCUGCCUCUAGAGGAUCUGUCGACCCACGAAAAAUAGGAGGAUUUAGCUUCUGAAAAUCAAUAAGGCUAUUUCUACCUCGAGGAUCGCUACUUUGCAUUGCCUUGAGGCCUCUGAUCUCUUCCUGUAGGGCCAUCAUCUGAUCUAGUUGUGUUUUAAUAACACUCAGCAUCUCUUGUAAUGGGUCACGCGGUAUUCUCUGUCGCUUUCUUGCUGAGGAUACUUCUGGUUGCGAGUUCUCUGGUGGUAGAUCCCCCGGUGGAAUAGGAUCAACAGGUACAUUAGCUUGCGAAGUGACAGUCCUCCGAGAACGUGGCAUCGUCUACAAAACAUAACACAAUUAAGACAUAAAAUUUUGCUAAACCCUCGCCUCGUGUCCAAAAAGAAUCCCACGCACUCCGCGUCCUAAAUCCCUAAGUAUGGUGUUAUUUUGCCCUAAGGUGUCAAUAACCUAGGCUCUGAUACCACUAAAGCUGUCACGCCCCAGAUCCGACUGCUCGGAUCUGAACCGCAACAACCGGCCACGAAUUCAGAGGAAGAACCUCCGAAAACGGAAGGCCUUAAAUUGAUCCAAAGCCACCAUCUCAGUUAAAAACUAAAUAAUUUAUUAAUUAAAACGAAACUAAACAAUAACUUCUAAAUGUCCAUAUAAUCAAUCUCAUGUCAAAAUAAAUCAUAUGUCCAAAAUUUGAAAUCUAUCUAACGAGUUCUCGCCGGCCAAUUAUCUCACACACCCCGACUCUCGGUACCUGAAACAGUAGACAACAAAAGUAAGCGCAAUGCUUAACAAGAAAUCUACUUCAAGAAUAACGAUAAUUUAAAUUUGAAACUACAAAGGUCAUAAUUUAGAGCAUCUCCACUCCGUCGCUCUAACCACGAGAGCUACAAUUACGCGCUUUUUCUCCUCGGAAAAUGCGUACCGGAUAAAUCCCUCUCCUCCGAGGAAUCCGACCGCAACAGUCAUAUCCAAUAAUAGAACAUGAUAAUAAUAAUGUGCAAAAUAAAUAAACCAUGUCUGUUAAUAAUAAUUAUAAAAUCCACUCGGAUGUAUCAACAAUUAGUAAACAGAACAGAUAAUAAUUAUGUCCCGAACCCACUCGGAUCCGCAUAUUUUCUACCAUUUGCAGAAAGUAGCUAUUUACUUGCCUCUAUUAGUUCUCACAAAUUCGUCACGUUCUAAGAUUGAGGUUUUACGGCUGUCUCAGCACCUACAACGACGAAAAGACCCAAAUAAAAUAUAUUUUCAAACAAGUCCUUUAACUAUUAAAAAUUCUGUGAAAAUUAUACAUUAAAUCAGGAUAAUUAGACCACACGAUCUUAUCCGUAUUUUCAAAACGAGUCCUAUAGCGCUUGAAUCGCAAAAUUCUGCCUUACGGGCAAAAAGUUAUGCCUCUUUUACGGAUCAGUCCCCAAAACUAAAACUGCUAUUUACAGAUUGGUCCCUGGCUGAUCUUUUAAGCCAUUAUAAGCACCAAAAUUUCGCUGCACCUGAUCCAGCAUCAGCAACGUGCACCAGAAGCUUUUGCAAUUAAAUAUAAUUCAACCGAUAGAGGCAAAAUACUCUAAUUAACAACUUAAUUACGUCUAAUAUCGUUACGAUAAAUUGAAACUUAAAUAUAAAAAUAAAUCAUGGAAAAAUUAACAUGGUCCACCGUGAACCGGGUCUAGCCAGAUCCAAAAUAAUCCCAUCUCCUCUCUUCUUCUUCCCAACUCAAACAAAGAAGCUCUCUCAUACCCCUCUCAUGGCCAACCAUGGUUACCCCAUAGGGGGUUCACCCCAAUCCUCCGUAGGUGGCUGGCGACCACUCCGGCGACGGUGGCGGCGGUACAACGAGGAGAGAGGAUAAGAUUGGGAGAUAGAAGAAAAAAGAAAAGAGAGAAAAAAACGAGAAAACUAAUUAUUGGAGACUCACCUCGCUCUCGUUCUUUUUCCUCUCCCCCACGAUUGUCGGAUCUUGCUCCCGCCGGCGGCCACGCUUGCACAAAGAAUCCGGCAACAAUAUUUAUUAUUAUAAUAUAUUUGGCCGUACACUCUCCCUAAAUUACCUAUUUAUAGGUGAUUAAUUAGGGCUAAAUCUCAAUCCUACUCUAACUAGUAUUAGAGUAUAAUUAAUCCGAAAGCCAAAUCCAACCGAAUCCGCUUAAUCCGAUGGUACAAAUAAAUCAAAAAUAUUUAAUAACGGGUUUAUCACAAAACUACAAUCAUGGCCACAUAUUUAAAUUCUAAUUUAAAUUAAUUAGAUACGGGUAUUACAGGUCUUUUCCCCCUGCGAACAAAAGACCACCCUCAUUUUACCGCAUUUUUUUCUCUGCAUUUACCGCUUUUUUUAGGAGUAGAUUGGUAACUUAAGAUCUUGGAGUCUGUUUGCCCCCUGGGCAUCACUCCGCUGUAAACUAAAACCCAUCUCCCUGUACUUCCCUCGGUUUUAUUCAAUAGAUAGUCAUUUUCGUCUAUUUAGGCCGACCGGAUCUCGUUUUGUUUUGGCCAUUCGGCUCUUCUCUCUGCCCAGUUUCUGGCCUGUUUCGAGUAUUCGGCUCAUCCCAGCCGAACCAAAUCUACUGUAGAGGUUUUCAAACCCGGCUGAUCCAAUCCCUCAUCAGCCGAAUCGCUUGAUCUGUCGAAGGGCGCAAACUUCGAGGGUCACUAUCCGCAUCCGUUCCUCACCUCGACGCGCUUCCCGAGGAAGAUCUUUGACCUGGUCAAGGGUUGGAAAAUUCGGCUACCAACAAUUGUUUGGCACGCCCAGUGGGACCUAACUUUUUAGGUAAAUUCACUUUUUAUACAAAUUAUGGCUGAUGAUAAUGCCAUGAAUCUCCGUAAUAGGACCGUUCCUAGAAAUUCUGGGAGCGAACAGCCCAGUAAUUCAGAGAAUGCUGUAGAGCGUCAAGCAGUCUUACCUGCCGAAUGUGAGACCAGUGGUCAAUCUGGCCAACAAGAGCCUAGCCUGACUCAGGCGCUUGGACAAAUGACUCGGGUCCUGCAAGUUUUGGACCAAAAUAGUCAUGCGAGUACUGCAUGGCUGGAUGUCGUAUUGGCCGCAAUCACAGCCUCUAACGAGAACAUAGCCCGAAUAGGGCAAUUGUUGACUCGAAAUGAUCAACCAACAUUAGGUUUACAAACGCCUAUGAUGGCACCAGUGUUACAAAAUCCUGUAACACUGGUAAAUGGUCAGCCCCAAUACGAUGGGGCACCAUAUCAAGCGGCUUAUAGACCGGCUGUAGUCAAUGCCGGUCAACAGCCAGAGAUAGCUUGGGGGCUACCACCGCCCCCACCAGUAGCAGCGUACCAGCCCCAAAAUGUAGGGGCUAGGGGUCAGGCUCCAAAUGCACAAGGGGUUAAUCCCCUAGUGCAAAAUCUCGGUGUGCCACAACCACCGAACCCAGCACCAGCGCAAGCCCCUUUACAGGGGAUUAAUAAUGAGAUUUAUGCCCAAAUAGAGGAAGCCAUCCAGAACACCUUCGGAGUAGGCGCAAGGCCGGCAAUGCGCCCCGUAUUCAGAUCACCAUAUCCUACAAAUAUAGAUGCAGAACACGCAUAUCCGGAAAAUUGGAAGAUGCCGAAGUUUGACAAGUUUUCCGGCGACGAGACCGAAAAUAUGGUCAAGCACGUCGCCGGUUUACAGCUCAGUGCCGUGAAGCCGCGGCAGAUCCGUUUUUAAAGUUGAGGUUAUUUAAAAUCUCAUUAACCAAGACGGCUUUCACUUGGUACACGAGUUUACCUGCUAAUUCCGUCCGAGACUGAGACGAGUUAGAAGGUAAAUUUCAUGAACAGCUUUAUAGCAGGUACACGAGUUUACCUACUAUCAGUUGCGGAUUUUGCUCAAUUCAAACAAAGAACAGGAGAAUCGGUUGAUGAAUAUUUGAACCGAUUCAAAAUAGCUCGAAGCCGUUGUUUCGUAAGAAUGCCGAAAUCGGAAUUUGCCAAAAUGGCAUUCAACGGCAUGCAUUUUAAAAUUAAAGAUCAUUUUGAGGAUAAAUUCUUUUCAAAUCUUUUUGAUUUAGGAGUUCGAGUUGCUCAAUACGAGUAAUUUCGAAAGGGUAACAAUGAAGAUCGGCCUAGAUGGAGCCGAAAUAAAGACUGGAAUAAAGGGAAGGAGAAAAAUAUUUCCUUCUUUGAAGAGUUUUCGGCUCAUGAAGAACCGAAUUCAUCUGAAGAGGCAGAAGAUUCGGCUGAUGAAGCCGAAAUCUGCGCUGCCGAAAUGGUGAAAACAGCCAACCGUACAAAUGUGCUUUGUUAAAGCCUACCAGAUCUAGCGAGGCUAAGGCACAUGUAUCUGCAUUUAACUAUUCGUUUGAUAUAUCAAAGACCGAUUUGAUUUUUGGUCGGUUGCUAAGGGAUGGACGGAUUAAACUAUAGGAGGGCCAAACUAUGCCCCCUGUGGAAGAAUUAAAACGUAGAAAAUAUUGCAAGUGGCACCACUCUUGGAGCCAUAAAACUAGCGAAUGCACUGCCUUCAAGAGGCAGAUACAAAAAGAAAUCAAUAAAGGUCGGCUUAUUUUUGCUGACCAAGAAAGUAAAAAUAUGAAAAUUGAUAAAAACCCUUUUCCACCACAGGUUAACGUGGUGAACAUGAGGGGAAAAGGAAAGGCUACCGCCAACAGGCGAUUCAAAAAGAAAUAGAAGAGAGUCGGCUCAUUUUAGCCGAUCAGCAAGUUAAAAGUAAAGAAGUUGAUAAAAAUAUGUUUUCUUUACAGGACAAAGUAACGGACGCUACAGGAAAGGCGACUGCAGACCAGGUGACCGCAGAUAAUGUGGCACAUGCCAAAAGAAACCUUCGGCUUUGCAUAAGGUGUAAAGCCGAAAUGACAAAGAAGGACUGGGAAGUCAUCGUCAAUGCCAAGAAAAGAGGCAAUGAGUGGAAUGAGUUGAUGGCAUUUCCCGAGGAAUGGGAUGACAUUCCCGAUGGUGAGGAUCAAGAAGAGGAAGGCUCGGAUGAAGCCUCCAACGAGAUUGAACCGAAAAUUGACUCGGUUCAAUGCAAGCAAGAUGUGUUGAUGCAGAAAAUUAUGCAUGAUUAUUACAACAACAGGCGUGGCGAACGUCAAGGCCGAUGGGGCUAUCAGGAUAGACCAUUCGGCUCAAAGCAAAGGUUUCCUGGAUAUCGGCCGCACUGGCAACAUCAAGCCAGGCCGACACCAGAACUAGAAUUCGAGGGGAUAACCGAGGGAGAUAUAGAAUUCCUCGAUCGAAGGUUAGUCAAUGAACUCGGCAUCCAACCUUGGCCGAGACCCUGGAAAAGGAGAGAAAUUUUAAAAAAUUAUUUGAGAACGGUAAAGGUGCCGGCAAAUGUGCCAGUGGAUAAAUGGCACGAAGUUGAAAUCAAACCAUCGGCCAGGUGGCAGGGACCGAUGUUAACAAAAACUCAAAAGCGUCGGCAGCAGAGGAUGCAAGCCGAGGCAAGACAACACUACGAAGAAGUGAAAGGGAUAAGGCUCAACGUAUGGAGGCGUCCUAAUGAGCAGUCACGCCCCUUUCGCCCAAUGCGAAAUGACCACGAGGCAGGCGCCUCAUCGCCUGUCCCUUGGAUGAAGUCAAAGGUAGAACGACCAACCGAGGCCGAGUCGGAAGAAAAAAUGACCAAGAGGGAGUUAGAAGAUAAAAUAGCCUCCCUUGAAACGAUUAUCAAGAGAGAAUGUGCAGUAUACUGAACUUCAGCAAAUUGCAAAGUUCGAGUAAGGAGAAUGAUAUUUGGAACCUUCCUACAUGUUCUAAAGGGUUUAAAGACAUUUAUGACUAAGUUCGAGGGUGAUCGGAAUGCAAAAAGCGAGAAGUGCAUUGCUACUGCGAAGUUGGCCAUUUUGCAUUGGUGUACCGGUACAGGCAUCAUGCUGUACCGGUAAAGCAAGCACCAGCAGCAGCAGCUGCGUGGCUUUGAGGAUAUUUUGGUCUUUUGCUUUGAGCUUAUCCUCUAUACCUCCCAGCUCGACCCCCCAGUGGAUAGACAUCAUCUCUGAGCCUUAGAACAAGGGUUGAAGCUCUCCUCUUCUCUCUCUCUCUAGGAAUUUCUCUCUCUAGCUAGAAUCAAGGUUUUGAGCUUGAUUUUGCUUCCUACUUGAUGUUUGCUAUUGGAGGGAUUAAGGGAAGUGCUAGUUGACAGUAGAAGUGAGGUUUGACACGAUUUCAUGCCUCUAAUCCAGCAGUAGAAUCGGAUUGGGGUAAGAAGGUAAUUGAUUAACCCCUUUGUUCUUUAUUUGAAGCUGAAAGUAAGGGUUAUUGAUACCGUUUUGACGAUUUUGUCGCAGCAGAGUUAUCAGUCAUUCCAAGCUAAUUAGCAGAGUGUUACUAGCUGGUUUUGGGCAUACUCCAGUCAAUAGAAGUUGAAGUUCUAAGAGGAGAAGGUGAUAAGUAAGUAUUAUCUCUAGCUUGAUAUAAAAGUUAAAGAUUUUUGGGAUUUACGAUGCUGAUUUCCUCACUCUGUUUUCAGCAGCCGUGAGAAGUUAUUUAAGCUAAAUAUCUGGAUAUUAUGAACUGGUUUUGAUAGUACUACAACCGGUGGGACGAUGAACUGGUUUUGAUAGUACUACAACCGGUGGGACAUGGAACUACCAGCUAGGGAUCUAAAUAAGUAAGAUUUCAGCUUUUAGUAAUGGUUUUAGUAGAGUAAAAGGACUGUUUUGAGACUAAACUAUAGUAGCCAUGCGAUAGGGUAUCGGAUGAUUCCCGGCUGAGUAUUAGAAGUUUUCGGAAGUUAAGACGAAUACCUUAACCUGGUUCUAGUAGGGGUUAAGCUACAACCGCAUGCAAGGUAAAAUAUUGCUGAAAUUAGAUGUUUAAGUAAUUAUUCCAAUGUAACUUCCUAACUAGUUCGCAGCAGGUUUGCGACGUGCGGUGUGAUGGAUCCCGGCUGAUUCUAGGAGGCUUUCGAAGCGAAAACUUGGCGCUUUAAUUUCAGCUGAACCAGAGGUUCCACUAUAGUAAAGUAUUAGGUGAAGCUCUACCCUGUAGAACUGUUAAUGUGAUAGAUUUACAUAGGAUUUGAAGUAUGCGCCUAGCUGAUUUAGUACUGAUUGCUAGGGCAUUUGGAGGAUUGUGAUACUCUUACCUGCAAAUUGGACGUGGGUUAUCAAGUAUCAGGUGGGUCAACCUAACCAGAACAAGAGAAUCUCCUCUAUGUUCUAUAUGAUAUUAUAGAACUAAUAUGUGAGUAUAAUUAUGCGAGUUAUGUACUAGAAUAAUUGUAUUAGGUACCACUCACACAUUUAUUCUAUAUAGUUAAUUGGAACCACUACGAAGUAGUGAAGGUCAUGAGCAAGUGUUAACCUCCAAGUUAAAUGCCUAGACAAUGAAUGACUAUAAUAAGUUUAUAACAAAUGGAGAACAAGACAUCUAGUUGUGACAUGAUUAGUAUAUUCACAUAUGGUCACUAGUGAAUUAUCAACAUAUAUGAUAUACGUAAUUUUGCAUUACCCUUAUAUGUUUAUUUGACUUAGUGGAUACCAGCAUGAUAUAUUACAUUGAAAAUCCGACCUAAAGGUCGAGAGCGAGAACCUUACCUGCUAAACAUAAUGAUUGAAAACAGUUAAAACUAUGAAUCGUGCUUACUUGCCAUUGUGCUCAUUCGCACAAGCUUAUGAGGGUCGCUCCCCACAAGCCGGCACUCCGGAGUUGGCCUACGCGACAGAUGCUCGCCCGUGCGGGAUUGAGUGCCGAAGUGGAUUGCCGUGGGGAGUGUAAACUACCACGGGGCCGUUAGGCGCGGCGCAAGCUGGACUACCUUGAGUAGGUCCUUAUGAAUUCAACUAAAUUAUUAAAUGAUAAUAGUAGAUGAUUAUCACUGAGUAGUAUACAGUUACAUCUCUACUUGGCAUAUUUAUGUUCAUUGCGAUUAUCUUAACCGUUUUUACUUGGGAAAUAUAUCUGACGGCAUGAUACAAUUUCAUAGUUCUUUAUUGUUGAUAAAACUUACAUGUUAUAACUGUUAGGUCCUAUGCGUUGGCAAGUUUCGUGGGUCGAGUCGGAGUCUUGAAGAAGUCCGGAGCGGAGUAUUGAAGAUCGAAGAAUCCGAGACUUCGAAGAAUCAGAAAGGACGCAAAACAUGCAAAACUUGAAUCACGAUGCUUAGGUAAGCUUUAAAUCUUGUUUAUGGUGAUUCAUACUUAUUUAUAGAUCUUAGAAUCNCCGUUCACCUAUUCACCCCCCUCUAGGUGAUAGAUACAAUCUAGAUAGAUCCUUGGGCUCCUCAAAACUUUCAAUAACUGUUCUUAUAUUUUCCUUGUAUAUCAACAUGAUCCUAGUGGUGUAAUUCGCCGAGGCUGGCGGCUUACCCACUGGAAACUAUUGUUAAUAGUUCUCACGCCCUAUUUAUUAUUGUUUUUACAGAGCCACCUGCUACAGGAGAGACUAGGGAUCGCGGCAAGGGAGUCUCAUCUAGCUAGAUCUAGCUUGGAGCGUGACUAGAUAAUCAUCUUGCUACUCGGGCUACGGCCGAGGGUGAUGUCCCCAUGUAUAGAGAGACUACCAUUGUACAUAUAUUUUGUGCACCUUAUGAUGUAUAUGUGGUUUGAAUCUGGAUUACCGUUUUGGUGUUUUCUGUGGAUUUGAGAUCAGAGUUGUUUAUACUUACUAUUUUUUUCUGAUAGUUGUUUUAGCAACUUAUACUUUUCUCUGCUAUCAGGUUAAAAUUCUUUUAUGUUUUCUCUUUUUCGAUAUGUUUCUUGUAGACGCCUUAUAUACUGUAUGUGUAUGGCGGGUCUGUACAUGUACCGGGUAGGCUUCCGCUGUUAUCAGGGCGUGACAGAUUAUAGUAGUAUCAGAGCCUAGGGUUGAGUCUUAGUGGACCUAGCGAACUUUAGGCUGGUUGGACUAUAAGAAUAGGCUCGUGAAAGACGAGGUCUAGUUAAGUUUUUAGCGAAAGUAUUUGAUUGGGUAAUUCAUAAACUCCGAAUGGUAGGAGUUUGAUUGAAAUGUGCAAUUACUAACUUCGCAGAGGGCCACGUUGGCGGCCGACAACGUGACAUCGGGAGUUAGUAUGUAUUACAUUUCAUUAUUUUCGCUUAAAUGGGUGGUUAAUAUAAGAAGUGGGGGGUUCAAUAGUGUAAGUUUUAUUAAUCCAUGUUUACUUUUGUUGCAGCUUAAGAUGCCUACGAUGUGUUCUAUGGCUACUGGAGUGGCUGAAGCCGCUGAUGCAGAGGAAGUGGAGACUUCCACUACCUCCUGAUCGAGUGAGGUUCGGGAGCUGCAGGAUCAGCUUGCAGUGUUGACAGAUUUAGUGACACAACAGGCUGCAGCAGCGCGACAACAGAUGGAUGCCGCGCACCGACAGGAGGAGAGAAUGAAGAGGUGAGAGGAUUUGCUACUGCUGCAGAUUUCAGAUAGAGAGAUUCCAGAUCCUACGCCAGCAGUACCAGAGAGGGAUACGACUACGAGAGCACAGUCACCAACACCAGACACCUCACCGGCAGUUCCGCAGGUGGAGACCCGAUAAGAGACAGUGGUACCACCACCAGCGCCCGUGGCUGUGGCAGGGACAGUAUUACCUGAGAUGGUGGGGGCUGAGGAGCGAGAACAGAUGAUGGAAUGUCUAAAUGAAUUCCGUCGUUGCAAUCCUCGUGUUUUCGAUGGAGAAAAGGCAGAUCAUUUGGUAGCUGAGAAAUGGCUGAUGCAUAUGAGCUAUUUUAUGAUACUUUCGUCGAGGAGCACGACCGAAUGUGGUUUGCGACACACUAUCUGGAUGGCGAGGCUUACAGGUGGUGGUUGGAUAUUCGUGAGGAUCCCCAUACUGAUUUAUCUGCGAUCACUUGGAAGAGAUUUAAGGAGUUGCUGUUGACAACCUACUUUGCACAGAGUGUGAAAAGACAGAUGGAGAGGGAUCUACGCAACCUGAGGCAGGAAGACAGGACAAUAGCCGAGUAUGAGCGAGAGUUUUCUCAAUUAUUGCAUUGUGUCCCUAAUUUUGUGGUUCGAGAUGAUGAAGAUAAGGCCCGUAUUUUUGAGGUGGAUUUGCGACCUGCGAUCUUCAGAUUAGUCCAAGCGUCAAACCUAUCGACUUAUAGAGAGGUCGUAAACCGGGCACUGAUUGUUGAGAAGGGGGCAGAGAUUAUGAAAGAAAGGGAAGUCGUGGAUCAAAGUAAACGAAAGAGGCCAGGGACUGAGAACAGUGGACAACAACCUUUCCGGAGGCCGCCAAAGUACCCAAGAGGCCAGCCGAGUCAGUCGAGGAGGCGAGGUUCUUCUACACCUCGCAGAGCCCCAGAGCGUCGUCGACCGCCGCAUUGUGUGAUCUGCAGUGGUCCCCAUUUUCCAUCGCAGUGUCCUCAACGUGGUGGCCGGUGUUUCAUUUGUGGCCAGGAAGGCCAUUUUCGAUCAGAGUGCCUUAGAGGUUCUUUACCAGCACCAUCUUCAGCGUCAGCACCUGCAUCUUCUGUUCCCAGUCAGGGGACUCCGUCAGCACAGUACCAGUCGAGGCGACCACCUGGACAGCGAUAAUCAGAGAGUUCUCGGCAGGGUUCGAGUGGGCGGAUGUAUGCCGCCCAGACUGAGGAGGCCGCAGCAGCAAAGGAGGUCGUAGCAGGUAUUAUUUUGAUUCAUGAUGUUCGUGUUCGUGCAUUAUUUGAUACUGGUGCAUCGCAUUUCUUUAUUGAUUAGCUGUUUGCCGAAUUGCAUAGCAUACAGUUAGUACCUACUUUGCAUCCGGGACGAGUGAUCGUGCCCGACCAUACCCUGGAUAUUCAUGAGUAUUGCCCUCGCUGCCCAGUUCGGGUAGGCGACUGGAUUAUGCCAGUGGACUUAUUAGCACUACACAAACUACGUAAGUUUGAUGUAGUGUUGGGUAUGGACUGGUUGACACAGUACUAUACUACUAUAGAUUGCACAAACCGAACGGUGACCUUUAGGGAACCGGGUCAGCAAGAAGUUGUAUACCGAGGAUGUCAGAGUUCAAUGUUCGCAAUGACAAUUUGUUCUUCGCGAGCAUGACAAUCGAUACAGAGAGGUUGCGUGGCCUAUUUGGCUAAUAUUUCUGUCAGUGACGGAGGAGUUGCUAGUAUUGAUAACAUCCCAGUAGUGCGGGAAUUUCGUGAUGUAUUUCCGACCGAAUUACCUGGAAUGCCGCCUGAUAGGGAAGUUGAGUUUGUGGUAGAUCUUGUUCCUGGGACUACCCCAAUCUCAAAAGCACCGUAUAGGAUGGCGCCUGCUGAGUUGAAGGAGCUGAAGGCGCAGUUACAGGAUCUUUUGGAUAAAGGUUUUAUUUGACAGAGUGUAUCGCCCUGGGGAGCACCGGUGUUGUUUGUUAAGAAGAAAGAUGGAUCCUUUCGAUUGUGCGUGGAUUAUCAGGAAAUUAAGAAAGUCACCAUCAAGAAUAAGUACCCACUACCACGAAUUGACGAUUUAUUUGACCAACUCCAAGAAUCGAAAGUGUAUUCCAAGAUUGAUUUACAAUCUGGAUAUCAUCAAUUGAAGAUUAAACCUGAAAAUGUUUCUAAAACUGCUUUCAAAACUGGCUACGGGCAUUAUGAAUUUACAGUUAUGCCAUUUGGAUUAACGAAUGCCCCGGCAGCUUUUAUGGAUUUAAUGAAUCGUGUUUUCAAGCCUUAUCUGGACAGGUUUGUAGUAGUGUUCAUUGAUGAUAUUUUGAUUUAUUCUCGAAGUAACGAGGAGCAUGAAAACCAUCUGAGAUUGGUAUUGCAAAUCCUUCGAGAAAAGAAACUAUUUGCAAAGUUAAAGAAAUGUGAAUUUUGGCUUCAAGAAGUAGCAUUUCUGGGACAUGUAAUUUCAGAAAUUGGGAUUGCUGUGGAUCCAAAAAAAAAAUCGAAGCUAUUAAAGAUUGGCCUAGACCAACCAGUGUUACUGAAAUUCGAAGUUUUCUUGAAUUAGCCGGGUAUUACCGGAGAUUUGUGGAAGGAUUUGUUAAAAUGUCUACUCCACUUACUCGACUUACACAUAAAGGGGCGAAAUUUUUAUGGAAUGAGGUUUGCGAAAUAAGCUUCCAGGAACUAAAGGAACGAUUGACUAGUGCCCCGAUUUUGGCUUUAUCGAUAACUGGGGUGGAUUAUGUGAUUUAUAGUGAUUCAUCUCUGAAUGGAUUAGGGUGUGUUCUACUGCAAAAUGGAAAGGUAAUCGCUUAUGCAUCUCGUCAAAUAAAGGAUUAUGAAAAGAACUACCCUACACAUGAUCUAGAGUUAGCAGUAGUCUUUGCUUUAAAGCUAUGGCGUCACUACCUGUAUGGCGAGCGGUGCGAGGUAUAUAUGGAUCAUAAAAGCUUAAAGUAUCUGUUUACUCAGAAAGAACUGAACUUGAGACAACGCAGAUGGUUGGAGUUGCUCAAGGAUUACGAUUUGACUAUCCUCUAUCAUUCGGGAAAAGCCAAUGUAGUAGCAGAUGCUUUAAGUCGAAAGUCGACGGAGAAUUUGGCGAUGUCGAUAACCUCGCAAUCACCUCUGAUAAAAGAAAUGAAGCAGUUGAAAUUGGAAGUGGUAGCUCCUGAUACGCCUUGGCGGCUUAUGUCAUUGAUUGUGCAACCUACCUUGAUUGAUAAAAUUAAAGAAAAGCAAGUCCACGAUGAAUUUUUACAAAGGACUCAUGCAAAGAUUACCGAUGAGUAUAUUGGUGAAUUUUAAGUGGAUAAUCAAGGAUUAUUGAAGUAUGGCAAUAGACUGUGUAUANGGUUCACACAUGUCCCGAGCUCAAUGCCGCUUGAUGACAUUAGCUCUCUAGUUCACGUACAUUCUAGUUCCAAUACCUCUAUAUGGCAAUUUCGUCAUCUUGCAUGUUUCAAAUAAACUUAAGUUUAGAUGCAUGAAUCAAAGCUCAUGUACACUAUAGAAGCAUGAAACCAAGUCUCGUAUAGAACGCUAAAUGCAACUAUAGGCCUACCAAGCUACUCUCUACUCCAUAGAGGUCCAAAAUUUCAUCAUAUACAACAUAGGCCUUUUAAGCAUUCUAAAAUUCACAAUAAAUACAUAUAACAAUAAUAUGCAUGCUUUUUCAUUUAACAAUACUUAAUUAUGCACAAAUGAGAAUUUCUCAUUGUAUGGCUAGGUCAAACCCACCGAACUGUCGCGUAGGACCUCGUUUCGCCGAACAAAGUUGUCCCCGAGUCUCAAAAUACCCUAAAAGAAAUCAGCGAAGAGAUACGAGGGCAUUACGACCAACCAUAAGAUCAAACAUUAACCUAGAAGCAAAAAGGGCCAAAACUAACCUCAAGAGUAGAAAUCUCUUCCAAAGCUCCAAAAGAGAGCUUGAACCCUUCCAAUCCAAGCCCUAGGAAGGUUCUAAACCAACCAAUCAAGCCUCAAAAGCCCUAGGUUCAAAAAGCCCAAAAUAAACCCUAAGCCUCAAAACUAGGGUUUCAAAACAAUAAAACCUCAAAUCCAAGGUCUAAAGGAAGGGAAUGAGUAACAAACCUCCUUAGAAGCUCCAAUCCAAGCUCCAAGGGUGAAGAUCUCCCCCUUUGCAAGCUCCAAGUCCAAGCCUUCAAGCACCAAGGAAGAUGAGAGGGCGAGGAAGAUACUCCAAGACCACUAGUAGCUCCAAACUUCUUCUCCUUCCCCCCUUCUUCUCAUUCUCCUUCUUCUUCUUCUUCUCUAUCAAGGGUGUGGAGAGAGUUGAGAGAAGAGAAAUGAGGAGUAGAGAGGGUGGAGGGGUCAUAUAGACCCUCUAUUGUAACAAAAUCCAGCUAGGCCCUCCAAAAAUCCAAUAUUACCACAGCCCGGUCUGGGCAGUUUUUGCCCAGAGGGACCGGUCUCUCCCCAGCAGGGACCGGUCUCUCGCUGUGAACCCGAAAAACCAGCGUUCGGGAACCGGUUUCUCCCCUCGCAGGACCGGUCUCUUACUGCGAAGACGCGCUCGGGGACCGGUCUCGCCUGCCAGGGACCGGUUGCCUCAGGCUGCCUCAACACUGCUCACUGGGGGACCGGUCUCUCCUUCCAGGGACCGGUCCCCGAGAGUAAAAACUCUCAGGACUUAUCCAGAAUUCCGAUUUUCGAACUUUUUAGGUCGGAAAACAUUCUACAACCCCCCACCAAGUGUGAAAAAGCUCGAAAUACAUCCAAACACUCGAACCUUGCAAUUUGCAAAGGUCCAGUGCGUCACAGGUAGCUCCUGAUACGCCUUGGCGGCUUAUGUCAUUGAUUGUGCAACCUACCUUGAUUGAUAAAAUUAAAGAAAAGCAAGUCCACGAUGAAUUUUUACAAAGGACUCAUGCAAAGAUUACCGAUGAGUAUAUUGGUGAAUUUCAAGUGGAUAAUCAAGGAUUAUUGAAGUAUGGCAAUAGACUGUGUAUACCUGCGGAUUUAAACCUUAAAGAAGAAAUUCUUACUGAAGCACAUCAGGCACCAUAUGCUCUACAUCCUGGAAGUACAAAGAUGUACAAAGAUCUGAAGCUAACCUAUUGAUGGCCUGGAAUGAAAAAGGAAGUUGCAGACUUCGUAGCUAAGUGCUUAACCUGUCAGCAGGUCAAAGCAGAACAUCGACUCCCUGUAGGAAAGCUUCAAAGUGUACCUAUACCUAUAUGGAAGUGGGAAAAGAUGACUAUGGAUUUUAUUAUUGGAUUACCUCGCUCGCGGGCAGGUCACAAUGCGAUUUGGGUAAUCGUGGAUAGAUUAACCAAAUCGGCGUACUUCAUUCCGAUCCAUACCGUUUGGACGGGAGAGAAACUCGCACAAGUGUACCUUGAUGAAAUUGUGCGAUUACAUGGAGUACCAGCUUCUAUUGUAUAAUAUUGAGAUCCACGAUUUGUGUCACAUUUUUGGAAAAGUUUACAGGAAGCUUUGGGUACUCGAUUGGACUUUAAUACUGCUUUCCACCCUCAGAGUGAUGGGCAAACCGAGCGCACUAUUCAAACACUCGAGGAUAUGUUACGUGCAUGUGUAAUGGACUUUCGAGGUGCAUGUGGAAUGGACUUUCGGUACGCAGUGGUAAAAACGAGAUAUCUAGCUCUCGGGUUUGGAGGUUUUGGGGUCGGAUACCGGUACGCAGCCUCCUAGAAUACUGUUUUUGAGGGGUAAAAGUGAAAUUUCAGUGUGGGCUUACAUAAAGAGGUGCCCAUCCCCUUCCGCCAACUGAAACACACACACGCACACAUGAAGUGAGAGAGAGGGAGGAGCCCAUCUCUUCUACCAUCUUCUUUCUCCUCUCCAAAUUGGAGAUCUUGGUGGAGAUCGAGCUUGGGAACGCGUAGGGAGUGGUGGUUCGAGCUCUCGGGCGCUUGGUGGCGCGGGACGCUUGCGACUCAAGGUUCGUUUCGAAUGCUGAAAUUAGGGUUUUGUGUUUAACCCUUAGAUUUAGGAUUUUGGUGAACCCUAGGUAAAUCUAGACCACAAAUGGUAGGAUUUACCAUGAGAUUAGGGUUUCUCCUCUAGUUUUGGGAAAACCCUAGGUUAAAAAGAGGGGUUUCUUGAUGAAGGGUUCUAAAAAUAUUUUAACCCUAUGGAACUAUAAUAUCCGAGAUUUUAUAUUAAAAGAAAUUCGGAUUUGGAAUUUGAAAUUUAAAUUCAAAUUAUAUAUAUGUGUAUAUAUCUAUAUAUGUGGAUAUGUUGUGGAUUGCAGAGAGGAUUGGUUUCAUCGCAAAUCGACGACCAAAUCAGAUGAAACGAAAUGGUAGAUUCGAUGCUCCAGUCGUGCUGAACGCGCUGGUGCGAUUCGAUCGGAAAUCUGAUUGACGGAUCUCCGAGAAUCAUGAAUUGUUCACUGAGGGGUCAAAAUUGGCAAAACGAAAAAAUUGCAAAAAACCUAAUAUUUUAUGUACCGUUGUAGUGUUUUGAGCUUUGGAUAGGAUUGGCUUCAGUGAUAGUGACUGGUCAACACAUCCGGAGAGUGUCGGACUGAGUCGGAGUCGUUUCUACGCGAAAUGGAUGCAGAAAUGGACUCGGCACGCUCAAAUAAGCAAAACUGGAGUUUUGCCAGAUUCGGGCACCCAGAACUGCCUUUGGGUCACCCAGAAGUUGAGUGCAGAACUGAGCAAAACUGGAAGCCAAUUCGGGUCCAUAUUUCGGGCGCCCGGAUGUGGGUCCGAAUGUUCACCUCGUGAGUAUCGUUUGCGCUGACACGUGGCUGGUGGUAGGUGAGGUCCGCCGGAGCCGGAUAUGGGCACAGUGCACCGCGGGCGAAGGAUCCGAAGUGGAACAAUUGUGCAGCCUGGAGGUUUCGGAUGCCUAAAACAUGCUUUCGGGCGCCCGAAAGUGCCCGUUUCUGCAGAGUUGCAGAUUUGCAGCUGUUGUUCCUGAGGCUUUUGGGACCGUUCUAACACCCUAUAAAUAGGUGGUGUUCGACCCCAGUGAGCUCUUUUCACCUGUUCUUCACAGAGAAGCCUCAAAUUGCAUUUCUAAACCUUAGAUUUCCUCAAUUUGCAUCCAAUCUUUCAAUUGGAAGGUGGUGGAGUGCUGAUCCUGCAGUUUUCGAGCAACGACCUUCGGUGUUUUGGCUCGUGUGCGACGUAGGAAGGUCGGAUUGUGGGUUUGUUGGAUUCUAGACUUCCAGAGGAAUCCACGAAGCUCAUAAUUGUAUUUUUUGGUUGAGGUUAGCUUGGUUGAUUCUAUGUUUUCCUAGACUGUUGGUGACUUUGAGCUAAAAAUCUGAUUUUUGGGUUUUUCUUGGUGCAAGUUUUGGAAGGAGCAGGAUUUUGGACUUGAGAUUGAUACUCCAUCAUUAUUCACUGGAUUUGGAACUUGCCUCAUCUGAAUUGGAGUUUGAUAGGUGAGUUUGUCAUUGGAGUUGUCGGUUUAAGCUUAAGUGCUGAAAUUUGGGGUUAUUGAUACAACUUUGAUGCUUUUGUGUUCAGGUCUUCGGAGGAUGUUGAGUUUGGACCAGAGGGUGAUUUUCCAUCUUGGUUUGUUGGCUUUGGGACCUUGCUACACCUGAUUUGGGUUUGGAAAUGUGAGGUUAGCAUUGUAUUUGAGCAAAUCUAAGCUUAGGUGCUGAGAUUAGGUGGAUUUUGAUGGAUUUUGGUAUUAGAUCCUUCUAGUAUCUUAGUUGCUGGUUGUGGGUGUUUUCGGCUGAAGCUUCAAGCCAUUUGCUGUGGAGUUGCACGAAGGUGAGUUUAUCAUCGGUUUUGCCUCCUAAGCAUAUGCAUAGUAGACAUGUAUAAUUUUAGCUUUGAUAUAUCAUGUUUAGCUCGAGUUCUUUGAUUAGCAUAUUAAAUGAAAUCUGAAUUUUGAGUAUACUGUAGUAAUCAGAUAAUUAUACAUGUUGGACUUGGAGUUUGACUUAAGAGAGAACCAGCGAUUUAACCCGUCAUAUGCUUAAACUACCUGAUUUAGCUCUAGGAGUCGGGGUUUGUUUGUAUCACCGCAGUUUCAGCGCGGUGGAUACUUAGGGUAGUUUAGAAAACAUUUACACUCGGGCGGGAUGCCGAGCUUGGGUAAUAUUUAACUGUAGGCUGUACACUGUCUUUUCUGCUCGCUCCUUAAGCUUUUGUGCUUCGUAUCCCUGCUGUUAGUGCGCAAUUGAUACUCAGAUAGCUUCUGAAGCUGUUGUGCUUCGUAUCCCUGCUGUUAGUGCGCAUUGGAUACUCAAAUAGCUUCGGGAGUUGUUGCGGAUAGUAUCCACACUAUUGUGUACAUUUGAUACGCUGAAAGCUUAGGAGCUGUAGUAGAUCUGUAUCACCGCAGUUUGUUGGCGGUGGAUAUCCGGAAUAGUGUAGAAUGUAGUUAUGCUCGUGCGGAGAUGCCGAGCUUAUUUUUACAGCAGUGUCUAGGCUGUUUCAGACUGUCGGGUGCCGUCGGGGUUGACGGUGGACCCAGAUUGCGAGUUUUGCAUCAGUUUGUGCCGAGGGCACGUGAGUUUUGGUUGUUAGACCAGUUGGACCCUGUUUACUUGAUUAUAGCCUGUGAGAGCCUGAUUGAGCUCAGUAGAGAUACGCUUGCAUACUCGGUUAGGUAGCGCCCACGAGUGCCAUUCCGGAGUCGGGCUUUAUGCGUUUGCGUUGUGUAGUGUCCUGAUUGGACUUGCUCUCCGCGGACUGAUUAGUGUGGAGGUAGCAUUUAUGAUUCGACAGGCGGAACGCGUGCGCUCACAGUCCCUGAGAUGAGUGUAUUCAUAGUCCCUAUGGAUUUGGGUCAGAGGUUGCAUUACUCUACAGAUAGUAGUGUUGGAUCAUGAUAGAAUAGUGGCAUAUAGCUGUAGAUUUGUUCCAGCUUCCUUUUCUAUCACUGAGCUUAGAUCUGUAGACUUAGUGGGUGAGCCGAUGAGUUAGAGGGCAGUACCCACUGAGGACUACUUCUUUUUGUAGUAGUUCUCACGCCCAGUUGUUACCCCUAUUUUUGCAGAGCCGUCGCUUUCGGCUGUUGCUGUUGCUGAUAUUGACCGUGGCAAGGGCAUCGCGAGUUAGAGCCCUUCCAGUCGAGUCGCAGAGCUAGAGGAGUACCAACUACAGGUAGUUGUAGUUUUUGGGUCUUUACUUAUAGUUAUUGUUUCUUGUCAGAGCGAGUAUUUGUAUACCUUGGAUGACAUGUAUGUAUUGAACCACUGUUUAUAUUUGGUUUAUUUUCCUAGCUCUCUAUACUACUAUUUGUGGUAUUGUAUGAUUACUGGUACUUCUACUUUUCGCUUCGUAUACAGGAAAAAUACCUAUGUAUGCGGCGGGUCUGUUAGCGAGCCCGAAAAAACGAGUAAUCCGGGGCGUGACAACCGUUUUGCGUAAUUUUGAACGUUGUGGUGUGUACGUGCAUGUUACACGCGCUGUGAAGGGCUGGGAUGGAAAUAUCCUUUUCUGAGGGACUAAAAUGCAUAUUAGCUAGCAUAUAUAUACGUUGCAACCUAGGGUUUCAUGCUAACCCUAACCCUAGGCUGCCUCUACUACCCUAGUUGCGCCCCUACUAACUCCAUCACCUCCCAGCACCCCACAACUCGUACCCCGGCCGUCGGCGUGUGUCUCCGGCCGCCGGAGAAGGCCCACAUUGCCUUCUCCCUCCACAUUGCAUCUACCACUUCAGCCGACAACCACAGAGAACCACCCUCUCGCGUCAACCUUCAUUCCCUCGGCCGAGACCCACUCCCUGCGCUGUCCCCGCCGGCCCCCGCCGCCCGCACGCGCCAUCGGUGUCGCCUGGUUCGUCCGCGGCCACCUGCAGCAACUCGGGCUGAGCUCGGGUCAGCUAGCGGCCGCGAAUUGCUGCCGCUUCGUGGCGGGCUGCCCUACCCUCUUGGGCCGCCGGUGACCUCCCACGCACCAACACCGUCGUCCCCGUGACCGCCGACCACCGCUUUGCUCCCUGCGGCUGCCCAGAACUUGUGUGGGUCGAGCCUCGGCCCGCACUGUCUCCGUGCAUCGCCGCCGCCCACCAUCGGGCGCGCCGCCCUCCCUCGGCCUCUGGCGACUUGCCGCCGUCGCCCCGGUGCUCCCCCGGUUGCCGCCAGGCUGCCGUCGCUCCUCGAACACGAGGCGAGCUGCACGGGUUUGAUCAUCUCCGCCGUGCCACCGGCCGCCUCCUGCCGCCGGCCAGCGCGAGCCCCGACCCCCACUGACCGACCACACCCGUCUCUGGUCAGCCUGCCCACCGUCCGGCCGCCGCCUGCCACCCACGUGCUCCAGCUAGCUCCGGUAAGCUGUAAUUACUGUUCUGUGCACUGUUCCAAGUUCCAGUCACUUUUUCGACAAUCCGAGGACACCUUGACACUUCCGAAAGUGAGCACGAACAUCGUGCUCACCUCCAUUUGGGUCAGCAAAGCUCCAGUGUGCGAAUUAAACGCAGUUUAGGCACUGUGCGUGCUGUUUCGCUGAAGUUCGCAUCGCUCGCACGCUCGCCACAGUGGCCAGCCGUGCUCCGAAGUGUGAGCACGGCCUCCGGCACAACAAGACCUGAUAGCGAAUGUCUCGGCCAGGUCAGAAAACCUCAGUUUGUGUUAACGGGCCGUAAAACCCCGAAAAUCACAUAAAAUAAUGUGAUUUUAUGUAGUCGCGGGGGUUUUUAUGCAUUUGUACAUUGCGUAGUUGCUGUUGGCAGCGUGUGCGGGUAGCGGGUAACCUCUGGACUGGAUGUCCAGGGCCCCAGGCCUUUUCGAAAAUUGAAAGUUGAUUUUCGAUGCGUUUUAUGGUGAAAUCCGCCGGCGAAACGCGAUUUCGGUUCAGAAUUCUUCCGAUGGUGCCUCGUGAUAAAUUGUUUUGUCACUGAGCCUUGUUGGCUAGUCACCUGCGUCAUUUCGAGGGUUCAAAAACAAAGAGUGAGCGACGGUGGGUUCUGGUGUCGAAUUUGACACUUUCGGGAACCCGGAUCAGAACGAUUAUCUGACGAUAACCGUUUCGAUGUGAGGAGGUGUUUUAGCUGCCAAGUCACAUGAAUAGUUGCAUUUAGUGGUAGCGGGUGACUCGUAGCACGAGUUUGUGAGUUCCGGGAUAGUUUGUGGGUCCCGGCGGAGUCCCGGUGCGAUUUUCGAGACUUCCGGCGUAUUACGGCAAUCGGUUGUGGGAAACCGAUUCCCGUAGGUUUAUUGGUGGGAAUUGUGAAUUAAUAGUUCGUGUGUGUGGGUUGGAUGCUAAGCCAGGGGACCCUUCGUAGGUCCGGUUGAUACUUCUUCUGCAGUUGGGAGACCAGUGCAUAUACGUACAUGUGGGUACUUCGACCCGAAGUCGGUACAGUGGUGCACGCUCGGUGACAUUCCCUUCACCCUUUCCUUGUUGUUUAUCUUGCAUGUUAUAUGUUGAGCUUAGCACCUAUACCAUAUCUCUUUAUUGCUCUACUUAGUUGGUUGCAUACCCAGUAUCAUGUUUUAGAAGUAGAGCGGUUUUGUGAUUAUUUGUGAGAUUGUGACCUAGUUGGUCGGUUCUUGUAUCUUGUACUAUGACCUAUUCGGUCGGUUUACUGCAUCUGUUAUUGUGACCUACUUGGUUGGUUGGAUUACUUGGUGACCUAUACGGUCGGUAUGCCCUGAGGGGCAGGAUUGUCGGCUAGUUGCCGACGGUUGGCUAUUGAGCAUAUCAGCAUUGAUCGCCCGAGACUCGUACGCAUUUCAUGAACACCAGCGGUCUGAUCCACGGCAAGAGAGUGUUCUUUUCCGGAAAAGUGGUCGGGUGUAGCAACCCGUGAGCCCAACGGCCUAGGCUGGGUCAUAUGCAGGUAGAGUGGCAGUGGCAUGGCCUGAGGUCUACAGACCGAUAGGGUAGUUUUCAGAUUGCGUAUUUUUGGUCCUAUCGUCCAGUUGAUACAUACAUGCAGUAGCGGUAGUUAUUCAUAUAUACAUUUCAUUCAUUUAUUUAUCGUUGCUACUGUAUUACCUUUACUCAUACCUUUGUUUAUUCUCCUUAACUGGUGAGUACCCCUCGCCCUCGUCAGCUUGCGAUACCCACUGGGAGGGGAGACGUGUACAUGUUCUCACCCCACCCCCAUUACAGGUGACGUCGCGGGUCCUAGUAGGACGGUUCGUGAGGAGCGCAUUUAGCGAUUCGAUAGAGCUUUCGGACCCGUCCUUUCUGUUUAAACUCUUAAACUCAGCUUUCUUUAAUAAAUAACUUAGACAAUAUUUAUGAUUCAGUAUUUCCUGUUAUUUGAACUGAAAAUGAUUUGUGAGUUUGGCGAACUGAAAAUGAUUUUCUACCUCUCGUGGUAGCGAGUUUUAAAAAGAAAAAGGUUUCCAUAUGGGAAACAGUUUUUAAAAGGUUUUUCUUGGUUUUCAUGACUUAGCGUUUUAAAACGAGUUUCCGGGUAGAAAACAUUUUAAACUAAUAGUUGUGGAUUGUAACGACCCAGCCCACUAGCAACAAUAACUCGUUGGGUCUAAGCACCGGCCCAAAAUGCUUAAGUCCAGUUAUUAUUACUAGUGUCUAAGUCUUUUAUAUACCCAAUAGUAUCACCAUUCAUAUCCGAUGUGGGAUUACUAAGUUUAAAAGUUUAAAGGACCUCGGGGCGUGACAUGGAUUUAUGGAUAAAUUGUGAAUGUGAAUGGUGUAUGAAUACCUAUAUGUUCAUAUGUGGUGGUUGUAUCCUAUAUUGUGUAUAUUGUACUUGUGCGGCCCCGUGCAAAUACAGGAGAGACUCUGUCCGUGCGAACAGUGGACUCCCUGUAUUUGCGGCGGAUCUGGCAUACCCUGGGGGUCAGAUUUUUCAAAAAAAAAAAAUUGGGCACUUCCGCAAUAACUUUUGUACCAAAAAGGGACCCCGGGGCGUGAUAGAUUAAAGUGGUAUCAAAGUUAACCAUGGUACCAUUCACAGGUUGUUUUGUAAAAUAAAUAAACUGAACCAUUGGUUAGGUUGACCUAUAGGAAGACCUACGGUGUAUAGGCAUGUGAGUGCGGGGUUUGGGCUUGAGUCCCAGUGUGUAGUUGUCGAGUCGAUUAUUCGCUUAACGAUGUGUUCUGUUAUCACUACUAGAAAAUUAGUCAUUAGUGACAUUUAUUUAUGCUGAUAAAUGAUUAACAAAUGCUGCUAAAAGUUUUAGCAGCAUAUGACACCAAAGCUGCCUAUGCCAAUGUUGCUAAAAGUAUUAGCAGCAUUAAUUAUAAAUGCCGCCAAUAUAAAUCAAUUAGUGUCAUUAGGAAUAUGCCGCUAAAAGGGAUUAAAUGUUAAUUUUAAAUUGUUUAUUAGCGGCACAUAAAUAUAAUGCCGCUAAUACAAAUAUCUGAUUUUAGAAAUUAAAAUUUUAAAAUUUUAAUUUUAUUUUAUAUUUAAUUUUUUUUAAUGAUGGUUACCUGGCGUUCAUUUAUUUCUUUUGUCUUAAACUUUGCUAGUUGCUAGAAAAUGUGAAUCAACUAGGAUUCGAACUUGAGGACCUCAAGUACCAACAACAAGCCCUUUGCCACUUGCGUUAGCGACUAUUAGUUAUGUAUAUUUUAAUUUUUAUAUUUUAAGUCUUCUAUUUUAAAUUUUAAAAUUUAAAUUUUUAAAUUUAAACUACUAAAUUUAAAUUUUUUAAUUUUGAAAUAUGAAUUUUAAGUUUCAAAAUUAAUAGUUUUAAAUUUGAUAUUAAAAUAAUUUAAAUUUUAAAAUUUAAAAAUUAAUAAUUUAGAAUUUAAAAUUUAAAAUAUAAAUUUUAGAAUUUUGAAUUUUAAAUUUUAAUUAAUAUUUAAUUUUUAAAGUUAUAGUUUUUGAAUUUUAACUUUAUUUUAAUUAUAAUUAAAAGGGAUAUAUUAAUUAAUUAUAUAUUAAUUAGCUAAAUCGAUAUUUAAUAACAAGGCUAUAGUUUAUUAUAUUUGCGCAUUCACUAAUUUAUGCCUGCAAUUUAUCUAUUUUUGAACAUUAAUAGUAAAUUGCUGCUAAAUCAUUCAAUCUAGUGGCAAAUUAUCAAGUAAUGCCUGCUAAAAUACAUUAAUUGAAGUGUAAUUUAAAUAAUGGUUGCCGGAGUAAAUUGGCGGCAUUAGCCAGGAUAAGUGCUGCCUACAUUAUUACAUUUAGUGUCAUUUUGUAUAAAAUUUCUAGAAACUUCGGCGGCAUCACUAAUUUUAUGCUGGCUAAUUUAAUAUAUUUUGCAACAUUAAUAGGUAAAUUGCUGCCCUAAAUUAUUAAAUUGUUAGCCGGCCAUUAUCAAUAAUUGCGUUGGUAAAAUAUAUUCAAGUUAGCAGUUUUAAAUAAAUUCUUACGGCAGUAAAAACGAAAAACCAAUGUGGCUGUGCUUAAAUCAUGAAUUAGUGUCAGUAGUGUACAGAUGAGUCGUGGUUAGACCUAUGUCGGCAGUGGAUGCACUAUUGCGGGAAUCUAGUGGACCGGGAGAGCUCCCCUAUGGGCGAGGUGGCGAGGAGCAGGUCGGCCCUGGUAGCCGCUGGGCUGAUGCUGUACCCAGCCAGCUCAGGGGUCGACUGGUAGAGCUAUGAGGGGUCAGCUGAACGCGCCCGUCUUGGGAUGUUCCGAGCGUUUCUUUCAGCAAUAGAUGCGCUGUUGCUCUCCGCUUUCAGGCGCUCCGGAGCAUAUUGCUCCGAGUGAUGGCAGACUUCCGUGGAUGCGCCUGCACCCGCUGCCGCGCUUCGACUGUCACAGAUGACGACAACGACCACCACGAUGGUUUUCGGCUGGCGGUAUUGAUUUAGACCCUGCAAAGAUGUCACGCCCCGGGGCGAUUUAUUAAAAGCCUUUUGAAAACAGAGUUGCGGAAACGUUGCCAUUUUUUUUUUUUUUUUUUUUAACGUGUGGCCCGCGAGCUACAGGGCGGACCGCACAAAUACAAGGUUCCUCGUGUCCGGCUGGACAGAGGUUCCUUUGUAUUGCGGCAAGGGUACCACUAUACACAGUGAGAUCUAACACAACCUAAUCUAGCAAUCAGACAACCAAGCUGAUAUGCUCUCAUACAGCUUAACAUUCUUAGUAAUGAUGGCGUUGCUCAUUAAGACUCCUUAGGCCAGCUGGUGAUGCAAUGCCCGACGCAAUACAGACAAUCAUCCCUAUUUAAAAGUGCUCCCCACACGGGGGAAGCUUUUUCUUUGUGAAUCUCUAAUUCAUUCUCUAUGAAAAACCAGUUGAAAACUUUGCAAACUGUUUCCCAACGGAAAAACUCUAUUUUGAAACCGGACUACUCGUAGGGGUAGAAAACACGAUAUGUUUAAAAUACUAAGAAAAAUCCGAUAUCCAUAAAUAUCAAUAUCCAAUCAAAACCUCAGUUUACAUGCAUAAAUAACGAAAGCUAUCCCCAUAUCUACCAAAACCAGCGAUCCACCAACACUAAACAUCAUAAAAGAAUCAGCUAACUGAACCAUAAUAAACUUAUCUAAGCUAUAUCAACAGACGAGUAAGGGUAGAAACUAAAACCGAAUACACCGGCGUCGGAAGCGUCUAGGCCACUCGAUACGUGUCUCACGUCUGUUCAACUCUCUGCCGCCGGGCGGAUACCUAAAAAAUAGUGGGGAGGUGAGAACAUUGUACAUGUUCCCUCCCAGUGGGGUACGGCGCAAGGAUGAAGCGAGGAGUACUCACCGGUGAUCAAGGAAGGCUAAACACAGUACGGCAUGUCGAGUAGAAAUUACGAGUAGCAAUAUACCGGCUGAAUGAAAGCGAAUUAUACGACAGAAGUACAACUACGCUACUAAAUGGCACAAUGAAUGUAUACAUCUAACACGACUAUGCUAAUGAAAGAGAAAGAACUGAAGGUAUACAGCAACAACCGCUACUAUAGUUAUAUGCAGUCAGGCGCGACAAAGAAGUCAAAUACCCAAUCUGUACCUGCUAUAUUGCGUCCGCCAGACUUCAUAGCGCUGCCUGGAGUCACUACCGGUGACACCGACCUGAUUCACGCGGCCACAGGACGACCCAUCGGAUAAAGUACCCUCCGAUCGGUGGCCAAACGAUCCGGUGUCGUGAUACCCCCAAGUUGCUGUGACUUAAGUCAUGAUUGGGUAUGCUCAAUACAAAAACCUGCUGAACCGGUGCCUAGGCCUCGAAACCGAGAAACAAGGACGUACAACGCCGAACGGGCCGAUCAGACCAGAUCGACAAAGGACGAGAGAGUCAAUGUGGCUGUUACCGGCGACCGAAGCCGGUCCACAGAGUCAACCGACAGCAAGGUCACUGAUACGAAGGUGGCGAGAACUGACAACCAGGUCAACAGAAUACGCGAAUUGCGACACCAACAACUUAGGUCAACAGAUACUGAAUGCCACAACGCGACAACUAGUCGUCAACAGAUAUGAAUGCAACAACAGAACCAACUAGCGGUAAACAGAUACAGAAUGCCAACAAGCAGCCAACUAGUGUCAACAGAUACAGAGAUGCAACAAAGACGCAACUACGGUCAACAUGAUAGCGCGAUGUAGAACGUAAGAACUUAGCUCUACUCCUACUCAGGAUAUAAGGUAUGCGAACACGAAGGUAGACGUAUAACGAAUAAACAGGGUGCAAGGGCUCAAUUAAUACUAUGCAGAUAGUAAAACACAAAGAGUAGGGUAGAAACCGUCCCACCAAGUGUGCAGACCCUGUACCGACGGUCGGCAUCGAAGUACCCCACCUGUACGGUGGUGCGUCUCUGUCUCCUGAUGCAAAAGAUGUCGACAGGGACCUAUUAGAGGGCGGUCCACCGGUUAGUAUCUACCCACUAACUAAUAAUCACUGAGUAUCCACCACCUCACAACACGAUUCCACAAAGAUCGGUUUCCAAUACCGAUUACCGGUAACUACGCUGGAAGUGUUCCGGAAAACCACACGUGGACGCCGUCGGGACCCUAAGUGUCCGCGAACUCGACUCACACAGCAUGAUGUCACCGUGCCCCAAACAUUCAAUUUGGAUGCCUUGGCGAGCGGAAACACAAGCGGUCACACAACAAUACGAAUCAUCGGCCGGAUCACUCGUACGAAUCCGGGUUCCCGGGAAGUGUCUAUUUCGACACCGGAAAACCUCCGGUCGCUCACCUAUCAUCAUGGAACCCACAAGAAUGACGUGGUGACAGCCACAAGGCUCAGCGACAAAACACUAAGCAACAAACACCGUUCAGAAAGAUCGACCGAAACGCGUUCUUUCGGGCGAAUUUCGCCGAAAAACGCACCGAAUUCGGACCAACCGAUUUUCCGGCGAAAGUCUAACGGACCAUGAGACAAUCAGUCAGCCGAUCAAAGAACACUCAACACGUUGCCCACAAGUAGCCACACAAUGCCAUAUUGCAUAAAAGCCGCCCUCAUCUUACAUAAAACUACCAUUAUUUUAUGUAAAUUAAGCGAUGUCAAGCGGCGUCGAUAACGAAACCGAGACUCCAAGGCCACCAGAGACACGCACUGACAGGGUUUCGAUGGUCCGGGAUGGCCAGUGCUCACGAUUCGUGAGACGCGCGGCUCGCUGCUGGGAGGCGGCAGCUAGGGAGAACCGAAGUUUCAGCCGGAUGGAGUCGCGCCCGAGGGUGAGUCAUGGGAAGAUGCGCCGACAGAAGCUAACCGAGACGACUGUUGAUCCAAAGUGAGGUGAGGCACUUGUUGAUCCAGCACCUGACCAACGAUCACCCGUGCUCACCUACCGGCAGGCGUAUAGCAGGACAGCCUGGAUCGCCGGAUAAGCGUGCCGCAAUCCCAAAAACAGCACAGCAAACAGCUGAAACGGAGCGACAACGCCCAAAACAGUUGGAACGGAAGUCCUCCACAGAAACUAAGGUGAGCACGAUGAUCAGAAACUUGCCCAUGUUCAUUCGUGACUGCCCUUCCGUACAGAACGGGGAAAGGCUCGGAUAAGCCAGAACGAGGACCAUCUCAGAUAAGCUCCAUUAUCGGCUUGGCCGGGAGCAACCUUGUGCUCCCGACGGGCCUCCGGGACGGGCGGCUCCCCGGUGCGCGGGGCCUGGUCGGCGUGAGGGUCGGAGCAGUGGAGGGCAACACCGUGCUCACUCAGGGUGGCGGUGGAAGCCCGGCGUCCGGUUUGCCCAGGCGGGCGGCGGAGCAAACUCGAGCCGCACGAGACUCGAGGCUCGGGUUCCAGGAGUUGUUGCCGGCCCACGGCGGCGGCCGGGGAGCUCAGGGCGGCGGAGGGGGUACAUGAGGUCGGGGUGGGUUACGCUGGGGUGGCCCAAGGUUGCGGCUGGCGCUGGGAAGGGUCGACACGAUGAGAUCGGCCUGGGCUCGGUGCUCGGUGUGGGCCGCGGCUGGCCGAGGGGAGACGGCGGCUGCGCCCGGGCGGCUGGCGACCGGCGGGAAGGGGUGCCCGGGCUCGGGAAGUCGGCCGGGGUGGUCCACGGUCGGCCGGCGUGACGCAGGAAGAAAAAGGCCGCAGGCUUGCCUCGGCGUGGCGCUCGGGCUGGACGCCUCGCAGCGGCGAGGCGGAGGCGGCCGGCGCUGGGCAGGCGGCGACGCGGCCGGGACAGUGGCGGGGCACGGGGACAGUUCGGCGAGGCAUUCCCAGCGGCGGCGCGCGAACUGGAGGAUGUGGCAACCGGCUCGGCCUGAAGCCUCGGCCUGGCGGCUGACUGCAGGGCGGCAUGGAGCUGGCUGCGGCGCAGACGGCGCCGCGACUUGCGGCGGCUGACAGGGAUGCUCGCCGGAAGAGCACGGGGGGUGGACCAGGGAGGCCUGUCUGCAGGAGGCGCAGCCCCGGGGGCCUUCCUCACAACCCGGGGAGAGGAGAGACGCAGGGUAGAAAGGAAUAGGGAGAGAGGGAGGAAGGUGGCCUCCGGGCGCGGCCCGAGGGCUCUAGCCGGGCGGCCGGCGGGGCUCAGCCGGCGGCGGCGGGGGGUGGAUGUGCCACGAGGGCAGGGGGAGGGAGAAGGUGGCUGGGGCGACUGUGGCAGCUGGGGCGCAUGGUAGGUGUAGGGUUAGGGGAACAAAACCCUGAACUACAUAUAAACAAGUAGCACUCGCGCAAGAAAGCCCUCAAACAUCAGAAUUUCAAUCCGAGUCCCUGCACCGAACGACUAAAAUGCAUGAAGCUCCGAGCGAUCGCCUCGCGGAACGUGUACUAUAAAAAAAUAUCGCGACUUUCGCGAAACAAUACCGUUUGCCAGCUAUCCCGACUUCCUCGAUCAACGUCGGAUUUCCCCCUCCGCAGAUCCGCUCCGUCGGUAUUUCGAAGGAUUGCGGGGGGAGUGCGCAUCGCACCUCGCGAGACAACAAAGCUGCGAUUUCGUUUAAUCUUGAUCGACGGCGGGAUUCACGACAAAUCAACUCUUUCGUUGUCGAUCGAAAGAAACACACAAAAAAUUACAGUAUAAAACAUGUAUUUUUGGAUUUUCUUGAAAUCCGUGCGUCGAACUCAAAAUUCGUCAGCGCCAUUAGUUCCAGAAUAUCUGAACCGGUCGAAACGAGCUAUUGGACUGCUAUGAACAGAGUCCGGUACGAGUCAGAAGCCAACUUCUCACCGCGGCUUCUCCGGAAAAUCGAGUUACUAUUCACUUUAAGUGAAACUUCGAAAUCCCGUAGAAUUUCCGUUUUAACUCGUUUUCGCCCAAAACUUGACGAGUGCUUUUGUAAUUAAAUUACACACAAAAACAUCGUCAACUGAGAGUUUAGCUACACUGCAAAAAAUCUCAGUCCUUACAGCAACGGAGGGCGCCCGCAUUCGGGCAAAGUUGGCGCAGUUUCAGAAAUUCGAUCCGCCAAAGUUUGCUGGAAAGAACGACGAUGGUUGGGUGGUCGAGCAUUGGGUCACCCACAUAGAGAAACUAUUUCGAGGCCUCCACAUCGAGGAGCAGGAUCGUGUCCCUCUCGUUACCCAUUGCCUUGAGAGAAACCGUACCAGUGGUGGAUCCGCCACUUUGAGAAGAAGCUUGCGGGGAUCUAUCCGCCCUGGGAGGAGUUCCGAAAACUCCUCUAUGAGCAGUAUUUCAAGGAUAGCACAAAGCAGAGCUUGGAGCGCGAGCUGGAGCGCCUUAAGCAAGGCAACUGCACGGUUGCGGAGUACGAGCAGGAUUUCAACCGCAUCGUCGAGCUGAUUCCCUUCGUGGUGCGGGAUGAGUACCACAAGGCCAGACUAUUUGCGAGGGGGCUAAGGCCCAACAUUCGGCUGCUUAUCGCGUCCCACAACGUGAUAUCUUUCGACGAGUGCUUGGAUCGGGCUCUGAUGGUGCAGAGCGAGUCGGAGGAGGUCUGAUCUAAGCGGGAUGCAUCUGAGAGAUCGAUUUGGGGACAGGAAGCGUUCCCACACCAAGUCUAGCGGUGGUUCUUCUUUCAGCAAGAAGCCACCCAAGCAUCCGCGCACUCAGCAGUCGACGAGAAGUGCACCUUCUGGCAGUCGGCGACAAGGUGAUCGACCCUGUGUGAUUUGCGGGCAGGCACAUCCUGUGACUGUUUGCCAGCAGCGGAGGGACCACUGCUUCCACUGUGGCCAGCCGGGCCACCUCCGAGCUAAGUGCCCUAGGAGAGAUGGGGCCACUCAGAGUGCUGCUUCUUCCCCAGCCGCAUCGCGACAGAAUCGAGCAGCCUCUGGUGCAGCUACUUCGUCUGGGCGUCCCUCUUCCUCACGCCAAAAUGAGGGGGCGCGCCAGGCUUCUGGUGGGCGUGUCUUCGCCUUGACUCAGCCCGAGGGCGACACUAGUGGCGACGUCCUUACAGGUAUCGUCACCCUCUGUAUUACUCGAGCUAGAGCCAUUUUCGAUACUGGAGCAUCCCACUCAUUCAUUUCGCAUUCAUUUGCAUGUGAGCAUGGCUUUUCCUCACGUCCACUCGAUGUGUCACUCCGGAUUGAGACGCCUGAAGGUGACCUAGUAGCAGAUCGGUGCAUCUUGUCGUACCCUGUCAAUUUGGAUAACCGGUCUUUCCUGGCGAAUCUGGUGGUACUUCUGAUGAAGAAUUUCGACGUGGUGCUUGGCAUGGACAGGCUCACCAGGCACCACGCUACUAUCGACUGUGAGCGAAGGAUGGUGAUAUUUAGCGGGCCUGGCGAAGAAGUAUUUGUCUAUCGAGAAUGUAAAAGCUCCUACUUUGCCACGACUAUUUCUUCUGCUAGAGCUAAGAGACUUAUAAAUGCCAAAUGUGUGGCCUACCUGGCUUCGGUGGAUGUCACCCGCCGAGCUGCACCACCUUUGGAGGAGAUUCCAGUAGUCCGGGAAUUCCCGGAUGUCUUCCCAGCAGAGCUUCCAGGAAUGUCUCUGGACCGGGAGAUCGAGUUCUUCAUCGAGCUAGUUCCUAGUACGGCACCGAUCUCGAAGGCCACCUACUGCAUGGCCUUCGCUGAGCUGAAAGAGCUGAAGGCUCAACUUAAGGAUCUUCUGGAGAAAGGUUUCAUCAGAUCUAGCGUGUCUCCCUGGGGUGCCCCUGUCCUUUUUGUGAAAAAGAAUGACGGUAAUCUGUGGCUAUGCAUCAACUACCGGGAGCUCAACAAGGUCACAGUGAAGAACAAGUAUCCACUGCCCUGGAUUAACGAUCUUUUCGAUCAGCUUCAGGGAUCGUCGAUAUACUCUAAGAUUGACUUGCAGUCCGGGUAUCAUCAGCUUAAGAUCCGAGCUGAGGAUAUACCGAAGACAGCCUUCCGAACUCGUUACGCCCAUUACGAGUUUACGGUGAUGCCAUUCGGGCUUACCAAUGCCCCGGCAGCCUUUAUGGAUUUGAUGAACAGGGUCUUUCGGGCAUACUUGGAUCAGUUUGUCGUGGUCUUCAUUGACGACAUCCUGAUCUACCUGCGGACUGAUGAGGAGCACGAGGAUUACCUCCGGCGAGUACUGCAGAUACUUCGAGAGCACAAGUAAUAUGCUAAGCUCAAAAAGUGCGAGUUCUGGCUUCGCGAGGUAUUUUUCUUUGGGCAUAUUGUGACUCUAUCAGGCAUUACGUUGGAUCCAAAGAAGAUAGCCUCGGUAGUCGAGUAGCCUGAACCAACUUCGAUAACUGAAGUUAGGAGUUUUCUGGGUUUGGCGGGUUAUUAUCGACGAUUCAUCGAGGGCUUUUCCAAGAUUGCCGCACCGCUGAACAGGCUUACCAGAAAAAAAGAAAGAUUUUAGUGGACUACGCAGUGUCAGUAGAGCUUCGAUGAGCUGAAAGAUAGACUGACCUGCGCACCCGUUCUGACUCUGCCGCGGCCUAGUGAGGACUUCGUGGUCUAUUGCGCGCCUCACGAGUCAGUUUGGGGUGUGUGCUUAUGCAGCAAGAGUAUUGCUUACUUCUCUCGACAGUUGAAAGAGUCUGAAAAAAACUACCCGACUCACGAUCUAGAGCUCGCGGCGGUAGUAUUUGCCCUUAAGCUGUGGAGGCAUUAUCUAUAUGGGGCACACUGCGAGAAGUUUCCUGAUCAUCAGAGCCUGAAGUACCUCUUCACCCAAAAGGAGUUGAACCUCAGGCAGAGGCGUUGGCUCGAGCUCUUGAAGGACUACGAUCUCACCAUUCAGUAUCAUCCGGGAAAGGCGAACGCGGUGGCGGACGCCUUGAGCCGAAAACAGCCUACAGCUGAGUUGUUCUUCAUAAUCACGAGCCAGGAUCGUCUUGUGGAGGAGUUCCGCCGUCUCGAGAUAGAGGUUGUUUCCACCGGGGCCACGGCCCAAUUAUUUAUUUUCAAGCGCUGGUAUUCCUAUUGGAAAGAUUGAAAUAUUGUACUAGAUGAAAAAGCAUGGGUUCAAGCACAUCGUUAUGUACUUCGUCAUUAUGAUAACAUUGAGACUUUUCGCUUGUAAGUCAAUCGCCUCUUAUUUACGCUUUACUAUUUAAACUUAUAGAUAAAUUGAAGGAUAUAAUUUUAUAUAAAUGUAGACAAUUCAUUGAUUCAGAGAAAAGAAAAUGACGCCGUCAUGCACUCCUCACUAGUCAUGAGAUAGAAAAACUAGUGAAUAAAAGAUUUCAUGAGUGGUUACAAAGCAAGGUAUAUAUCUUUUUGUCACAAAAUAUUUAAUAUUAUUUGAAGUAAUAAAUUAUAUAAUAAUAUGUUCUAUGAUAUAGGUUACGAGAAUAGAUGAUUCAACUAUUUCAAAAGAAAUUCAAGCCUGUUGGCAUUCGGUUAAAUCGAAUCGGGUGCACCCAUGAUUGGGCUCGAUCCGACCGUUAUUAUGUUAUCUAACUGGAUUAGGAUUAAUCUCGCUUUUAAAUUGGAAAGCUAAUUAGAGAUGAAUUCUAAUCAUAUUAGGAUAACAGUUAAUAACCGAUUUGGCCUUAUCUCCUACGCUAUUAGGAUUUUGGAAUCCCUUAUAAAUAUGUGGGCGAUCCCACAUAACAGAACACACAGAAUGAAAAAGAGAAAGAAUAGGAACACAAAAGAGAGAUACCACAUACUCCAUUAACCUAUUAUUCUAGAGGGACUUGAAUGGUGGAUUUGCGAUUGUGCUCAUUUGUAGUUCGAUCCACCGUGAGUUCGGAGCGUUAGAAGACCUUCAAGGACGAUCCAAGGACACGUGAAUCAAUCUCUACGAUCCGGGCUCAUCGCGUUGUAGCGCGAAUUGCUUCCGCAAAAGGUACGAACGAAUACUUCCGCUGCGUUCUACAAAGCCCUUGCUAGAGGCUCUAAUAAAUUUGCAAGGAGAUUUAGUGAAUUUAUUAUCAAUAGUUUCAGAUUCCAUACAAAAGCUCGUGAAGAAAAUAGAAGGAUCCAAAAUAGUGGUGUUGUUAAUAUUUCGGAAGCAGACGGUGUAAACUAUUAUAGAAGAUUGAAGGAUAUUAUUAAAUUGAACUAUUACGGAAGUUUUAAGAUUGUCUUAUUCAAAUGUGAUUGGGUUGAUAUUCACCGUAGCAUGGGCCUUAAGCAUGAUGAAUUUAGAUAUACUCUUGUGAACUUUUGUCGCUUAAUACACACAGGUGCAGAGCUGAAAGAUGAUUCUUAUGUAUUUUCCUCGCAAGUCGAACAAGUUUUGUAUGUACAAGUGCCCGGAGAUGAGAAUUGGUCUCUGGUAUAUAACCUUAAGGAGGUUAAUACCAAUACUUGUUUGGAAAUGAAAUAGAACUACUUAUGACUACCUGCCCAAUGAGUGGCAGUUGUGAGAACCAAGCCGAGAGACUUAUUCGACAUGGGUGAAGAUUCGACAGACAAUGCUUUACAAUGCUCUCAUAUAUUGAAAAUUUAAAUGAGAAUGAACACCCAAACUGGAUUCGAUGUGAUGUAAACGAAGAUGGCAUGAUGAAAUAUAAUUUCAUAGGAGUAUUAAAAUAGUUCUUCUAAUGCAUGUGUUACAUUUUCUUUCUAAGCUUAAGUUGAUCAUUGUACUAGCAUACUUAAUUUAUACUAAUUGUUUUAUUAGUAUUAUUUCAUCUUUUUGUUCUGUUUAUUAUUACUUAUAGGAUAAUUAAAAUAUGACAUCAAGAUCAAGAAGAUUGCGCAAUUGCAAUAUUUCUUCCUCACAAAAUGAGUUUCAAGUUCAAGAGCAAGUAGGAGAGGAGCAGUUGCCAUCUUCGUCAGAGCCUCUUACAGAGUCAAAUGAUAAUGAGUUUGAAAAUAAUAAUCAAAACGAGCCAUUUCUUUGGAUUAUUGGUAAGCAAUAUUAAUUUUUAAUUAUGUUGCAUAUAAACUUGGCCUUGUAUUUAAUUUAAUAAUUUUAAGUUUAUUUUCAGAUGCCAAUAAAAAUUAGCGUAAGAAGCGAGGGCGUACAACAUUGACAGAUGUAUAGAACUUACCUGAAAGAGAGAGAAUUGAAGUCGAAGUUGAUAAAUACGGGAUUCCUUGUACCUACGCUGGAUCUAUCCUUGGAUCAUUUUUAGGAGUAGUCGCAAAGAAUGGAGUAUUUGCUCCUUUAAAUAUUCCGCGAUGGGAUAACCAAGCUUUUAAUCCAUUUAAGAAAAAAAAAUGCUAAAACAUAUUGAGGUUUUUUAAUUUGCACUUAUUGCUUCCUUUUAAAUUUUAUAUUUGUACUUUUAGAAUAUAGUUUUAACACUAAUCUUUUUAUUUUAUGAAUAGUCAAAGUUUAGGUAUCCUAAGGGAACAAGACAUUGGGUGUUAGCAUCGUUAAACAAAAAGUGGAGAAACUAUAAAAGCGAACUAAGAUGCGAAUAUUUUUCAGAAGAUAAAUUGAUUCAAGAGUUAGUUAAUAACGUGCCACUUGGUGUGAUCCGAGAUCAGUGUACUAGCCUAAUAGCGCAUUAGUGCACGGAGGAUAGUAAGGUAUAAAAGAUUUUUAUACCAAUUAUUUCAAAAUUAGUAUGUUCAUUUUUAACAUUAAUAUCUUUUUUUAUUGCAGAAACUUUGUGAAUUGAAUUCUGCGUCUGCAAAGAAGGUAAAGAUGACCCACACAUAGGGUAGAAAAAGUUAUGCAAGAAAAUAAAAAAAAAUGGUAAUGACUCGAUAUUAAAAAUUAUUUUAUUUUAUAUGAUAUUUAUGUCUGUUUAUCAUCUAUAAGUCAUUAUUUACUUUUUGUUAUAGGAAAUUGUUUUUGGCAAAAAACCUGAUCGACUAAAUUUUUAGGAGGUGACCGAUAAGAAAAAAAAUAAAAAUUUCGUAAAUAAGGAUGUGGAGAAUAGUUUGGUGCGUAGAAUUUUUUUUCUUCGUCGUUAUAUUUAAUAUUCAUAGGAUUUGUAGAAUAUUAAUCAACAUUUUUUUUUCCCUCAAAUGUUUAAUAGAAUACAGCACGUCGAAAAUUUGUUGAACUUUCUCAAGGUUCUGAAUCUGAUACAAGCAAGCUAAUAGACAAGGCUUUUCUUGAUGUCAUGCUUUUCUUGAUGUCAUGGGUCUUAAACAUAAUGGAUGUGUGAAAGGGUUAGGCUUGGGCCCUACGUUGAGAUCAUAUUAUGGUGUGAAACAUAUGAAUUUGCCUAUAACGGGAGAAUCAAGUGGGAGACAAUCAGGGGAGGCACUACAACAGAAUUAGGUUAUAGGGACACAUGUUUGGGACACUUUUGAGUAAGUGUCCUAUUUAUCCUAAAACUUAAAAAAAUAUCUACUAAUGCCUAAAUAUAAAGCCCAAUCCAACCAAAAAUAAAAGAUUACUCAACUCAACUCACCACACCCAGUCCAUUUGGCCCGAUUACAGACAGAAAAGAAAAAAAAAAAAGAAAAAUCAAUUACCAUCUUUUCUUCUCUUUUCACUCAAUCCACUAAAAUUCUAGACGAAGAGCCUUUCCUGUCGUCCUCCUCCGCCACCGCAGCCAACGAGAUAGAGUUUCGGCGGUUGCUAAAUGCUUAAAUAAGUGUUGGUAAAUUAGCAGCACUUUUUUAGGUUAUAGCGACACUCUUUAACUGUCACUAUAUACCUAGCGACCCCACAUAUAGCAACACUUUUUAAAAGUGUCGGUAAUUUUAGCUAGCAGCAUUUUUUUGAUAUGUACCUACAUUUAAAAGUGUCACUAUAGACCGUUUUUGUUGUAGUGAGGUAGAAAGGCUCAAGGGGGAAACAUAUUGAAAACAAAAUGGAUACAUUUCUCUCGGAAAUGGAUCGCAUAAAAGCUCUAUUAUUAGAUAGAGUUCUCAAUUCUGAGGUAUAUCAAUUUGAUAGUAAGUUAUUACUAAUAAUAUAUUUGAAUAGUUUUGCAUUUUAGUAUAAUUAACAAUUUUUCUAUUGUUUGAUUUUUUUUAGGUUGUGGGUGGCAAUACUAAUCCCGUUGAUGCAUUCUCUCCAAAUCAUCAUCAAUCAUCGAAUGCAAGUUAUCAACCCAGAAAUAAAGAAAACCAUCGCACUAUUGAAAUCUUAUUAAGUAGUGAAAACUCAAUUGUUGACUAUGUUUAAAACUAUUUAAACUUUAUUCUAUUUUGUGUUGCUACUAUUGGAUAUAUAUAUAUAUAUAUAUAUAUAUAUAUAUAUAUAUAUAUCAUAAGAAUUAUGCUCCUAUACUAUUAUAGUACUCAAUCCCCUUUGUUCACUCAUUGAGUUUUUGGCCCGUUGAAUGAAAGGAUGUGGCGGUUAGGAUGAUAUGGUCCCCUACGGUUGAUGUGGUACAGUGCGAUUGGUUUAAUAGUAUUAAUCUAACGGGUGGAAAUGAUCACAGGUAGAUCUAAGGUUUUAGAAACUCUAUAGUACAAGGCUUGGUACUAUCAAUAGUAUAGUAGCGGACUUAUUGUAUAUAUAUAUAUAUAUAUAUAUAUAUAUAUAUAUAUAUUUGAGAGAGACUAUUGGAUAUAUAUUGAAUGACAAUAUUGUGUUUUGUAUCAUAUGUUAAAGAAUUGGGUUGUAGCUUGUUGUGUUGCUACUAUUUGAUAUAUAUUGAAUGGCAAUAUUGUGUUUUGGAUUAUAUGUUAAAGAAUUGGGUUGCCGCUUGUUGUGUUGCUACUAUUAGAUAUAUAUUGAAUGACAAUAUUGUGUUUUGGAUCAUAUGUUAAAAAUUUGGGUUGUUGGGUUGUUGCUUGUUGAGAAUUGUUCUAAGUUUUCUGCUAUUAAUUUAUUUUUUGUUAAAUAUUAUAUUAUUUAUUUUUUUGGCGAGAAAUGUAAUAUUUGAUUGUGGUAAUAUUUAUGAUAGUAUGUUUGUUAAUAAUUUUUAAUUUUUUGUUCAUAAAUGCAUAUCAAUAUAAAUAUUAAUAUAAUUUUUACUACAUCUGUAGGAUAGAGGCGGUUGAAACCGCCUCUACCAUUAAUUCUGCAUAAUAAUAUUUAUAGAGGCAAUUUAGACCGCCUCUAUAGAUUAAAAUUUAUAAAGGUGGUUUGGACCGCCUCUAAAGAUAAAUAUUUGUAGAGGCGGUUUAAACCGCCUCUACAAUGUAGAGGAGGUAUCUACGGCGGUAGUCUAGAGGCGGUUGCAGAAACCGCCUCUAUGAAUCGUAGAGGCAGUUUAAACCGCCUCUACGAUCGCUAAAAACUGCCUCUACAAGCGCCUGUUCCUGUAGUGCAAUUUGCUUAGGUCUACAGAUGACGACGCUUGCAUGUGUCGGUAAACGUGCCGACGGUAUAAAGCUUCAUUAAAUUUUAAAAAUUUUUAUAAUAGCCUAGAACUUGGGGACAUGUCGGAACGUCGCCAAAAUUAAAUUAACGACGCAUGAGAGCAGCGGUAGCAACUAACCGACGCACGCAAAACGUCGCCAUUUUGCUGUCGGCACUUUUCUUUGCGUCGGUGGAUAUUUUUCCGAUGCUUAAUAGCGUCAUAAAGUUUUAAAAAAAGAGUAGCUAGAAACCCCUUCUGUUGUAGUGAUCUGGAGAAGACAUAAGGUGUAAACUUGUAUUUAUAGUGCACGCAAAAUACAUUAUUUCUUACCCCUAAUUUUUAUUUUUGGGCAAUUUAAAGCCAAUCAAGAUUUGCCACGUAUGCCAAUGAUCGCUUGCAUUGAUUUUUUCGAAACUUGGAGUGCUUGUGUUGACCCAAAUCGUGGGCCAAAAUUUAAAAUCCAAUUCACAGUUAUGCUUUCGUACCAUUUUUAUUGGAUAGUAACGUGAUAUGGAUGUAGAUAUUUGUAUCUUUCACUCUGUUUUAGAGCCUGUGCCUAGACUAUGAAAAAGUAUAGAAAACAAAUAAAAGAUACAGGAGAAAAGGUACUAUACUGUGAGCAUUUAGAUUCCAAUUUUAUAUUUAAUUUUGAAGGGCCCUUUGCACAACUUUCAUUACUAUGGGGGGCCUCUUUGGAAGAGUUUAAUUUUCUAUGAUAAUCUAAUUCCUAGUAGAGUUGUCAACCGAGUCAACUAGAAUUUUCUAGUUGCUAAAGUAAAUAUUUUUAUUUGAUUAGAGAUAAGUUUAUUUAAGCAAAUUGUAGAGAAGGAAUCGGAUUGGAUCUUUUUUUUUUCCUUCCCAAAUCCUAGUCUCCCUAGGUUAAUGAAUCCAAUUAUAAAUUUCCUCCAAUUAUGAACUCGUUCGUUUUCACAAAUUGAUCAAUUUGUGUUUCUUUUUUCUUACAUAAAUAACAUAGUCUCCCCAGGAAAAGAGCUUUUUACUAAAGUCAUGGAUUCCUCUCCUCAUCUUGCUACAGCAAAAAGCUCGGACAAGAAGAAACUCUCCGAUUUGAUAGAACAGUUUAAUUUGUCUGCAGCGGGCUAUUUUGAUGGAUGCCAUGCAGAAAAAUAGGUGUCGAAUUUUGACUAUUCCUUUAGGAACUCCGUGAAGGCUCGAUUCAACGAACAAAGCGAAACAUACGAAAAAUUCAUUAAACUCAUGUCCGGCCAUCAGCACAACAGUAUCGAAUCUGAAUCAACUAUCGCGGCCAUGAAGGAACUCCUCGACAGCCACCCGGAUUUGAUCAGCGGUUUCAACACUUUUUUGCCGAGAGUCAAACAGUGUGAAAUGCAGGACAAAUGCACUAGUUUCCUGAACAAAUUGAAGAAUCGCUUUCCGAGAACUACAUUUGCUCGUCUUUCGUGCAUAUCUUGUCUAUGUAUCGAGAUCGAAGCAUGUCGGCCCAUCAAUUAUGCGAAGAGGUUGUAGUGUUUUUUUUUGCCCACCCAGCCUUGCUCAAGGAGUUUAGGAGAGUUUCUACUUGACGCUUAUAGGAAACCCAUAUGCUCUGAUGGUGAUAUUGCAUCUCAUGUCGCAUAACCGUGCGCAACGAUUGGUGCUAAGAGAGUCAAAGUUGAUGAUCCAAAGCAUGGGCGUAAGAGGCAUGCAAGAAACGAGUAAAUUAGACCUGAAGUUGCAUCUUGUUGAUCGAUGGUGUUCAAGAGAGCAGUUAUGGAGUCUUCAGAACCGCUUAACACUUCAAACUUGGAGCAGUGUACCCCUAGUUACUGCAUAUUGCCAAAGAACUAUGAACUCCUAGUUGCAAGUUACAUGUCGAAACUCGACAAGUCGAUUCUAAAUGAUACUGUGGUAUUCGCUUAGAAGAGAAAACGUUGACGAUAGAGAAAUCGAGUACGAGAUAGAUUUGGAAAGCAAAUAGGCGAAUGCAAUAUCUAAACAUGUAAAAGCAGCAGUUGCCUGUCAGUAGCUAGAAAGAAUGUUUACACCUUGAGUUGGUUCUGUAAAGAGUUUGUCUUCUGUAGAUAUCUAACUGGAAAGCUUACCAAAAUUGUUCUUUUUUCACUAAAAGUGCAGAGUUAGUAUUAGUCGGGUAAAGGUAUUGUUAAACAAAGUGAUACAUUUGAAGCUCCUAAUAAUCCAUCCGAAAAAAAAGUACUAGAAAUUUUCUUAUUUCUAUUAUUCACAAUGCAUAUGCAGGAGAAUUGCCCGAAGAAUGGUGUACCUGCCCAAGUGGGGCAACCUUCACCGCGAGCUUAUAAAGGAGUGUCAUGACUCCAAGUGGGCAGGCCACCCAGGUCAGAAACGGACCCUGGCGUUGCUCAAGGCCGCCUACUUCUGGCCGCAGAUGCACGAAGACGUUGAGACCUAUGUGCGAACGUACUUGGUGUCUUAAUAGGACAAAGUUGAGCACCAGCGACCUCGCGGACUCCUCGAGCCUUUGCCUGUGCCUAGCCAUCCGUGGGAGAGCCUCUCUGUGGAUUUCAUCUCCACCUUGCCAAAGGUAGGGGAGCUUGGGUCCAUUUUGGUGGUGGUUGAUCAUUUUUCUAAGUAUGUGACCUUCAUCGCUGCACCGACUGGUUGCACGGCUGAAGACAUGGCACUCCUUUUCGUCAGCCACAUCGUCAAGCUUUGGGGAAUCCCCACAAGCAUUGUGAGCUACCGCGACCCCAGGUUUACUGGCAAGUUUUGGACCGAGGUGUUCAAAAUCUUGGGGUCUGAUUUGCUCUUUUCUACCAAUUUUCACCCGCAAAUGGACGGGCAAACAGAGUGGUGAAAGCUCUAUCGGAGUACUUGCGGCACUAUGUAAGUGCCAACUAGAAGGAUUGGGUGCAUCACUUGGAUGUCGCCCAGUUUUUCUACAACUUGCAGCGCAACGAGUCUACAAGCUGCAAUCCCUUGAGCUAGCCAUCGGGCGACAGUCGCUUGCCCCACAUACAGCUACUUCGGAAGAGCAGUUCUACAACCUUGUUGCUCUUCAAUUUAUCUCUAACUUGCAGAAAAAGGUGAAAUUGCGAGGGCAAACUUGGAGAAAACAGCUCGACGAAUGAAGAAGUGGGUUGACGAAAAGCGUCAACCUCGGGAGUUCGCCGAGUGAGACCGUGUGAUGGUCAGGUUUCAGUCGCAGUAGUUCAAAGCCCUGUGAAAGGUGCACAAGAGACUGCUGCGCAAGUAUGAAGGUCCAUUUAUCAUCAUCAAACGUGUAGGCAAGGGUGCCUACAAAUUGCAGCUACCCAUGAACCUCAAAAUUCACCCCAUCUUCCAUGUUAGCAGGCUGAAACUGCACCACAAAGACGUAGAGGAUUCGAGCUGUGGUGUGUCACAGCAAGCACCUACGACCAUGGUCACUUCAUUCGACAAACAAGCGUAGUCCAUCCUAGACACUCGACUCAUUCGACAAUGUGGAGUUUCACUGAGUCCUGAGUACUUUGUGAAGUGGAAGAAUCUUCCUUAUGGCGAGGCUAGUUGGGAGAAGGCGGAUACACUUUGGCAAUACUAAGUACUCAUCGACGAGUUCCAAAAGCAACGCGCGACGAGAACCCCUGCGCAUUAGGUGGGGGAGAGUGUCAAGGAUUUAGAAAAAUUCUACGCAGCCCGGUCCUUGGCCCAACUCCGCAAGUUGAAAUGGGUUGAAUCUAAUUAUCAAGGAGACCCGAUGUAAUACCUUGAACUUUACAAUUGGUGAAGUUGGAAAGUGGGGUUGAGAAGUGGCAUGUGCCCACAAGUUCUAAUUGUUGUAAAUGUGGUUUUGGGCCAAUUUUGAGAGCUAUUAAACUUUUGGAUGCAAGAAAGUGCGUCGUCGAAGCGAUUCCUGAACUUACUGUAUUAUAGUAUACGGAACGUCAGCAAUUUGCGGAGUUCGAGAGUGAGGAAUGCAAUGGGGAAGUAUCCUACAUGUUCUAAAGGACUUAGACAAGUUUUUGGACAAGUUUGGGAGUGAUUGGAUGGCUAAAAGCAAGAAAGUGCAUUGAUUGGGCGAAAUCAGCUUUUUCUGCUUGNGGAGUCGCGCCUAGCUAGGGACUACUAGGAGCGUGCUAGUCGAUCACCUUGUUACUCGGGCUACGGCCGAGGGUGAUGUCCCUAUGUAUAGAGAGACCACCGUUGUACCUAUUCUUUUUGGAUACCCUGUAUAUGUAUAUGUGUUAUUGGAAUCAGAAUUUAUAGUUGUGAUACUUUCAUCUUUUAGUUGAGUUUUGGAUUGUACACUCUUUGCCCUUUUGCUGAUAGUAUAUCGACUUAUACUUUGCUCUGAUAUCAGGAUAGGACUUUCUUUGUUUUACUUCCUAUCGUUUUGCUUCUUGUAGACGCCUUAUAUACUGCAGGUGUAUGGCGGAUCUGUGCACGUGCCGGAUAUGCUUCCGCUGGUAUCCGGGCGUGACACCCGAAGCCAACACAUUGUGGGAGAAUGAAGGGUCAUAAAACUGUUGCCAUUAUGCCCCACCCUUAGGAAAAAAACUGCUAAGAGUUAUAGGAGAGGCUCUUGGGCUUACCUUUUAUGAGGGCUCAUUAUGUAUGAGUUAGUGGGUAGUUAUGAUAGCUAGGUUCAUUAUAUCUUUAGGCCUAUAAAUAGUGAGUGUGGCUAAGGCCAAAAUACACAAAAGAGUGUGUAUGUAUUGUAAUCCUCUUUUUUGAAUAAUUGAGAGUACUUAGUUUUUUUCGGUUAACCUCUAUUCCUCUCUUUUCUUUCCUUUGCAUACUUAGUCGUAGGACACGAAGGUUUGGGCUAGCAAAAGGGACAAAGGCUUGUCCAUCUUUGCAGAGAAACGUGGGCGUCGCGCGAGCUUUGCGAGCAAAAACGCGGGUGUGUUUGGAUUCCCGUAAAAUCACUCCAAAAAAAUUUUUUCGUUGGAAAAAAUAAUUCUCUAUUGUUUGGUUGCUUGUAAAUUUUUUUUUUCGACUUCUUUUUUUUUUUUUCUUUUUUUUUACAGAUUCUCAAAAAACUAUGCUUUUUCAUUUUUUUGCUAUCUUCGAGCGGAAAACGAAAACUUUGUGCUAAAAAAAUAUGAUUUAGGAGGAUGCUAUAUAUAUAUAAUAUUUUAUUUUUAUUUAAAUAUGUUGUUAUAUAAUAUUAUACUAGUUUAGGAAUCCACGCGAUGCAGUGGAUAAAAAUUUUUUAGUAAAAUUUAUAGAUUAAAUAAAUAAAUAUAGAAUAUAAAAAAGAAAAAAAUAGGAUAUAACAAUAUUUGAUUGAAUUAAAUAAUAUGAAAAACACCUUAAAACUUUUAGAAUGGAAUUAUAUUUCAAUAAAAAAUAACGAAAGAUAGAAAGAACAAUAGGAGAAGAAAAAUUGGCUCACUAGGGUAUUCUCUGCCGACGCCGACGAUUUCGUGAGGUACCAUAACGCUUUCAACCCUUUUUCCGGCAACUUUAUAUCCUAGCCGAUAUUUCUUGUUCUCGAUGACCAUUAGAGAAGGGGGAAGCACCUCCUUCGUAUAACUAUAUAAUACAAAUUUAAGUACAAAUAUUAUACAUCUUCAAUAUUAUAUAUAAUAAUAUAAAACCAACAACAUAAAAAUUAAAUAUAUAUAUAUAUAUAUAUAAUAAAAAAAUAUACUUAUUUAGAGAGAAAGAAUAAACAUCAUCAAAUUCCUCAAUUAAUCACUAAAUAAAAAAAAUGGAUAAAACCGAAAGAUGGUAGGUAGCUAGUGCGUCUAUUGAAAUUAAUUAACUAAGAGGAAUUUUCUAAAUUAAUGAGGUUGGGUGAAGGUGGAGAGGUGGGUGGUGAUUUUUAUAUACGAAGUAAAUUGUUUCAAUAUCUCUCCGAUCUCACCUUUUAUGGACAGUAGGCCAAGAGGCAUUGAAAGAAAGAAAUAAAUGUGAAUAAAUACAACGAAAAGUGAAGAGUUGUUAGAAAAAAUUAGAUUAAAUACAAUUUUUUUGAGAAGAAAAGAAAUAGCUUAGGGUCCAUCUCUCUCAAAUUAAGGGGUGCAUCCGCGUAGGAUUUAGAUAUGAGAAUUCAUAUAUAAGUAUAUAGAAGUAUAGAAGUAUAGAUAUAGAUUUUUUAGAGAAAAAAAAUAGCUCAGAGUCCCACCUUCCUAAAAUUAAGGGAGUACAUCCACAUAGAAUUUAGGCAUGAGAAUUCAUGUAUAGGUAUAUAUAGGUAUAGAUACGAAGUAUCUUGUUUCAACAUCUUCCCUAUCUCACCUCUCAUGGACGUUAGGCAAAGGGACACUGAGCGAACGAAAGUAAAUGUGAGUAAAUAUAACGAAAAGUGAAGAGUCAUUAAAAAAAAUAUAGACUAAAUAUAAUUUUUUAGAGAAGAAAAGAAAUAGUUCAGUGUACCACCUCCCUCAAAUUAAAGGGGUGCAUCUACAUAGGAUUUAGGAAUUAAAAUUCAUAUAUAAAUAAAAAAAUAUAAAUAAAUAUAAAUUUUUUAGAGAAGAAAAGAAAUAGUUCAGUGUACCACCUCCCUCAAAUUAAAGGGGUGCAUCUACAUAGGAUUUAGGAAUUAAAAUUCAUAUAUAAAUAAAAAAAUAUAAAUAAAUAUAAAUUUUUUAGAGAAGAAAAGAAAUAGCUUAGGGUCCCAUCUCACUCAAAUUAAGAGGAUGCAUCCACAUAGAAUUUAGGCAUGAUAAUUUAUUGUAUAAUAAUAUAAUACUAGUGUAGAAAUCCGCGCGAUGCGGCGGAUAAAAAUUAUAAUAAAUUAUAAUUAAAUAUAUAAAUAAAAAUAUAAAAAUAUAGUAGAAAAUAAUUAAUAUUUGAUUGGUUAAUAAUAUAAAAAAUAUAUUAAAAAAUUUUUUAUAAUAAAAAUAUAAUCUAAUGGAGAACAAAGAAAGAAAACAAAAAAAUAAACUAUAAGAGAAUAAAAUCUGUUGAUAGGAAUUAAAAAAAACAUAAUUUAAUGUAAGAAUCACUACAACAAAAACGGUGUAUAGCGACACUUUUAAAUGUAGGUACAUGUCAAAAAAGUGCUGCUAGCUAAAAUUACCGACACUUUUAAAAAGUGUUGCUAUAUGUGGGGUCGCUAGGUAUAUAGUGACAGUUAAAGAGUGUCGCUAUAACCUAAAAGAGUGCUGCUAAUUUACCAACACUUAUUUAAGUAUUUAGCAACCGCCGAAACUCUAUCUCGUUGGCUACGGUGACGGAGGAGGACGACAGUAAAGGCUCUUUGUCUAGAAUUUCAGUGGAUUGAGUGAAGAGAGAAGAAAAGAUGGUAAUUGCUUUUUCUUUUUUUUUUCUUUUCUGUUUGUAAUCGGGCCAAAUGGACUGGGUGUGGUGGGUUGAGUAGAGUAAUCUUUUAUUUUUGGUUGGAUUGGGCUUUAUAUUUAGGCAUUAGUAGAUAUGUUUUUAAGUUUUAGCAUAAAUGAGAUACUUACUCAAAAGUGUCUCAAACAUGUGUCCCUAUAACCUAAUUCUAUUGUAGUGAAUAAAAGAGGAGGAAAAAAAAUAAAAACCAGAGGUGAUUUUGUUGGGGUUGGUUUUAUUACUUGACGAAUUAUAGUGGGCUCCGAUUGCUUUUGUUUAUACAUAAAAAUCAAUUUUUUUUAAAAAAAUAGUAAUUAAAAUAAAAUAAAAUUAGGAGAGAUUUUUUUCUUUUCAAGAAAAAAAACAAUAUUUUUUAAUUUAUAAAAAUGUAAUAUUUCACCCGAAUAUAUACAUUCAUCAUGAUAAUUUUCUUAAAAUAUAUUGUAAAAAUUUAAAUAAUAGAAGAAGAGAGAUUAGGCAGAAGAGGAGGCGAAUGGUCGGGCAAAAAAAAGAAAAAAAAAUUAAGAGAAAAGAGAUGAAGGGGCAGAUGAAUAGAGAGGAGUAAUGUAAGAAGCAUUUAGAAGAAAAUUAAUACCACCUUAAUUAAACGAGAGAGAAUAUUGGCUCCACUAACAUCCUAAUUAAGAAGAAAGAGAAUUUAGGCUCACUAAUUAAGAGAAUAAUUCUGUAGGUUUAGAAAGGGGAGGGGUCCACUUUUUCCAUGAAUUGCGGAGAGGGCUUGAAAUCUAUGAGAAUUCAUUAUAUUUUAUAUUGUAAAAAUUUAAAUAACAGAAGAGGAGAGAUUAGACAGAAGAGGAGGCGAAUGGUUGGACAAAAAAAAAAAAAAGAAAAAAAAAGAGAAAGGAGAUCGAUUAAGGGGCAGAUGAAUAGAGAAGAGUAAUGUAAGAAGCAUUUAGAAGAAAAUUAAUGCCACCUUAAUUAAAAGAGAGAGAAUAUGGGCUCCACUAAUAUUUUAAUUAAGAAGAAAGAGAAUGUAUGCUUCAUUAAUUAAGAGAAUAAUUCUGUAGGUUUAGAAACGGGAGGGCUCCACUUUUUCCAUGAAUUGCGGAGAGGGCUUGAAAUCCAUAAGGAUUCAUUAUAUUUUAUAGAUAAUAUAUAAUAUAUUUUAAUAAUAAAAAUAAUAUAUAAUAUAUAUAAUAAAAAAAUAUAAUAAUUAGUUAGAAUAUUUUGUUACUAAAGAAAAUAAAUAUUUCAUACUAUUAUGUGUCGGCACACAAGAAUUUUUUUGACAGGCAUGUAUCGGCAUGGCUCGGCACACAUCAUGCCAUACCGUACUUGCAAGUUUCCAACACGACUCCGUACCACUGCACUUAAAUUCUUAGUUAAAACUGCCAACGAGCUGAGUGGAACUGAGUCAUUGACUCAUAAAAAUUUAAACUUUAAAUUUAAAAUUUUGAAUUUAAAUUUAAAAUUUAAAAUUUGAAUUCAAAAUUAAAAUAAAAUUUUAAAAUUUAAGUCUAAAAUCAGAAUCAGAUUGCAAGAAGCAAAUUUUAGCUGCUUCUAAUUUUGGGACUUGAAAAUAAUAAAAUUGAUGUUAAAUAUAAGAACCAAAUUCUGAAAAUGAGAUUGCCAAAUGGUCUAUUAAGCUAAAAAUUACUUUUGAGUCCAAAAUCACUUCUGAGAAGCUAAUCCAAACACCGACUUAUUCGUUUAUUAAACGAGCCGAAUAUGAGCUGGUUCGUUAAAAUAUCGAUCCGAAAAAUUUAAAUCAUGUUUGGUUUAUUUAUUAACGAGCCGAAUAAGAGUUAGCUCNCUUUUUUUUUUUUUUUUUUUCACAAUUUUACGUGUUUGGUGAAACCAAACCGACCCUAGGUUCGUGACAGUUGGCUCGUCUUCGCACGGUCGCUCGAAACGGAAGAAAAAGAAAAAGCACUCGCUUAAAACUUUUGCCCUAGCUUCUCGCCCCUGCCUCCGCCCCCAUCCCUUCCCCUCCCCCUUCCCUUCCGGCCGCUCGCCGAUCGCCGUCGGAAGCCCCGGCAGGGCCACACGGCGCUCGACGUCGAGGAUCGGGUUCUUUAGAACCCUCCUCGCCCGGGGCCGCGCACCGCUCGCCAUCGGAACGCCCCGCGAGGCCGAGCAUCGGAAGUUCGGAACCACCCCGGCCGCGCGCCGCUCGCCAACGGAACCCCCGCGAGGCCGAGCAUUGGAAGCUCGGAACCACCACUGCCGCGCGCCGCUCGCCGCUCGCCACCGGAACCCCCCGCGAAGCCGAGCGCUGCUCACCAUCGGAAGUUUGGAACCACCCCGGCCGCGCGCCGCUCGCCACCGGAACCCCCCGCUUCGCCGCGCGCCACUCGCAAUCUGCUUCCGAGUCCCGCUGUCCCACUGCCGCACGCCCACUUCAUCUGGUACAGAACUACAAAUUCUUAUUUUCCAUGACUAUGAGUGGAGUUAAUAUUUGCUAUUAUCUGCAUGUUAAGUGCCAAAUUUUUAGAAUCCUAGCAAUAUUGGUUUUUUCUCUCUAGUUAAUCUUGAUUUCUAUUUAUAGCAGUUUUCUCUUAUAUAUAUUGUUGAUAUUGUUGCUGUUGUGUUUUUCUUUUGCCCAAAGCAUCCUUCUCUUCCUCUAAACUGCAUAUUUCUAUAUUAGUCCUAAUUAAGUAGUUGUUACAUACUUACAUCCAUUAAGUUGUUUGCUGUUGUCUGAAGACUCAGAACCAAUGGAGUGGGGUUAAUUAUCUUUUAUUUGUUUACUGUUUAGACUUCAGAUAUGUUAGUAUGCACUAUGCAGAGUGCAAGCUUUAUCUUGUAUUUAAUUUCCAACUAUGCUUGUAUGUGAACCCUGUAUGUUUUAUAUUUAAAUAUGGACUAUCUUAAUCUCUUACUUGCUUGAUUAUUUACAUAUUGUGGGGCGUAACAUAGUUUGCUAUUAUUUUUUUAACUUAAUAUGCUUAAUUUUGUAGCUCUUUGUUUUUAUAUUGUUAAGAAUUAUGGGUAUUUAUGCUAAUAGCAUAAAUCUAGAGGGAAAAAACUUAAUUUAAUAGCCAAAUUUUUGAUCCCGAAUUUUUAAUUGGUGAACGUAUAAUAUCCAUAUAAAUCACGUAUCCGAAUAAUUGGCGAAUCUGUUUUUUAGCCAUAUUUUUCAACGAAUUUUAAAAUUAGGAUAUGUAUUUUAUUCAUAAUUUCAUAUUAUACCCGUACCGGAUUUUUGCCGAAUCUGAAUUAACUAACUAUGCCAAUCACUCGCUCAGGUGUGGAAUCGUAUGCUCCAAUUUUGUCAUGUUUGUGCUUAAUUUUGUGGUGUUGUUGUUUGUGAUUGUAAUUUUGAUUGUGAUGGACAAAUUUAAAUCAGAAUUAUGCGCCACAUGUCAAAUUGCAGUUGAUAGAUUUAUGCUUCGUUCAGGAUUGCGGGGAGAUUGCGUUAUGUGCGGUGAGAAAGUACGUUGGAAAAAUAUCAUGUUUGUUUUCGUAUGUAAUAUUGCGUUCCGCAUAUCACGAUGAGUCGGUUACGAUAUAUUUUCUGCGGUCCCACCGGAGAACGCAGAAGCAUAUCCCUAUAUGCUUUUUUCUCAACUUCAUUUUAUCGAAUAGCGUUAGAUAGGCCUCAAUACCAAACUAAGCCUUAGUAAUGAGUUGCUUGAUCGGAGCGGUUGCUUGGUUAUUAAACAUUUAGGCAGAUUUGAUCCUAUUGAUUUAGUGACAAAUGCAAAUAUAUUCCUGCAAACUUGCCGUCUUUUCUGAAACGAAGAGGGUGAAGCAAUAGGCCUAGGAAAAAGAUCAAUUAAAAUGCAUAUAUAGAUAUCAGUGACAGCCAUAGUUUGAAAAGGUGCGCUUGAGGCGCGAGCCUCGGCGCCUAGGCACGAGGCGUCGGCCUCAACGGCUCAGCAAUAGCGAGGCGCGGCGCUAUUACUGAGGAGUGUGCCUCGUACCUGAGGCGCGCGCCUUAGGCGAGGCGCGCUUGAGGCAUGCGCCUCGCAAUAUUUAAGAUUUUUUGUUCAAGUUUUCCAAUUGUCGGCUUUUAAAUUUGCUUCUUAUACUUUAACCCGAUAAGAUACCUAAAAAUCUUAAAAGAAAUCCAAAAAAAUUCUAGUUUUCGAAUUGUGGGGUUUUGAAUUUGCAUCUUAUACUUUAAAUCCGAUAAGAUACUUAAAAAAUCUUAAAAGAAACCCAAAAACCCCUAAAAAAAUUAGCCGCUCGCCCCCUUCUCUCCUUCUCUUAUUCUCCCACAUUCUUUUCCUGUUGAGCAUCCAACAGCAGCUGUGCUAGCAGCAAGAAGCAGCGGUAGCAAACCAGAGGUGACCAGAACAAACAACCAGCAGCAGCGGCAGCAAGAAAACGAGAAGCAGCAGUAGCGUUAGCGAGAACAUCAAAUUAAACUAUAUGCAUGUGUUUUCUUUACUUUUUGAUAGUUAUUUUGGGGUUUUUUAAUGUAGAACAUUAAAUUAAUUUAGGCUUAGUAAAUGUGCGCCUCGCCUUCUUGAGGCGCGUGCCUCGCAAUGCGCCUCACGCCUAGGCUCCAGGAGAGUCUUGCGCCUCUCUGCGCCUUGCACCUUUUCAAACACUGGUGACAGGUUAGUAAGAAGAUUAUAUUUUAGUAUCGAAAAAGAAGAACCAAUUGGUUGACGGAAGGUGAUUAAUUAAUGAAGAGACCAAAAUGUUAAAUAACGAAGCAAUCGCUUCGAAAGGACAGACUAUUGGGCAUAAUCUGAUGAAUAGAUAUUGACCAGAAUGAAUAGGUUGGAUGGAGAAGAGACUGUUGCAAUUCGAUAAUGAAGAGGGUUAGGGUUUACUAAAGCAAAUAUGUAGCAAACAAUUUUAACUGAUAAACUCUCUCCUAGAAUAGGAGUUGCAAAUGAACUCUACAUUUUACUGUCCCUGUGAAAUUGAUUUAGUGACAAUGUACAGAUAUCCUUGUGAAUGUAAGGAUGCAGCAGUAUUUAUACUAAGAAGGCAAUCAAGGCAUAUGCAUUGUAGAUAUGGACAACUUGGUUCUUCUUUUUUCCAUUGAAAAUGGAUUUGGAAUGAGCCCAAACAAUGGCUUAACGGUCAAUUGCAAUUUUGUCCUAUUAUAUAUUUAAGAAGACGGGAUAAUAGAUGUAUGCGAAGGUUGUGGUUGUAGUAGAAGAUGUGCAGUUGAGAUGCCUAUGGAGAAAGAGAGUUGUUAAAAAAGAAAACAGUAAUUUGCCAAUCUCAAGUUACCAAAAAAGGAAAAGAAAAAGGGAAAUGCUGUAGUAAAGAGUUGAUUAACAAAAUCCUGAAUAGCUUUAUCAAGGUAUAGCAAAUUUACUUUUUUUUCCUUGUUUCUAUCCAAACCACACUACAAUGUGCUUGAGAACUACUUCAAUUUUCUAGGUAUUCAAAUCUUAAAAUGUAAAGUAUGACUUGUAUAUAAAUACAGUCAAUUACUGACUUAAUUACUCCAUAUGGCACUAAACUUAGAGUGUUCCAUUUUUUACAAUUACUGAAGUUCGGAUUUCACGUCUGGUUUCUACAGCCAAUUAAACAAAUAAUUGGAUUUUGAAUUGAAUAUUUUGGUUACAUAUAGUUUUCUCCAUGCCAAUUUAUAUGCACAAAGGACUUUAUUUUGAUAGCUACCUUAUUCUAAGGUGUUUGUAAUUGAAGAAAGUGAGAAAAGGUAGCAUAGUUAAGCUAGCAUAAAGAGUUUGAAACUACUCAUAGGGAGUUUAAAACUUAAAUUGUUCUGAAGUUUGCCACUGAAAUUGCUGUAGAGAGUUUGAAACUUUUUUUGUACUUUUCUGAUAGGUGAAUAAAUCAUGUAGACAAAAGUAUUGUCCUAAAAGGCUAAAACCUAACUAAAUUCAAUGGAGAGCUUAAUAAAAUAACCUUAAGCUCAGUAAAAUGUUUGCCAAUGCCAAAUGAUCAAGACCACACUAUUUUUUUUUAAUCAAUGGCUUCUAAUCCAAUAAUGUUUAUUAAACUAAACUAUUUUUUAUGCAGGUUCAUUUUCAGAUUUCUUGGUUUAGGAGUGUAAACUAGCUUAGUGGAAAGUAGCACGGCAAUUAACUCAAGCUUUUUGUUAUAGUUUUAUAAUAGUUAUGAUUGUUGCAAUUUAAGCUUUCUUAUUAGGCUAUUAGCCUGUUGGAAGACGCCAUCAUGUUGUUAUGGAAUGGUUGUAGCGAGGUUUGCUAAUUUGAAUAAAUCUGGGUUGGAGUAGUAUAAUAUGUUGAAAUAUUAUUAGUUUUUUUGUUAAAUUUGGCUAUUUGAAGUUUUUCCUCCAUUUAUAACAACUUUCAAUUUGUUGACCAUUAUUUAGCAAUCUUAUUAUACUUGUGUGUAUUUAGGUAAGCUUCUUUUUAUUAAUGUAUUAUUGUUUAGCCAUUUUGUGUAUGUUUAUUUGUAUGCAAUUAUUAAUACAAGCAUCGUUAAUGCCGUGAGAUUGUUUUUUCCCUUUAAAAGUGAUUAAUUGGGUGAGAAACAGUGAGGGCGUUUUUUUUUUAGGGGGGCAAGGGUGGUAUGGGGAUGUGGAGUAGGGGUUUAGGGGCAAGGGGAGGUGGGUAGGAGGAAGAGUUUAUAAAAAAUUCUACACCAUACAUAGGAAUAAAAUUAAUUUAUCCAAUCCUUACUAAUCCUGUGUUACAGCAAAUGCAAGAUUGGAAUUAUAUAUAUAUCCAAUCCUACCCAAUUCAAUCCUGUCCAAUCCUGUUCUUGCUAUCCUAUCCAAUCUCACCAAACAUACCCUUUUGGUAUUUCAUCACAUUGCAGGGAUAGAAAUAGGUAGAAAUUAUUGAUGUAGUGUACAAGUGUUGUAGAGAGAAAUGCUGAAGAACAACUAUGCAAAUUUGAAGACUGAUUUGAGUGCUAGCAUUUAUUAAAUUUUGGAGGAAAAUGCUAGUUGGAGUUCAAUUAAGCUAAUGUCUUAUCAAUAGGAUUUUAAUAUGAAUUUUUGCAUUUUAAAUAUGGUGCAUGCUCUAUUCAGUUGUUUUUUUAAAUGCCAAAUUGCCGAUUUAUGGUAAGAGGUGCUUUCUUUUUGUAUGGAAUGUGUCAUUCCAUGAGAACUCAUACUACUGCCAUAGUUUCCCUUCACAACGGGAGAGAGUCAAGUGGUGUGGGAGGCCUACGCUUUUAUUUUGUGCACCGGCGAGAAUGGCGGACCUUGCAACUAAAGGCAGAUGGAGAGAUGUUGACAAACUUCUCUCUAGGCCGGGCAACAUCAUCUCUAGUGGUUUUGAACCUAGCUCUACUGUGAGUCUCUCUCUCUCUCUUCUAGCCUCCAAGAAAAAAAUGUUUAUUUAUUUCUUUUGGCGUGUAAUUUUUCCUUGGCAACAGCUACGAGAAGAAAUCGGGGAAUAUGUUAGGGUUUUGGUAGUGGGGGCUGGUGGGCUAGGCUGCGAACUGCUCAAGGACCUGGCUCUAUCAGGGUUCAAAAACAUCGAUGUUAUAGAUAUGGACACAAUUGAGGUCUCCAACCUUAAUCGUCAGUUCUUAUUCAGGUUUCUGAUUAACUCUUCUUUUUACCUUUCUAUUUUUUUUGUUUGUGAUUAUCAAGCAGGGAAUACAUAAGAAAUUUGGUGGGUUAUAUAAUUUAAAAUAUUGAUUCCAAGUAUGAUUUUAGGAUGAAUUAAAGAAACAUAGAUAUCCUAUAUUUCCUCAAUCAUAACUGUAGUUGCCAUCAAUGGUUGCCUUUCUAACUUUUUGCACCAUUAGAAUGUCUAAUUGCAACAUAUUUGAAAACUUGCAAUUGCUUGUGUUGAAUUGAUGGCAAACCAUGCGUGCUAUGCGAUCUUGUGAUUAUUUUUGAUGUUUUGGUUGCAUGUACAUUUCUCUCAAGGCCACAUGUGUAGCAAGUUCUUUCUCUAGCCAUUCAACAUUGUCUCUCACUGUAGUUAUGCUACUCCAGAUGCCCCCUAAAUGUAGGCAAAAAUGCCUCAAGUUUCUAAUAGAAUCUUUUGAGAAAAAUCUAUGUCCUUAAAGAGCCAUCAAUGCUUUAUUUUGUCCUAACAUUUGCUUCCCAUGCACAAAGAGCUUCCAAAUUAUGAGAUGGCAUUAUGCUAUUAUGUUUUUGGUGGUUCAAUUUAUAAAAUUAAUGAUGUACAAUAAAGUGGAAGUCUGAACGACCAAAUAGAAGCCUCACGCCCAAUCCUGAGGCACAACAGGCGUUUAAGUUAUCAUAAAUAUCAAGGUUAGAAACCUAUUGAUAACAGGUGAAGACAAGAAUUAUUAAAUAUGAACCACCGCAAGAUUUAAAAUCCUCUAAUUGAACUUUAGUCAACUGAUUAUCUUUGACUCGAAACCAAUAAAAUUCCAAAUAUAAAAAAUCAAGAUUCCAAACUAGACUCAUCGAUAACUCUUUUUGUUCACACGUGGACUAAAGAAUGCACUUUGCGUCUAACGUUCACUCAUUCUAAUCCCCCACAAGCUGGUUAGAGGGUAAGCCACCAAACACUAUAUUAGUCGGAUUAAGAACUGUGCAACAAGAACAUUGAUAGUAUAUUUUACGAUAACUUUUAAUAUCAAAAGUAAUAAUAAUGACUGGGUAUAAUAUGAAGUUCUAUAGAAUUUUCAGGCUAAAUAUUAAGCUUUUGAAAAAGUAUUUGUAUUAGCUGAACAAACGAAUGUAGCAGAAUUGAAAUAUAUAACUAAUUUGAAAAAAAUUACGGAAUACGUCUCUGGUAUUUACCUAUAUUAUAGACCCUUUGCAAAGGUCCAAAGCAUAUAUCUUAGUCACCCGAAGGCAUAGCACAUAGCACAGACACUCGAAUGUGCGACAUGUAUCACAAACACACCGUAAGGCACAACACAUAUUACAGGCACCUGAAGGCCUAUCACAUAGCAUAAUAUUGAAGCUAAAGUCCCAGUACGCUCAAACUAAAAAGUGUUCGGUCACUUACGAUGCAACAUUUUUCUUCUUCUCAACACAUUAGUGCUACCUUUUUCAGUUUCCAUUUAGUUUAAUAUAGAAAAAUAUGACAAAAGUUUGUACAAAGUUUAUAGUAAGUGUAGAACGUAUACUACAUGUCUUUUAUAAUAUGUUGUUAUAUUAUGAGUUUUUAGGUCAAACUUGGACAGGGUUGGGGAUGGGGAUGGGUUUCGGUUUUGUCAAAUUAGUUGGGGCUAGUACUUUCAAAUUCUAAAUGAAGAAAGGUUCCGAAUUGGAAAACCCAACCCUACCAAUAUGUUCGGUUGAGACCUGGAGCCAACCUAAGUUGCAACACUAAUGGCUAUGUAUCAUGGGCUUGGUCCCAUAGUUAGGUAUAAUGGGAUAAAUGUGUAGCAAUCGUAUCAAUUAAGAAAAGUAAAGGUCCUUGUUAUUUUGAAUAUUGUAGCUAUUGGAGAGGGAUAGAGGAGGAGAGAAAAAAAUCAACAAAUAUAGAAUCAAAAUAUAAUAGUAGAUAUCAUAUAAAAAAAAAGUUUGACUGACAUGGGCUAGGCAUAAUCGUGUUUGUCUUUUAUACAUAAUACAUUGUGGCUUAUGAUUUCUUUACAAUAAGUGUUGAUGCCCUUUAUUUAAACCUAUGUGGUUAUUUCUGUUGGCUUUUCAAUCCCAAUUUGCCGAUUUCCAUGAUGACUAUAACUAGGUAGACGUCGUUUGUCAUGGUUUUUUUUUUAUUGGUAUCCCCACCUCUGCCAAUGGUUUUUUUUUUUUUGGUGGUCUUUUUUUUCUCCCGACUCCCCACUAAAUUAAAUCAAUUGAUACUUAAAUUUGUUUAAUUUAUUUGUCAUAAAAUUUAUUGCUAAAUUUUUUGGAUAGAUCUAAGAAAUUUUCUUAAAAAAUUUAAUAAAACAAUAAAUUUCUUCAAAUGUUUAAUAAAUAUCUAUAUAAGAUUCAAAAUGAAAAAGAGUUGUCGAAGCAAUUGCAAUCCUAUUCUAGUUAAUUUGAUUAUCAUGCGUUCCCUCAUGGAAUCAGUAUGGAUCAAUCUUGCAAAUGUUCAUAAAAUUUUGAGAAAAAAUGAUUCUCUAAUUUUGUAUUUUAUAGAAAAGAUAAAAUCAAAAAUAUUUUAGAAGUUAAUCAAUUCUCACAAAUUUUCUUCAAAUUUUGGAAAAACAUUUUUUUUUCAAAUCUUUAAUAAAUAGUUAUUAAAAUAAUCAAAAAUGAAAAGGAAUUAUCGGUGUAAUUGCGGUCUUAUUCUGGUUGUUCUAGUUAUAGUAUGAUCCCUCGCGAAUCAAUAUAUGGAUCUUGCAAAUUAAUCCUUGCUUCGGAGUAAAAAGACUCCUUUUCAUUCUAUGUUGCUCAGGAACAUGUAACACUUUGGCUGUAUUUAAUUUAUGCGUAAUCUAUUUGCUUCUACAUCUGAAAGUCUACUAGUUAUUUGUUUCAUACUAUACUGAUUAUUGCAACUUCCAAUCAUCACCUUUUUGAGUUAUUUGCUUACUAAUCUUUUUCUUUCGUUCUAUUCUCUGGUUCAUGCUAUUCUACUAGUAGCCCUAAUUUUACGUGUUCAAUGCUAAUACAGGCUUCAAGAUGUUGGGAAGUCCAAAGCAGAGGUAGCAGCAAAGCGCGUUAUGGAAAGAGUUAGUGGGGUGAAUAUUGUACCUCAUUUUUGUAGGAUUGAGGAGAAGGACAUAGAAUUUUACAAUGAUUUCAAUAUUAUUGUCCUUGGUCUUGAUUCAAUUGAGGCUCGCAGUUACAUAAAUUCUGUGGCUUGUAGUUUCCUAGGUAAGAUUCUCCCGCUCAUAUUUAUUUUUGAUAAGAAAUUUUCUCUCUAUUAAUUGCAUUUGAUAUUAUCUUGUUUUGCUUCAUUAUCCCUAUAUUAGUUGUGCUUCUUAUCGAAGUACAUGCCUUCCCUUGCAUUAAAAUUUUUCUGGAUGUUGCUACCUAGCAUGUUCUUUUUUCGAUUGAAAAUCUAGUGUUUUUAGGUGUCACUUUAUAGGAGUUAAAGCUUAGCAUGGACAGUUUUUCUCUCUCCGAUGGAUGGCUGAUUUGUAUUAGGAUAUAACCCCUACCAGUCUGUAAAUACACACGUUGUAGACGUCAUGUUGUUGGGCAGUGAAAAGGUUGCUGUACAAAUGUUGUCCGUAGUCAAUAGGGGGAAAUUGCAAAUAACCCUCUAUUGUUCAGUGAAUUUGCACUUCACUGGUGGUGUCAUUUAUUGCACUUAAUUACUUUACUGUUCUUUACUCCAUAAAGAAUUUGCAUUGAUCUGAGGUUGCAAAUGGCAUGUGGGUCAAAAAGCAACUUAAAAUUUAUAUGGCCACAAAACAAUGCUAACAAUAGGUCUUUAUAUUGUGUAGUCCAUAACAAUCGGUCUAUAUUUUUCCGUCUGGUUUUUUUGUUUGACUUUUAAACUCUUGAGGUCAAUAAAUUACAGUUGAGGCCUGUUUUGCGAGGGUGAUGUUAGUAAUUUCUGAAAUUUAUUUUAGGACCAGACCUUUUGUUUGUUGGAGAAAAACAAGGACCGGUGUUUCGAGGAUUGAUGAGAAUUUUUCCUCGUUUUAUGCAUGGCAAACUCAUGACAAAGGUCUAUUCUUGGAUAAGCCAUCGGAAUUAGGUCGUUUGUUCUCUCAUUUAUCUUAUGUUUGUUGGAGAAAAACAAGGACCAGUAUUUCGAGGAUUGAUGAGAAGUUUUCCAAGUCUUAUGCAUGGCAAACUCAUGGCAAAGGUCAAUUCUUGGAUAAAUCAUCUGAAUUUGGUUGUUUGUUCUCUCAUUCAUCUUUGCAUAUGUUAAGUAAAACACCUUUUUCUUCAAUGGAAUGUCUGUCAAAGCUGCAUGUUAACAGUUGAACUUGGUAGCCUAGGUUGGACUGUUCUAAUAGGUGAACUGCUUGAUUCUAGUUGGCACUCAUAAAAUUAUAUCUAGACCCUUGUCAAUUUUUGUUGGUAUUCUACAUAAAAAACUUUUCACAUAUCUGGAACUUCUUGUUUUAGUUGUUGCAUAUCUGCUGUUCUAUGCUACGUUAUUGGGCAUUGUGUAAAGAAGUCAUAAAGAACACUUUAAAGAGCUUUAAAAUUUUCUGUGGCAAGUGCCAACAUUUUUCUCCUGCUUGCCACCAUUUUUUAAAUUUAUUAAGAAUGAAACUUCACUCUGUGGCUAGCCUUGACUUGAGUAAGUUCUUAAAAUUAACAGUAACAAUUUAUAAGCUUGAAUGUGUUGGUGGACUUAGGCAAUGGUUACCAUGGCUGAGACAUAAAAUAUAAGUAAAUUAGAGCUAAUAAAAGGAAGGAAAGGAAAGACUGCACCAUGGCGAAUCCCUAGGAACAAACUUGCUUUGAUACCACGAGAUGUAGAAAGUGGGUUAUAUGCUUGAUUGGAUGCUAUGUCUACAAGAAUAAUUUUUGCAAAAGGUGAAGAACAAGAAAGUAUGUGGAAAAUUACAUUUACUUCAAAGUAGUUUUUUUAUGUCCGUAGAAAGAAGGGAAUAAAAGAAAAUUCAUGGAGAAAAGAUGGUUACAAACAAGGAAUGCUUAGAAGAGGGGGAAGUGGACGGUCACUUAAAUGAAGAAACUCAAAUUUUCACUAUUUUGAAUUUUCCCUUUGCCAUAAAUGAAUAAUUAGAAGAGGGGGAAAGUGGAAGGUCGCUUAAAUGAAGAAACUCAAAUUUCAUUUUCAGUAUUUUGAAUUUCCCCUUUGACAUAAAUGAAUCUACAUCAAGGUAGCCCUAAUGAAUGGACCUGAAGAAUUUAAACUGAUUGUGACCUUAACUACCUUAAAGAUAAGGCUCUUUUGACAUGAAAAAUGUGUCUAGAUUUAUUUUAUUCCUUUAUGACUUGUAUUAAAUUGUUUCAUAACUUUGCAUGAUUCUUCACUUUAGAAAAUAAGUACUUAAAAAUUAAGGAAAAAUAUAUAAACUUGAAGCUACCUUGAUUAGACUCAAUAUAAACCUUUUUUGGACCUAAACUAACUUAUUCAAUAUAUAAUCAGCUGAAAUUAAAUGUAUAAUUGGUUUUAGGUUAUUGUGAUUUGACUGGCCAACUAAAUUGGCUUGCAUCAUAUCGUCCUUCUUAAUUGUCCAACGAAAAACUAUUUGAAUUUACAUUCUGCUUCCUACUUCACUCAGCAGAUAAAACAUUUUUUUAAAAUUAGUGUCGAAUAUACCUUUGAAUAUGCUAAUAUUCCUCAAGCACAGUUAAUUUUCCUUCCUUGUAUUAUAGGCUUAUUGUUAUGGUACUUUGGCAUGUAUGUUUACAUAUUCUUAUCUAAUUAUUCUGAUCUAUGCCAUUCUAGAAUUGGCUACUCCUUUCAAUCUCAUAUCUGAUAUAUAAUAUUAAUUUGUUGUGGCAAUCUAGAGUAUGAUCGUGAUGACAAUCCCCUAGCUGAGACAGUUAAACCUAUGGUAGAUGGCGGAACUGAAGGUUUUAAAGGUCAUGCUAGAGUUAUAUUGCCAGGGACCACGCCUUGCUUUGAGUGCAACAUUUGGCUUUUCCCUCCACAGGUGAAGUUUCCAUUGUGCACCCUAGCAGAGACACCAAGAACUGCUGCCCAUUGUAUUGAAUAUGCACAUUUGAUUAAAUGGGAUGAGGUACUACUGUUCUUUUGCAUUUUUUUCUCUUGUUUCAUUUAUCUCGACUCUUUGGAUAGUCAUAUAUGUUUUGGUAGGUACAUAGUGGGAAACCGUUCGAUGCUGAUGAUCCGGAGCAUAUGCAAUGGGUUUACUCAGAGGUUUGCUUAGUUUAUGUAAUUUGUCAUGUUCAUUAAUUUAUUUAACGUUUUGCUUUAAUUUUGUGUUUGUAAUACUUCCACAGGCUCUAAAAAGAGCUGAGCUUUUUGGCAUUACUGGAGUUACAUAUUCUUUGACUCAGGUAUGCUAAGCUUCCUAGAUUUUACUGAGGAAACCUCACUUUCUAGUUUACUCAAUUAUUUAGCAUAUCCUUUCAAAUUUAUUUUCUGGUCCCAUUAAAAGCCCCUGAACCUUCUAAUUCUAUCAUAUUAUAUAUGUGCAUACAUGUAGAGUCAUAGAUAUAUCCAUUUACAAAGCACCGGCAUGUAUGUACUAUAGCUUAGUUAAAUAUGCAACUCCUAUGCAUGUCAAAUGUGUCUAUGCAUUUCUAUUUUUCAAGUAUGUUACAUCACUAGAAUGAUAUAGUUCUCCUUUAAUUCAUGUUCCUCAACAAGACGGUGUGUUAAAUAGUAUCAAAUUUCAAAAGCUUAUUGUAUAAAAAAGUACUAAAAACUACUCAUGAUGCUAUUUACUCUUUCGUUAACAAUCUCAAUCAUUGCCUUUUUAUUUAUGGUGUUGGAAUGUGCAAUUUUGCAAUCCUGUUCUUUUUAAUGUCAUUCUAUUCAUCAUUGCAGAAUCAAAUUUCGGCCACUUAGGGGAAUUAAAUUUUUUUGAUUCUAAUCUAUACUUUUCUAGCCAUGAUUUUUCUCUCUAUUUUAUCUUUUAGGCUUUAUCCUAACGCAUAACAUGAUUUUCUUGCAUCAAUCCACCUGUGAUCCUCUUCUCUUUGUUUUUCCUUCCAUUCCCCAUCGUUUCCUUUGUACCUUCUUUUUCUGUGUUAACAAUUUCUAAUGAGCCUUCUCUUGCCUAAUAGUGCUCAAUUUUUUUGUUGCUCAUUGUUUUUAAAUAGGUAAAAACAUACAGAACUUACCUAAACUAUAGACCAUUUUGAGUUGGCUAACCAACCUGUCAAAAUUUUGAUUUAAGUACCUAACCUUUCAUUUUGAGCCUUUUCAAUCACUAGGUAAAUAAUAUCGAAAACUGCAAAAUUUAUUUUCUAGUACUUCAUAUGCUAGAUCAAGUCUAACAGAGCCGAUCAUCGAUUCGAAAUCCCAUUAUUGAAAAUUGCUUAGGAGCACGGAGGCCUCCAUGCUCCUAAUAUCACAACAGCUAUACUCUCUCUCUCUCUCUCUCUCUCUCUCUCUCUCUCUCUCUCUCUCUCUCUCUAUAUAUAUAUAUAUAUAUAUAUAUAUAUAUGAGCAUAAUUUAGAGCUUUCGAAUCGGCGAUUCACAUCAUUGAACAUAAUUUGGAGCAUUUAAACAUUCUAGAAAUCCAGAAUGUUUAAAUGCGUGCGCGCGCACACGCGCAUCCGUGUUGUGUGAGUCGAGAAUUGAACUUGAGAUACUAAAAUCCUUCGAAAUGAAUCAUCUAAGUUGAAUAUAUUGUAAAGAGGAAUAUUUUGAUCGAGAGAAAAAAAAUCCAGAAUAUGAGAAAUUAAUGAAGUAUGUACUAUUUCUAGUGCAGUGCAAUAUAGUGGGUCAAUAGUGUUAAAAUAAAGUGAACCAUCUAAGUUGGAGGAAGUUAGCGCCUGCUAUCAUUAAAAAUUUUGGAUGUUCACAUGCUGUGAACAAUACAUUUGCAUAUUGGCAUCAUUCAUUUUACAAGUGUAGAGAGCUAUCGCCUGUAUACUAGCAGCAGUACAAUACUUGCUGGUCAUCCCAAUUGUUGUUUGUGCAACGGCAGCUGUUGUUGCGUAUGCAGUUGUUACAAUCACCUAAUUGUAUGAGAAUUAGGAUACAUUUUUUUAUUUCUUCUUUAUUUAGGAUUAUUAUUAUGUAUUUAUUUUGAUUCAUAUUAGAUUAGUAUUCCUACUUGAAUUAGGGCUUCCAGAUAAGAGGCUAAGCCCUGCCUUUUGUUAUCACUAAUUAAUUUUUAUUAAUAAAGAGACUUAGGGUUUAUACCUCGACGGUUCUCUUCUUUGAUGAAGAAGAGAUAUCUACUAAUUUGGUGUUGAAGGCUUUGUGGAGUCCAAAGUUGAAGAUUUUAUCUUCAUGUUCACAUUGGUUUCGGGAUUAGGGUUUUUCGAAGUCGUCGUCCUUCAUUCUAUCUUCGCCAUAGCAUCGAAAACCUAGGGUUGUCGUUAUUCGAUGCGUCCCUGCGCUUUAAAAAUGUUCUACAGCGAGCUCCUGGACGUGAGAAGCGCAGCGCCACCCCUCAACUUUGAUCGGAGUGGUUGUUUGCAACGAGAGGGAUUAGUUAUCAGGUUUUUAUUUAUAACGGGUCUAAUAUUUGCGAUUUGACGAUUCGCUAAAAUAUGUCUCGAAGCCAUAACAUAUCUAUGAGGCUUCAUUUUGUGCGGUUCUGUGGGGCCUAGCUUUGGCCGUCCGAGCGCACAAGAUGUUUGUACGAAUUGCAUUGAGCUAGCUAGCUUAUUCGGAUUCGAUCUAAGCCACUUAUUGCACCAUAUUAAAUUAAAUUGAGCUGUUUACAACUAAAUAGGCUUAAUUGAGCCUGAGUUAAGUCAGACUGAGUGUAGAUAAGUAAUUUUUCACUCGUUUUAAUUAAUUUCAGGCAAUUCUUUUUAUAAUUUUUGCGCAUGGCACCAAAAAAGGAUGUCGGAAAAUUUGUAAUUCGACCUUGUGAUAAUGAAUCAGUCGGGGGUGAAGCGAUGCUUGAUUAUACAUGGUAGGAGGAGAUAAGCAGGUAUAUUCAGGCCGUAGAACAACGCCAAAUUCAGCAAUUUCAAGCCCUGGAACAACGUCAAAGUCAACAAAUUUAGGUUUUACAGACCUCGAGUGGGCAAAUAAUGCAAGACUUCAAAGCCUUGUGCAUUGGCUUCCUACCAAAAGACGGUGCCUCGACAUCAGCACCGAUAAUGAGCAAAUCCACAUGAGUCCCAGAUGGCCAAUAUUGGAUCCGGAAUUUGUCUCAGAGCCGAUCUAGCUACACCGCAAACUAUUCCACGACAAAUAGAAAAUCAAACCCCUUCGUGCGAUCGGCAACGAGCGCUUAAGCGACAUCAAUAUAGACACGACGAGGGCGACUAGCAAAGAGGGCUUAAUUGACAUCAACAUGGAGACGACGAGGGCGACUAUCAAUGAGCGCUUAGUCGAUAUCAACAUGAAGAUGACGAAGGCUAUGAGGCCAUCAAUAGGAGUUAGGAGGUCUAGGUGGCGCCGCAGCCUGAAUCGAUCGAUUCAAUUUUCCAAAAUUUAUUGGUGAAGAUCCAAUCAAGUAGUUAUUCAAAGCAGAGCAGUUCUUUGACUAUCAUGGCAUGGCUGACGAUGGUCGAGUCUGAUUAGCGGCGAUCCACUUGGAAAGUGAUGCAGUUCGUCGGUCAUGUGGUAUAAAGAUCAAUUAGACAUAACUCCGUCUUGGUGACAAUUUUUGCGAGCUCUCACUAAGUGAUUUGGUCCCUCCAGGUAUGAGAAUUUUGAUAUUACAAUGCAAGAUAUUAAACAGAGGUAAGGCGAUCCACUUGGAAAGUGAUGCAGUUCGCCGGUACAUGUGGUAUAAAGAUCAAUUAGACAUAACUCCGUCUUGGUGACAAUUUUUGCGAGCUCUCACUAAGUGAUUUGGUCCCUCCAAGUAUGAGAAUUUUGAUAUUGCAAUGCAAGAUAUUAAACAGAGGUAAUAUGGGGAGAGAUAUGUUGGGUAAAAUGGUGAGAGAUAGGUCCCGAUGUGCCCUCAUUGGAGCUUUUAUUGGCGGUAUACUUGAAGAUGUUAAAACAGAGGUACAAGUAAAAUGGCGAAAUGCUUUGUUAGACGCAUUUGACGAGGCACGGAUAAUAGAGUGGUUUGCACGAAUAAUCAUAUAGGUUGGAGUCGUCUUCCUGCUUAAGUAACUGACAGUCUUUCUCUUUUCGGUGCACAUCCCGAGCGACAAUGAAAAUAAAUUGUCAUUAUCUGAACCUAGAAAGCAAAAUGUACAGAUACUCAAAUCAAUAUCAGAACAAAUAUGCGAGGGUCAAAGGAAAGGCCUAUGCUAUAAUUGUGACGAGCUGUGGACUUUACACCACAAGUGUAAGAUGCUACCCCUAUAUGUCAUAGAAGACGAUCAAGCGAAUGAUGAUGAUUGCUAUGAGUAUGAUUCAAGCAAUGACAAGUUAAUCAUAAAGGAGGAGACCACAAAUGAAGAGCCCAACUCAGCACCACCGGAAAUUUUAGUACAUGCACCACCGAACAACUUAAAAUUAAUUUUAAAAUUUGAAAUUUAAAAAUUGAAACUUAAAAUUUUAAAUUUUAAAAUUUAAAACUUAAAAAUUAAAAUUUAAAAUUUAAAUUUAAAUGAGAAUUCGAAAUUAAUUUUAAAAUAUCAAAUAUGAAAUAUCAAAUUUCAAAAUUCAAAAUUUAAAAUUAUCUAAAAUUUGAAAUUUGAAAUUUAAAAUAUUGAAAUUUAAAUUUAAAAUUUUAUUUUUGAUUUUUGAUAUUUAAAUUUAAAAAUUUGAAAUUUAAAAUUUGCAACGUGAAAUUUGGAAUUUAAAAUUUAAAACUUAAAAUUUGAAAUUUGAAAUUUGAACUUUGAAAGCUAAUAUUUGAAUUUACAAAUUUGAAAUUUAAACUUUAAAAUCUAAUUUGAAAUUUAAAUUUAAAUUUAGAAUUAAAAUUUAAACUUAAAGUUUCAGUCCAAAAUCAGAAUCAGAUUUUACUGCUUCUGAUUUUGGACCUCUAGAAUAAAAAAACUGAUUCUAAGAAGCAGAACUAGAUUUGGAAAAGGAGGCUACCAAAUGCUCUAUUGACGGAAAAAUCACUUUUGGCUUUAAAAUCACUUUCUAGAAUCUAGGCCAAACAUCCCCCUUAGUCAACACCGAUUCCACGCACAAUAUUAUUAACUCUGGCAUCCUCAAGUACUUGAAACUAAAAGUCGAAUCAAAUACUUCUUUUGAUGUAAUGGUGGGAAACAGCGAAAACUUAAAAUAUGGAUCCAAGUGCCAGGGAAUUAACUUUCAACUUCAAGGACAAAAAUUCAAUGUUGACUUAUUCGUAAUUCCUUUAAAAGGCUCCGAUGUUGUCUUGGGAUUAGUGUUGCUUCAAUCCCCUGGCAACGUGUCGUGGGAUUUCAAGAGUAUGAAUAUGGAUUUCAAGCACAAUGGUUGCUUAGUGGAGUUAAAAGCUUAAGAAUCAAAGCAAAUUGAAAUAUUUCCUUAAGAUAAUUUUGGACUCUUUCUUCUUCUAGUGCUGCUGCUUUUGCACGCGGAUCAGCCAGGCCCAGAGGAGACUGAAAACAAAGGCCUUUACAUAAACUUAACAUCCAGGCUCGAGCCGAUAAUAGAGCCUCCUCCUGUGCCAGAAAAUAAAGGUAAUGCUGAAAUGCAACAACUUCUAUGAGAAUUUGCGGAUGUCUUUUUUGAACCAGGGACUUCACCUUGAACGCAAGACCAUUGCAUUCCAAUUGUGCUGGGUGCAUCUCCAGCAAAUGUUAGGCCUUAUUGCUACUCACAGUCCAAAGAUAGAGAUUGAGAAGGAAGUGAGAGAGAUGCUUGUUUCCAGUAUCAAAUGGUCAAGUUAUAGUCUAUAUGCCGCAUCAAUGCUUUUAGAGCUUCUAGAUGAAUUAAAUUAAGUCUGCUACUUCUCCAAGCUUGAUCUACAUGCAGGCAAUCACUAGAUACGAGUGCGCGCAGAUGACGUGCAUAAGAGCACUUUCAGUGAUAUUUUUGUUUCUUAUCUUGGUCAUAUUAUUUCUAGUGAUAGUGUUUCUGCAGAUCUGGAGAAAAAUCAAGGCAACGUAGUAGCCUGUCCUGACGUUAGUACAAGCUCUUUGUAGAUUUCUCGCUCGCACCAGAUACUACCAUCGGUUAGUUACGAACUAUGGUACCUUUGCUGCUUCCUUGACGACACUACUUAAGAAUAAUGCUUUUCAAUGGACUGAAGAGGCUACUAGAAGUUUCAAAGCUCUAAAGUCAACAAUGACGACUACGCCUGUACUUGCCUUGCUAGAUUUUGAUAACCCAUUCGUGGUAGAGACUGACGCGUCGGAGAAAGGCUUCAGCAACAAUGCUCUCACAAAACGAUCUUCCAUUGGCCUAUUAUCGUUAAGAGCUGAAUGGGCGAGUACGACCAUUGUCACCAUACGAACGUGAAAUGUUAGUGAUCAUCUCUGUUGUUGAGCGGUGGCGACUGUAUCUCCUAAAUCGACAUUUCAUUAUACGCACCGACCAUCAGAGCCUCAAAUACUUGGAGGAGCGAAUUGCACUCCUGCUCAACAUUGAUGGCUUUCCAAACUAUUUGGAUAUGAAUAUGAAAUCUAGUAUAAGGGAUGGGAGAAUCUGCUAUCAAUGCCCUCUCCAGGCGUGAUAUGAACUCGGCUGAGCUCAUGGUUGUAAGUUCUCCAACCUUUCCUUUCUUGGAUGACAUUGCUAGUAACUAUUUUCUUGAUAAGGACCUCCAAAAGCUUAAAAGUCAGCUAGAAAAUCCGGCGAGUGCUCUUAAAGGAUAUGAAUUUUGAGACCUAUUCAUAUACUAUCGUGGUCAUAUCGUACUAGGCAAGGAUUUGUUGUGGAAAUAAAAGAUUCUACAUCACUUUCACGCUUUUCGCAAGCAAGGAUCGAAGUGCCGCCCCAUGUUGUACUGCACGGGGCGGCACGUGCCGUACGGCAUGGGGCGGCACGUACCGUGCCCCCUACGGGGGGGAGAGGGGAGGGUCUCGGAGCCCCCCUCCGUGCUGCGGCACGGCACAGUGUGCCGUGGCAUAGUGCCGUGCCGACACUGCUGUUUUAUUUUUUCUUUUUGCUUUUUUUUUUGCUUUUUGCUUUUUUUCCCCUUUGUUCUUUUCUUUGGGAUACCAAGACAGCUUUGGAUCCCUUUCCAAUCAGCAUAUUAUCUCUUCUUUUUUUUGUCUUUUUGCACUUUUUUUUUUUUUUUUUGACUUGGAUGCUUUUUUUUUGGCUUUUUCUUUUCCUUUUUUUUUGGUUUGCCCUUUGGGUAACCUAAAGGCCGAAGCAUCUCUCCUCUCUUCUUUUUAUUUUUGUUAUGUUGCACCUUUUUGUUUUUUAACUUCAUGCAACCGCGAAGCUUUCGACGUAUCAGGGGAACAAAAUCGAUCUCGUAAACAAACUUUGAGGUACAUCAGUCAUAAAAUUUUAUUUUUGCAUUAGAAGAUUUAAAAUAUUGAUAAAAUUAAAAGCUAAAUUAAAUCAAUUGAUAUUUAAAUUUAUUUAAUUUGUUUAUCAUUUAAUUUAUUGCUAGAUUUUUGAUGGCCUAACAAUUUUUCUAAAAAAUGUAAUAAUUUUUUUAAAAAAAUUUUAAAAAAAUUUUUAAAAUAAUUUUAAAAAUUAUUUUCUUUGUAUCUUAUAAAAGAAAGACAGUAAUACGAUCAAAAGAAAGAAAGAAAAAAGAUGUCUUUGUAUUUUAAAAAUUGUAACCUGCAAUAAAUUUUAAAAAUAAUAUAAAUAAUUUUAAAAAAUUAUAAUUUCCACAAAACUAUUUCUCUAACUUUGUAUUUUAUAAAUUAUUAAAAUUCGAAUAAAAGAAAGAAAAAAAUCAAAAGAAUUUUAAAAGUUAAUCAAUUCUCAUAAGCUUUCUAAGAAUUUUUUAAAAAAAUUAUUUUCUUAGAAUUGUGAUCAAAUAUUUUUUAAAAGAAUAAAAAAGAAAAAAAAAAUUAUGGAUGUAAUUGUGGUCCUAUUUUGGUUGUUCUAGUCAUUAUAUGCUUCCCAAUCGAAUCAAUAUAUAUAUAUUGAAAAGUUUUUAGAAAAAAUAAAAUUUUCUAUAAUUUUAUCUGUUAUAAUUUUUUUAAUUUUAAAAAAAGAUAAAAGCAAAAGAAUUUUCAAAGUUGAUAGAUAUGAUUUUUCUCAUCAUGUCGUUCUUUUUCUUAUUUUUCUGAAAUGGAUUUUAUUUUAGUUGUCUGUAUGUCAAUAAUUGUGGAUUAUAAUGUCACAUAAAAGAACAGAAGAUUAUGAUUGACAACAUGGACAAAUGAUUGAUAGAAAUAGAUUUUAUUGAAAGUGCAAUUACUGUAAUAUGGUCGAAAUGGGCGGAGGUGUCACUCGCCUAACGAAAUAUAUCGCUGGGGGUUUUUCUGAAGUAGCCAACUACCCUAAAGUCCUUCAGGAAAUAAGACAUGCAAUGAAAAUUGAGUUAGAAUCUUCAAAAAUAGCAAAAAAGAAAGGGAUGAUCGAGACGAACUAGAUAAACGAGCGGCUGAAUAUCCCCCUAUUGACCCAUAUGAAAGUAUAGGUGAUGAAUUAGAUGCUGAUACUAGAGAUGUCAUGGAAGCAUUUGUACAAGAAAGAUGGCAGCAAGAUGAAGUCCAACGGCAUAGAGCACAAUUUGGACGCUCUCAGUUUGAUGCCGGUGGUGGGUCCGGCUUUGGCUCUGGCUUUGCACCAUUUGGUGUAGCUCGAAGUGGUUCUGUUAGCUGCAUGUUCGACAGAUUAAAAAAAACUAAAAGGAAAAAGUGGAAGACAUCCAAAUAUUGUAGAUAUAGACCCAAUGACAUUUCUUGACCUAGUUGCUCAACAGCAACGCAUGGAUACAAUGCUAAAAAAAGAUAAAAAAGGCAGAAUUGGUCAAGCAAUAGCAAAGUUUUUUUCACUUCAGUUAUAUUCCUUCUUAUGUAGUAAGCACUCUAUAUUAUAGAUUAAUGAUUGCUACCAUACAAAAGAAGAGUCCAGGAGUUGAACCCCCAACGUCGUAUGAGAUCCUUAGCAAAUACCUUAACGCAGAGGUCAAUGAUAUUCAUGCAUAGGUAAAAAGCUUCAAACAACAGUGGGAGAUGUAUGAUGUUACCUUGAUGUGUGAUAGUUGGACAGGACCGACAAAAAUGAGUAUUGUAAAUUUUUUAAUUUAUUGUAAUGGCAAGGUGGUCUUCCACAACUUAUGAUCCGUUUAAUAUGAGACUCCAUUUAAGAUGCAUGCAAGAGGAGUAUGAUAAGGAAAAGAAAUUAAAAACUUAUGAUCUCUUGGAUGCAAGCUUUAUCACUAAUAAAUCAGACCCCAUACUUGAUUGGCUACAAGAUAGAGACAAUCAAGAGGACCUAUUACUCGAUGAGCCUGGAGAUCCAUUACGACCAUUCAGAAUAAUUGAUAAGGAAGUAGGAAUUAGUGAUGUUGAAAGAUGGGCUGACAAGAAUAUAGGAAGGUCUCAAGGUAAUGUGCAAGAACAAACAGAUUUGGACGAAGAAUCCCAAAAUCCUGCACAUGACUCUGAUGCAGAAUUUGAACGUCUUAUGUAAGAACUUGGAUAUGGUCGCACACGUCAUACUCAGAGUCAAUCUGGAAAGUAGAAAACGUCUUAUAUCGCAAAGAGGCCUUCAACGAUGAUCCGAAGCGGUAAAAGUAAAAAAGUAUGACCUCGAUGGAUCCAUUAGAUGCAGCUGAUGCACUUUCACAAGAUGAUGAUAGUGAUAUAUCGACACUAGCAGAUUCUGGAUUACCACGGUGUAAAGAUGAAUGUAGUGAUGAUGAUGAUACCAUUGAUAGGAGUGAGGAUGGUGGCAACUUCAUUCCACCAACACAACAGGAGAGUGGGGGUGGUUUUAUAUUUACUAAAGAGCAAAACUUAACACAUGCUACUCAAGAUAUUGAUCAUAGGUCUCGACCAUGUUAAACAUCUGGAGUGGUAUAUGAUUGUAGAAAAGAUAAGAGGUUCUCACGACAAGAUUAUGGGAAGAUGAGAGAAGGUUUGGAGGCAAUAUCAACUAAACAUCCAUGAAGGGAUGAUGCUUUGCACACACAGUUUGAUAGUUCUUCAGUAUCAUCCCUCAUAUCAACAUGGCCUUUAUAGAGGAAUAUUUGAUUAUGAUGCAUCAAUUCAUGGCACUCAAAGUGAAUCCCAAUCCAUCCCGCAUCAAUUGGAGCAACAACAAUCCAGUUACUAUCCAUCUGUACUUUCAUAUAGUGAAAGCUCAUAUGGCGAAUCUACGCCCACUGAUAUGUAUGUAUAUCUAUAUUAUGGUUCUUCUAUUCCGUACAAUUCAUAUCCUUAUGAUGUUUUAGUUCAUAUGCCGCAGAUGACUGUUGUCCAUUACAUACACGAUCUAGUUGCAUAUGCAGAUUAUCUUCGACAAUACAAUGAUAUAUACCGGGAAUAUAUGAUUUUCUCACAAUACUAGUAAUACUUAUAUCAAUAUUAUUAAAUAAAUGUUGUAUCUGCAGAUGACAAUAUGCCAUAUGAUCUAGCGCGACAAUCUAUGUAGAAUUAAGCAAUUAUCUCUAUGUAAAGAUGUAAAUUUAAAUAAUUAUUGUGCUUGUAAAUUUUAUUAUUGUAUUUUAAUUUCUAUUCUACAUCAGGUAUAGUUGUACUUUACUUAUAAAAAGCUUACAUGCAUGUUAAUUGAUGAGUAUAGUAAGCUAUACAUAGCAAAUAUUUCAUAAUUAUUUGUCUAAAUCUUUCAAAAUAACAUUAUAAGAGUUUAUUAGAAUCAAAAAAACUGAAAUAAGUUCGUGCCAAAGCGUGGAGGUCAUGAAUAUCUAUCGGCACACAAGCGUACAACGCGUCGGCACGCAAACGUGCCUGUGCCGUACCGUGCUAGGGAAAGAGCGGCACGCCCCCGUGCAACGACACUUUAAACCUUGUUUGCAGGCCAUGAUGGAUUUUUAAGAACUUUCAAUGACUGGGAGCAAGUUUUUAUUCGCCAGAUAUUCGUAGAGAAAUCAAGGAGUAUAUUUCAAAGUCCUUGUUUGUCAGGAAAACAAGUACGAGGCGGCCAAGCCCACGGGCUUACUUCAGCCCUUGCGAAUUCCAGAGCGCGUUUGGGAGGAUAUUUUCAAUGGACUACAUUGAAGGACUUCCAAAUCUCUAGGAAAGUCCCUGAUUAUGGUAGUGGUUGAUCGACUCACCAUAUAUGCACACUGUGGCUCUUCUCUCAUCCAUACACUGUGCGUAAUAUGGCACAGGCAUUUGUUGACCAUAUUGCUAAGUUACAUGGCAUGCUCAAAUAUAGUGUCCGAUUAUGAUCUAGUAUUUCUCAGUGCUUUUUGGUGGGAGUAUUUUGCUUUGAGAGGACAAUUUCGCAUGAGCACUUCUCACCAUCCUCAAUCUGCUGGCCAAAUAGAGGUGCUAAAUCGAAGCUUGGAAAUUUAUCUUAGAUGUUAUGCGGGCGAGCAACCUAAGAAAUAGAUCCAAUUUUUGCCAUGGACGAAGUGGUUCUACAAUACCUUGCACCAUUCAUCAAUUAAUACUACUUCAUUUGAGGCUCUCUAUGAUCGACCACCUUUGACUAUUCUGUCUUACAUCGCCGUAUCAUCUUUUGUAGAUGUUGUGGAGAGGGAAUUAGUUGAGUUGGAUAAACAAAUAAGAGUGCUUAAAAAGCAUCUUAGUGAGGCACAAAAUCGUAUAAAGCAAGUUUAUGACGGUAAGUAUCGCGAGCACGAGUUUCAGAUUGGAGAUUGGGUGCUCUUGUGACUUCCCCCAUGCUUACCGUUGGGCUUUCGAUAGCAAUCGUUUGGAAAGCUUUUCCCUAAAUUUGACGGACCAUUUCAGGUUAUCGAAAAAAAUGGGCAAAGUAGCUUACCGAUUGAAACUUCCUUCCAUGGCAAUUAUUCACAACUUUUUUCAUCUUUCAAAACUAAGCCAUACAAUGGAAAACCUGAUGCUACUACCGAGCUUCUCGACAAGUUUGAGGAAAAUAUACAGAUUGCAACAAACAUUUUGGCUAAGUGACGCCGGCAAGUCGAUGGGAGAAUGAAGACGGAGAUUGUAGUAUGGUGGAACAAUUGCCCGCGAGAUGAAGCUACGUGUGAGGAUGAAGAUGAAAUGAUACAAAAGUACCCUACCUCGCACCUCGAGGCCAAGGUGCAUCUUAAAGGGGAGAAAAUUGUUUCAAUCACCUAUUCAUAUUAGAAAUAGGAUAUUUAUUUUAAUUUCUUCUUUUUUUAGGAUUAUUAUUACUUAUUUCCUUUAAUUUAUAUUAGAUUCGUAUUCCUACUCGAAUUAGGGUUUCUAUAUGCUUAUAAAUAAGAAGCUAAGCUCUCUUUUUUGUUAUCGUCAAUUAAUUUUCUUCAAUGAAGAGAUUUAGGUUUUAUACCUCGGCGGUUCUCUUCUCCAAUAAAGAAGAGAUUUCUACCAACAGUAGUGGUCAUCAUUGGCUAUUUCAAUUUUUUGACUGCCAUCCUUGGCUAUUCCAAUUUUGCUUCGGCUUCCAUUUGUCUUUUCUCCAUCGUUGCCAUCACCAAUCAUUCACUGCCAUUGGUAAUUUCUCUGAGCAUCUGCUGCUAUUGAAAAUUUAGAAUUAGUUAGACAGAAGCCGCCAUCGCUCAUUUCCGUUGCGUAAUCAUGUCUACUGUUAGAUGGUUUGGAAACGCUAUGACUGCUAAAACUACUAGAUUCCUAGUUCUCCUAUUCAUAGAGUAAUUGUAUCAGAGCCACCAGCCAAACUACUUUUUCUCAAGCAACGUUCCUUUUCGCCAUCGCAUGUGACGGUAUAUGACUAUUAGAUUUCAGGAGAUUUUUGAUGGAGCUUGGUUACUUGAUGACGUUAGCAUGACUUCAUCAAUGAUCGAGUCUAUUGUACGAACAAGAUUACUCGGUCUCCAUCACCAGUUGUUAUACUACAUUGGCUCAUAAGGUGUGUUUAAAGGGGGAAAGGAUUAGUUAUGAUGAACCCCAAUCCUAAGCGGAUGCAGAUACUUAGCCUUUUCCUUAAAAGAUUAGGAUUAUUUUAUUAGUCGAUUAGGGAAGAUAUUUUAUUUGUCAUAUCUUAUUAGAGUAGUAGUAUCCUUAAUUUAUUCCUUCCUUAUUUGGAUUGCUUAUCAUAUUAGUUUUAUUUGUUGUAUUUGGGCCUAUAAACAAGUGGUCUCUCCUCAUUCUGUAAAACAACAAUUUUUAAUCAGUCUUGUUAUUUAUUUAUAUUAUUUUGUUUGGUUGUGUAGGGGGUUGUGAAGAAUAUAAUUCCUGCCAUUGCUUCUACAAAUGCAAUAGUUUCCGCUGCUUGUGCUUUAGAAGCUUUGAAGAUUGUAUCUGGAUGCAGCAAAACUUUGUCCAAUUAUCUCACGUGAGUCUCUUUCCUUGUAAAUUUUCUUUGACCCACCAGUUCCAGUUUUUCAUUGAUUUUCUUUUUUAACUUUGAUGAUCUUUAAAAUGUUCAGAUGGUUUCUCUUUUAUUAGACAAAUAUGAAUUUCACCUUGGUGAUGCUAUGAUUUAUAUUUGCUAGCAAUAUCAGGCUUUUGCUCCAUUUCUCUUUAAAAAUGGCUAACAGUGAGUCAAUAAAACAUAUGAAAUUCGAGUUGAAUCAUAACUCUAUUGGCUAUUUCAAAUUAUAUCUUUUCCCUUGUCAUUCUAAAACUUACGUUAUUUAUAUACUGUUUAAACCGUUGAAAUUCUUAGUGACAUCUGACAUUUAAAAGCAAUCUUUUUCUCAUUCAGAUUUUUAUGAGUCUAUUUCAAAUUGUGAUAUAUUUCUUCCUAGCUUUUCCCAAUGCCAAUACUUCAGUACACUGAAGUUCUUGUUUUUGGGUUUCAUACUUCUGCUAUUCAGUGGUUGAGAAGGGGUGUAGUGGGGGGGGGGGGGGCGGGUGGGGGUGUGGUGGGUUAUUAAGUGAACUGCUGAGAAACACUACUUGUAAUAAACAGUGGAUAGCAGUUAAGUGCUUAAUGAUACUUUAUUAGUUUUGCUACUGUGAAAGAUGUAGGAGUAUAUUGCUGAAAAUUAAUCUCUUGAAAUACCUUAAAUCUAUGUUUUGAGUAGCUAUGUCGACAAUGCCCUGAAUAAAUGACACAGGACAUGACAAAAUGGAGGCUUGGUCUCUUUGACUGAUAACUCUAAAAAUAUUGUAAAAGAGAACUGAGAUGGUACCUCUGCUUUUCUCAUGUGUGUGAAGUUUCAUAUUGUGUCAAAAUUCUAGUUACUAAAUAAUUUCAUGGCAUUAAUUGUUGAAACUAAUAACAUACAUAAGUGAUUCAUUUUCUGAAGGCUAUUUUCUGUCUUCUACAGUAGAGGAUCUCAUUUGGUGUAUUGCUCAAGCCACUAAUCAGUGUAAUACCUAAAUUUGAAUGAUGGCUAACAACAAGAAGAACUAAGAGGAAAAUUAGAUGAUAAUUUUAUCCUGUUUUACAUAUGAUGUGUCAUUGUCUUAUAACCAUUCUAUAGAGUAUUGUUCAUCUUAAGCGGAACAUAAUGUUCAUGAAGCACACUGGAGGAGGGCUUUUACAAUUACUUGUUUUUUAAUGUUGAUUAGCUUUGAUUGGUUGCUAUUCCUAACCUUGGGAGAAAUAAACUUUUCUAUCCAAAUAGUGUCUUGAUAGAGUAAGGAUAAAUGCAGUGAUGACUUUUAUUCUUGAUGUUUAUUCAUAGGCAAGUGUAUUGAGAGUUGAGACACCCUAAACUCAAUGAUUGCCUAUGCUGGUGAUAUUGUACUGUGCCAAGGCCGUGCCGGCUAAGGGAUGUCAAUAGGUACGGAUACCGAAAUUGUAUUCGAACUCAAACCCAACCCUGAACGGAUCUGGUUUACUCGAUGCUUGACAAAUAUGGUUUCAGAUACAUGUAUAAAUAAUGAAAACCCGAUGGAUUUGGAUUCGGGUGAGGAUUUUGUUUGUACUUGACCUAAACCCGAAUUGAUUUUGCACUAUAUAAUAUAUAUGAAUGUUUGAUGUUAUAUUUGAAUUUGUAUUUUGAAAAUUUAGAUUUUAAUAUAAUAUGCUAUGAAAUAUGGUAUAGAGGAAUAAUUGUCUCAAUGUCGGGUUUUUGGGUUUUGGUUCGGGUUUUCAUGUAUUGGUGGGGUUCGGUUUUGGAUAUGGAUUUUUAAAGUCCUUCACAUUUGGAUUUGCGAUCGGUUGUUGAGUUCAGGUUUGGGUUUUUAAAAACCCGCCCUGGAUCUGACCCAUGGACAUCCUUAGUGUUGGCAGAGAGUGUGGUGUCGUGCCGAUACCGUAUUGGCAAAAUGAUUAUUUUUUGAGUUUUUGGAUUUUUUAUGUCUUUUGAAUUGAAAAGUUUUACAAAGGUGUUGAGUUUGGGUUUGCGUUUUUAAAACCCGCCUGAAUCCGACCUGUUGACAUCCCUAGCGUCGGCACAUGGCAUGAUGUUGUGCCGAUACCGUAUGGGCAAAAUGAUUAUUUUUGGGUUUUUUUUGAGGUUUUUUGAACUCAAAAAGUUUUAAAAAGGUUUUUCCAUGCUUGAAAUAUGCAACUCUUGCAAAUAGGGGUGAGCACUAUUCGGUUAAAACUGAAUUACUUAACCAAACCAACCUGAUUUGGUCAAUAAGGUUUGCUUUGACCAGUUUUUGGGUUUAAAUGGUCUGGCUUUACCUAAAAUUUCCGUUUUUGGUGUUUCGUCGGUUGUCAGUUGUCUAACUUGAAACACGAACCGAACAAAUUAAUCGAUUUAAUGAGCCAAAAUAUUCAUUUAGAUUGAAAAUUGAACUAUAUGUUAUCUUUAAAAAUAUUUUAAAAUAAAAAUUUCUAUUUAGUCUAACAAAGUUUUUUGUUAUUAUUCCUCUUAACUCUUUUAAUGUAAAUUAAAUUUGAAAAUAAAUAGUUUAAAUUCUUUGAACCAGCAAAUCUAAAUUGUUGGCUGUAUUGUAAUUCUAACGGCCCAACUUAGAAAGGCCCAAACAGACCAAACCAUCCGAACCGAACCCAAAAAUUUCGGUUCGAUUAUUUUUCAGUUUAGAGUAGUUCAGCCGGUUGGGUCUAGAAAACUAUAAAACUGAAAAUUUUGGUUUGGUGCCCCAUUCCAUUAAAAGUCCGACCGAGUCGACCGAAUGCUCUCCCUUACAUGUAAAUCUACGAACUUUAACUUUUGUUGUAGUAGUGAGCUCAAUUGCAUAUGAGACCAUCUUUUAAUGAAAAAAACAUGUAGGAAAGUUUCCUUAAUUUUUUUUUCUAAUUCAUUUUAGAUGUAUUACAUUUAGUUAUGGUAGUGUUUUUUUUUUCCAUAUUACCUAAUUAUUCUUUAGUUUUGUUUUCAUGCAUAUAUCUUCAUAGUAUAUAUAAAAUAUUAUUUAAAUUAUUAAGAUCUUUAUGACUCUAUUCCCACCUGUUGUGUGAGAUGUAACAUUUCUAUUUUUAUAGCUAUUAGAGAUAUUAAAAGAAUCUGAAAAUGUGACGAUCUGCUUCCCGGCGGUUCACCCAUCCUGGAACUAUUCUAGCACUAAGCUCACUUAACGCUCUUAAUCUUUUUGGCCUAGUCACUGCUCAAAAUGCUAUAGUUGAGUUAAAGAGUUUUACCCUUACUAUACUUUAUAUAUAGGACUUUCAAAUUCUGGUGGUGUCACAUUCCCUCCUCUUUGAGUUCUGACGUUUUCAUAAGGCUCGAGCAUACUCACCAGCAGUAGGCGAUGUGAGGCUCGUCUCGCUAUUCUUAGCCGACUUUGUGGGGAGUAGUGCUAUGCUCAAUUUGCUGUAUGAUUUUAGCUCAGCCGAGAAUCAUCUCACACUUUUUGCUGGUGAUUGGCUCUGAUACCAUCUGUGAUUCACUGCUUUCCAUGGGUGUCAUUCAUCCUAGAGCUAUAGCUCUAGGCUCAUUCAACCCUCUUAAACUCUUGGGCCUAGCGACCGCCCAAAAUAUUACAGUCGGAAUAAGAGGUUUAGCCUUAUUAUUCCUUGUAUAUAGGACUAUUCGAAAUCUUAGGGUUGUCACAAAAAAACUAAAUUUUAUAAGCAUUUGAAAGAAAACACCCAAGUUCAUGCGUGCCAAUGUGCUAGUGGUGUGCCAUUGGCAUAAGGCAGUGUGCCGACAGUGGCAUGCAUAGUGCCGUUGUAUCAUUCCCAUAAUUUAAAAUGCGGUCUAUGCUGCUGCAUAUGCUGUGCGACAAUAAACUAUACCGCAUAAAGUCUAUGCGGCCAAUAUGCUGUGGUCCGCAUAUGCAUGCACAUAGACUACAUAUGUGGUUACGAGCCCCUUUUUUUGGAUAUUUGGUUGGAUUUUAGCCAUAUUUAUCAUUUGAGAUCAAACCUACGCUGUUCAAAGGGGAAAAGGAGAAAAAAUCUUGGUCAUUCAUAUAUACUGAUUAUACUAAUUGUUUGCGUAUAUUUUUGUGAUUGGUGUAUUGUUUGCAUAGAUUUUUACAUAUGUUGAUUUUUUGGAUAGCUAAGUAUUGUGAAUGACUGGUACAUUUUUAGUCAAUUUUUAGUGCAUACAGUUAUUUACAUCUAGGAGAUACAAAUAUGCAUUUUUUGCAAUUAUAUUUAUAUUUUCUAAUGCCUUUAAAACUUAAAUUGCAUAUGUGGUCGCAUAUGCACCUGCAUAUCGCAUGUACGUAAUGUGGUGAGUAGACCGCCUACAUACUACAAAGCGCGUUUGGUUCGAAUUUUGUAGCAUUACAGGUUAUUUCAACAGAACAAGGUAUAUGAGAUUUUUGAAUUAGAUUUCUAUUGAUAUUGCAUUAUCACAUUGGUGUAAUGUAGUAAUGUAAUGUUGGUUUACAGUAUAUAUAAAAUUACUAUAUUUGGUUUAGUUUAUAAAAUUCAGUAAUCCUAAUAGUAAAGUUUACUCUAUUACAAAUUGCCCUUAUGGUCAUAUUUAAUAUUUUUUUCUACUAAACUAUAACUUAAUAUAAUUUGCACUUGUAUUAAUUUUAUUAAUAAGCAAUAUAAAUGAAAAGACCACACAUGGAAAAAAAAAAUUAUAAAGCCAAAUAUCAAUUUCAACUCAUAUAAGAAUAAAUUAAAAAAAAUUGAAAUACCUGUGACAAAGAGGGUGGCGUUGGCGGUGGCGACGUUAGCAGCAACUUCGGCAGCAGAGAGGUGGCAGAGAGAGUGGCAGCAGUGACCUUGGUGGCAAUAGUCGGCGGCAGAAAGGCGACUAAGGUGGCGGCGGCCAGCACAUGGCCGAGAUUGGUACUGGAGAAGGAUUUGUGUGAAAAGGAAUAGAGGAAAAGAGGAAGAGAAAGAAAGAGAGUAAAAUGAUGUAUCGAAAGGGUUUGGGAGGUCGGUUGGAGGGAUAAAAUGGUAAUUUUACAUAACAUGCAAGAUUAUCCGCUAUCAAUAAUACAAGAUACUCCCCCCCUCCCCCGAUAAUAUUUUUGGAGUAAUCUUGCAUCCUACGUUACCGACUAGAUUACAAUGCAAGAUUAUCCGCUAUCUAGGUGUCACGGACACUGACACAGGACACGGAACACGACACGACUCGGACACUGCGAUUCAACAGCUUUCAAAAAAUUAGGACACGGACACGGCCACGGCCACGGCAUGGACACCGCUAAUAAAAUAUAAUAUUAUUAAUAUAAUAAUAUAUUUUUAUUAUAUAUAAAAUAUUAAUUUUGGUAAAAUAUUGUUAUAUUUCUCAUACGAAUGAAUGUUAGUAAAAUUUUUAUUGAUAGUUUAUAUAUUUUAAGAAAAGAAAUUUUCUACCAUAAUUUUUGUCAAAAGAAAUUAUAUGCAUUCAUCAAAAAACUAAAAUAUUUAUCAUCUUACAUUAUAUAUGCAUAGAAAAAGUAAAAUAAAAAUAUGUAUACAUUUUUUUUAGUUGUAUGCGCUAUAGAUCGGCAUUGAAUGCGCGUCCAAGAAAUGUCCACAUCGGACACGUGUCCGAUAAGGACACGGGCGUGUCCGACACGGACACGGGCGUGUCCGACACGGACACGUGAGGCUUAUAGAAGUGUCCGUGAUACAUAGUCCACCAUCAAUAAUACAAGAUACCUCCCCUCCCCCGAUAAUAUUUUCGAAGUAAUCUUGCACCCUACAUUACCAACUAGAUUACAAAUUGGAUGAAUCAAAUACAGUAAUUUUGGCAGGAUUGCCCGUAAGCCUGGCAGGAUAACCCGAACCAAAUGCGCCCUUAAAACAUUGGCAGUGCCAUGUCGUUACACACCGGCAUGGGGUGUGCCAUUGUCACGGCAAUCGUUGCCUCAACUAUGCUAGCGGCAUGGCAAUCGUUGCCAUUGCCAAUGGUACGACAAUCCUUACCUCAAUUAUAGGUGGUUUAACUUUUGAUGAGUCCAACUUUUGCUUGUACAUAUUUGAAUAUUUCGGUCGGUUGACUUGGUUUUGAUAAAUAGCUUCUCUAGUUGGAUGCCAUGAGUAUUUAACGAAACCUGCAUUUCUUUAAGCCGGAAAGGGGCAGUGCUCUUUCACAUUAUUUGUUCUAUUAAUAUUUAAGCUACAUGAGAGAGAGUGGCUUCAAGUUCAAUGCUAUAACACUAGUUCUAUGAAUAUUUAAACUUCAUGAGAGAGGCUUGCUUCAAGUUCAAUGCUAUAACAAGUGGUUGGUGUUGACUGGCGAAGACACGCUGUCCUAUCAAAUGCAUAUUAUUCAUAUUUCUCGAAAAGGAAAGUUGAUGUUUCUCAUCCUGCUGAUUUACAGUAGGAAGCUUUUGGUUUCAGCUUUUGGCCUUCUCUUUGGUGAUUAUUUGUAAUAGUACUUUUUGGUGUUGGCUUUUUUGUUUAUUUGAAAUUUGAAUCUCUUUCUUAUCCUAAAUUAGCACUAUAGACAUUUUGCGUUUCAUGUAGUGCCUCCUGAGUAAUCAAUGUUCUGCAGGUACAAUGGUGUUGAAGGAACUCAUAUAAAAGUUACUGAUUUUGUCAAAGACAACGAUUGUUUAGUAUGUGGACCUGGCACUCUUAUUGAGCUAGAUACUUCUGUUACUCUUUCACAGGUAAAUAUAUUCUGGCUUAGCCUAUUAAUUGAUUAUAUUUUUUCUUUUGGGUUAAGGUUUCAUUCAUUCCUUUCAACUGACUUAUUUAGAGUGCUUUCUUUUAUUUAUUUGGAUAAACCGUCUUUUCUGGAGCAGGAGAUGUUUUCAUAAAUAAUAGGAUAAGAAAUAAGUAACCAUUGUAGACUAAGAUAUUGAGAAACUAGAACAUGCUUGACAUAUUGCUAAUUUGCUACAUUCCGGACAUAAUUAUGGUAAAACCAUUUUAGACAUAAAUUUAAAGCUAUCAGCUUACAGCUUGUUUGUUUUGGUGAAUGCGCAAUGAUGCAAGUCCUGAUGUUGUUUAUCUGCCUUCUCUCAUGCUUGAUCUUAUGCACAGUGUAACUCUAGUUGCAAAAUGCCCUUCGCUAGAGUACUGGUUUGACAAAACUCUUUGACAUUUGGAUGAACUACAAUUGUUAAGGCCAACUAAAUUGGUACUUGAGUUACAUUAGAUGGUUUUUAUAUGUGGAUGACCAUCUAAGUAGGCAUUGGAUUGCAAGCAUUUAGAAAAUAGAAGUGAUGGAGACGAUGGAUGGCCUCGCUGCUAUCUUUGUCUUGGUUUAAACUCUUUUCCUGCUUCAGGUCUACUAAUAUCCUCAUUUUGCAUGCUGCAAUUUAAAGUUUGAACAAUUAGCCCAUCUCUCUGAAAUCAGUCUGAGGUUACUAGUAUUUAUUCGUGGGCCUUCUACCAUUCAUUAUAGCAAAAUUACUUCAAUAUUUUUAAAGAUUAAAAUAUUUACUUCCAAUCUCCAAUAUAUUCUUUCCCGCUUAAUUCUUAUGGUAAUCCAGAAAUAUUGUUUAUGUGACAUGAGACAUUGUAUGGCAAUCCAUAUAUUGUUUUACACUUAUGUUGAGUCUUCUUUUGGCAUCUAAGAGAGCUUGGAUACUGCUUGGUAGUGCAAGAUUAUGCUCAUACUCUCGGAGGGUAUUAUUGCCUAACAUGUUCUACUGCUAUUUUACCUUUCUUAGCAAUAUAGCUCUGCUUUACUUUCGGGAUAAUUAAGUGUUGCUCAGUUCGCUUGAACAUCAUUUAGCUCUUGCAAACUAAUUUUGCCUCUACCCUUCGAUAUGUGAUAACAAAAUUGGGCUGCCUCUUUGAGCUAUACUGUAUUGUUCCUAAAAGGCUUGUAUACUGGUCUCUAAUAGAAGGCACUUAUGUAGUUGCAUUUUCAAUUAAAGGAUUACUUAUUAGUGUGUUUUUGAGUCAUUGAAUAGCAUGACGGAUCUUUUGUCUCUGGUGUUUGUUAUAAAACAAUGGUGUGAUCUUGUGUGUUUAGCAACAUGACGAAUCUUAUGUUUCUGAUAUUUGUUAUAACUUAUAAGACAAUGAUGUGAUAUUGUGUGUUUAGGGCCUCUUCAAUAUACUUUGAUUUUCUGUAUUCAAUUCAAGUAUUGCAUUUAAGCUAUUGUUGUAAAUUUCAAGUAGAGUUUCUUUCCUGUGAACAUAAUGAUUAAAGUUCAUGUGCUACAGAUCAUUGGCAGAUUCCACCAAAUACUACUCAAAAUUGAUAAUGCCAUAUUUCUACAUUAAAUCAGUCUCUUUUUUUUUGUCCUUUUUUUUUCUAUGCAAUGUAACUUCCUAAUAUUUGGAUCCAUGUCCCCAAAGCUUAAAGAAUAACUUGAAAGUGUCUCCUAUGGGUUCCCCUUAGUGGUUUUGAGAAUUAGCCUUAUUGUUUGUGAUCCACACAGCUAAUAAUUUGGAUAAAUUCAAUUUUUUUGCUGCUUUUACAUAUGUAGUUUCAUUCUUUUUCGACUCCAUCCCCUGAUAAAUGUUGCAAACAUGUGCGUUUGCAAAACCGUAGCGAAUUCCAUCACAACUGAUGCUCGAGCUCUACUUUGAAGCUUUUAACCUUCUGAACCGCUGAUGCUUAUUUUCUUACGUAUUACAGUUCAUCGAGUUACUGGGGAAACAUCCUGGGCUUCAACUGUCGAAACCCAGUGUCACUCACCGUGGCAACAACUUGUACAUGCAGUCACCGCCGAUAUUGGAGGAGAUGACUCGACCGAAUCUUGCUCUACGUAUGUUUGAUCUCUUGGGCGAAGUUCCCAAGGACACUGUCCACGUCAGCGGUGCUUCUGAGAAGAACGGGAAGAAAACAUCUUGCUCGCGGAAACUUCGAAUCGUAUUUAAAGGGGUUGCUGAUAUGACUGUAGGCAUGGAUACAACCGGUAACUAAUGAAUGUUUACCUCGUCCAGAAACAGUAGGUAUCAAUUGAAAAUUUCUCACGUGAUGCUUGCUUUUAUAGCCCGUAACAAUAUAGUCCGUGAUGCUUUUGGAAUCAAAUAUAGGUUUGGAAAUUUCUAUCCAUUUCCCCUGCUAAGAAAGAUGGAGUCAGAUCUUCUUUGGAAAUCAAAUUCUGUUGCUGGAUUAUUGAGCAGAAGCUGGGAAAGGAAAAUAACUGUUUAUGUAGAAAUUUAUUUUUAUGGCAAUGUUUGUGGAUGUUACCAGCUAAUCUGUUAUCGGUUUGCUCCUUGUGAAAGCAUCAUUUUAAAGCUAAAAGGAAAACUCCGUUGCCACCGCUUUUGGUCUAUAGAUUUGAGUUUUCCAUUCUUUCAUUAUGGAUUACACUUUUUCAUUUUCCAAACCCAAAUCCUAAUAUUCAAAAAUCAAAACUCUUCCGUUUCCCAAACCCAAACCCUAAUAUUCAAAAGGCAAAACCUUUCCAUUCUCCAAACUUUUUUUUUUAUCUCUAAACCCUAAUUGUUAAAAUCUAAAAAGAAAAGUAUUUUAAAACCUUCCCAUUUUUUAAAUUCUUUCUAUCUCCAAACCCUAAUAAUUGAAACUUUAAAGAGAAUUAGAGAAGUGGUUGUAAACUUGUGUAGUCCCUUGUUCAUUCUUCUCUUUCUCUAAAAGGGUAUUUUGGCUAAUUGUUUUCUCUCCAAGAUUCACAACCUCAAACCUCAGAGGAAAAAAGGUGAAGAUUUUUUUUUAAAAAAAAAUUGAAAAUUNUUUUUUUCUUAUUUCUUAAGUUUAGUCUUUUAGUUCUUGUAGGUUAUUGGAUAAUAAAACUAUCUUUUUUUAAAAAAAAUUUUAAGAAAUUUUUGUUUUAUUUUUUUCUUAAUUAGUAUUUUUAACUUUACUCUCUCAGAUCUUGUGGGUUAUUGGGCAAUGAAAUUAUUUUUUUAAAAAAAUUUUUAGAAAUAUUUUGUUUUUAGUUUUUUUGUAUAAUAUGUUUUGAAAUUUGGUAAAUAUUAUUUUUGGGUUUGGGUUUUCGGGUUUAGAAUCGGGUUUCGGAUUUUUUGUCAAAUUCGGAUUUUUUUGGGAUUUGGGUUCGGGUUUUCGUGUUUGGGUUCGGAUUUCGGAUUUUUGGUCGGGUUUGGGUUGGGAUAUGGAUUUUUAAAUUUCGUUGGGUUCGGGUUCGGGUUUGGGUUUCGGAUUUCGGAUUUGAUAGUCCGGUUCGGGUUCGGGUUCGGGUUUGGAUUCGAAUUUUUAAAAAUUCGCUCCGUACGUAAUAUUGCGUUUCGCAUAUCGCGAUUAGUGGGUUACGAUAUAUUUUUUGCGGUCCUACCGGAGAACGUAAAAGUAUACUUCUGUAUACUUUUAUCCCAACUUUAUUUUAUCUAAUAGUGUUAGAUAAGCUUCAAUACCAAAGGAAGCCUAAAUUGCCUAAUGAGAAACGUGCUACUCUGGCUCGAGUUCAUGUUUGACUCGUGUUUGGCUUGAUAUUCGGCUUACUCGAGCUCAACUCGAAAUUAAAUGAGCGGAGCCUGAAUAGAAAAAAAAACUCGAAAUUUAUUUCAAGCUGAGCUUGAGUAUUACUGGACUCGUUCAAAUUAGGCUCGAAAAUUUGAAUAUAUAUAUAUAUAUAUAUAUAUAUAUAUAUAACUAGCUGGAAAUACUAUCAAUAGCCACCAAGUUGUUGGUGCUAUUAGAUUUUUUAGGUCUUGGAUCUGAUAAUGUGCGGUUUAUGAGUGAUGUGGCAGCCUAGGUUGAGUGGGCCGUGGUUAGUUGAAUAGUAUAAUAUAACGGUAAAAAAAAUAAUCAAAAAGGUUAAUUGAACGGCAGAAAACUAGAUAGUCAUCAAAUAGCUUGGUUAGCUAGUCGCUAGCCCAUAGCAGCCGGACUAUAUAUCAUAUAUAUAUAUUAUAUAUAUAUGAGUUGAGCUAUGAUAUUAUUACAAGUUAUACAUCAGUGUGUUGGUUGCCUAUUAGGAUAUUAAGCCAUUUGUGAUUACUUUUUGAUUAUUAAUAGCCCUUGGAUUAAACACUUCACUACCACCAACCAUCACCUAACCAUCAUCUCAACUACAUCUCUCCAGCAAGGUGCUAAAAACACACAGAGUUUAUCACCCCAAUGAUACUUUACAGAUGUAUUCUAGCACUGCUAUAUUAUAUAUAUAUAUAUAUAUAUAUAUAUAUAUAUAUAUAUAUAUAUAUAUAUAUUAUAUAUUUAUACUAUUAUAUAUGAUAUAUACUAGGCUUCAAGAAUUACUUUUAAAGCACCAACUUUUGGAUGUUUAGUGUUCUAAACAUUGAUGUACUCGCUUAUUCUAAUACCCCUAUGGCAUAAAUACUAUUGUCACCUACCACGACCUACUACAUCAUCUCAUAUCCUAAUAUCUCUCCAUAUCAAUGUUAAAAAAUCUCAAAAGCACCACCCCUUGGCUGCUUUUUGAAAGUAUUCUAACUGAACUCUCUACGUCUCUCUCUCUCUCUGCUCUCUAUAUAUAUAUAUAUAUAUAGUAUAUAUAGAGAGAGAGAGAGAAGAAGAGAGAGGAGAGAGAGAGAGAGAGAGACGUGGAGUUGCCGCGCUAACCUAUAUACUUAUGAGUAUAGGCCUAUUGAUACUCAUAAGUUUUUCUGGACCGUUAAGAUCAACCAUUUAAUCAUUUCAUCCGUUAGAUUAUAUAUUCAACCAAUCAAUUGCAUCAACCCUUAUGCGAGAGAGCCUAUAUCAACCUUAAUCGUAACAUUUCAUCCUAACGCUAGUUUUUCAUUUGAAACGGUUGAAAAUUUAUGAGUACAAAGGGCUCUAUAACUCAUAUAAGUAAUAAUAAGCCCCGAGUAUAUAUAUUAUAAUAUAUAUUAUAUAUAUAUAUAUAGAAUUGGUCGAAUACUAUUAAUUAGUAAAACGCCUUGUUUGCUAUCAAUUUUUAACCUAUGAUGAGAAAAUUUAUAGGAUCAGAUGAAUUAGUCAGGUUAGAGUUGAGUGGUCUCCCUCUAGAUGAGUGGUCCACACACCUGCGGUUAUAGUAUAUUUAAUCCUAAUAGUUAGAAAUAAAUGAAUAAAGACGGGGUCCAAGGCUAAAAACUGGUGGCAACAAAUGAGAUUUUGUACUAAUAGAUAGCCCAGUUCCAACCUCUCUCUUCUCUCUCUCUCCUCUCUGCCUCUUCUGGCUCUCUCUCUCAUAUAAUAUGAUAUAAUAUUAUAGUAUAUAUAAUACUAUAUACUAUAUAGUUAAUCUCUAUCGCGUUUGUGAAAGUACGGAGGCCUAUUGUGUACUUGUAAGUUGUUUUCGAUAAAUAGAAUAUCCGAUUUGCACGCAUCGGACUCGUUACAUAAUCUAUUGCAUUGAACUAUUUUUAGAAAUCAAAUUCUAUAAUUGUUUUUCAGACAAUCAUUUAGCAAGCGAUCUAUUAGUGUCUCAAAUUGACCUAUUUUACACGGCGACGUGGCACGUUUUAAGUUCAACGAGUUGCUAGAAGUAUCAUAAUUACAUUGAAACUUUAUAAAAUUCUCUUAGCAUCUAAAAGGUCAGAACAAUACUUCCGAUUGAAUUUUGGGAGGGGGCAUUUUUCACUAUUUUUUAUGGUGCAUUUUAUUUUCAGCCGUUACAUUAUUGAAGAUACUACGAUAUCUGGGCAAUGAAGUCAAAAAAAUUAUAAAAUUUGGUUUCUAAUAGUUCUUAAUACCGUAGAUCAGUCUAACGAAACGAUCGUCGAAGGCGAACGAUCCCAUCAUCGAAUAACAACUUAACAAGCACGGACCUCCGAACUUUCCGAAAGCAUAGGAGGCCUAAUCAUAUAUAUAUAUAUAUAUAUAUAUAUUAUUUAUGAUAUAUUAUAUAUAUAAUAUAUAUAUAUAUAUAGUAGUUGUGUGUAUGUUAUGGAAGCACAAAGGUGUCUAAUGCUUCCAAGUUGUUUUCGAUGUAUCAUUUUCGAACGAUGGAUCGGCUCGUUAGAAGUUUGAUCUAGAUGUAUUUUAAUGUAUUUAGAAUAAAAUUUCGCGAUUUUUCAAUACAUUUGCAUAGUGAUCCAAAGGGGCUCAAAAUCAAUACAUUUAUAUGUCCGUGUUGUGUAGCCGGUUGCAAGUUUAAAUGGUGUAGAAUAGUCCAAAUCCAUGAUAUUUUGCUAGAAAAUUUCUUUAUACUAUAUAAAUAGAAUCAAUAUCUUUGAUGUGCGUAAAUUUAUUAUUGUCACUAUCAUCAUAUUUUGUUUUUUUAUGAGAUUUUUAUUUUCAGCCGUUGAUUUUGAGCCCCUUCGAUCACUAGGCAAAUGAUAUUGAAAAAUCGCAAAAUUUAUAUUUUAGGUACUUCAAAUACUCUAGAUCAAGUCUAACGGAGCCGAUCGUCGAUUCGAAAGUCCCAAUAUCGAAAACAAAUUGGAAGCACGGAGGCCUCUGUGCUUUCAUAAGCAUACUAGCCGCACUAUAUAUAUAUAUAUAUAUAUAUAUAGCUAGUCUUCUAUAUUAUCUAUAGUACUAGGGCUCCGGUACUCUAGAUCAUAUUUAAUAGAGCGGAUCGUCAAUUCGGAAGCCCUAUCAUCGAAAAUAACUUAUGAAUACGAAGGAACCAAUACUCAUAAGAGUAUAGUAGCCUUACUAUAUAUAUAUAUGAGUGGGCUGGUAUGCUUAUGGAAGCACGGAGCCCUCCGUGCUUCUAAGUUGUUUUCGAUGUUCGGACUUUUGAAUCGACGAUCGGCUCCGUUAGAGUUGAUCUAGAGUAUUUGAAGUACCUAGAAAAUAAAUUUUGUGAUUUUUCGAUAUCAUUUGCCUAGUGAUCGAAGGGGUUCAAAAUCAAUAAUUUUAAUGGCCGUGGUGAGCCGGUUGCAAUUUUAACGGUGUAGAAAUAUCCAAAUCACAUGAAAUUUUGAUAGAAAAUUCUUUAUACCAUAUAAAACAAGAUCAAUAACUUUGAUCUAAAAUUUUAAUGUCAUAUCAUCAUAUUUUGUAAGAUUUUUAUUUUCAGCCGUUGAUUUUGAGCCACUUCGAUCACUAGGGAAAAAUCGCAAAAUUUAUUUUCUAGAUAAUUCAAAUACUCUAGAUCAAGUCUAACGGAGCCGAUCGUCGAUUUGAAAGUCCGAACAUCGAAAACAAAAGUGGAAGCAUGGAGCCCUCCGUGCUUCCAUAAGCAUCCUAGCCGCACUAUAUAUAUUAUAGAGAGAGAGAGAGGAGAGAGAGAGAGAGAGAGAGAGCCGGCUACUAUACUAUUAUGAGUACCAUCGCCCUCGUACUCAUAAGUUGUUUUCGAUGAUAGAGCUUCCGAAUCGACGAUCCACACCGUUAAACGUGUAUCUAAGAGUAUUUGGAACAUCUAGAAAUCAAAUUUCAUAAUUUUUCUACAUCAUUUACUUACGAUCAAAAGCUCACAAAAUUGAUAAUUUUUAACGCCGGUAUGGAAUCUUGCUAUUUAACGGUGCAAAAGAAUCCGAAUAGGUUGAAUUUUUGAUAGAAAAUUCUAUUCACUACCUAGAUAAAGAUCAAUAACUCUGAUCUUAAAUUGAAGAUCCGAUCAUUCAUUUUUAAGACAUCUUUCGAUUUUGACCGUUAUUUUAUGCCCGCUUGAUGUACUUAUUAUGAUUUCGAAAAUUACGAAAUUUAUUUUCUAGAAGUUUCAAAUACUCUAGAUCAUAUUUAACGAGUGGAUCGUCGAUUCGGAAGCUCUAUCAUCGAAACAACUUAUGAGUACAAAGGCCUAAUACUCAUAAUAGUAUAGUAGCCCCUGGUCCAACUCUCACUCUCUCUCUCUCUCUCUCUCUCUCUCUCUCUCUAUAUAUAUAUAUAUAUAUAUAUAUAUAUAGGGCUACUAUAUUUUAUGAGUAUAGACUCCUUUGUAUUUAUAAAUUUUCGAUCGUCCGAUUAAGAGAUGUGCGGUUAGAAUGAUAGUGGUCCCUAGGAUUGAAUGGGUGGUUGGUUGAAUAAUAUGAUUUAACGGGUGGAAAUGAUCAAAGGGAUAUAUCUAACGGUCGAAAAUUUAUAUGUACAAAGGGGUUUAUGCUUAUAAGAUUAUAGUAGCCGAACUCUACAUAUAUAAUUAUAUAUAAUAUAUAUUUUAAUUAUAUAUAAUUAUAUAUAAUAUAUAUUUUAAUUAUAUAUAAUAAUAUAUAUUAUGUAUUUUAAUUAUUUGUAUAUAGAGUUUAAGUUAUUGGGCUCACAAAACGAAACCAGCAAGACUCUACUCUAAUUGCUCUCUCUCUUUUUCACUUGCUCAUAAGUGGCUUCCCCUAAUUUUUUUUAAUAUUAUAAUAUCGUAUUUCAUACAUUCAUUUUGUAUGUUAAACUAUUAAAUUUUUUUUUUUAUCAAAUUUUAGAUAAUGUUUUGUAAAAAUUAAAUUAUAGAUUUCACGAUGUUAAGAAUUUCAAGUGGCUCGUUUAGGGCUUGAGCUCGCUUGACUUGAAGUUAGGCUCACUCAAGCUCAGCCCGAAUUAAUUUCAAGCUGAGCUUGAGCCUAAAUUUAGGCUCAAAGCUAAUUUCAAGCCAAGCUUGAGCUGACGUCGCUCAAGCUAGGCUCGCUUCAACCUCUACUCACUCAUCCCGUUCAAAAUUAGCUUCCUCGGGAUUUUUUGGCAGCCUUGUAACUGUAAAUAUAGGCCCUCUAAAUUUUUAUAUAUAAAAACUAAGUUUAAACAGUGAAUGAUAUAUCGCUUUGAGGAACCGAUAAAUGAUUCACUAUUUUCUGUAAGUGAUUAUCGCUUUGAGGAACCGAUAAAUGAUUCACUAUUUUCUGUAAGUGAUUAGGAGUGAAAACUGAUUGAAUAUUAUAUGAAAAUAUCUGUAUCCUUAUUCGAUAAUAUCCAAAUUCAGAUAGAAAGCAUCCGGAUUUGGUCGGAUACAGAUAUGGUUUUAGAAAGUUAAAUUUUUUCGGAUAUCUAGAAAAAACGAAUACGGAUUCUGUAUCUGAACUUUUAGUACUAUUGUUUUUAUGCUCUUUAUAUUUUCGGAUCUGCUCUGCCUGCCAGGCCUGCCCUAAUCCUUUUUCUCCAAAGGUGAUCACUUGAUUUCUUUUUAAUGAAUAAAACCUAUUUAUUCGCGAUCUCUCUCUCUCUCCGGCAUCUGCUCUCUUACCCUAAUCAUUUCUUCAUUCUCUCACCCCAUUAUCAAACCGAUCGUGGCCUGAGAUUGGCCAUCUACGAAUAGGACAACGAAGACAUAGUCCCUACAUCCCUCAUCUCUCUCGUCUCUCUAUUUUUCUUUGUCGCGGACUCUCCCUAUCUCUGAUCAUCGCCACCGACUACCUCCUCUUAUUUCGUUCGAGCUUGAACGACGCUCAAGUCUUGACCCACUCUCGCAUAGAGAACUUGGGUUAUCUGAUCUUUUUGUCCAAUUGUUCUUCUUACAGUAAGCUUUAUCUUAUACUUUCUAAGCUUCAUUUUAUACUUUCAAGUUUUUAACUAUGUACACAAUUUUUUUUUUUUUAAUUUUCAUGAAUUUUUAUGGCUUUUAUAGUUUAGAGUUUAUGGCUUUUUUAUUAUUUAAUUUUGUUCAGAAUUUUUAAUAGAUUUUCUCCUUUAUUUUUGUUUUAUUUUCAUUUAAUUAGAUUAAGAAUAUGUGAUUUUUUUCUAUACAAAUGCAAAAUAUCUAAUAGUAUUUCUCUAAUAGAAGAAACAUGUAAUAAUGCUGCUAAAAAAAAUAAAAAGUUAUCUAAAAUCCGGAAUGAUUUUGAAAAAAUAGUUGAAAUUAAUGGAGGAUCAAGUGAUAAUACAAGUAAGGAAUUAAUUAUGAAUGAAUCAAAUUCCAAAAAUCAGGAAUCCACCAAUUAUGACAAGUAUUCAAAUCAUAAGCAAUUGUGGAAACUCAAGAAUGACAAUAUCUCAAGUAUGGCCACCACUCCAAAUAGAAAAUAUUUGAAUUCAAAUAUUGUACAUUUCUAGAAAAUAAUUAUGUAAAUAUUGUAAUCCCAAGAAUAAUGGGAUUAUAUUUUGUAUUCAAUAAUUCUAUAUAUUGAGAAUUGGUUUUGUGUGUUCUCCAUUUGAGGACAACAACCAUUUUCCACCAAUUAUAAUUUUCUUUAUGAUAUCAGAGCUAUAAGACAUUAGUCAUCAUACUUGAUCUAAUGGCCACUUCUAGUGCUUCUUCUUCUACCACAAGCCCUACAUUUGUUAUUGCUAACAUUAGCAAUUUAGUCUCCAUUAAGCUUGAUCGCGAUUUUCGCCACUAGGCGGUAAGCAAUAGAUAAUUGACUCAAGAUCAAAUCGGGUGAUAUAGCUUGGCUAAGGUAAAAGAACCUUACCAACAGAUUAAAUUUUGCAAUGAAUAGUAAAAUAGAAAGUAGAAGAUGAAUACCUACAUGCAUUGAUUUCAUUAUUGCAUUUAGUGAGGCAUAAGCAUGAUGUUUAUUAUUUGCAUAAAAUUAUAUAUUGAUAUUUGUUGGACUAACUUGCUUAUGUUGUUUCUUUUGGACCUCGUGGGUCGAGCUCUUCCCUUGGGUAGCAGUACCCACUUAGAACUAUAUUUAUAAUUUUCACCCCCAUAUUUUUCAGGUCCAAACGUGAGCGGCGCGGCGGCACGAGAAAAGGACGUAGCUCGAUAGAUUGCGCCCUACCACUUGUGACCAGAGAUAGAUAUACCCUAGGUCAGCAUAGUUUAGGGGUAUAUGGAAGAAAGAAAUAAAAUUAUAAUAAAGUAGGUUGUAUUUGUAUGAAAAAGAAUGUUAAUAUAAUGUGAAUGUGACGAAUACCUGUAAUAGCACAGUGAUUUUAUGUUUUGAUGCCUCCUUAGGCAAUCUAUGUAUACAUUCUGUUCCUAGUCAGAACAUCGUGAAUUGUACUUAUUGUGACACUUUGGACGUAUAGGAAAAACUCUGUCCGUUCGGCGGUCUGUGUGCAUGCCCGAACCGACAAAAGUGGUGGCCUCGGGGCAUGACAGCGUCACGCCCCGAGACCGCCACUUGGUCGGUUCGGAUGCACAUCCAGACUGCCGAACGGACAGAGCCUCCUCUGCCCACCCAAGGCAUAAAACAACAUCAUGUAUAUAGAGUUUUUCCCCAGGAAUAAUAACAACAUACAUAAAUUGCAGAGCAAUUAUACAAGAGCGAAAGAUCGAUUACUUAAAUAUUACAACUAAAACACUUAAGAUUCACAUUUAUCAUACCAAAAUACAUCAUUUCCAUAUAUAUUACACACAUGCAUAUACAAUGACAUAUACAUUUUCAUCUCCUAAAAUGAAGCCUCUACAAGUUCUCUCAUAACACACAAGUACUACUCUACUACAUAGGGUAUAAUACUAGCACAUGGAAGUCCACUACCUAGGGCGCAAUGUCCUUGCCGCGAUCCUUGACCGCACUGCUCGUGCUAGGCUUUGCAAAACAAAAGGGUGAGAACUAAAAUAAGUUCCUAGUGGGUUCGGCCACCGACCCCACCGACUUUCCCAUUAGGUCUAAUCAGGCAUAAGUAGUAAAAGAGAAUAGAGGAUAAUAUGCAAUUGAAACAACUAUUAUGCCUCUACAAUAUGAAACUGGGUAAACAAAUAUGCUAUUAUGCUCAUGAUGCUUAUCAUUUCUGCCUUUUGACCCAAUCAUACCAGCUCACCUGGAGGUCGAGCCCACUCACAAUACCAAGGCCAACAGAUGGGAAGAAUUCCGCUUAACCCAUCUGGGGCCGUUUGAUGGGAAGAAUUCUGCUUAACCCAAACGUGAGAACUCCAAAGUUCACUACUUGUAGUGUCACGACCCACCACAAGCCAAACAAACAACGUAAGUAUGAUCCAGUCCUCUCAUCCCAAGGACACCCUACUAACCAGAGUAACAACAUAUCGGAAUCUACUAAUCCCUAGCAUAUAACUCCACAAGUGCUAUCAACCACAACUAGCUAAAAAAUCCUAUCAAACACAAUUAGUCAAGAUGCCACCAAGUUCAUGUCACCAACUUUCCACAAUGUUUUCUAGUUCACAUACUAGUUCUUUACAUUAUAGGGUUUCCAAUGUCCAACAACUCAAUCCUUAUGCGUCCAAUAUCUGAGUUCUUGACCCAAGUUAUCUAACUCUACUUUAGGAAGCAUGCAAGGAAAUUGAAAGCACAAACACAAUAAUAACCCUAAAAUGCAUAAAUUACAUACAUACAUAUAUGACCAAAACAAACAACUUAGAUAUAGAAAGAAAUUCAACUGUUCCGAAUAGCACCACCAUCCUUGAUUCGAUGCCAAUUGUAGGAAAGUCCGAGCAAUUUAGCUUCCGAUACCGAUUCAACACUAUUCGUCGCUAAUGAAUAAAAUCCCUCGUUUUCGGCUUGAUUUUCCUCAAUCGACCAUCAAAACAUCGCUACUCUUUGAAUUGAAGCUAUUAGGCGUUCUUCUAUAUAAUCACUACUCUUUGAGUUAGGCCUUAUCCAUAAACCCCAAUAUAAUUGCAACUUAACCUCUCUCAUUUAAUGAAAUUUUUACUCAACUCAUAACUUUUGCUUUUAAACUUGCUCCAAUAUUAGUCUCAUACACCAUUUUCUCCGUACUGGGCCCAAUUUGGCCUAAGUUCGGGAAAGUGUCCUGAAAUUUAGUACACUAUAGCGUGUCCCCUCGCAACCCACUAAUCAACAAUGAAAAAUUCAUUCCACUUGCUCUAUAAAUAUUACAAACACAAAACUAUUUUUUAAAUAAUUAAUAUUAUAGCCCCUUUAAAAAAUUUAUUUUCACAAAUAACCCCAUCAAAUUUAUAAUUGCAGUUUUGGCCCUAUUUCUGCCACGCAGAUCCUACAUAAGCACCAUGCUGGAAUAAGUUGAACACGGUAACCUAUUCGCAUAUCUAAACACAGUGAAUAGUUCACCGUGUCCGAAAAAAAAAAAAAUUUAUGUAUUGCGAAAAAAUAUAAGUAUUAAAAAGAAGGAAUAGAAAAAAUAUAAGUAUGGAACACGGUGAACUAUUCACCGUGUUUGAACACGAAGAAUAUAAAUAUGAAACACGGUGAACCAUUCACCAUAUUAGAAUACAGUGAAUAAUUCACUGUGUUCAACUUAACACCCUUCCAACUUGCAUGGCGCUGAUGUAACGCCUGCGUGACGAGGAUAGGGUCAAAUUUGUAAUUAUAAAUUUGAUGGGAUUAUUUGUAAAAAAAUAAUUUUUGAGAGAACCAAAUGCAAAAAAGCCCUAUAAAAAAAUAUAAGAAUUUAAAUUUUUAUAAUAGAAUUUUAAAACUGAAAUACAUAAAAUUUACUCGUGCAUUCAAUGCACAAAAUACUAUCCCAUCUUCUCCUUCUCAACUACGAAAAACUUUUUGCCUAGACUUGAUCUACUAAUAAUUUAUGUACGCUGAGCCUUUUUUUUAAUGAUUAAUAUUGUAAAGUUAAAGCUAAUUCAAUAAAUAUGAUUUAAAUUAUAUAAAAUUCUAUGUAUAAAAAAUUAUAGAAUUUUAAUUUUAAUAAUAGGAUUUUACAAGGACGACAUAUAAGAUUUUCUUAUACAGUAGUGUAUAGAACAAUAUCUUCUUUAUAUUCUAUUUUUGUUAUUUUAUUGAUUUAUUUGUCAAAUAUGUCCAUAUAAAGUAAUUUAGUUACUAAUAAGUUCUAAUAAAAAUUUACGUAGUAUGUAUACCAAUUUAUAUUAUUUUUAUUUAAAUUAAUUAAAUUAUUUUUUUAUUUAUAUUUAUUAAUUAAUAAUUAGACUAAUAAAAUAAUAUAAAAAUAAAAAUAUAAUUAAAACUCCGGUGUCCUCGCUCGUCGACUCUGCCUUUGGAAUGCGUGACCAGAGAUGCCUGUGAGGGUAGUCGAGAGCUCCUCCCCCUCCCAAUCCUCCGGUUAGGGUUUCUCCUUCUCUUUUCCUCGCUCGCUCUCUCUCCCUUUCUCCUUCUUCUAUUAGCAUCGAUUAUUUCGUAUUUUGCAAUUUUCUAUGGAAAUUAUUGCGAUUUGAUCAGUAGAAGAAGAGCAAGACCGUUUAUUGCUUUGUCAUUUUAGUGCCGUAGCGAUCAAAUUUGAUCUUUGAGUUGAUUUCACUGCGAACUCAUCUGCUUUUUUGAAGAUUCGGAUGAUUUGAUUUUUCGGCAUAAAUCUUAUGCUGUGGAUUUUACCUGGUAAUCGUCUCUGAUCCGCUAUUAUCUUUACAAAUCGUGUGUAAAUUGGUUAAGUCUCUCUCAGGGGAAGUGCGAAAAUCUAUGGAGACGUUCUCAGCGAUAUGCCCUUACGAAAUAAAACUCUUUAACUGUUUUACUUUUGAUUGACAUAAUGGUGAAUUAUGCUCCAAUCAAGAUCAUAAACUUAAGGAAUCAAUUAUGGUUGAAUUAAAUCUCCGAAUCUAGAGACUACCAACUAUGACAAGUAUUCAAAUAUCUCAAACAUGGCAACUACUUCAAAUAGAAAAUAUUUUCAAAUGUUUCAUAUUUAUAUAAUGUGUUUAUAUAAAAUGUAAAACUUUUAAUCCCAAAAAUACUCAAUCAAUUUAUAAACUGAAUGUUGGUUUUGUGUGUUCUUAGACAAGAUCGACAACCAUUUUUUACAUAUUAUAAUUUGUUUAUGGUAUCUCUCAAAAAAAAAAAAGUUAAAAUUCUCUCUCAAAAAAAAUUCUUUAUGGUAUCAGCCAUAAGACAUGGUCAUCUUAUUCGUUCUAAUGGCUACUUCUGCUUCCUCCGUUUCCUCUGUGAUGCAGGACGGGUUAAACCUAUCCUACAAGUAAAUACUACUUAGAUGUGGUAGGCAAAAUAUUUUGCAGAGAUAAAAUUAAACAAGCAAUUUUUUUAUUUUUUUAUUUUAAAGAAAAGAACGUUCGAAAAGAAAAUUAAUUAAGUAAGAAAAAUUGAUGAGAUAGGAGAUUGUACCAUACGACAUCCAGCAAGUGCAUGAUUAAACUAUUGCGAUUAGUCCAGAUCAUCCACAAUCUAUUUGCAACGUCCUCCUAGUCAUGCUUGUAAAUACCGCGUAAUCGAAUUUCGCCUAACGAUAAUAAUCAAGUAUCUUGCAAGAUCAAAGAGACUAAACAAUUUUUUGAAAUUUGGGACGAUAAAACAAGUCUACGAAUUUUUACGAGAAAGAAAAAAAUUAGAAAUCAAAACAUUCUAUAGACCAAGCUUUUAUUACCAAUAGAUAAUUUGCGGAAAUUGAGAUAUAGAAGGAAAUACUAGCUUGUGAUGUGAACCGGGUUCAUCCAAUGUAGGCUGCUGCUUGUGGGUCACAGGAACCGGUUGAUGUGUGCAAGAAGACAAGCAACGCCGCCUCGGGAGAUGUGCACAAGAACCCUCGUCUCCAACUUCUUCUUCUUCCUGCUGGCUUGAUCACACAACUCUCACAUCUCACUAAAAAUUUCUCUAUUUUCUAAAAUCUUAACCAAACCUCACAAAUAGGUCGUCGAAAUUUGCAGAAAAUUAAGAGGAACUCAGAUCCAACAUAACCUUAUAACUCUGGACCUCGCUAGAACCGGAAACCCUCCAGGAAAAAACUUUCGCUCAAAAAACCUUUGCAAGAAAAGUUCAAAAUAUUAUUCAAUAAUCAUCGUCCCUUUUCAUAAAACCUUGUAGGUUAUUUAUAUCCUAAUUACAUCCGAGAAAAAAUCUCAACUAGAGAUUUAUCUAAAAGGAAAAUAAAUGAAAAAAAUCUUAACUAGAGAUUUAUCUAAAAGGAAAAUAUAACAAAUAUUCCUAACAAGAAAAUCUUAAAAUAACAGAGUAAAUCAAGAAUAAUCUUCAGAUCCAUAUAGCGGGUUCGGGUGCCAACUUGCGCCGCCUUCGUUGAUAGACCUGAAACUCGGGCGAUGAGACGGGUCGGGUUCGGUCUGCAUCACUCUGUUUCUUCUUCUUCCACUGUAAGUACCAUCUUUAUUAUUGCCAAUAUUAGCAAUUUAGUUCCCAUUAAGCUUGAUUGUGGCAACGAUUAGCUAUGGCGACAACAGUUUCUUCCCAUUCUUUUUGCCCAUGAUUUGAUAAGUUUUAGAGUGAAUGAGAAAACUACUCACUUGGAUCCAACUUACCCUCGUCAAAGGUGUACUUGCUCAAGUUGUCAAGUUGUAAACCUCUCGUGAAGUUUGGGUUGCACUGGAAUGUCAGUAUGCCUCUCUCUCGUAUGCUUAUGUUUCACAGCUUACUACUCAAUUUCAAACUAUCAAAGAGAGAGGUAUGACUUUUGCCGAUUUUAUAAAUAAAAUAAAAUCUAUAUUUGAUAACUUGGUGGCAGCUGGUAAACCAGUCUAUGACGAUGAUUUGUUUCAUCAUAUUGUUAUGGUUUUUCCAUGAAAUAUGACCCUAUUCGGCUCUUUAUUCGCAUUUGUCCCUCUAUUUCUACUGUUGAGAAAGCCAUGCUAUUUUAGCCAGCGAAGAACUACUUUUGGAGGAACAACGUCAACGUCAUUCCUCCAUCACUAAUGAACCUUCCUCCAUUGCAUGCACCAAUUCUUUACAGACCAAAUUUGGCUCUAAUUAUGGCUAAGGACAAAAUACUAACAAUGGCAGGGAAUGUGGAUGAGGACGUGGUGGUCAUGGCUUACGUGUAGCCGACCUUCCCACAACAACACAUAUGCUAUUGGUUGGCACCCAUCCUACUUGCCAGAUCUACAAUUUAAUUGGUCAUAUUGCACUUGACCGUCAUUAGCAAAUGGAUUUAGCGUAUCAAGGGUGUACUCCUUAUCGCCUUUAAGCAACGGCGGCAACAACUUCUCCUUCCACGGAUCAGAUUUAAUAUGCUGGUACUAGAGUCACCAACAACCUAACCUCUUAUCCAUCCGACCUUACUAUUUGCACCAACUAUCAUGGAAAUAACAAAAUAUCUGUUGGAAACGGACAUGGUUUGCGAAUUCUUCGCGCUUGUUCAUCUAAACUCCAUACCCUAUCUCAACCUUUUCAUUUAAACAACUUGUUACAUGUUCCUAAAAUAUCAACCAAUUUAGUGUCUGUGAACCAGUAUUUUAAAGAUUACAAUUGCUAGUUCCUAUUUGACUCUCAUAAUUUUUGUGUGAAAGACAAACAAUCAGGGAAGACGCUUUGCCAAGGGCCAUGUGAGAUGGACUAUUAUGUCUUUAAAGCCUUCAAAAAUGAUUAGAAUAAAUCAAGCCCUUUUGCUUUUGUUGGUGAAAGAGUUUCUUCUUCAGUGUGGCAUCAUAGGCUUGGCCAUCCAUCUACCACCACUCUACAUCAUUUUCUUGUGCAUUCACACAUCUUUUUAAAAGGUUCAAUAAAAGAAAUAAAUGUUUGUAACUCAUGUUAACUUGCGAAAAGUCACUGUCUUUGCUUUACUUCUACUUUUGUAUCUUCUUCUGCUUUGAAACUUUUACAUAUGGAUGUUUGGGGACCUGCUCCUAUUCUAUCUAUGAGUGGCUUUAAACAUUAUUUAAUUAUUGUUGGUGAUUUUACUCAAUAUUCAUGCCUUUUUCCUUUACAUUCAAAAUCUGAUGUUUUUGAUGCCUCUAUUGAUUUCAAACUCAAUAUUAAGAAUUUACUUGAUCCAAAAAUCAAAAGCAUUAGGAUUUACGAAUACUGAGUAAAAUACAUAAAAAUGAAUUUCUCAUUAGUUUUCUUGCCCACAUAUAUGUAAGCAAAAUAGAACUACCUAAAGAAAACACUGCUACAUCAAUGAAACUGAACUUUCUGUUCUCUUUCAUUCCUGCAUGCCUUCUAAAUAUUGGGCAGAUGUGUUUUGAGCAACUAUCUUUCUCGUUAUUAGGAUGCCAUCAAAACAUUUAAAUAAUAUUUCUCCUUGAAGGAAAAAUGUUCUGCCCAAAACCUAACUACUCUUGUCUUAAUGCUUUUGGUUUUGUAUGUUAUCCAUGGCUAUGCAUUUUCCCUCAACAUAAGUUAUUUUGAUCAUUAAAAUGUGUUUUUGUUGGCUAUAUUUUGGACCACAAACAUUAUUGAUGCCUUGAUCCCUCUAAUGCUGUGUUUAUCUUUCUCAUCACGUAGUUUUUGUUAUGAAUCAAAAUUUUUCUUAUCUUUCGAAUGCCCCUUUGUUCAGUAUCCAAAGUGGAUCUCAAACCAACGAGAAUUCUUCAUACAUGGCUAUCUUUCUUAUCCUCAAACCUUUCACAAGCAUUUAUACCCACCCAAUCAUCCAACCAGGAAAUCUCGAGCACCUCACCUGAAAUACCAAAUCAAUCUCCAUUAGGCCAUCUAAUUUCCCUAUCCUCACAAAUUGCAAACGGCGCUUCAAUAGAACAGUUGACCACCGAUAAUACUGUUGCUAAUUCCAAUUCUCAUCCUAUGCAAAAUAGAUCCAAGUUCUUUAUUACUAAGAGAAAGCAAUUGUUUGAAAGUCACUCGCCACCCCUUACCUAAAGUGCUACUUGCCAUUACUAUAGAUGUCAAGCCAACUUGUUUUAGUCAAGCCUCGAAAAGUGCCACAUGGAGAAAAGCAAUGGCUAGUAAAUUUAAUGUAUUAUAAAAAUACGGUACAUGGUCUCUUUCCCCUUUUACUUCUGGCAUGAAUGUUGUUGGAUGUCGUUACGUUUAAAGAAUAAAACGACAAGAUGAUGAUAGCCUUGAAAGAUGUAUGGCUUAUUUGGUAGCCAAAGGUUAUCAUCAACAAACUGGGCUUGAUUACAAUAAAACCUUCAAUUAUGUUGCCAAAUCUUCAACCAUUAGAGUCAUGUUGGCUAUUGUUGUUCAUUUGGGUGACCUAUACAUUAAUUAGAUGUGCACAAUAUUUUUUGCAUGGCAUUUUAUGAGAAGAAGUGUAUAUGCAACAACUCUGAGCUUUAUUGAUCCUCUUGCUCCAACUCAUGUCUAUAAGCUCCAUAAAUCAAUUUAUGGGCUAAAACAGGCACCUCGCACUUCGUUUCAGCACUUCACAACCAAUGUUUAAAGAGCGGCCCCUAUGCUCGCCAAAUCAGCCGCUAUAGCAGAGUUACUAUGCUACUACUACGCCAUAACAUUUAGAGUUAACAGCCACUUUAGCAGCGUUGGGUGCGCUAAAGCGGGCACUAUAAAGCGGUGUCAAAGCGAGCGAAGUGGGCCCAAAAGCUUAAAAGUUGCAAAUAGCCCAAAAUGUCUUAUUAGGUUGGGUAUUAAGUUAAAUAAAAUUAUCCAAACCCUGUAAAUGGAUUAUAGGUUUUCUAGUUUUUUGUCCUUUUGUUUUGUUAAAUCAUAAUAUUUUGAAGUUACUUACAAAUAAUGAUUUUUAUAUGUAUAGGCUCACAAUACUAGAAUUAGUUGUCUUUUCUUUAAAAUCAUAUGUAUUUUUUUUGUAAGGAAUAAAACAUAAGUAGUUUUUUGUGAAACCUGUUAUGGGUUCGUCGCACCGGCUAUGUCGCAUGCUAUCCGCUAUUCUCUUUCCGCUAUGAGACCCUCCAAACACUAUAUAUCCGUUAUCCACUAUUUACAACCUUGUUCGCAACAUAUUAUUGGCAUUAGGAUUAAUAAUGCCGCUGCUGAUACUUCCUUUUUAUUCAUAUUUCUCAUAAUAGAAUUCUUAUUCUUAUACAUAUGAGUGGCCCUAUUAUUACUGGCAGUAAUUCAACUUCUAUUCAUAAUCUUAUUUAUGAACUUGGCACAUAGUUUGCAAUGAAAGAUCUCGGUCCUCUCCAUUACUUUCUUCGCAUCGAGGUACAUUUUAUCUCAAUCCAAAUACUCAAUUGAUCAUCUUAUAAGAGCAUAUAUGGAUGGUGCAAAAGCAUGCACUUCACCGGUUUCGUCUUAUAGAGGCUCUCACUCAUUGAAGGAGAUCCUAUCUUAAAUAUGUAAUGUGCUAUCAAAGUAUUGUAGGUGUUCUUAAAUAUUUAUCCAUGACGCGAUCGGAUUUAGCCUUCUCUGUCAAUCAGGCUUGUCAAUUUAUACACGCACCAACUUCUUAACAUCUGUGAAACGAAUCCUUCGAUUUCUCAAAUGAAAAGUGAAUCAUGGACUAAAUAUUGGAAUAGGAAAUCUUGAUUUAGGCUUAUUCCAAUGUCAUUCGGAUGCCCUUGGGAGAUCCUGAUGAUUAUGGUGCUACUAGUGAAUUUAUUGUUUCUCCUGGUUCGUGUUUAGUAUCUUGGUGUGCUAAAAAGUAGUCUGCAGUAUCUCAUUCUAGUAUGGAGGCCGAAUAUCGCUCUUUAGUUCACGCUACUGCAAAGCUUUCUUGAGUAUGCUGGCUUCUUGAAGAUCUUGACAUAUUUCUCCUAUUAUUUAUUGCGACACCUUUAGUGUUUUUCAACUUGCCUAUAAUCCUAUCUUUCAUGCUCUAACUAAACACAUCAAAGUUUACUAUCAUUUUGUAGUAGAAAAGAUUCUUCGACAAGAUCUUGAUGUUCAAUGUGUGGCAUCACAAGAUCAAAUUGCUGACUGCUUUAAUAAAGGACUGUCUGCUCAUCAAUUCAAUUUUCUCAAAGACAAGCUAAUGAUGUGUACACCUCAUAUUAGCUUAAGGAGGUGUAAUAGAGAAUCAUGCUCCAAUCAAGAUCAUCAAAUUAAGGAACUAAUUAUGGUUGAAUUAAAUCCCCAAAAUCAAGAAACUAUCGACUAAUGUCAAGCAUUCAAAUGAUGGGCAAUUGAGGAAACUCAAGAAUGGCAAUCUGUCAAGUAUGGCAAUUACUCCACAUAGAAAAUAUUUGAAUUCAAAAUGUUGCAUAUUUAUAGAAUAUGUUUAUGUGUGGAGUGUAAAUGUUGUUAUUCCAAAAGUAGUGGGAUGAUAUUUUGUACACAAUAAUUUUUAUAAAUUGAAUGUCAAUUUUUUUCUUUCCCAAUUGAGAACAACAACUAUUUCUCAUAUAUUAUAAUUUCUGUAUGACACAUGGUUUUGGUUUUACUAUUUACGUUAUGCGCAUAAGUUAAAUUGAAGAUUUUGUUAAACUUAAUGCUGCGUUACUAAAUGUAACUUUUUUGAUUAUUUAAUCUUUUAUCUUAUGGAACUCUGAAUUUCAUUAAAUUAUCAAUGACUGGUCGUUAACAAAGUUGUCAAUUUUCAUGAAUUCCCAAUUUAUUUUAUGAAAAUAACUCAAAUCAAAUUUAUUAAAAGUUUAAAGGUUGUUAAUGAACAAGAAACGAAGAGAAAAAAAAAAAGGAAAAAGAAAAAGAAAACUAGUUAACCUCUUAGGCCUAGCCACCGUUCAAAAUGCUAUAGCUGGAUUAAGAGGUUUAGUCCUAUUAUACCUUAUAUAUAGGACUAUUCCAAAUUCUGGGGUAUCACAUUCCUUCCCCCUUAAGCCUUGAUGUCCUUGUCAGGUUCAAGCAUACUCACAGGCACUAGGUGAUAUGAGACUUGUCUCACUAGUCUUCUCAUUCAGACGCUACCUUAACAUCUCAUUCCCACACCCUAGUUUUAGCCUGUUAUUCAAACACUGGCUCAACCAAGACUCAUCUCACACUUGUAGCUGGUGAUUGGCUCGGUCACUGCGCUACUACGUAUGCUUACUUUGAAGUAGAGGCCUCACACGUCUAUAUAAAGACACAUGUCGGUUACAGUGGUGCUAGACAUUCUCUAGUUGUACAUGGGGCAAACUAAACAGCAGUGUGAUGCCAGUCUUUCUUAUGUAAAUGAUUGGCAGUCUCGAGUUGUUAGCCGUGAUUAACACUCUUCCUGUUUUAUUCUCAGUCAUGCUGAGAAAUUUUUCUUUAUCACCGAUCAUAUGAUUAGAACAUCUACUCCGCAUGUUUUAUUCUCCAACGGCUCUUCCUCCUUGUCACCUAAAAUUAUCUCUUCUCCAGCAUUAACAGCUUUUGGUCUUUCUGUUUCAAUGGCUAAACCUCGUCUACAUAAAAAUAUUCACUGGUCUUUGUUAUGAUAAAGGAGGCUUGAGCAUCCCAUUCUUCUUCACUAUUAUAUUCUACUUGAUGUUCGCUUGAUGUUGCCACAUUGCCUUAUACUUGUUUCUUCACGACCAGCAGUCUCAAGCCAAGCGCUCUCUCUUGCUCCAGUUAUAACACAUUUAUUUCAUCACCUCACUCUUAGAACAUCAGCUGUCUUGGUCCUUGAGGUUGUGGGCUCCCUCUGUAGGAUGAUUUCUGUGGCUGUUUCCUCUCUCUUUCUACUCCUAUUUCCUUUCUCUUUCUUUUUCCUUUACGUUUCUUGCCUCCCGCACUUCCUUUAUUUUUGGUCCAAAAUUGAGCAUUCUGUAUAUUACUCGGUCUAACCAACUCUGGUCAAGUUGGUGAGCCCUUCUUCAACUGACCUUGAGCACUCCAAAUAUAGGUGUGAGGCAGUUUUACAGCAUUAUAGUUAUUCUUGGUACACUGACAUUCUAUAUUCUAUACAUUUUCAGUUUAGUUUUACAAUGAAGUAAAAAAGUGGUCUCGUGAAAGAAUUUUUUUAGAUAUAUUCACUUCUCUCAGGAAAUGUUUAAUCUAAUAAAGGCGCUGAACAAAUAUUUAUGACUGAACUCGUCUUCAUAUUUGGGAAUUUUACUGCUGUUUAUAACUUCAUAUAGUGCUAAAGAAACCUCAUUAAAAUCAUUGUUUGUUUUUAUAUAUUUUUAACAAAUUACAUUGAGAAAUAUGUACAUUUGCUACUUGGUAUGACAUACCCAACAUUGACUUUGGAUUAGUGAUAUUCCCUGUAACUUUUUCUUUUGGCUUGUGCUUUAUUUAGCAACUCCAUUUCUUGCUGAGUGAAUCAAUCUCAUGUAAUACCAUACUGAAUAUAAGUUUGUUCCAGGGCAAGAUCCAAAUUCUGGGCACGCUUCUCCUCCUAGCUGUUCACUAUUGAGUGUUGGAAGGGUGAGUAUUUUGAUCCUAGUAUUUGAAGUAAAAAGACAGUGCUUCAUACGGCUCUUUGUCAUUAUCCCUAUGGUAUAAAUGGGAGCACAUUACACACUUAAAAGCUCUGUUUCUUACCUUCUGGAUACUGAAUUUGUCAUCAACAAGUGUAAAUUACUAUCGACACAAUGUCAAAGUGGAUAUCAUCCUACUUACGACGAAAUGAACAGCAAGUGAUGUUUAAAUUUUCCUUUACAUGAUCUACCUACAUAAACAUGUUAUGCAAUAUUUAUGCAAGCUUUAUUGAGGUUCUUUUAUUAGUAUAGUAUUUGGCGUAAGGGAGCAGUGAUCUCUAGUAAUUUAUCUUAUUUUGCUUCUUCUGCUAUAUUGUUACAUUAAUUGUUUUCCAACAGAUAUCUCCAGUUUCAUCUCUUGACAAAUACUCAUCUAAUUGACCAUUUGUUUUUGGUGAAUCAUCAACUUGGAGAAAAGUCUUUUUACCUCUCUCUCUCUCUCUCUCUCUGUGUAUCUGUGUUUGUUUAAUUGUAUCUCUUUCUCUUCCUCUGUGCAUCCAUGUGUUUGCCAAAGAAUUUUUGUUUUCUUUUCUUCAAACCAGAUUUCAUUCCUCUUAUCGUGAAGCAUGAAUAUGCAUGUAAUUAUGCAAAAGGGAUACAACAAACAGUUUAUGCUGAUGCAUGAUACUAGUUGUAUAAUGGUCCGUGACAUUGUUGUGUAGGUUAUAGCUGAGCCAUAGAAUGCAAUGGCAAGCAUGGUGCUUCAACAUUUCUCACAGUUAGAUAUGAUUGAAAUUUUUAAAUCUAUUUAUGUUUAUUACUUUGCUUUAUACUCACCACGAAGUUGUUGUCUUCUUAACUAAGUUUGUUGAAAGCUAAUGAAUGGAGUUGCUGUUCUAGUAUAUGCGUUAGGAUGGUCAAUAUAAAGGGACCUCAUUGUAUUUAUUUACUUUCUAAAUAAUCUCCUUGAAGGUAUAUUGUUAGGUUACAGCUAUCUUCCGGAAUUCUUGUUUUAUACUCAUCAAUGAGACAGCGUUGAGGAUUGAGAUUGAGAAGAGGGAUAUGGUGAUCUGGCCGCUCCUUAAUUAUUAUAGUUUUAAAUGGUCCUUUUAUUGGACAUUCUUCAUAUUUCGGGACCUCCUCCCUAUGAAUCUAAAUAUGGCCAAAAAUCAAUUUUAUAAAGAUAAUUUAUAUCAUGUUUUGUUAUUUCUGCGAGAUUGUACACUCUCUUUAUCGUUAUUCUUUCUAGGUUUCGAUUAUUGUAAAUUUCUAUACUGUUAUAUUCGUAAGGGCAGAGUUUUAUCCUGUUUCCUUUGAGCUGUUUCACGUAAUGAGUUACGUUUAAUUUGUCAGUGUUUUGCGGGAACUCAGAAUGUUUCAAGUUUUCAAAAGGAUGAAGCAUGGAAGGUCAAUGUUCGAAUACAUGGAUGUGAUCUUGAACAUGGUUAUUUGUGUGGUACUAUGGAAGCACUCAAUGUGCCCUUAGCAGAUACACCUGUAAGCAGUUCUUUAAUUGUUUUUUAGUUCCUUUUCGGGCAAAAUGCAGAAAAUCCCCUAGAAUAUCAUGAUUUUUUGCAUUAUCCCCCUGAUUGUUUAGAAUCUUCAGUUUACUCCAAUGACCCAUGAGCAUGGUGAUACGCAUCAUCCUUCACAACACUGACAUAGGAUGCAAAAUGAUGAAAUCUUGAAGUUUAACAGGGUAAUUAUGUAAACGCAUAGGCUUUAUAUCUCAGGGAGGCAAGUGAGAUCAGGACUUCUGUUGGGGUUUCAUCCAAUUUAGCCAUCCUUUUAUACUUGAAUAGUAUUGCUAGAGCUCUUUGUGUCUUUGGUAUUUGAUUUUAUUAUCUAGUUGCUCUCAGAUCAUCAUUCUGUGCAACGUCUUUAUGUGUCCGUAUUCUCAGGUAGUUACAUUCUGGGAGGGAGAAAUAGUGGAUGCUAAGAACUACACAUUUUUCACUGGCAAGUGGGAAGCGACGUAUGCAUCUCUUGUGCUUUCUAAUAUUUCAGGAAAUCUAAACUACGGCUUUUCGAACAGAAUUAUGGAACUACAAGAUCUAUUUAAGAACAAGAACAUUUAUUUAUGUUAGUCGGCUAAUAGUUCAUUCUUUUCAUUCUACAGGCCAGAGGAUGACAUAAAACACUGGUCUAAGUUCCAAUCUUUUACCCCACUUCUGGUAAAAUACAUAGUACUGAUUUAUACAUCUUUAUCUAUAUGAAAAUAUCUUAUUUAUUAUUUUCUCUUGUUUUUCCCUGUAGAGUCAGAUCGAGGCAGAUGGUGGUAAAUCUUUGGACCUAAGCAACUAUCCCUACAUAUUUAUGGUAUAUUAUUGGUCACUUUUCCUUUCAGGUAAUCAUUUUAAGUGUUAGCCUUCUUGAAAACACUUUGUAAUCCUUGUUUUCCAGAGAUGGAAGGAGCAAUACUUUGUCAAUGUUGGAAUAGACUGUGGAUUAACCAUUGCAGGUUUCUACUACGUCUGCUUUUCUUGUAGUGAUGGCUCCAUUAGUGGCUUCUAUUACGACCCAAAUAGCAGGUAUCAUAGGACAGUAUUUUUUUUAUCUUUUUUCUCCUGUUGGAGAUCAUUUUUGGCAUACUGUUUCUCUUACCAAAUAUUUGUUGGACUCUGCUGCCUUACACUUAGGGGUCAUCCAUUUCGCGGGUUUGUAGUAUUUGGUUAUUGCCGUAUACUUGUUGGAAGGGCAUUUUUAUUAGGUAUUACAAGUUUAGAGGGGUAUUUAGAUUAAUUUAAAAUUCGGAGGGAUAUAUGAGUUAUUUUUUAACUUUAGAAGGGUAUACCAGUAUUCAACCCUAAUUUGUAUAAGGGCAAAUUACACUUUCAAUUCUUGAAGUUUGGACCAAACACCAAGUUUAGCCCCUAUACUUUAAAAUUUUGCAUAGGUUUACAAUUUAAUAAUCUGUUGAGCAAGUCGAUUGUCAUUAUGGCUCUACAGUUUGACAGUGUACCAAUCAAAAUCUGUCUAAAACUGAUCGUUGGAACCCAAAAAGAGAAUGAAACUCAAAAGCCACAUAAAAGACCAAAAAUCGUAGAAAAUCUUAAUUACAGUUUUAAUACAUAAAAAUUUGCAUUUAUACUGCAUCCAAAUUAUCGUACAUGUAGUUGUUUCUUGCCAAAAGCUCUCAAGUAGCAGCUGAGUUAUCAUCGUCGCUGUGGUCAAACAAUUAAUAUCGAUACGUUUUGGUUGGUACGUCUUCUAAGUUAUUGACUAGUAAGUCAAGAUUCAUGUAAGGGGACAAAAUUGGUAUUUGGCCCAAGACUUGGAAGUAUGAAAAUGUAAGUAAUUCUUUUUAAGUUAAUGUCGUAAGAGAAGGGAACCAUUGAUCAUGAUCUCUUGAUCGUUGCUUUGCAGUCCCUUUCAGAAGCUCGAAUUGAAGUGUUCCAAUGGGCAGCAGUUGGGUUUCACCUUUUCCUCAUAUGAGCUACAGUGACAGCGAACUUUGUAUGCUCCAGGUGAAGUUCAUCAUGUGAAUGCAUUAGAAUUUGCGGUUAUGGUGUGUGUAGUAUUUAGGACAGCUGUUGAUGUGUCGAUGUUUAUCAUAUAUUUGGAGUGGCGUGAAUAUGUAUCAGUGGAUUGUAAUCAUAGUGAAUGAGAGCCUCUUAAAUUUGGAAACCAAUAUUUUGUUUUUCGUGUAGUUUAAUGGGUGUAUGCUCCUUGCAAUCAUGUUUUUGACGGCAAAUCUCUUCCCGACGGAUUUUCAGUUAGCAAACGAACACCAACGCUUUACACUGAAGUUGCUUCUUUGAGGCUCAGAAUCUCAUUUAGCUACCUAUGAUAGCCAGAAUUUUGGCCUGUUCUAUUUGUGAAGACUCAAGAUAAGUCGUUUCAAAAGCUAGCAGUACGCAUCCAACAAUCUGAUAAUCAUCCCUCCAAGUGGAGUAGAGAGUGGUCUGUUUCAGAGUUUUGCCAUCCGUUAGCAUCAAACUGGGCCGUCCAUGCCCACGGCUUGCCCCACCAUGCAGGUUGUCUGUGCAACCUGCUGUUGUCCAAUUCCAUGACGAAAACCCAUUCUCGCGUUCCAGAGCGUCCCUCCUCCACAUCCCUGCCAACAAAGCCACAGCAUAUGAUCGAUCUUGACAAGCUGAGAGGUUUCGAGCUGUAGGAUUUCUUGGCACUCAUUUGUAACACCCAGGGCGAAGAAGGGUGUAACGCCCAGGGCGGAGAAGGGAAAAGACGGAGCGGAGGUUAGGAUAGGAUGGAGGAGUUCCCACAGGAUCUUUACUGGUCAAAGGGCGAGAUUACUAAAGUAAAUAAACAGGUGGGGUGGAGUGGGUUCCAUCAUAUUGGAGCGGGCGCGAGUGAAGAGAUCCGACCGCAGGCAGAUCCGAGGAAGCCUUGGGCAGGGACUACUUAACACCCGGCCCAUCUCCGAAAUUGGCCCAAUUCCAGCCCAUCUACUAUUUAGCUAAUCACUUUUUCAAUGUAAAUCCUUUAGCUUCCUGCAAUUUACAUUUCAGUACUAAAAUUAAAGAUUAAAUAAGAUAGUAAUUGUAAACGAAGGGGGAUAUGAAUGAAAUUAGUAGCUUCUUCCCCAAUUCAUAUCUCUCCUCUCUUUCCCAAAUCCUCUCCCCUACCUCAGUCUCUCGGCUCAACCCUUUCUCUCUACCAUUUUCUCUAAAUUCUUGCCUCUAUCUGUCUUAAUUCCUCUCUAAUUACGUUCGAGGACUGCCAUUAUCCUUGUCGCCAUCUACGUCUCGGCAAAUUUUCCUCAUUGGCGGGUUGCGACAAGUCCGAGAUAUUACAAUUUGGUAUCAGAGAGGCGAUGCCACGGCCAUGUAACUUCCCCACUGUUUGCACCAUUUUUCUAAAGAGAAUUGUUGAAUUCCCAAGUUGAAGGCUGCGGAAUGUACCAAGGUGAGAAAGAAACGUAGUCACUGUUCCAUUGGCUACGAGAACAGUGACUGAGCCUCAGCAUAGCAUCCCAGGUUACCUUGGAGAAUUAUAGUUGCCAGUAAAAGAUAAAGGGAAAAGGUGAGAAUCGAUUCAAGUAUACUAGCAAGAGAAUUAUAAAAUAGACCCAACUGGUGGAGGGCACCAAAUUGAGGGAGAUAAAUAAACAUGUCCAUGCCAUUGAGGAGAGAAUGCAACAGCUGACCGUUGAGUGUAACGACAAGGUGAAAAAAAAGUUGCAACAAUUCAAUGUGGACUGCACCAAGAAGAUUGGUAUAUUAGCACAAUAAUUAGAUGAGAUUCAGCAAGAGAGUCAAUAGAGGUAUGAAGCCCUGCAGAUCAAGGCCGCCAGGCGACAUGAGAUAAUGCUCCAAGAAAACGCCCGCAGGCAUGAGCAAUUACUUAAGUUAAUUACCAUACAGCAACAAUCCUUAAGUCCACAGUCAUCGAACCAAACAUUGACAAGUAAUGCCACAAUAACCAUCAUGGAAGGAAGGUAAUCAGCUCAUACCCAGCAAGGGGACAGUUUAUUCCAGACUGCAGGGGGAAAUAAGAGCAAAGGAUUGUUACCGAAUCCCUUCAGGCCGCAAGAAAAAAUGGAGGAGCACCAAGGCCGAUUCAACAAGCACAUUUCGUAUCUCAAAUUCAAGUUUCCAACUUUCCAUGGAGAAGAACCGAGGGAGUGGAGCAAUAAAUGCGAACAAUAUUACAGAAUUUACCAAGUACCUGAACAGCAGUGGGUGGAGAUCGCCACAAUGCAUUUCGCUAGGAAAGCUUACAGGUGGAAAGAAGGUUACCUAAUCAACAAACCAGACAUUAGUGGGAAGAGCUCGUGGCGGCUGUAUGUAAGCGAUUCAAAGGAUUCGAUAUAGGAAGGAUGAUAAGGGAGUUCAAUAAAUUGACGCAGACCUGCAUAGUCGAGAGAUACUAAGAGGGGUUUGAAGAAUUGAGAGCAAGGAUGCUGUAUCUCAACCCAGCUCUUAGUGAGAGGCACUUCAUAGAGAGUUAUAUAAGCGAACUAAAAGAAGAGCUUAUACCUUUCAUUGAUUUAUCUUGUCCCACAACACUCGAUGAAGUGUAUGAGCAAGCUAGAUUACACGAGCAAGCAUUGUCCAUCAUUCUAAGGAAGAGUAUGGACGCUUACCAAGCUAGUUCAAUGCCUUCCUAGGGAAUUAAUACCCAAAGGACAGCCACAGCAGAUAGAGAGUCAAAACCUUACCACCAGAAACCUUUAAACCAGUAGCAAGGGAUUAGCAAGCAAUUGUUUGAAUAAAGAAGAGCAGCUGGGCUGUGUUACAAGUGCGGGAAGAAAUAUCAGUCGAGUCAUCAAUGUCAAAACAGGACCUUGUUAUAGAUCUGUGCCAACCUAGCCCCCGACGAAGUAUUUGAUGAGCAGCUACUACAAUCCGAUGGGGAAAAGGACUUACCUGCUCCUGAGGAGGAAGGAGGAGAAAUGGGCAUCUUAGUGCAUACACUCAGCGGGCAAAAUACACAUGACACAAUCAAGGUACAAGGUAAGGUGGAGGGUAAGGUCUUAACCAUUCUAAUAGAUACAAGAAGCACACAUAGCUUCAUUGACUUUCAAGUGGCCAAAGAAGUCGAGGCCAACAUGAGUGCAACUACCCCCCUUAUAGUGACCAUGGCUAAUGGUCACAAGGUUAUAAGUAAGCACAAGUGUGCCAACUUUAAGUGGACUAUGCAGGGGAACACAUACCAAUCGGAAUUAAGAGUCAUCAGGCUAGAUAGUUCAAGCAUUAUCCUUGGCAUUGAUUGGUUGAAGACGUGUGGACAAGUUACCUUCGGCUACAAUGACAACUCCGUAUCAUUCAUGAAGGAAGGAAAACAAAUGACACUCAGGGCCAUAACAGAGAGGUUUAGGGGGAAGUCAGCGGCUGCAGAAUUGAAGUCCGUAACUGUGAAGUAGUGGUACAAGGCCGGGAUGGAGGGAUAUUGCUAUGCCGCAGGGCAAUACUACCCAACUGAAGCCACAGAGAAGGAAAUUAUAAUACCUCCACAGAUCAGUUAGUGCUUGAUAAAUAUAAGGAAGUAUUUUAAGAACCGAAAGAGUUGCCCUCCAAAAAAGUUCGAGACCACAAAAUUCCUCUACACCCCGAGACAGGAUCUAUUAACAUCCGACCUUAUCGAUACAGCCACAACCAGAAAAAUGAGAUAGAAAGGAAGAUCAAGGAGAUGUUAUGAGCUUCUAUAAUUCAGCCAAGCACGCGCCCGUACGCAUCCCCAGUACUUCUCGUAAAGAAGAAAGACAAUAGUUGGACAUUCUGUGUGGAUUAUCGAUAGUUGAACAAGGCCAUAGUAAAUGACAAGUACCCGAUACCCCUAAUAGAUGAUCUAUUGGAUGAGUUAAUAGUCUCAAAAUACUUUUCCAAGAUCGACUUAAAGUCCAGGUACCACCAAGUAAUGAUGGAUAACGAAGACAUGCACAAGACGGCCUUCAAAACUCAUCGAGGACACUAUGAAUUCCUGGUUAUGCCGUUCAGGCUAACAAAUGCACCCGCGACAUUUCAAGCUAUUAUGAAUGAAGUAUUCAAACCUUACCUAAGAAAGUUUGUGUUGGUAUUUUUUGACGAUAUUCUUGUGUACAGUAAAGAAUUGUGGGAGCAUGCAAGACACUUGGAGAAGGUGCUCGAGGUGUUGAGAGUGAACCAUUUAUUCACCAAAAGGAGUAUGUGCUUCUUCAGGCAGAAGUAGGUAGAAUACUUAGGGCACUUGAUAUUGAAAGAAGGAGUUGCCACAGAUCUGGAUAAAAUAGAGGCCAUGAAGAGUUGGCCCCUACCUGCCACCGUGAAAGAAUUGCGAGGAUUCUUGAGACUCACUGGAUACUAUCGGAGGUUUAUAAAGGGUUAUGGGGGGAUAAGUAAACCCCUCACGGAAUUACUCAAGAAGGACCAGUUCACGUGGAACGACGAGGUGAGGGAGGCCUUUGAGAGGCUCAAGGAAGCCAUGACCACCGCCUCGAUGUUAGCAAUGCCAAACUAUGAUAAAUCUUUUACCAUAGAAGUGGAUGCAUGUGGAAGUGGAAUUGGAGCAGUACUCACACAAAAAGGCCGGCCUAUAGCCUAUAUCAGCAAGGCGAUCUGCCCGAGGAACAUGGGGUUGUCGACAUACGAGAAAGAAUUCCUAAUCGUGCUGUUGGCAGUGACAAAGUGGAAGCAUUGCCUCAGUAUCCAACCUGUUAUAAUAAAGAUGGACCACGAUAGCCUAAAAUACUUGUUAAAGCAAAAGAUCACCACGACUAUUCAGCAGAAAGGAAUGAUUAAGCCGAUGGGGUUAGACUAUACUAUACAAUAAACGAAAGGAAGAGAAAACUUGGCCGCGAAUGCCCUAUUUAGGAGAAAACAAGAAAAAUGUCACAAUCAAGCCAUCACAGCUAUAAUUCCCACUUUGGUAUACAGAGAAUGGCCGAAAGUUAUAAGGAGAAUCCCCAAAUACAACAGAUUACCACAGAGCUGCUGCUAAGUCCCAAAUCUCAAUCGGAUUAUACUUAUAACCAGGAGGUGCUUAAGUACGAAGAGAUGAUUUAUGUAGGAGAAACAGAGGGAACUAAGAUUAAAGCUGAUGGAACAAAUGCAUGCUUUGUCAUUGGGAUGGCACUCUAGAAUUACCCACACUUAUAAGAGAGCCAAACAGUUGUUCUACUGGCCGGGAAUAAAACAGGAUAUAAAGAAGAGGGUCAAAGAGUGCGAAGUCUGUAUUAAGAACAAAAUUGAUGGAACUCCCUAUGCGGGACUACUACAACCUUUGAAGAUUCCAUCACAAGUAUGGCAAGAGAUUAACAUGAAUUUCAUCGAGGCUCUACCCAAAUCCAAAGGCAAGGAUACCAUCUUAGUAGUGGUAGACCGACUCACCAAAUACACCCAUUUCAUCACUCUCUCUCACCAUUACACUGCACAGGAGGUAGCGAGAGCCUUUCUAGAUACAGUCUCCCGCCUACAUGGGCUAUCGAAAGGCAUCGUAUCGGAUCGGGACAAGGUGUUCACAAGCCAAGUGUGACAAGACCUCUUCAGGUGUUUGGGAGUAAAAUUGCAGAUGAGCAUGUUAGGAUUUGGUUAGAUUUGUAGUUUAAUUCUAAUUGGAUUAGAAUUAAUAUUUAAAUCUAUUAGAGAUAAAUUAAGAUUUCAAUAUUAAUUAGAGUAGAAAUCUAAUUGAAUUAGAAUUUGGGUAGCUUUUGAUAUAAGCUAUAAAUAUAGCAUAUGUGUUAUUAUUGUGGUGGUGGUGGUGGUGGUACGGAUUACCCACACCUAUAUGGCAUGACCAAGAUGGUCAUGAUUUUGGAUGCACCUAAUGCAUGGGUACAAGAGGAUGUGAGCAGUGUUCGUAGCCGUGGGUCAUUAGUAUACCUUGUGCAUGGGUGCACAGGAUGAGAGAGAUGUCUUAUGAGAUUAUAGAAGAUGAGAUAAGGGUAGGAGAGAUUCAAAAAAGAGGACUCGGGUUGUAGCUACUCUAUGCAGAAGAGAAGUCAGGUAUAAUCUUCUCUUAUUUAAUGAAUCUUAUUUUACCCGCAUAUUUUCUGUUUUGUUGUUUUCUCUCUUUUAUGAUUGUAUCAGCUUCUGCUGAGGAGACGGGUUUAUGGUAAAAAUCUGAUUCGACCUUUCGUUGCGGAAUCGCAACAAUCGGUACCGGAUCAACAACAGUCAGUAUCGGAGCAGGUUGCGGAUUCACAAAAUUCGGUACCGAGGCGAGUACCGGAUUCUCAACAAUUGGUAUCAAAGCCGAAGGUUACCGAUCUUUGGGAGAGAUCAAAGUAAAAUCAUUGGAUUACCAAUCUUUAUAGAAGAUCGACGUAAUGCACGGUGUUACCAAUCGUUUGAAGCAAUCGAUGUUAAAGUACAAUUUGACUGCGUUAGGCACAUUGGACUCGAAGGGUUGCGAUUUUUUGGCUUCAGGUGGAGCUAUGAGGGUCCGAAAAUUAGAUAGGGUCAUGUGCGAUGCAAACAAGCAUAGGAACUUGUACGUUCUGAACCGAAGCAUAGUCAGAACGGAAGCGAAGGCAGUUUGGGUUUCAAAAGUUCGCGGAGAUGCAGUCGCUCGAGACAAAGCGACGGAUGCGACGACAUCGAGUGGAGACAAGCUCAAGAUAGAGCUUGCAUGGUGAGCUCAACGCAACGGUUGAAAACUACAAAUCCAACCAAGGUGGAGAAUGUUAGAAUUUGGUUAGAUUUGUAGUUGAAUCUUAAUUGGAUUAGGAUUAAUAUUUAAAUCUGUUGGAGAUAAAUUAAGAUUUAAAUAUUAAUUAGAGUAGAAAUCUAAUUAGAUUAGGAUUUGGGUAGCUUUUGAUAUAAGCUAUAAAUAUAGCAUAUGUGCCAUUACUAUGGUGGUGGUGGUGGUGGCGGUACGGAUUACCCACGUCCAUAUGGCAUGAUCAAGAUGGUUAUGAUUUUGGAUGCACCUAAUGCAUGGGUGCAAGAGGACAUGAGCGGCGUUCGUAGCCGCGGGUCAUUGGUAUACCUUGUGCACGGGUGCACAGGAUGAGAGAGAUGUCUUUUGAGACUAUAGAAGACGAGAGAAUGGUAGGAGAGAUUCAAAAAAAAAGGACUCAGCUUGUAGGUACUCUAUGCAGAAAAGGAGUCAGGUGUAAUCUUCUCUUAUUUAAUGAAUCUUAUUUUACUCGUAUAUUUUCUGUUUUGUUGUUUUCUCUCUUUUAUGAUUAUAUCAGCUUCUGUUGAGGUGACGGGUUUAUAGUAAAAACCCAAUUCGACGCUUUCGUUGCAGAAUCCCAACAAUCGGCACCAGAUCAACAAUAGUUGGUAUCGGAGCAGGUUGCGGAUUCACAAAAUCCAGUACCGGAGUAAGUACUAGAUUUCCAACAGAGCACCGCCUACCACCCUCGAUCGGAUGGACAAAUAGAGAGGGUCAACAGAUGCUUGGAAACCUACUUACGUUGCAUGAGCUUUCAAUACCUAUAUAGAUGGCAUAAGUGGUUGGCCCUGACUCAGUUGUGGUACAAUACGAACCACCACUUCUCCCUAGGGAUGACACCUUUCCAAGCCUUAUAUAGGUACCCCUCACCCGUGUAUGCAGUGGCUAACCUGGACAUAGACAUCGAGCCGACAGUGGAAGAGUGGAGAAAAGAGAGAGGAAAAUUGACAUAGAUACCAGAGAAAGACUCAGGGAAGCAAAAAACAUGAUGAAACAGAACGCCGAUAAAAAAAGGGUGGACAAAGAGUACGCAGUGGGAGAGAUGGUAUACUUAAAGCUCUUACCGUUAGAGUAGCAUCGCGCUGCAGCGCAACCUGAAACUCACCUCGAAAUACUAUGGGCCAUUCAAAAUCGUAGCUCGAAUCGGCCCAGUCGUAUACUGGUUGCAACUUCCAGAAGGCUCAAAAAUCCACCCAGUGUUUCAUGUCUCUCUCCUCAAGCGGGGAACUCCCUCAACUACUCAGAUCAUGCCCACUAUGCCCCUAGUAGGCGAUGGGGGCCAGCUUCUAGCGCAACUAGAGAAAAUUCUAGACAGCAAGAUGGUCCGAAGAGGGAACAAGGCGAUAAUCCAAGUGUUAGUGAAAUGGAGCAACUUGGAAGAGGCCGAAGCAACUUGGGAGGACAACUGGAACCUACAUGCUCAGUUUCCCGACUUCGACCCUUAAGGACAAGGGUCGAUUUAAGGGGAAGAGGGUGUAACAUCCAGGGCGGAGAAAGGUGUAACGCCCAGGGCAGCGAAGGGAAAGGCGGAGCAGAGGUUAGGAUAGAGAUAGAGUUCUGACAGGAUCUUUAUUGGUCAAAGUGCGAGACUACUAAAGUAAAUAAACAUGUGGAAUGGAGCGGGUUCCAUCAUAUUGGAGCAGGUGUGGGUGAAGAAAUCCAACCACAGGCAGAUCCGAGGAAGCCUUGGGUAGGGACUAAUACUGAACAUCCGACCUAUCUCCGAAAUUGGCCCGAUUACAGCCCAUCUACUAUUUAGCUAAUCACUUUUUCAAUGCAAUCCUUUAGCUUCCUGCAAUUUACAUUUCUGUACUAAAACUAGCGAUUAGAUAAGAUAGUAAUUGUAAACGAAGGGGGACAUGAAUGAAAUUAGUGGCUUCUUUCCUAAUUCAUCUCUCUCCUCUCCUUCCCAAAUCCUCUCCCCUACAUACCUCAAUCUCUCGACUCAACCCCUUCUCUCUAUCGUUUUCUCUAAAUUCGUGCCUCUAUCUGUCUCAAUUCCUCUCUAAUUACAUUCGAGGAUCAUAGCCAUCCUUGUCGCUAUCCACGCCUUGGCAAAUUCUUGUCAUCAGCGGGUUGCGACAAGCCCGGGAUAUUACAUCAUCAUCUUCAAGCAGUUCCCUCUACACUUUCUCCGUGGAAAGAAUCAAAGUAUCGGUGGUCAUCUGGUUCAGGCAUAAGUUCCGAAGUAUCUUCGAAGGGAACACCUGCCGAACCUGUCAUCAUCUCUACAUAGAUAGAGUUGCCGGAUCAGGUAAAUUGAUUGCUUCACAGUUUGGCACAACUUGGUUUUUCUCAUUAUGAUUUGAUAAUUAAUACUAUGAUUUGAUGAUUAAUACGCAUAAAUUGAAUAUAAAGUAUCAUAACACAGUUCUUUAAUGUAGAGCCAGGGUAUUAAUUUUGCCAAGGAAUUUGAAGAACAUCAUUAACUUGUUGAAUAUAUUUUCUAUAACUUGUCUGGAUUUUAUUUGACAACAGCCAAAUCGGUGAAUUGGAUGAAAUUUAAAUCCACUUUUACUUGGGCCCCCUAUUUGGAUACUUGUUAUUGCACGAUUUGUAAUUACUUCUUGGGGCAAUUGCUUAUAUAUUCUUGAAAAAUUUUUGACUUUCUGAUUUACCUCCUCUUAGAAGGCUAGUAUUAAAAAUACUUUUUUUACGUUUCAAGUUAUUUCAAAUAUACCUCUAGAGUUAAAUUCUCUUAGUGGACUGUUAGCAAUAGUCGUUAUCUCUGUAAAAUUACUAUUUUGUCCUUUCCAAUAUAUCCUUCUACUAUCACUAACUUUUCUUAUUUUUCCUUAAGUUCGGGACAAAAUAAGUAUUUUGAUUUUUGAUCUUUUCAAAUAUAAUCUUCUACCAUCACCAACUUUUCUUAUUUGUCCUUAAGGGAAAAAGAGGAAUUUUGAUUUUUUUUUUUAACUCUUGAUAGAUACUUAACUCACGCUUAAUCCAAGAUAACUCAAAGGAUGUUAACAGCGGGGGUAUUUUUUAAUAACAGAAGAAUAUAUAAGGGGUAUAUUGAAAACAAAAAAAUAAUAAUAAAUUAGAUAUUUUCGAAGUUUUGAGAGGUAUAUAGGCAAUUAUCCCUUAAUUACUUUUAUUUAUUUUAGUGCAUUUCAUCCAGUGUAAGCAAACAAGAUGAAAUUGAGGUCUGAUUUCCUGCCAUUUCGGUUUAGAAAGAUAUGAAAGAGAAUUUUUCUGUCAAAAAAAAGAAAAGAAAAAAAAAACCUUUUUACUUAUGGAAGAAUUAAAACGCAACUGAGGACAAAACAAGAAAGUGAAUACUAGAAUUCUAUCUAACCAUAAUCCAUUCCAAACAAUAGAUUAGCUUAUCAUAAGAAGAUAGGCAAAAACAAGCAAACUUGGAAGAUCAAAAAUGGUAGACAUGAAGUAUAUCAUGAUUAUAUACACAAAUCCCUGAUUUAAGAGCUUCCGUUGAAGAACGAUCCGGUGUUGAUGGCAUCGUCGUUGGCAUCUCCGAGCGCGGCCUCGCUCAAGUACUUGUCAGCAAGCUGUACCCUCUUCACAUUCUCCUGCUCCUGCACCAACAUGUUUCCGUACUCCAUCAGCUUAUCAAGUGUCAUCUUGGGCUGCUCGAACGUCGGCGGGCCUUCGAUCGAGUUGAUGAGCUUCUUCCCGACCGUCGCGACACCGAUAUCCGUGACCCACUUCCUCACUUCGUCAUCGUAAACUCUGGCUCGGAGGGCACCGAAGAAGUCUGUGUACGAACGAACGCAACGUAACGUUAGUAAAGGUUUUGUGGAUCACAUUGAAGAUCGAAUGUAAUCCUAUCAAGUUCACUAGCCAAAUCAGGCACCACAAAAUUCUCAUUUGGAUACCUUUAGGAUUUGCGCAAAUGCUGAUGAUUUCAAAAGGCUAAAGAUCGACUUACCGAUUGACUGGCCGGGGAAGGCAUCAACGAGCUUGACGAUAUCCUCCUUUGCGAUGUUGUCGGUCCUGAAUAUACCACUGCACACACCAAUACGGUCCUCCCUGGUCGGCGCCCAGUAAAACUUCUCCAUACGUCCGUCACGAAUCAACGGCGCAUAAAGCGUAGAGAAGUCGUUUCCCGUGACGAUGAUGGGCACGCGGGCGUUCUCCUGCUUGUUGUACAUCCCGGGGAGCUGCACAUUCGUCGGGUUAUCGGCGAUGUUCAUCAGGGUGGCGUUGACCAUCUGGUUGUUGACUGUGUACUGGGUGGUCCCACCGAGCCGGCCGGCACCAGCAUCGAGAUCGUUUAUGAAGAGGACGCACAUUUUACCCUUCUGUAUCCUGUCGGCCGCCUCGCGGUACCUUUGCCUGAUUAGCUUUGCAGGCUCUCCGGCGUUCCCGCUCUCCAGCUCUCCGGCACUCAUCAUGAUAGGGCUGGAAGGAAAGUUCUUGAAUUUAAAUUAACCGAGAGAAAUGCAGCAGCAGUACUUUUCAUAACUCGGUAGAAUACGAGUAAGGGUUUAACCCUAAAAUAGAAGAUUUAAGAAGGAUUUAUUUGAAUCGCUCUCUUUUGAGAAGUUUGAAUUAAACCAGAAGAGGAAAUUGGGACCAGUUGCAGCACAAGAAUAACACACAACUUCCCAAAUGACAGCAGGUUGAUAUUUAAUUAAUAAUGGCCUUCAGGAUGUUAAUUUUUUAUGAUUGCUCAGCAUAGAAACCCUUGCUUGAUAUAAACCGAGUUUUUGUAACACAGUAAAUCUAGCUACUUUUAGUUAGAUCAAGAAGAAAUGUUUCCUUUUCCUUAUUGAGAAGUUUUUAUUUAGUUUCAUUGCUCGAAUAACAAAGCCCGAGCAUAUGAAUAGUAAGACGAAUGAAAUCAGCAAACGCGCAUCUCUUGUUGUAACAUACCGCCGACGAUCAAUUCAUAGUAAUAAUAAGACAGCAAAAGACAAAUUAUUCAAUAAGCUAUUGCUCCUCAUGUUAAAUUGUUUGCAGCAAUCGCUUAAAUAUAUAUAUGAGCUUUUAACUUAUCUUAUCGCCGAAUAAAAACGUGAACUCACUUGAUACCCAUCUUAGCGAAGACGAGCUCGCACUGGAAGGAUUUCCCUUGUCCUUUGCCUCCCCAAAUACCCAAAAUAAGGGGGACCUAUCAGAAUCGACCGCACUUUUAGCCUAUCAUCAACACAACUAUCAUCGACAUAUAAUAUACAAAAAGAAAACUACAAUUAUAUCUCAAUUACUACCUUGAUGUUAGGCAAGGUCAUGAAGUUCUUAGAGAUGUGAACAACAAGCUUGUCCAUGAAUGCGGGAGCUAUGUAUAGGCCAUCAAUGGUGUUGUCCAAGUUGUACCUUAAAAAAGCCCCACAAAGUCAGUUUAUAUAUAAUUCUAGAUCAAACAUAUAUAUGGCGAGAAAAUAACAAAGGGAUCGAAUUUAUCUUCUUUUGUUUUAUUUCACUUACUCUCUUAGCCCCUGGCUAAUGUACUCUUGGGAGCUCAUGACAGGGAUGUGGGUGCCGGAGUCCAUCGGAGCUUGGAAGAGCGGAUCGACCUUACCUUUCCCCCUCGUGAUAUCCUGUUGAUCGUCCGACGUGUCAUAUGCCAGCCCUCUCCAUUUGUCCUUCUCGGUUUGCUUCGAUUCAUCAAGGUCGGCGGCCAUAACCUUGAAAACCCUGGCAGGGACUCUUCCAUGGCUUAGGCUAGAGCUUACUUUCUUCAAGCUGCUGCCGAAGAACACCGAAUUCGGGACCUGAGAUCCCGAACCGGAGCCGUGCAGAUUCAACUGCAUAUACAAAGUUGUAUGUCAAACCAAAAUUUGAAAAAAUUGGUGAAAAUUCAUGGAAAAGGUUAUUCAAAUCCAAAAUUUUCUUGUAAAUAGCAAUAGCUAGCUGUUACAGCUAUCAUUGAACCAUUUUCGACAUCUUUCUGUUAACAUAACAUAUGUAAGCCUCCUUAGUUUCUGCUCAUGAUGAGUUCGAAUUCUACAUUUGAUAUUUAACAAGCUAAAUCUCCAUAAUGAAACCACUUUGUACUAAUAAAGAAAAGUGGUUUAAAAUUUAGAAUUAGAGGAAUUAAUAGGACGAAUAACGUGUAAUCAAUCAAGAGUGAUCGAACAUCAGGCCUUCUUUGGAAACAAAUAGAUCAAUAGAUGAAUUAGUUGAUUUUACGAAAAAAAAAGUUAUAUAUUCAAAUCUCUUCAAUAAUUUCGAUAGAAAUAGCAGAUAAAAGUAAAAGCACCAAAUUAGAGCUCAUCUGAACCUGAUGCAUCAAAAUGCUCCGCUAGUUAGAACCACCAGUGAAAACAGGAAAAAGUAAAUAAAUGGAGAGUUGAAUAGGUGCAAAAAUGUGAAUGGAAUUUUUUUUUUUUUAAAAAAAAGAACCUUUAUUUUGUUGCACCAAUUGAAUAGAAUCCAAGCACAACUAACAAUAGAAUAGUUACUUUUAUAUCUAAAAAGAGAAAUAAAGACUUACUUUUGAGCGAGAACUACAAAGAGCAGUAAACUUCAUUUGGUGGCGAUUAAAUCAAAGUGGGUUCUUAGCUAGAGAGAGAGAGAGAGAGAGAGAGAGAGAGAGAGAGAGAGGUGGCGGGAAAAUCAUAGCUAUACCGGCACUCUGUUAACGGCUCCAACGGUCGAGACGGCGGCAGUGGCCAUUGAAGAAGCCCAGAAAUUGCAGCUGUAGGCAAAAGCAGCUUCUCCAACGAGCCACAAACUUUGGAUUGUGGUGUAAAUAUAUAGCGGAGAUUGUGGAUUCUGAUUUCGGAUCCGUAACGGCCACAAACUUUUGGAUUGGGGUGAGGGCCACGUGGGGCAAUCUCCAACGAGCGAUCGUGGCCUCAUGGGAGUACAUAGCUACGAUAUAGAGAGAGUGUACGCUGGGACCCAGCUAUAUAUUGUGGGAAAAUAAAAGAUAUAGAGAUCAAAAUAAGGGGAUGGUUUGGAUUCAACGAUGGUUCUUCACCACUAGUUGCUUUUGGGGAUCAUCACCAUAUAAAUUUUAGCAAGAGAUUAGGCAAAACCAAAAAAAAGAAAAAAAAUUGGAUUGGCUAUGAAUUGGUGGGAACAAGUUAAUUGGUGGAAACGAAAUUCAAGUAGUUCAGUUGUCAAUGAUGUAGUGUUUUUGUCUUUUCAGUUGCUCUACUUCUUUUGGUUGCUCUUGUGAUUGUCAUCAAAAAGAUGUGGUGGAAUAAACUUCUAAUAAAAGGCUUUGUGGUGAUAAAUUCACUUAAUUACCAAUAAAAAUUAAGUACUUGUGAAAAAUAUUUUUGUAUUUUAGAAAGUAAAUAUUUGACUAAUAAACGAGCUCAACCUAUUUGCAUGAUGAUAUAUUCAAAUGAGAUUCCAUCUGUAAGAAUAUAAUAUGUAAUUGAACAUUUUUGCUUACGGCGCAAUUUGAAAAUUUUUAAUUAGAAACCUGGUAGUACUGGUAAGUAGACUGUCGUGCAAUUACAAGAUCAAACAAUCAUUAAAUAAUUAGCAUCAACAAAAGGUCUCAAAGUGACAUUUCAACAAUGCUGCUAAAUCACAAUAGAAAUAGCUGAAAUUAUUGUUUUUUGACAAGCGUUUUAGCUUCUUCACAAAAUAUCGAAAUUUUUACUAGCAGUUUGUACUAGCAUAUACUGUCCUUGAUUAGAAGAUAUUUGUAUUUUUGUCAUUAACCUAGUUGAAGUUGGAAUAGGUGCUUUCUUUCCUAAGAACCCUACUUGAGAGUUUCCUACCUCAUACGGCUCACAAAUCGAUUCUUUUUGUGUCUUAUUUUAAUCUACCUUAUGCUAACUGAAUUUGAUUUCUCAUCGAGCCAAUAUAUAAAAACAUUGUGGAGCUAACUUAUUUUACUCUUCUUUUUUUUUCAUUAAUUUGAUCGAACAUCGACUGUCUGCAAACACAAAUUUACUUCACAGCUAGCCCUACCAUAAUAGUUAAUUAGAAUUCUCUGUGAAAUUUUUUUUUGCUGAAAAAUCAUUGAAAUUCUCUGAAAAUUCAUAUUAAUGAUGGAUGCUUCUCUUCAAACUUGAUGGCAACUUGCAUCAUUUUGUUUCUUCUGGAUAGGUCUGUGGGCCACUAAUGCAAGCAGACUUACACUGAUCAUGUGAGUCGGACUGGAGAUAUAUAUAGCCUUGGAUAUUGUUGGAGAAAAUCCUGUCUAUGUAUAAAUAAUUUUGUUUAUAAAAUAAUUUUUAAAUUGCAAGGAUUAAAUAAAUAUUUUGGAACGCAUGAAAAUAUUAAUAACCAAAUAUAAUAAGGAAGAAAAGUUUAGAUGAGGUCUAUGAGUCGAGACGUGCUAUAUAUUGUCCUAGAAGUUAGUUUGUCUCUCCAAAUACGAGGCUCCGGCAAUCACUUCUAGUAUUACAACUACCACAGUUCACCCCGUCGGCACGUCUACAGACUACAGAGUGGUGCAAUUCGAACCACGUAGACUUUCAGAGAUCAAGCAAAUAAAGUAGUUAAGUGUAAUGAGAAUCUCUCGUUUAAAAUUCAAAGUAGAAGAAGCAACAAUAGUAAGUAGAAGCUUCAGCCAAAAAAGGUACUUAACCUCUUCUGCACCCUCUCUUGUAUACAGAUAAGAGCCAAUGAGUGUAGCUGCCUCAAGCAGCCAAUGGAAGGUAGGGUCCAACGGCUCUGUCUCGGGUUAGUCGUUGGACCUUACCUAAAGUCCCAAAAAGAAAAAUAAAAGAUAAGGUGAUCAAUUGAACCGCAUAACCAAGAUAGCGCGUGUGCUUGUGUUUCUUGGAUAGCACCACUCACAUUAUCUUCUAAGCAAAUAGCUUGAGGAUGAUGGGAUACAUUAAAAAUUACUAUAUAUCUUGAGUCUUUAAUAUGGGACUAAACUCACAUAUAAUAAUAUAAGCACGAGCGCUUCCUUCCGGACAUAGCAUAUUGGACGUUGGGCCCCACAAAAAGCCCACGAGCCAUAAAGAAGUUUUAAAUCAUGUAUAUCAAAUAAAUACGAACAAUAUGAGGUACAAUUAACCAAUCUAGUUGCCAGUGGUCACUUCUUUGUAUAUUUUCUGUAAAGCCAGGGCUAAUCUCUUCAAAUCCAUGCAUGCCUCAAUUUUGCACAAGAGAAAUAGCGAGACUAUAAUUUCAAAGAAGAAUGAAACAAUUUGCAGUGGAGUAAGAAAUUUGCAAUUGGAACCUUAUUUGCAAUCUCUCUCUCUCUCUCUCUACAAAAAACUCAAUCAUCAUCUACAUAGAUUACUUCUUGCUUAAAAAGCCCACCAAACACCUUCUUCACCUCUGGCUUUGGAUCAGGUUGUAAGGGCGUCUGCCUCUGCUUCUGUGUUGGUUGCCUUAUAACUGCUUUUUGGGGUGGCAACUUUUCUGCUUUUGCCUGGCCCCUAACGGUGGCAAUUUGUGCUUUAGGCUUCUCUUCCUCAGGCUUUUGAGCAGCAGAACUUUUGAGCUGCGAGCUAAAUUUCUCCCAAGAGAAGUCCUUUCCGAAUCCCUUUGCCCGAUCCAUGAGGUUCUCUAGGGAAGUGCCCGCAGCUUCUGCUCUUUCUCUGGCUUCUUGUGCUAGGCUCGCAGAUUGCGCUUCUUGCUCCGAGAGCUUCUUCACCUCUUUCUCGAGCUUCUUGGCGGCUUCUGCGGCCUCGCGAGCUUUCUGAGAAGCCGACAGGGCUUCUUCCUCUUCUGCUUUCGCCUUCGCUAAGGCCUCUUGAUACGCUCUCCUCCUUCCAUCUUCAGGAACAGCGCUGCACAAUUAAUGAUGGAAAUUGAGUUCAGUAAACCUUCAUAAAAAUCUAUAAUGUGUCUGGUUGGCCCGAGUCCGAACUAUAUUUAGAGCUUCAGGCAUUUGUUUCGUAACGCAGUACGAUAUUAGAAACCUACACCGCGGUCCGCACUUUCUUGAAAACAAACUAUUUCAGCACUUCUAGGCCGCAUUGUGUAGAGCCGAAUGGCGCCAAAUUAAUGCUUCUUAAUUAUGUUAAGUAAGUGCUACUGCUAGCUAGCACACUUAUUAAUGUUAGAAGUGGAGAGAAGAUUUCUAGGAACUUCCUUAAAGAAAUUUUUAAACAGAAGUAAAAUAGCGCAUUUUAUUUUGACUGCGGUUUGUGCAUAAGUAUCGUUUGAUUAGACCAAUUAUAAAAGUACUUUUCAAUUGAAAUUCCCUCUAGAAGUGUCAAGCUAUACUAUUAAAAAUAUUCAAAAGCUAAAACACUUUUUUUCUCUUCUCAAACAGAAAAAGCCUUGUACGUAAUUCCUGUAAUUUAUAUGACGAGUAUAUUUAUAUAUAUAGUAAUGAUCAGCUAAUAAAUAGCAUGACAAGUGAAAAAAUAAAAUAAAAUAAAAUAAAAUAAAAUGGUGCAUGGCUAAUCACCCGAAAAGCUCAUCUAUGGGCUUUGAAGCUGCUGAGGGGCUUGUAGAAACCUGAACAACCUGAGAAUUUAACAGAAUUCAUGAACUCAUAACCUGAAAAUUCAUCAGUUCCAAUUGAAAUAAAUUAAUGAAGAGCGCAUAACUGAAAGUAGGAUUUUUGGGUCUUAUUUCAAGAUUAGAUGAAGAUGCAUGGUACGGGAAGGACGACAAACAAGGGAGACGAUCGAGUAACGAAAAAUACCUUGUUCUCAGCUACAGCCGUAUUGGAGAACACAUCUGCCACAAGCGUCGCAAUCUGUGAUCUAGACACCUGCAUGCAGGAUAUACAUGCGCGCAGUUAAGAAUACGCAUUCGGCUGGUGAGAUCAGAAUUCAGAACACAACAUUAAUUUGCAAUACUAAAAUUAAGGUUAACAAUCAGUAAGGAGGCACUUCAACUGUUUCGUUUACUUUGGAGUUUGCUAAUAAAAAAAAUAUUAUUAAUGCGCAUGUAACACCAUCAUGGAGAGGGUUUAAUUAGAUCAGUUUUGGUAUAAUAAUUAGAAUUAAAACAAAAAAAAUUAAGGAGAGCGAUCAGAAUAGCAUUAUUAAUUAGCUAUUAAGUAGCAGCUUAAUUAACACGUGCAUGCAUGCAUGCAUGCAUUGGUGCAUGCAUGUAUAAUUAAUUACGUACCUUGUACCGGGCGGUGGUUCCGGCGGGCGUGGACCCCUCCUGGGACACGACCAAUCCGUAGGAUCCCUCGGCCGCGUAGUCGUCGGUGAGGGAGGCCUUGAUGAGGGUGUAGCUCACGUCGGUCUCGGCCACCUUGCUGAGGAACUCCCCCAGCGUCAGCGGCUGCGACUGCGCGAACAGGUUGGCGAAGAACGAAGUGAUGCCGUCCAGCACGUUGUACGUCGACGCGCCGCCCGCUGCUACUCCUCCCGUCCCGGCGUCGUAGACGACCGCCACGUGGCCCACCCCCGCCAAUUCGGCGGCGCGCACCACCUGGAGGGCGUCGUCGGUGGUGACCGCCGAUGCGGCGGCAGCGGCGGCUGAGGGGGACUUCUCGGCGGGGCCCACGGUGACCACCACCUUGGCGGCGGGGCCGAUGGCCUUCGCGAUCGCCUCCGGAUCGCCGAACGCCGACUCCACCGCGUUCAGCCGUUUUGCCUCCUCCGGCGAGAUGAUCUGUUGAUCGGAAAUUAAACGGGCGCGCGCUCAGUGAUAUUGUUUACUUACUUACGUGCAAAUUAUGAGUAGCUAGCUAGCUUGGAAAAUUACCCGUCACCCUAUUUAAGCUUUAUUAUUAUGUAGCUUGAAAAAUUAUCUUUUACCACUUAUAAAUUUUGCUUCUAUUUUAUUAUAGAAUAAAUGUUUAUUUUGAAGCAGGUGACUAAGAGCAUAUUUGUUUCAUCCAAAUUGCACUUUAGAUUAAAAUAGACUUUGAAGUGGAGUUAAGUGAAAAUUAUUUCUUCUCCGUUGUUUAUUUUGUAUUCGUGGAAGUGAAGUUUUAUUAGUUCUGCUGUUUGUUUGAUAAAAAGUAUAUAACGUAAAACUAUAAUUUAUAUAUAAAUAAUAAAUAAUUUAAUAAAUAAAAAUAAUAUAAUUAUAUUUUUAUAUAAUUAAAAUUUAAUUGAAAACAACUAAAUUAUUUUUUUAUACAUAAAUUAUAGUAAUACAACAAUAAAAAAAUAAAGUAAAAAAAUAUUAAUACUUAAUUAAUCAAUUUUUAUCAUAUUUUAAAUAUACAAACUGAAUAAAAGAGUAAUUAGUAAUAUAAUUAAAUAUAUUUAAAUAUAAUUAUCUUUACCUAAUAUGUUAUUUUAGUUUUUUUCUUCACCUCUUUUCACCGUAAUUGACUUCCACCCACGAUGGGUCGAAGUUAAUUACGUCUUUUCAGGUUAAUUAGAGUUUCGACCGUAACUUUUUUACGGCGAACCAAACAACGAAAGUGAUCGUGUCUUACGAAUACGACUUUUCCCCUCUCCACUUCCAUCCCACUUUCACCCAAACAAACAUACCCUAAGCCUAAAUCAUAUCAAGAUAGAAUGCUACAUUUUACAUCGACCAUCCCUAGAGCAAGUGGCAAAGGGCUUGAUCGUUGGUACUGAGUUCCCAAGUUCGAAUCUUAAUUGAUUCACAUUUCUAGCUAAGUUUAUUUUUAAAUGAAAUAAACGAAGCGCAUAGCAUGCUAUCUAUCUCUUAAAAGAAAAAAGAAUGCUACAUUUUACCGAUGAGCAACAUCACUAGUACAUUUCAAAAUAGGCUAAAUAUCUUAUCUUUUUUUUCCUCCAAAAAUUAUCAUUUUUUACUUAUCAUGUUAUUUUUCUUUUUUAUUCAAAAUUAUUUGAACUUCUAUGAAUUCUAGAGAGAAUAUAAGAUCUGCAUUUCUUUAUGAAAUGUACAAUAAAAUUUUUGUUAUCCCCAUGUGUUUCAUCAUUUUUAAAAAUGCUAGGUGUACACCAAAAAAAAAAAUUGGUGUAAAUUGUAUACUUUCUAUCAAAAAAUUUAUAAAUUCUUUUAAAUUUUUAAUAUUAAGAAAAAAAAUUGAUAAAAUAUGAAAAUAAUAAUAAUCCUUUAAUGAUGAGUCUAACAUUUAUAUUCUUUUUUGAAGUAUAUAAAUAGAAUUGCUCAUAUAUAUGUAAUACCUUACAAUUCCAGUUAGUACACAGUAUUUUGUACAUCCUAAUUACCAUCGGUUGCCUAGCUACACUCAAAUUAAAAUAAAACUAUAAAAUAGGGAAUUGUCAAUUAUUUAAAACAUAAAAUUUUAAAUUAUAAACAAACGUUAAGGCAAUGAGCUAAUUUUAGUUUAGGGUGUGUUUGGAUCGAUAUAAAAGCACUAAAAAUUUUCUUUUGUUUUUGAAAAUAAUCUUUAUAGUGUUUGUCUGGGCAUAAAGUAAUUUUUCAUAAAAAAAGUUUUUACGAAUUCGACGGAAAAACCGGCUUUUCGUUUUCCGCAGAGAUGACGCGAAAAAUGAAAACUCAAUCAAAACACACGGCGCAUGGCUUCUUCACCAAUCACAAUCCACGAGCUUAAGUGAGAGCUCAUUGACUAUAUAUAUAUAUAUAUAUAUAGAAUUAGGCUAUUAUACUAUCUAUUGUAUCGGAGUUUUGAUAUUAUAGUCUUGUUUUUGUUUUUAGGGUGUUCAAAUUAACGAUCCACACCGUUAAAUAUAAUCUUGGGUACAUGAAGUUCAUAUAAAUAAAAUUUUAGUUUUUUUUUAUAUCGUUUACUUAGUAAAUAAAUUAUGUUAAAAUGGACGGUGAAAAUUGAAUAAUCUUUAAAAUUUGAGUAUAGAACUUUUAAAUUCAAGAUCAAGAAUGUUAACCUUAAUUUAGAUAGUUUAAAGUAUUUUCUAUUAAAAUUUGAAGAAAUUUAGAUUUUUCUACACCGUUAAACUCCAAACUCGUCAUAAUAACCAUUGAAAAUUGACAAUUUUGAAAUAUUUUGAUCAUAAAGAAAACUAUAUCGAAAAAAUAUAAAAUUUUAUUUUUAAAAACUUUAAAUAUCCUAUAUCAGUUUAACAGUGUGGAUCGUUGAUUUGAACACCCUAACAUCGAAAAAGAGACUAUAGUACCGGACCCCCGAUACUAUAGAUAGUAUAGGAGAUUAGCUCUCUCUCUCUCUCUCUCUCUCUCUCUCUCUAUAUAUAUAUAUAUAUACUAGUUGAAUGUACGUGCAAAUGCACGUAACAAUUAUUAUAAUUUAUUUCAAAUUAAUAUAAAGUUGUACAUUAUAUAUAUAAUAUAUCCAAAAUUUUAUAAUACAAAUUAUAUUUAUAAAUUAUAUGUUAUAUUUUAUUAGAAAAUAUUUACAAUAUCCUACAUUGUUCUUUUUUUUUAUAUACAUCGAACAUUUUUAUAUACUUUUUGAUUUUUGAUGAAUUAAAUUUAAAUAUGUAUUUUAAACUAAAAGCAUUAAAAUUUAAUUCACAUUUACUUUAAAAUUUAAAUUUUAAUUUUGAUCCACUGUAAUAAAAAAAUUAAUUGUUAAUUCAAAUUUGAUACAAAUUAAAUUUAAUUCAUAAUUUAAACUCAAAUUUUAAUUUUAAUGUAAAAUAGAUGAAUAAAUAUUUGAGAUAUUUUUAAUUUUGAUCAUAACCGUUUGUUUUUAUUUGAGAUAUUUUUUAACAAAUUGAUUAUAAUCGUCCCUAGAAUUAAAUUUAUAAAUGGAUAGGAAUGAUGCUUUUUAGGGCUUGUUUGGUUCAUCCAUUUUGGGUAUGGAAUCGGAAUCGGUUUGAUCAAAUUCGGAUAAUUUUGUUUGGUUCGCAUAAAUCGGUUUGGGAUUCCUAUUCCGGACUGGAAUGGGAAUGGCCCAUUAGCCUUCAACUUGUUUCCGGUCUUCUAGCCCGGAUUGAAAUUUCAUUUCGGAAGCCCACUAAGUCCUCGAAGCCCAUGUGACCAUCUCACCCUCCUUCUCUUCACCCAUUUCUCAUCAAAAAAAAAAAAAAAACCUAUCCUCUCUCAAAACUCUAUCCCUAAUCCACAUGAAUAAAAGUUUUUAAAAAUAAAUUUGAUAUUUUUUUUGAAAAAUUUAUUAGAGAAUAGUAUUAUAUUUUUCAUAAAUUUUAAAUAAUAUAAAUUUAUAUUUGAGAGUAAAAUUAGUAUUAUAGUAUCCUAUAACCGUUUGUUUUAAUUUGAGACGUAAUUCAAAUAUAACAAAUGUGAUUAUAACUCAUUCACAUGAUUCCGAAUCCACAAAUAAAUGCCAAUACUAUAUUGGGGAAGAGAGUCAUUACAAAUGUUACCAUUCCAGAUAUCAUUUUAACAAAUUCCAUCAUAACCAUUUACAGGGAAUACACCCUUAAACCAAGUACAAGCACUUAAUAGAUUGAUCAUAACCGUUCGUUUUUAUUUGACAUAUUUUUAACAAAGGAAUCAUAAUCAUUAAUAGUGAAUAGUAUUUGAGAUUUAAUAGAUUGAUCAUAACCGUUAAUUUUUAUUUGAGAUAUUUUUAACAAAUUAAUAAUAACCAUUCGUAGAGAAUAUUAUUUUAUUCCUUUUUAGAUUCCGUCUGUCAUUGUCGGAAUUCCUAUACGCUUUUAUAUACAGCAUAGAUAUAUAGAGUACAGAUAGGAUACAUAUAGAAGCACGGAGGGCUCCGUGCAUACAAAAUAAAUUCGAGGUUCGGACUUUCGAAUCAACGAUCGAUUCCGAUACACUUGAUCAAGAGUAUUCCAAGUAUCUAGAAAAUAAAUAUCGGUCGAGUUUUCGAUAUCAUUUGCCUAGUGAUCCAAGUAGCUCAAAAUCAACGACUCAAAAUAAAAAUCGUACAAAAUAUAAUCAUAUGACAUUAAAAUUUCAGAUUCAAAGUUAUGGUAUAAAGAAUUUUCAAUCAAAAUUUCAUAUCGAUUUGGACAUUUCUAUACCGUAAAACCUGCAACCGGCUCACCACGGCCAUUAAAAUUAUGGAUCCUGAGCACCUGCAAUUCACUAGGCAAAUGAUAUCGAAUUCGGAAAUCACAAAAUAUCAUUUAAUAGCUAGAUUCAUUUCAAAUACUAAUACGAACAACUAUAACUGAGCCGAUCCGUCAAUGUCGAAAGUCCGUUGAAACAUCCAUAAACAACUGUAGAAGCACGGACAUGAGCGACAUGCUCUCAAUAAGCAUACCGACCCACUCUAUAUAUAUAUAUAUAUAUAUAUAUAUAUAGAGAGAGAGAGAGAGAGAGAGAGAGAGAGAGAGAGGCUGGUAUAUAUGCUUAAGUAUGGAACACUCUAUGCUUUCAAGUUGUUUUCGAUGUUGGGACUUUUUAAUUGACGAUCGGCUUCGUUAGACUUGAUCUAGAGUAUUUGAAGUAGCUAGAAAAUAAAUUUUGUAAUUUUUUAGUAUCGUUUACCUAGUAAUCGAAGUGGUUCAAAAUCAAUAAUUUUAACGGCUGUGGUGAGCCGUUUGCAAGUUUAACGGUGUAGAAAUAUCUAAAUCAUGUAAAAUUUUAAUAGAAAAUUUUUUAUACUAAAAAAUAAGAUCAAUAUUUUUUAUCUAAAAUUUUAAUAUUAUAUUAUCUUAUUUUGUAAGAUUUUUAUUUUCAGCCGUUGAUUUUGAGCCCCUUCGAUCACUAGGCAAACGAUAUCAAAAAAUCGCAAAAUUUAUUUUUGAGAUAAUUCAAAUACUCUAGAUCAAGUCUAACAGAGCCGAUCGUUAGUUCGAGAGUCCCAAUAUUGAAAACGACUUUGAAGCACGGAGAUUCCGUGCUUCCAAAAGCAUAUCUACCUCACUAAGAGCCCCUACGAUGACUAGGCAAAUAAUAUCGAAAAAUCAUAAAAUUUAUUUUCUAGAUAAUUUAAAUACUCUAGAUCAAGUCUAACGGAGCCAAUCGUUGAUUCGAAAAUCCCAACAUUGAAAACGACUUAGAAACAUAGAGGGUUUUGUGUUUUCAGAAACAUACCAGCCUCUCUCUCUCUCUCUCUCUCUCUCUCUCUCUCUCUCUCUCUCUCUCUCUCUCUAUAUAUAUAUAUAUAUAGUAGGUCUUGUGUACUAUUAGCAGUACGGAGGCCUUCAUGCUCCUAAGCCGUUUUCGAUGAUGGAGCUUUUGAAUCGACGAUCGGCUCCGUUAGACUUGAUCUAGCGUAUUUGAACUAUCUAGAAAAUAUUUUUUGUGAUUUUUCAGUAUCAUUUUCCUAGCGAUCGAAAGGGUUCAAAAUCAACGAUUUUUAAUGGUUGAUAUAUACCGUUUGCAAGUUUAACGAUGUAGAAGUAUUCAAAUCAGAUGAAAUUUUGAUAGAAAAUUCUUUAUACUAUUUACAGCAAGAUCAAUAUGUUUGAUCGAAAAUUUUAAUGCUAUAUCACCAUUUUUUGUGAGAUUUUUAUUUUCAGCCGUUGAUUUUGAACCUUUUCGAUCGUUAGGUAAAUGAUAUCGAAAAGUCACAAAAAUUAUUUUCUAGAUAUUUCAAAUAUUUUAGAUCAAGUUUAACGGAGCCGAUCGUCGAUUCGGAAGCUCCAUCAUCGAAAACGGCUUAGGAGUACGGAGGCCUCCGUGCUAGCACACAAGAUUAUAUAGGCUAAUAUACUAUUAAUAGCACCAAGUUAUUGGUGCUACCAAGUUUUUGGCCAUUGGAUUAAGAGAUAUGCGAUUAGGAUGAUGUGGGCCCUCUAGGGUUGAGUGGGUGGUUGGUUGAAUAGUAUGAUCUAACGGAUGAAAAUGAUCAAAAUGGUAGAUCUAACGACGGAAAACUUGGUAGCACUAAGUGCUUUGUGCUAUUAAUAACAUAGUAGCCGGACUAUAUAUAUAUAUAUAUAUAUAUAUAUAUAUAUAUAUAUAUAGUUGGUCUUGUGUGCUAUUAGGAGCACAGAGCCCUCCGUGCUCCUAAGCCGUUUUCGACGAUGGAAUUUUCGAAUCGAUGAUCAGCUCUGUUAGACUUGAUCUAGCGUAUUUGAAGUUUCUAGAAAAUAAAUUUUAUGAUUUUUCGAUAUCAUUUACCUAGAAAUCGAAAGGAUUCAAAAUCAAUAAUUUUUAAUGGCUGAUAUCUGCCGUUUUCAAGUUUAACGGUGUAGAAAUAUUCAAAUCAGAUGAAAUUUUGAUACAAAAUUCUUUAUACUAUCUACAACAAGAUCAAUAUUUCUGAUCGAAAAUUUUAGUGCUAUAUCACCACUUUUUAUAUGAUUUUUAUUUUUAGCCGUUAAAAAUUAUUGAUUUUGAAUUAUUUCGAUUGCUAGGUAAUUGAUAUCGAAAAAUUGCAAAAAUUAUUUUCUCGAAACUUCAAAUACGCUAGAUCAAGUCUAACAGAGCCGAUCAUCGAUUCGGAAAUUCCAUCAUCGAAAACGACUCAGGAGCACGGAGGGCUCCGUGCUCCUGAAAGCACAGUAGCCCUGCUCUAUAUAUAUAUAUAUAUAUAUAUAGGAGAGAGCGAGGGAAAGAGUGAAAAGUUAUUAUAUAUUUUUUAUAUUUUUAUUUAUAAUUAUUACAUAUUUUUAUUAUAUAGUAUUAUAUGUAUACUAUUACAUAUAUUAUAUGAAAAAUGCUUCUUGUACACCCCAAAAUGCGGUGUACAUCUUAUACCCGCAAUUCUAGGGUUGAUAAAAAUCGAAUUGGCUUUUAGUAGAAUUUUAAAAAAUUAAUGUGAUAAUAAUGGCCUUAGGAUGGAGUGGGUGUAAGAUGUACACCUCAUUUUAAGUUAUACCUGCUCAUAUUAUAUUAGAUUAAUUCAUACAAACUCCUAAAAAUAUGGUGAAUAGUAAAUAUAUUCCUACAAAGUUCAACUUUCAUAUAUUGUCCCUACAAAGUCGUGAUAUUUUCAAAUAUAUUUCUGCUGUUAAAAUCCAUUAUAAAAACUAUAGUUUAAAUACUUAACCCUAAUUAGUUCUUAAUAUUUUUAUCCCUCUUCUAUUAUACUAUUAUUAUUUUUGGAGAGACAUAUUUAUGAUGGCAAAAUUGAAAAUAUAAAUAGUUCUCUAACGGUAACAAAUUAGAGGGACAUAUUUUGAAAAUAUCGAAAUUUUUACAAGAACAACAUAUGAAAGUUGAGCUUUAUAAUGAUAUAUUUUUCAUUCACUAUAUUUGCAGGGAGCUGUAUCAAAUUAAUUCAAUUAUAUUAUAUACCUAUCAAGUUAUCAUAUUAUAUAAUUUUAAUAUAUUUAAUUCACAAAUACAAAUUAUAAUAAAAAUUAAUAUAAAUAAACUACGAAUCAAACACUAAAUGUGGUAAAAAAAAAAAAAUUCCACAAAAAAAUAUUUUUUAUCAAUUUUUUUUUUUUUUUUAUUUUUCGUAGAACCAAAUAACCCCUUAGCCUGCAAAAAAUCUCCUGCUCAAUUAUUAUGAGACUAUUUUGAGUGCAGUUAAUAUGGGUCACUAGUCACUACACGACACGCUAGGCCACCGAGGCACCGAGGGAGAAUAGUUAUUUGGGCACCAAAUUAUAUUGACACCGAGACCACAAUGUCUACAUAAGUUUUAGAUAAGAACGCAUUAAUUAUGGGCUAUUUUAAAUUAAUUAUUAAAAUUUUAAAAUUUAAUUUUUAAUUUAUUUAAUUUAAAUCAGUCUACUAUAGUUUUUUAAACAAAUUUAAACAAAUCGUUUAUGUUUAUGCAUUUAAUUUAAUUAAUAUAAUUUUUAUAAUUUUUAUAAAUAUAAAUUUAUUAUAAUAAUUAAAUUAAUUUUAAAGUCAAAAUAAUGUUAAUAAAAUUAAAUAAUAAAACCAAAUUCUUUUGUAAGGUAAGAUAAUUAAUCCAAAAUUGUCCACCGUAGUGAUAAUUUCUGUACAUUUUUGCCUAACUUUCGUUCUGACAAGAAUCAAGAGGUGUAAACUUGUAUGAUGGCCCCUCAACUAUGGUACAUUUUGCCUUUUCUAUUUUUUUUAAAUUUUAGAUUUUAUAUAUAGUUAAAUUUUACAAUUUUAUAAUAUUUAAUAACUUAUUAGUAAUAAAUUUGAAAUAUGUUAUUUUAUUAUUUUAUAAUUUGUGCUUUUUAUUUGUAUUUAUUUAAAAAAAUUAGAUAAAAACAUACAAAACUUAUCUGAACUGAACUGUGAAUCAUUUUCAUUUAGUUAUCCAAUUUUUCAAAAUUUUGAUUUUAAGAUAAACUUCAAAUACCGUCCCUGUGAUUUCGCAAUUUAUCACUUUAGUACUCUAUGGUUUAAAGUGUAUCAAUUUAGUGCCCUAUGUUUUCAUUUUCUUUUUUUAUCAGCCCAUCCGUUAACUUUACAUUAAAUUAUAUACAAAAAAUUUAGAUACCUCACCUAUAGUUUAUCGAAUAUUCACUUUAGUAUUUUUAUGUUUUAACUUUGUCACUGAUUUAAAGAAAAAAUUAGUGGAGGGGAUAACAAAAAAAUAAAAUAAAAUUAUAGGUCACGAAAGUUGUGAGACCCCAGAUAGUCCUAUAUAUGAGAUAUAAUAGGGCUAAACUCUUAACCCGGCUUAAGCAUUUUAGGUGGUUGCAAGGCCCAAGAGGUUAAGAGAGUUAAGCGUGCUAGGACGGGAGUAGUCCUAGGAUGGAUGACCGCCUGGAAACUUGGGGCGUCACAGAUGGUAUCAGAGCCAAUUACCAGCCGGAAGUGUGAGAUAAGUCUCGACUGAGCCAGGGUCUGGAUGACGGGCUAGCGAGAUGAGUCUCACAUCGCCUGGUACUUGUGAGUCUGAGCCUGACGAGGACGUCAGGGCUUAAAGGAGGGGAGACUGUGAGACCCCAGAUAGUCUUAUAUAUGAGAUAUAAUAGGGCUAAACUCUUAAUCCGGCUUAAGCAUUUUGGGCGGUGGUAAGGCCCAAGAGGUUAAGAGAGUUAAGCGUGCUAGGACGGGAGUAGUCCUAGGAUGGGUGACCCCCUGGAAAGUUGGGGCGUCACAAAAGUGAUACACUUUAAAUUAUAGAAUAUUAAAGUAAGAAAGUGAAAAACCACAUGAGUGAUACGUGAAUUUUUUCCUUGAUUUUACUAUCUAACCUUUCAACUUAUUUGAUUUAAGUUAGUUAACGACACUUUCACUUUAAAAUAUAAAUUAAUUACUUAUUUUAAUAAAUUCAUAGCUGUGAGAAGAGCAUAAAUAUACUAAUUAAACAUAUAAAGAUAAAUAAGCAUUUAAAUUUUAAAAUCAAAAAUGUCAUUGAUUGAGUCAAAUCAAAUAAAUUGAAAGGUUGAAUAAUAAAAUUAUAAUUUUGAAAGAUAGUCGAAUCAAAAUGAUCCAUAAUUUAGAUAAGUUAUACAUAUUUUAAUCAAAAUAUUAAUUAGAAUCCUAUUUAUUGAUAUUUAUUAAUUGUUUUGACAAUGAAAUAUAAAUUAGUUAAAAAACAAACUUCAUAUAAAUAUUCAUUUUUAAUUUUUUUCUCAUUUUUAAAAAUUUGUACUUUUGCCUACUCCAAAAUUUUAUUUUGAUGCACUUAAACCCGCCGUUUUGUUAAUAUUUUGUCAAUUUAUGACUUGUAUAUACCAAAAUAUCCUUGAAAAUGACGAUAGUAGAAAUAAUUUGGACAUUCACCCUCUCUCUUUUAAUGUCAUAACUUUCUUAAAGUAAUUUUGAAGAGUAGGCAAAAUAAAAAAUUUUAAGAGUAAAAAAAAUGAUAUUUAUAAAAUUUAUUUUUAUAUUUUAGUCAUAAAAAUAAAAUAAUAAAAUAUCUAUAUACUAGUUUUUAAACCGUAAGGUAGCAAGAUAAUAACUUGCUAAGCUAUAAGGAGACAAAUUGAAAUUACCUCUUUCGCUAAAUCAUGAGGUAACAUGCUAGUUUUUUUUAUCUUUUUUUAGAAUUAAUUAAUUUUAGUUACAUAAGAAAUUUUAUUAAAUUCAUUAAUAAUUUUACUAAAUUUAAUUAAUUAGUUUAAGUAAAUAAAAUUAAAUUAAUCAAUAAUACUAAUAAAUUAUUUACAUAUAACAAAAUUAUAAAUUUAACUGUACAUAAAAUCGCAUAUUAAAAAGAUAGAAAAAGAGUCUAUUUCAAUACAGCCCAUAGUUGAGGGGUCUCCGUACAAUUUUACACUCCCAUCGGAUAUUGUGCUUGCAAAUGGCGUCCAUACAAUUUUAGUCCUUCAAGGUAUCUACGGGAAUGGAGGGUGUUUAUAUAAUUUUUGUUCUUCCGUGGCCGUGGAAGGAAAAAUUCUCGAAUGCAACUGGUAUAUUAGUGACGUAGCAUAACAAACAAUUAAAAAUCUUCUUUUAGAGAUAUAUAUUUCAUUAUCAUUGUAAAAAAAUAUUUUUAUUAUAUUUUUAUUUGAAAAAAAAAAUAAUUGGCUUAUUAUUAAUGAUGUGGUGUAAGUAUGAUCGUGUAGAAUUCCUCCCGUGGAAGAGCUCUAGAAUGGACGAUAUUGUGUCCUCUUUAAUUAUUAGCCUCCUUAAUUGCAGUACACUUGCGCUCGUUAAAAAUAACUAAUUAUUAAUUUACCCGCAAUUUUUUUUUAUCUAGUAUUUAAUUUAGCCUUUAACUUUUAAAUUUCUAAAAAAUAACUAUCUAAUAUUUCCUAGCAAUUUUAAUUCUUGAAAAUUAAGUAGUAUUUUAAAAUAAAAAGUUGGCUUAAGAAUGUUGGGCACACGUACGCACGGUACGGGGCAGGAACCUACGGGGGGCCGGGGGGGUGCGGAGUGCUGACCUUAUAGGCGGCGGCGAUGCGGGCGAGCUCCUGCGCGGCGGCGAGGUCGGACACGCCGGCCCGCACGGUGAAGCCGCCCCGGAGAAGGCUGCGGGCGAUCCGAGCGCCUGCCUGCCCCGUGGCCCCCGCCACGAACACCGUCUGCGCAUCCUUCCGCCGCCGCCCCACGCCGCCCGCGAACAGCGCCGACGUCGACGGCGACCCCACCACCGGCACCAGCGACUUGAAGUCCACCGAGAACGGAUUCUUGCUGGGGUUAGGGUUAGAGUUGGAAUUUGCGUCCCCCUCCUCCCCGCCCUGCCUCUUCUUCUUCUUGGGCGGCGUCGAGAAGAUCCCGAAGGGAUUCGGCUUGGGGGCCGCGGCCGAGGCGGUAAUGGUGGUGGAGCUCCGGCGAGGGGGGCCGGAGGUGAGUCGAAAGGAGUUGGAGGUGAGGGCGGGAGCCAUCGCGGAGCUGCUUCCCUUCCCGGAGGAGGAGUACUGGGAGGGAGAGAAGGAGAGAAGCAAAGACGUAAAUGCGUGUUGUGAUGUGGAAUAGGCUGGAUCGGAAUGGGAUUGGGGAUGGCGGGAUUUCGCCAUUAGGGUAGUGCCACGUGUCGGCCGUUUAUCCGUGGGAGGGAGUAUGGGAGCCACAGAGCUCCGAGUCACGCCGCAGCCUCAUGUGAUCCAUCCAUUUGGUCGGACCUUGUGGAUCAUAAUACUAGUCCAGUAACAGAAGUAGGGAUGCAAACGUAUCGUCCGUGGAGCUUCCAUCCUAAUUCGUUCCGAAUGGGACAGUAAACAAGAAAAAAUAAAUAAAUUGGAAUAAAAAAUAUGGUAAAUUUUAUGAUUCGAGAUGAAUUCGGGAUAAAAAAAUAAGAGAAAUUUUGACUUGCCCCGUCAUGAUCCGCUCGAAAUCCGCUUCGCAUCUGCUCCGAAAACUAUUUAUAUUUUAAAAAAUAUUUCAAAAAAAAUAAUGUAUUUAUAAAAAAGUUCAAAGUACAAAUAAAUUAGUGCUUUCAUUUCUCAUGUAUUUGAAACUUUUGAAUUUUGCUUCGAAUUUUAAUUAAUAUUUUUUUAUUUUUAUAAUUGAUGCUAUAUAUAUAUAUAUAUAUAUAUAUAUAUAUAUAUAUAUAUAUAUAUAUAUAUAUAUAUAUAUAUAUAUAUAUAUAUAUAUAUAUAUAUAUAUAGUCCGGUUGCUAUACUAUUAUGAGUAUGAUCGCCCUCGUACUCAUAAGUCGUUCUCGAUGAUAGAGCUUCCGAAUCGACGAUUCAUACCGUUAAACGUUAUUUACAGUAUUUAAAACUUCUAUAAAUUAAAUUUUAUAAUUUUUCGACAUCAUUGACCUUACGAUCAAAAGAUUACAAAAUUAACAAAUUUUAACGGCCGAUAUGGAAUACUUGCUACUUUAACGGUGUAAAAGAAUCGGAAUUUGUUGAAUUUUUGACAGAAAAUUAUAUUCACUACCUAGAUAAAGAUCAAUAACUUCGAUCUUAAAUUGAAGAAUUCGAUCAUUCAUUUUUAAGACGUUAUUCGAUUUUGACCGUUCAUUUUAUACUCGCUUGAUGAACUUUAUUAUGAUUUCGAAAAUUUACGAAAUUUAUUUUCUAGAAGUUUCAAAUACUGUAGAUCACGUUUAACGGACUGGAUCGUCGAUUCGGAAGCUCCAUGAUCGAAAACAAUUUAUGAGUUCGAAGGCUCCAAUACUUAUAAGAGUAUAGUAGCCCUACUCUCUCUCUCUCUCUCUCUCUCUCUCUCUAUAUAUAUAUAUAUAUAUAUAAAAUUAAAAAUUAUUAACUUAUAUUUUAUAAAAUAUUAAUAAUAUUAUAAUUUUAUAAAAAAUAUAAGUUGGCAGGGCGGAUUCAGGGCGCCAGCGGAAAGCGGGUUACGAGGCGGGGCGGAUUAUGAGAUAUAUUUUUAACCCAUCACGAAUUCGGGGCGAGAGGCGUGGCGAGAUUUUGCUAGUCGGGGCUGGAGGCGGGGCAGGGAUCCCACCCCCAGAUCCGCCCCGUUUGCAUCCCUAAACAGAAGUAGUGAAUGGCAGUUGAUCCAUCUCUUUCCAAUUUCCAAUUUUAGUAAAAAAAAAGUUAUUUAAAUUUUAUCAAAUAAAUUAAUAGGUCAAUCUUUUCAAAUAAAUUUAUAAAUUGAAUCCAACUAAAUAAAUUUUUUUUUUUGCUUUUCUUAUAUAUUAGAAUACAAAAAGUAUUUUUUUUCUUUUUGUAUUUUGAAGUUUUAUAAAACUACAUGCAAUAUACAAUAUGACAAAACAUAUUAUAUAAUUAAAAAUUUUAAUUAAAAAGAGGGUCCUAUGGAACCAUUUGAUAUAAUUUAAGAAGUCCUUUUUAUCAAAAAAUUGAAACUUCAUACAUUUAUUUGUAUGAACUAAAGUUCAGAGGGUCUCCCAAUGUUUUUACCCCUUUUUAUGAUAUUGUAAGUAAAAUUUAAAUAAAAUUAUUUUUUUACUGUAGUUUGUUAAUAGCAAGUUAAUAACUUUGAAAUCAAAAUUCUCCUAUACUUUUUAUUUACUUAUCAAGAAUUUUCACACUAAUUAAAAAAAAAGCCAAUAAAAUUACAACACUUAAUUUCUUAAUGGUGCAUAAUGGUGUAAUGGUGCACCAUUAAUGGUGUAAUGGUGCAAUGGUGUAAUGGUGCACCAUUACACCAUUAAUGGGGCGAGACGACGGUGACGGCGACGGAGACGACGGUGGGGGUGACGAGGGCUCAGUAAGGGGAGUGACGAGGCGAUUGGAGGGUGACGAGGCGGUCGGCAAGGGGCGGGACGUGGGCUCGGCGACGGCGACGGCGACAGAGACGACGGUGGGGGUGGGCUCGGUGGCGGCGGCGGGGGAGAGGAGGAGGGGCUCGGCGGCGGAGCUUCGCGUGAAGAGGGAGACGAUCGGGGACUCCUCGACCUUGAGCUUGACGAGGAGCUUGCUUCGCCCCUGCAACUUCGGUGACGACGCGGCGGCGGGUUCGGCUUGUGGAGGCGGAGGAGGAGGACGCGGAGCUUCGCGGCGGGCUUGAGGAGGGCGACGGGGAGGUGAGGAGGGGCUUGAGGAGGAGGGAGAAAGAGGAGAGAGAAAGAGGAGGCGAGACGACGGUGGGGGUGGGCUCGGCGGCGGCGGCGGGGGAGAGGAGGAGGGGUUCGGCUUGAGGAGGCGGAGGAGGGGCUCGGCGGCGGGCUCGAAAAAAGAACGAAAAAAAAAAUAACGGAAGAAACGAAGAGGAGAGAGAAAGAGGAAAGAGAAAAAGUAAUAAGGGUAUUUUGGUCAGUUUACUGAAAAAACGGACCGAAUCUGCAAAAACGAAAAAAGUGAUCCGAUUUUACAAAAGCCCAAAAUAAGUGAAUUUUUUAUGCAAAAAGGCCAAAAAAAUUUGCCUAUAAUUUUUUUUUUUUCCCUCAAAAAGAACUCAAAGAAAAAUUCCCCGGGAAAAAAGAAAAAGAAAAAAAAAAAAAGAACAAUCCGGUAUCCGGAUAAGACGGAGAAGGCAACGGCACACUCUACCAGCCUGCUACUAGCGUCGUUUUUGGCGGAGAGAGCAUCGCACUGCGCCGCUAUCCGCUCCAUGGCCUCUCUCACUAUCAGUACUAGUUGCGGUCUGCUGCUCCUCCGCCCCAAACUCAACCGCCCUUCCUCUCCUCCCCUCUCCUCCGCCACCAAAUGCCGCCGGCGGUGCUCUUCGCCUCGCGGCGCCUUCGACCUCACACUCGCUCCGGUCAGUCCUCGCCCUCUUCUUCUUCAUCUUCCUGCUCCUGUGCUCUUGGUUGUCCAGUCAGUCUCCACUCCCCAACGAGUCCCGUGUUAUGAUUUUGGGUAGGGAAAGGAGGAGAAGACUGCUACACCUUCGUGCUCGAUUUCGUGGUCUCUUUCGGCGGUCGAGGGCAGCCUGGGCCAAGGCGCCGCCGCCGCCGCCGCUCUGCUCGCGGCCUCUCUCUUCUUGGCCGACCCUGCAUUGGCAUUCAAGGUAAUUAAAUUUAGGACCUAAUACCUAUUACUGCACUUAUUUGUUUAAAUCCCAAUUGUUAGCCUAUAUCUUGUUUAAUACAAAAUAUUAGUUGAAAAAUAAAUGGUUAUUUUACAUGGUGUUAUAAGUUGUAACAAGAGUUUCUAUGGUCAAGUAUUUGCAGGCUCAUAGUUCUUAUUUAAUUCCUCUUCCAGUCAGUUAGUUAAUGUUGACGUCUUGGNGUCAGUUAGUUCAAGUUCACGUCUUGAGGGGGGGGCAUAUAAAAAUCUUUUGAGUUUAGACGUCGUCCUCUAGCAACUUAAGCUUGAAUUUUCAAGAAAAACAAUUUGUUUUACACCCUUUACACAUCUAAUUGCCACAUUCUAUAAUUUUGGGGUGGCUAUUGAAUUCAAGUACGAGAGGGAGGUGUUUUAAUUUUAAUGAAGUAUUUGAAAAAUGUUUUAAAAGGAAUCAUUUCUCUGUAAUGUGUUAAGGUGAGCGAUUCUCUAAAUCACCUUCUACUUUGCAUGAAGAGGAAAUGAAAAGCAGUGUUUCCCUUUUGCUUUUAGCCAAAUUUACUUGGAAGAUGGAAAAAAAGGGGCCAAUUUUUUCCUUAAAAAUUGCAAAAUAUUCUAGAAAAAAAUUACAUCUAUGUUUAAACAAUAUGCCGAGUAGAAAACUAUGUAAAGACGUUUAGAUGAAUCAGAAUACUAGCCUAAUUCAAAUUGGCUAUGACCAGACUCAAACUAAAACUCAAAUUGAAAUACAUGAAAUUGACCAAAUAAAAUAAAAGUGACUCGAUCUAAAUGAGUAGGGCCUGUUCUGCAUAAGGUGAUGGCUAGGUUGUGGAGCAGAUGUGGUGGAACUUAAGUUGAAUUUGUUGGGGAAAAAAAAUAGGGAUGCAAAAGAAGCUAUUGAGUGCUUAGAUCUGGAAGAGCAUGUUUUGUGCAUGGUAACUGACAUUUUCCUGUGAAGCUCUCAACAGCAUGUAGAUCGCACAUGUAAUGAGGAACCUUUACUUAAAUUACUGACAGUUUUCUAGCAAAUGGUAAAUUAUGCUCAAUAAACAAACACUACGACUAAUUUAAACGGUGCUGGCUACAUGAGCCAAGCAACGAUAACUUUUCCAUUGAUGACUAUAAUCUAAACAUAUAUGUUGUAUGGAUCAGAAAAACUUAUGCUCAAUAUAGGAAUGCAAAUGUUAGAAAUGUAAAAAGCCAAAUACUUUGAGCAUAGCAUAAUCAAGUUUUUGAUGAAAUAGCUUCAUGAAUGGUGAUCAGUUGAUGCAAUUUCAUUGCAUAAUGUUCGAAUUUUGAAUUUGAAUUUUAAAUUUGAGUUUUAACUUUUGUAUUUUAAAUUUUAAAUUUUUUUUUGGAUGAGUCUAGGUUAGCCACUAUGAUUAGUUGGCUGGUUUUGACAUUUUUAAAUUUUAAAAUUAGAAUGAUAUCCACAAGAAAUUAGAAAACUAUAAUCUAAUAAUUAACAGUUAGGUUAAUAGUCUUUAAAUAAAGCCUUGUUGGCUUAGAGUUGUAUUGAGUACUUAAAAAAAAUUUUCUCUACAUUUGCCUCUCUCUCUCACACACACACGCACACACACACACUUGCGGCGAACAUACCCAUUGUUACUCCUUGUUCUUUCUGUUAUCUGCUUGUAGUAUCACUGUGUUGCAGUAUUGUUACAGUACUCAUGUUACAAUGCUGAACUAUGGUAUUGCUGUAGUAGUGCUUGCAGCAAUUUGGUAUUAGAGCUAGUCAAAGUCCUCUGAAUUCUCGCCAUCAUGGUUUAAAAUGCUGAAUUAAAUAGUUGACUAGAAAAUCUUGCCAGAGUAUGAAAAUACCAAAAAUUAUGUUCAACAAUUGAAUGAACAUGCUACUAAUGUUGGAAAAAUUACAGUAAAAAAUCCGAUUGUGAAUUAUUUAACAGUUUUUGAUAAAGAUUAAUAGAUCAACUUACAAACAAGCGCUAACAAUCCACAAAUCGUUGAAGAAGGAAGACAAAAAAAUUGACUGAUUUGGAAGCGUGCAUAACAUUGUCCUAAGGCGUAUUCCCGUUCUUCAUGCGGGAUUAACUGGAAACACUACUUCAAGGUACGACUGGAACUCCUACGAGCACGAGCGUGAAAGAGGUUGACGAAGAAACUUUCAACACUUGGCGUCAAAGAGAUCAAACGAAGUAAAAGAAAAUAGGAGAUGAAAUAAAACUUAAACAAAUUUUCUUUCAAUCCUUUUUUCUUCCCUCCCAUAUAUCUUACUGUAUAAAUAGUAUGCAAUACAUAGAAGGGAAUGAGGAGUGGAACGUUGGAAUUCCAAUGUUUAACACGUCCCAUAAUAGUUGCUUUAAUUAGCGCAAUGAUGGAAACGUUCGUGGAGCCGGCGCAUGCGGAGCGGGUGUGCAUGAGGCGCCAUCGUAACUUCUGCGCUAAAACAGACGUUGAUUAAUUACAUAAAUAAAAUAAUAAUAAAUAAAAAUAAAUUAAAAAAAUAAAAAAUAAUAAUAAUGAUUAAUUUGAAGAUUUUGGAUUUUUCACCAACAACUAUAGAAGAUGCUCUUUAUUCUAUACUAUCUAUGCAAGAUAUUCUUUUUGCCAGUGCCCAAUCACUUUUGCUUGAAUUAGGAUCAUCGUCAUCCAUCCCUAAACCUCAGAGUUGAUGCAAGCUAGUUGCAUUCAUUUAGGACUUCUUAUGUUUGAAUAUCAAAUUUGAUUUUCAAAUUUGAGCAUUUGAAUAUUUGAAUAUUUAAAUUUUGAAAUAGUUUGUUAGGAUUAGUUAGCAUUGAUUACUAGGAUGGUUGGAAGUCCUUUUGAAACUUGAAUUUAGAAAAUAAUUAUUAAAUAACAAUCUGUGACACAUCGCUUCCCAAGAGGGUCACCAUCCUAGAACUACUCUAGCUCUAGCACGCUUAAUCCUCUUAAUCUUUUGGGCCUAACAACCGUUCAAAAUAACUAUAGGCGGGUUAAGAGAUUUAGCCCUAUUAUACCUUAUAUAUCGGAAUAUUCCAAAUCCUGGGGGUGUCACAUUCCUCCCUCUUUUAAGCCCUAAUGUUCUCGUUAAGCUUGAGGCUUGAGCACACUCACAAGCACCAGGCAAUAUGAGACUCGUCUUGCUAACCUUGUCAUUUAGAUUUUGGCUUAACCGGUCAUUUCUAGAUCUUGGUUUAGCCUGCCAUUUAGACCCUGGCUCAGCCGAGACUCAUCUCACAUUUUCGGCUGGUGAUUGACUCUGAUUCCAACUGUGACACCCUGUUUUCUUGGAUAGGUCACCUAUCCUAGAGCUACUCUAGCCGUAGCGUGCUUAAUCCUUUAAACAUCUUUGGUCUAAUUACCGCCCAAAAUGUUAUAGUUGGGUUAAGUGGUUUAGCCCUAUUAUACUGUAUAUAUCAGUCUAUUCCAAAUCGUGGGGGUGUCACACCAUUUAUUUGUUAGCUGGUUUUACAGGUAGGGCUGUUCGACCUAGCAUGACGCCGUGCAGGGUUAUGGCAUGGCAUAGGUACUGUAGCACUUGUGUAGUGCUGGCCUAGAUUGGAUUAAUGAGGUUGACCUUCUUGAGCCUAUCAGCUUGGCAUGCCUCAACCCCCAAGGUUCGUCCUUGGCUGGGCCUCAGGGGUUGGUCUUUCUCCCAAGGUUCUCAAAUGCCUUUGGGAGAAGGAAGAAGGGACUUUUCCCAAGGAGGCUAAAGGCUAGCCCUUAGGCACUAUCCUUUUCCUUCACCUAAGGCCUGGUUUCAAGUUUGGAGCUUUAUCGAAGAUCCAUUGGCUUUGGUCCAUGUUGGGAAAAGGUAGCAGAAACUUACAAACUGAAUAGCCAACGUACCUAGAUAUCUAAAUCGGAUCUGGUUGCUUGUUUUACUAGCCUUCUUAGAUCGUCGUUGUUUUGAUGCUUCUAGAUCUUUCAUUUGUCUCGCCUUCUCCCACGCGUUGCGAAUCAGAUGAGAGGAGGGUUACCAGAGUCCUCUUCUAUGUCCACACUCCAAAGCCCUUGCAAUGUAGGUUAAAAUUCUAGAAAGAAAGUAGAGAGAGAAUAAAGAAGAAAUCCUUUUUCUAAUUCUCUUUUGUCUCUCACGUCAUACCUUUAUUAUAGAGAGAAAAGGAUCAUCUAUGCAUAUAUAUUAGGAUCCUUUAUAAUAUUUUCUGAUUCUCACAUAGAGAUUAGGAUUAGAAUAUCUAUUAAGAUAUUCAUUUGGAGAUACGUCUCUCAACUAAUAAGAAACAUAUAAUUUAUCUUUAUCCUUAACUUAUCAGGAUAAAUCCUAAUCCACAUCUCAUGUGGAUUGGAUUGAAUUAGAACCGGCCAAUGUGGACACCAUAUAGCAACAAUCUCCCACUUGGCAAUAAUGGCGAAUUUUCUAUCAUACGUUCUACUCUUCAUACGGGUAAUGGAGCAUGUGACUUGACGAAAAAACCCAAUGUAGAAGUGCUAUAUUAAAUCACCACCCAACUAACAUUGCACAUCACUGACUAAAUUCGUCUAUAUCCCAGAUGUUUUAACACACACCGGAUCAAACAUCACAAAUCUCCCUUCUAUAAUCACAUGACUCGACCCUACAAUUGUUUUUUGUACUUAUGAUCAAGGAAUAAGGUGCCGCCCCGUGCCGUACGCAGUAUCGUGCCCCCAAGAAGGGGGCACGGUACAGGGGGGGUCUCGGACCCCCCCUCCUCCCCAUGUGCCGUGGCACGCGACCCGUGCCGCUCGAGACAAGGCGGCACGCGGUCAUGUGCCGCGGCACUAUGCCGCGUGUCGUGCCCUUGUUAUUAUUAUUAUUUUUUUUGGCUUUUGUUUUUUUGUUUGCUUUUGCUUUUUUUUUUUCUCUUUGGAUGUGCUUUUGCUGUGGGCAUCUGUCACAUGCCCACAACCUAAGUUUUUUUUUUUUGUCUUUUUCUUUGGCAUUUGGGUUGCUAUGGGAAUCAUGUCACAUGCCCACAGCGUAAUUAAAUUUUUUUGUCUUUUUGUUUGGCCUUUGGGUAACCCAAAGGUUGGCCUUGGGUAACCCAAAGGCCAAACAACUAUAAUGCAAAGGCUGUGAGAUUAUAAAUUCAUGCAAAUCCGCCUCCUGACCUUCGCGCCCAUCUUUCUUUCCUUCGUAUUCUUUCUUCCCCUUUCCUUCUUUUGCCGGUGCUUAGCACCCUUAAGCUAUCUUCUCCUCUCUCUUUUUUCUUUUCAGUUCUUACAUAUCUUCCUAAAAUUAUUUUUGUCCUCUUUUUUUCGUCGCUUGAAAAGAAGUCGCGUGAAAAGAAGGCAAAGACAUUUCAUAUUGCAGAUUUGCUUGUUAGGUAAGUCAAAAAAAUUAUAAUUUAAAUUUUUUAUUUAUAAAUAUAGGGGCUAGUUUUUAAUUGACAUAUCUGAUCCAGCACAGACAUCCACUUUCUUUUCGCAAAUUAUUUUAUCAAAAUUUCUCGCACCGUGAAGCGUUCGGCGAAUCAGGGUAAACAACAUCAAUCAUAAUUUCUUUUUUUUUUCUUUUUUCUUUUUUUUCUUGUCGAUGCAGAGGGAAAUCAACCUUCUUUUUUUUCUUUUUUCUUUUUGCAUUGUAUGUUUUUUUUUCUUCUUUCUGUUUUCUUUCAUUCUUUGUGUUCUGCUUUCUUCCUUUUUUUUUUUUUUUUUUCGUGACUGCCAAGAGAGAGAGAGAGAGAGAGAGAGAAACCGAAGAGAGAGAGAGGGAGGAGUGCUCUCCUCUUUUUUUUUUGUUGUUUCUUCUUUUUUUUGUUUUUUUUUUAAUUUGUUUAUUCAUCUCUUUUUUUUUUUUGUCCAAAUAAACGAAGUUGAUCACGUUGAGCUUGUUACGACGAUGGCGAAGCUUAUCACGAAGAUAGCAAUACAAUGGAAUCGAACGAAGAUGGUGAAUCAAAACAGUAUCCGUCCAUUUUUUUUAUUAUCAUUUUUAUUGUUAUUUUUUUUUUCACGAUUCGUUCAAGUACGCGGAGUUUAAUCGUGUCGAGCCUAUCAUGAAGAUGGCCGCUCGAUUAAUCCUUUUGACCAUGUUGAGCCUAUCGCGAAGAUGGCCGCACGGUUUACGUAGAAAAUAUUCGGUGUUCAAGCAAACUUUUCGACCAUGUCGAGCCUAUCGCGAAGAUGGCCGCACGGUUUACGUAGUAAAAUAUUCGGUGUUCGUUCAACAAUUUUGACCAUGUCGAGCCUAUCGCGAAGAUGGCCGCACGGUUUAGAGAUUAGCGAUGCAUACGCAUGGCGGGAGUGACGACUUGAUGUCAAGUUUGAUCGGUUCGAAACCUAUCACGAAAAUGGUCGGGUUGAUCAAACCGACAAAAAAUCGCACUUACGCUAUUCGUAUGCAUGCAUUUCUCCUAUUGUCGUAGAAGCCGUCGUGAUCGUCGUUGUCGUCGAAUGCAAGAAUCGAUGUCCCUUUUUUUCUUCCUUUACUUUUUUUUUUUUUUGGAAAAGAAUGAUACCUUGGUUAUACAAGGUAUGGAUUUUUUUUACCUUUUUUUUUUUUGAAUCUUUUCUUUCCCUUUUUUCUUUUUUGGAAAGAGGAGGUGGGAUAUUUUUUUUUCCUUUUCUUUAUUUCUUCCUCUUUUAUUUUUUUAUUUUUUUCAAUUUUUCUUUUUUACUCAAACAGGCAUAUAUCGCCCGCUUUGUGCCGUGCUGUAGAGCCUCUUAAUACGGGGGUUAUCGCGUUUAGUUAUUGUAUCGUGAUACGACUGUGAUACCUUGUGAGACAUUGCGGUACGUGUACGGUGUUGCGUCACGUGUAGCAAUGUAUUGCUACUAUGGUUUUUUCUUUUUCCCCUCUUCGGUAGAUUCUCAACGUUAUUCCCUUUUUCUUUCUAUUCUUUAAUUUAGUUAUCUAAUCUACUAUAGAAUUUAAUCUUAAUCCAAUCUAGAAUUGCCUAAUCUACUCCAUAUAAUCUAAUCGGGUUUAUUCUAUUAAAGUUUAUCAUUAAGAGUGUCAAAUCUGAUUUAAUUUAGAAUAACCUGACCUAAUCUAAAUCAAGUCUAGAAAAUAGAAUUUUGGUUUUGUAUUAGAUAUAUUAGAAUAUAUCUGAUAAGAUUCAAUUUAGGCAAUUGUAGAUUACCUAAAUUAAUCUAACCUGUAACCAAAUAUAGAAAUAACUAAUCUAAUCUAAUAUAGAAUCUAAUAUAAUCUAGUUUGUAUUUAUGAAUAUAAUAUGAUAAUAACAUAAUAUAGGCACUGUUGCGGGUAGCCAAUGAGAGUAGCCGCAACAGGCAGCCAAGAGGGGCCGAUGUCAAGGGCUAGUUGGACCAGGACCACCAACCUCAGGUUAAGGCUAAGUUAAAAUGUAACCAACUCAGGUUUAGGUUAAGUUAAAAAGUAAUAGGGGCUGAGAUGCUAACGGCUAGUUGGACCAGGACCACUAACCUCAGGUUAAGGCUAAGUUAAAAUGGAACCAACUCAGGUUAAGGUUUAAGUUAAAAAGUAAGAAACCCAAAAUAAAAAAUAAAAGAUAAAAAUUGAAGUGUGGCCGAACCGAACUUGGAAGCCAAGACCAUGCGUGGCCCGGCCCAGCUUUUGCUCUUGCUGUGCGCGCGUGCUUGUGAUUAGUUGAUAACACUCACUCUCUUUAUCACCUAAGCAAGUUACUUGGAGAUGGUGGAGUAUAUAAAACGUUACUACAUCCCAUGAGUUUUUCAUCUAGGACUAAACUCAUAUAAUAGUAAGUGAUGCUCAAGCUCUCAGGCAAAGCCCAUUUAAUUUUGGGCCACCCAAGAGGCCCAUGAGCCAAAAUGAAGUUUAUAAAUCACAUUUAAAUUAAAUAAGUCCUAACCGCCCAUAUGCUAACAUACACAUAUGAGUCUUAAAAAUUCUUUCCUAAGAAGGCUACGUGGCUCAACCAUAGGACACCUUUGGUUUCUCCUUUAGUAUGGAGGUAUCAAUAUCAAGCUUCUCAUGAACAUAACAUGCAAAUAGCAUAAGGUUUGAGAGUAGGAGCAUAAGAAAAAAGAUCUCAUAGACACAGUAGAAUGCAAGAGGAAAGCUACGGAAAAAGAGGGAAAAAAAAAAAGAAGCGAAGUCAAUAAAAAUGAGUAAAGAUGAGGACAAAAUAAAACAGAAACAAAAGGAUUGGUGUGGUCGUAGAACUUGAGAUUGAGAUGAAGAGGAAACUUUCGGAGAUCAUCUAGGAGCAUUAUACCUUGUGGUAAAAGUAAAUACCUCUCUCAUACUUAUCUCGAGGAUUUGCUUCAGUUAUAUAGCAUGGCUAAGAUCAGGCUUACCGAUUUUGCCUAUGUAUAAUAUAAUUCUAUCUCAUCACUAACACAUAUAUCUAACUUUUAUACCACAAAAUUGAUUCUUUUUUUUACCAUAUAAUGAAAGCUAGGGAUAAUAUCUAAUAUACAGUUUAAAACUUCAAAAAUAUCUAAUAUACCCCUGGUGACUAAAAUGCCCUCAUUGAUUUUCAAAAAUUCCUUCAAAUAUCCCCAAACCCCUGCUAGGGUUUAACAAUGAGAAUUGGGGUUUAGAAGGGUAUUUUGGUAAUUUUAGGAUAAAUUUGAAAAUUUUGAAUAGCAACUGGGGGUAAAUAAGGAAAAGCCCCUAAAAGCUAUGCUCUUUGGCAACUUUUGUUAAUUUUUCAUUGUUUGAAUGCAAUAUUUGUCAAAUUAUUUGGUUUCAUUUCGGAUGAAUACAAAUUAUAAUGUUAGCAUGUCAACGAGCCAAAAAAGGGAAAAUAAAAUAUGGGAAAAUGUGUAGGCUUUUUUAUUUUCCUUUUUGUUUGGUAAUCUAGCCAAAUUCUAUUCUGAUUUGUUCCCCUUCUUUUGAAUGGAAGGGUGGAGGGCCAUACGGAGCUGAAGUGACACGUGGGCAGGAUCUCACCGGGAAAGAUUUUAGUGGCAAGACUCUCAUCAAGCAAGACUUCAAAACGGUUUUCAUUUUUUUUGUUUAUUAUUUUAUAUUUUCCUUACUUAGUGCAAUAUGAAUUUAAAUUAUCCUACAUUUCUGCAAUCUAAUAGGUUUUUUGUUUCCUCAUUGCAGUCUAUUUUAAGGCAGGCCAAUUUCAAGGGAGCGAAGUUAGUCGGGGCGAGCUUCUUUGAUGCAGACUUGACAGGUUUGCUCUUCAGUUAGUAGACUAUGGAUUUUUUUCAUAAACACUUACAAUUGAAGAGACUAUUAUUGAGAAAAUUGCAUCCAUUAUUAAGGAUGAGUCAGUUGUAACUGCAUUUUGAAAGAAAGUAAUAACACAUUGACAUUAUUUGGAUGGCUAAAUGAGGAGGCUUUUAUUGCUCAUAGAGAAAUGUUUUGAAUAAAUCUUUUAGAUAUUGAUUCCAAACUUUCAGUUAUUCAGUUAUAUAUGGCUAGUAGUCAGGCCUUGUAGAAAUUAUAUUUUGCAGGUGCUGAUCUCUCUGAUGCUGAUCUUAGAGGUGCAGAUUUUUCCUUAGCAAAUGUGACAAAGGUGAUUUGCUCUAUAAAACUUCCUAUCCUUGAUUGCUAUUUGCUCCUCUUAUUUUUUUUUUUUCUCUUUCUUAGUUCGUACAUUUUUUUCACUCUUUUUUUUUAUUUUGUUUUUUAUUUUUUACAUUGUUCCGUCUUAUUUUGUUUACUAUAUGCUUGUCAUGAUCUUAGAAAGAUCAAAAAAAUUGCUAAGUUUCGAAUAAUAUAUUUUGUCUGUAAUGCUAAGUCUAGAAAUGCUGAAAUGACAAUUAAAACAAGACAAAACAAAACAAAACGUACAGUCAUUAAGUGAAUGAUGCAAAUUACAAGGGUUUUAUUUUCCUUUUCCAUGAUAAUUAAGUGUGCUCUAUUACCUUGAAAUAUAUAUAGAGCUAGGCUGUUCCUAGAAGGGAGUACCAGACGGGACCUACACCAAAAUUUGAAACAACUUAAUUUCCACCGCGGAGAUUUUAAAUUUUCGAUGAUGCAAUUUUCCAAAAACUUGGACUUAUGAUGAAAUUUAAUUUUCUAAGGUGGAUAGUACCACUUAAGACACAGUGUCGGUGCACAAGACCCUCAUGGCGUGCAGUUUUCAGAGAACCCCGCUCUCACGCCGCAAAGCACUCUCUGGCUAUCAAUGGCGAAUUUUAUAGAGCAUUUCUCUUAUCAAAUUUGCCAAACGUAUAUGCUUUACACUUGCUUAAGCUGAAGUAUUUAUCCAGAAAGAAAUCAUAAAUUUUCAUGAAGAGUUCAAGGAAAGGGAAUCAUGAGGCAAAGAAAAUGCCAUGGAUAAAAGAGUUCGAGAAAUAUAAUAUAACGAAGGAUAAAACUUACAUCACAAAGCUAGAAGGUUUCCCUUCCGGGACUUCCCGGGGGGAAAAGAAAGGACUUCUUUGUACAGACUCCUUGAUGAGGAUAGUGUCUAAGUUCCUUAUCUAAAGCAAAUAUGAUACAAGAAAAUAGGUCUAGAUACCUAAGGGGCUCAAUAUAAAAAGUCUUUAAAACACGAUAAUGUAUUAAAGUUCCAAUAGGGUGAUUGGCGUAAACAACGGCAUUCAUAGUUAUGAAACAUUCUGAAAUAGUUAGAGGAAACCUUUGAAAGAAGCAAAAAACCUAAAAAGGUAGAAAGUGUUUUGAGAAAACCCUAGGGAAUAGUUAAAAUAUUUUUUGGGAUUUUUUCACGUGGAUGUCACUUCGUGCAUAAUAAUUUGCAUAUUAAUUACACUAAUUUCCACACUUAUAUUUCAGCCCGGAAAAAAUCCUAAAAAUUUCGAAAAAAUCUUAGGAUUAUUUUGCUACCCUUGUCCGAAGUGCCCGGAGACAGCUCUCUAAGUGCAGCAUGUAAAGAAUAGUUUCUGUGACAACUGCUCAUAUCGUGAUUCCUAGAAGGGAGUACCAGACGGGACCUACACCAAAAUUUGGAACAACUUAAUUUCCACCGCGGAGAUUUUAAAUUUGACCUUCAUCCUAUUUUUAUCUAUUAUUAAGAUAACUUUUACUACCUAUUUUUAAAGAAUCCUGAAGAUCAUUUAGGAAGAUCCUUUCGACGACAAGUGAGGAUGAUAUUUUUAUGAGGUCUAGGGGGUCUUUGUGGAGCUGAAGGAGUGGUAAAUGGAUGCUCAACAUGAUAUGGUGGAGGAGUUUGUGUUACCGGGGGAUUAUGGACAGUGGAUCCUUAUCAAAACUAUCCAGCAAUGGAAUUUCCAUAGACAAAUUCCAAGAUAUUUAACUUCACCAGAACCUAAAACACAGAAAAACUGAGAGUAAGAGGAAGAAAGGUGAAUUUAUAAGAAUUUUUUGAAAAUUAUCUGGGAAUGUUUUGGGUUAUACAGGACAAACUAUAUGCCGGACACUUUGGACAAAGGGUAGCAAAAUAAUCCUAAGAUUUUUUCGGAUUCAGAAUCCGCAGAUCUAUAAGAACUAGAUCUAGAUAGUUCUGGAGGAUGAGAAGUUGACAUAAGAGGAUCUAUUAUAUAUAAUGUGGUUGUAUUGAGGAUAAAUCUAUGCUAGGACAUUUAUCAGGGACAAAAUUUUUGUGGGAGCCUUUUUAUAGGCAGGGUGGAGUGGAGAGGGGGGCGGAUUGGAGGAAAACCGCGGCGGCACCUGGUUUUCGAAAACUGCGGCUGUCCAUGGUUUUUCUAUAGUGAAACUAUCAUGAUGCGGGGCCCAUGGUUUUUAUACAAAACCGUAGGCGGAGAUGGUUUUUAUACAAAACCGUAGGCUGGUGGCGUCAUUAUUUUAGUGGGGCCCGCCAGUAACUCUAUGGUUUUGGUGCACGGGAGUAGGUACGUGGAGGAGGCACGUGGUGGCACGUGGUGGAUUAGGGUUUAGGGUUUAGGGUUUAGGAUGGCUCAGAGAGAGAGGAUGUGCAAAAUGCUUAGGAUUGUUUUUAAAAAGGUGACACCUUCUGAUCCAAUUCCACCAUCAAGAAAUCAAGUAGUCCAAAGUAAACAUCUACCCCAAAAUUCACAGGCACAGGAAAAGGGUUCUCAGUUUUCUCUCGUCAAAAGAACUAGUGAAUCCAACUCCACAAACAUCUGGUCAAGAAGAUGAACGUUGCACCGCAUUCAAGGAUAUAUAAGUUCAUCAGCAUUACAUCCACCACGUGCCACCACGUGCCUCCUCCACGUACCUACUCCCGUGCACCAAAACCAUGGAGUUACUAGCGGCCCCACUAAAAUAAUGACGCCACCAGCCAAAACCACCUCCGCCUACGUUUUUGUAUAAAAACCAUGGGCCCCGCACCAUGAUGGUUUCACUAUAGAAAAACCAUGGGCAGCCGCAGUUUUCGAAAACCAGGUGCCGCCGCGGUUUUUCUACAAUCCGCCCCCCUCUCCACUCCACCCUGCCUAUAAAAAGGCUCCCAUUCCUCCACCUGAAGAGCAUCGAAAAAAUGAAAGAGAAAUAUUUCUAAGAGAGCAGCGUCUCGGUUUUUUAUAUUUUGUCUUUUUGGGCAAGCAUUUGCAAAAUGGUUCGGGCUGUUGCAUAUAUAGCAAAGAAGUUUAUUUUUACAAAAAAAAACUAAAAUUAGGGGUCAAAGUUUUUCUCCUAUAUUUUUGAGUUUGGGAGAAGAUGCUUCUAGUAUCAUGGGGUCAUCUAUGGUCUCGAAAUCUGUAAAUCUAAUUGAAUUUCUACCUUGUUCAUUUUGAUAAUAAAUGGUGUCUGCCAGGGCUAUUGUUAUUUGUUUAACAAGAGUAAAUUUGUCUAAAUUCCAUUCGAGGCCUGCAUUUUUUGUUGCGCUAACUUCCAUUGGUGCUAUUAGGCGCAUGCCUUGUGUACCCAUUAGGUCUACUACUCCUAUAGGGUUCAUCCGAAAAUUUGUCUGGACAACAGGAGUUAAUAAUCCUGUAAAUCCUAAGCAUACUUGUAAAUUUUUAAAAUUAUGACCUUCGUAUAAAUCUAUUGCUCUAACUUGUAUACCUCCUGGCGUACAGUUUUCGGAGAACCCAGCUAUCACGCAGCAAAGCACUCUCUGGCUAUCAAUGGCGAAUUUUACAGAGCAUUUCUCUUAUAAAAUCUGCCAAGCGUAUAUGCUUUACACUUGCUUAAGCUGAAGUAUUUAUCCAGAAAGAAAUCAUAAAUUUUCAUGAAGAGUUCAAGGAAAGGGAAUCAUGAGGCAAAGAAAAUGCCAUGGAUAAAAGAGUUCGAGAAAUAUAAUAUAACAAGGGAUAAAACUUACAUCACAAAGCUAGAAGGUUUCCCUUCCGGGAUUUUCCGGGGGGGAAAGAAAGGACUUCUUUGUACAGACUCCUUGAUGAGGAUAGUGUCUAAGUUCCUUAUCUAAAGCAAAUAUGAUACAAGAAAAUAGGUCUAGAUACCUAAGGGGCUCAAUAUAAAAAGUCUUUAAAACACGAUAAUGUAUUAAAGUUCCAAUAGGGUGAUUGGCGUAAACAACGGCAUUCAUAGUUAUGAAACAUUCUGAAAUAGUUAGAGGAAACCUUUGAAAGAAGCAAAAAACCUAAAAAGGUAGAAAGUGUUUUGAGAAAACCCUAGGGAAUAGUUAAAAUAUUUUUUGGGAUUUUUUAACGUGGAUGUCACUUCGUGCAUAGUAAUUUGCAUAGUAAUUACACUAAUUUCGACACUUAUAUUUCAGCCCAGAAAAAAUCCUAAAAGUUCCGAAAAAAUCUUAGGAUUAUUUUGCUACCCUUGUCCGAAGUGCCCGGAGACAACGCUCUAAGUGCAGCAUGUAAAGAAUAGUUUCUGUGACAACUGCUCAUAUCGUGAUUCCUAAAAGGGAGUACCAGACGGGACCUACACCAAAAUUUGAAACAACUUAAUUUCCACCGCGGAGAUUUUAAAUUUGACCUUCAUCCUAUUUUUAUCUAUUAUUAAGAUAACUUUUACUACCUAUUUUUAAAGAAUCCUGAAGAUCAUUUAGGAAGAUCCUUUCGACGACAAGUGAAGAUGAUAUUUUUAUGAGGUCUAGGGGGUCUUUGUGGAGCUGAAGGAGUGGUAAAUGGAUGCUCAACAUGAUAUGGUGGAGGAGUUUGUGUUACCGGGGGAUUAUGGACAGUGGAUCCUUAUCAAAACUAUCCAGCAAUGGAAUUUCCAUAGACAAAUUCCAAGAUAUUUAACUUCACCAGAACCUAAAACACAGAAAAACUGAGAGUAAGAGGAAGAAAGGUGAAUUUAUAAGAAUUUUUUGAAAAUUAUCUGGGAAUGUUUUGGGUUAUACAGGACAAACUAUAUGCCGGACACUUUGGACAAAGGGUAGCAAAAUAAUCCUAAGAUUUUUUCGGAUUCAGAAUCCGCAGAUCUAUAAGAACUAGAUCUAGAUAGUUCUGGAGGAUGAGAAGUUGACAUAAGAGGAUCUAUUAUAUAUAAUGUGGUUGUAUUGAGGAUAAAUCUAUGCUAGGACAUUUAUCAGGGACAAAAUUUUUGUGGGAGCCUUUUUAUAGGCAGGGUGGAGUGGAGAGGGGGGCGGAUUGGAGGAAAACCGCGGCAGCACCUGGUUUUCGAAAACUGCGGCUGUCCAUGGUUUUUCUAUAGUGAAACUAUCAUGAUGCGGGGCCCAUGGUUUUUAUACAAAACCGUAGGCGGAGAUGGUUUUUAUACAAAACCGUAGGCUGGUGGCGUCAUUAUUUUAGUGGGGCCCGCCAGUAACUCUAUGGUUUUGGUGCACGGGAGUAGGUACGUGGAGGAGGCACGUGGUGGCACGUGGUGGAUUAGGGUUUAGGGUUUAGGGUUUAGGAUGGCUCAGAGAGAGAGGAUGUGCAAAAUGCUUAGGAUUGUUUUUAAAAAGGUGACACCUUCUGAUCCAAUUCCACCAUCAAGAAAUCAAGUAGUCCAAAGUAAACAUCUACCCCAAAAUUCACAGGCACAGGAAAAGGGUUCUCAGUUUUCUCUCGUCAAAAGAACUAGUGAAUCCAACUCCACAAACAUCUGGUCAAGAAGAUGAACGUUGCACCGCAUUCAAGGAUAUAUAAGUUUAUCAGCAUUACAUCCACCACGUGCCUCCUCCACGUACCUACUCCCGUGCACCAAAACCAUGGAGUUACUAGUGGCCCCACUAAAAUAAUGACGCCACCAGCCAAAACCACCUCCGCCUACGUUUUUGUAUAAAAACCAUGAGCCCCGCACCAUGAUGGUUUCACUAUAGAAAAACUAUGGGCAGUCGCAGUUUUCGAAAACCAGGUGCCGCCGUGGUUUUCCUCCAAUCCGCCCCCCUCUCCACUCCACCCUGCCUAUAAAAAGGUUCCCAUUCCUCCACCUGAAGAGCAUCGAAAAAAUGGAAGAGAAAUAUUUCUAAGAGAGCAGCGUCUCGGUUUUUUAUAUUUUGUCUUUUUGGGCAAGCAUUUGCAAAAUGGUUCGGGCUGUUGCAUGUAUAGCAAAGAAGUUUAUUUUUACAAAAAAAAACAAAAAUUAGGGGUCAAAGUUUUUCUCCUAUAUUUUUGAGUUUGGGAGAAGAUGCUUCUAGUAUCAUGGGGUCAUCUAUGGUCUCGAAAUCUGUAAAUCUAAUUGAAUUUCUACCUUUUUCAUUUUGAUAAUAAAUGGUGUCUGCCGGGGCUAUUGUUAUUUGUUUAACAAGAGUAAAUUUGUCUAAAUUCCAUUCGAGGCCUGCAUUUUUUGUUGCGCUAACUUCCAUUGGUGCUAUUAGGCGCAUGCCUUGUGUACCCAUUAGGUCUACUACUCCUAUAGGGUUCAUCCGAAAAUUUGUCUGGACAACAGGAGUUAAUAAUCCUGUAAAUCCUAAGCAUACUUGUAAAUUUUUAAAAUUAUGACCUUCGUAUAAAUCUAUUCCUCUAACUUGUAUUCCUCCUGGCGUACAGUUUUUAGAGAACCCCGCUCUCACGCCGCAAAGCACUCUCUGGCUAUCAAUGGCGAAUUUUACAGAGCAUUUCUCUUAUAAAAUCUGCCAAGCGUAUAUGCUUUACACUUGCUUAAGCUGAAGUAUUUAUCCAGAAAGAAAUCAUAAAUUUUCAUGAAGAGGUCAAGGAAAGGGAAUCAUGAGGCAAAGAAAAUGCCAUGGAUAAAAGAGUUCGAGAAAUAUAAUAUAACGAAGGAUAAAACUUACAUCACAAAGCUAGAAGGUUUCCCUUCCGGGANNNNNNNNNNNNNNNNNNNNNNNNNAACCAAUACCAAAGCCCUUGUAUCAGCAACACUGAUGUCACGCCCGGACCGCUACCAAUUUGCGUUACAGAUCCGGGCGCUGGUCAGACGCCGAAGGCAGCACCUCCCCCCUGUGCGCCCAAGCGCUAAAACAACAGGAUCAUGUACAACAAGUUCCGGAAACAACUUGGAAUACCAUACCCAUGAUCAAAACAAUACGAGGGCACACCAAGUGCCGAAUUAAAGAGCAAGCAUCCACAAGCGUGAAACAAGUUGAAUAAAAGAGAGAGAUAUAAUCUAUCUAUUACAUUCACAUUUGACAUUCAACAUUAAUACAACUUGGUUACAUUUAAAGCUUCCAAUGAAUACAUAAUCAUAUACACAUUAUAAUAUAAUGCUAGCUAUGUCCAAAAUACAUCAUGUAUCUAUAACCAUGCACACGACGGGUGCUCUUAGUAACAAAUAGGAUAGAGCUCUACUAGUAGCUAGUACGGCGCUACGCCCUUACCGCGAUCGUACUGCGGCCGCUCACGUGUGUACAUGUACCCCAAAACCACGACGCGAGGAGAACUAUAAAAAAUAUAGUUCCAGUGGGUUCGGCCGCCGACUCGCCGAUCUUACACCUAUAGGGUCUAAGCUGGACACAGAUAGAUAGAUACAGAGAGAUGAAUAGAUAUUGAACUGCAACUACUGAUCUAUUGUGCUAUCAAAUGCAAGCAAGAUGAAUAUAACUAGCCAAUAAGCCUAACUAUUAUGAUAUAUGCUUUCAACGAUGUAGAUGAAUAAAUACGACAUAGUUUUGCAUUGCCACAUAACAUAUACUUAUGUUUUUUUAAUCCAGGGUAUGAAGCAAAAUCCACUUCAUUACUAUUCAUGUAUUGACCAAUCACUCAGGUACCCGCCUUUCUCAAAUCACGUGGCUGAAGGACUACUCCGCCCUUGUUUCACCCGUUCCCACAACUUCUAAACUAUAGGUUAAGAGUACCCGCUCGUCGCCGCAACUCUAACGUCAAAUGCCAACGGCAUGAGCUUACCCGCUCUUCGCUCCGACGUCUAACUCAAUCAUAGGUCAGAGCUACCCGCUCUAGGUCACAGAGUACCUCCGCUCGUAGGGUAAAGAGCUCCGACUCAUAGGUUAAAGAGUACCCGCUCAAAGUGUCAAGCCGUCAAAGAGCUACCCCGUCGCAUAGUAAAGAGCUACCCCGCUCAAAAAUGUACUCAGGUCAAGAGCUCCCGCCGUCGUAGGUUAAAGGACUACCCCGUUCAUACGGUAAAGAGCUACCCGCUCAAAGUCAAGAGAGUACCGCUCGGUAGGUUAAGAGCUACCCGCUCAUAGGCGUAAAGAGCUACCUCGCUCAAACGGUAAAGAUGCUACCCCGCUCAAAAUCUACAAGGAGAAGAGCAUACCCGCCUUCGCCCGACUCACUUCCCAGCCACAUGGUGGGAGCUACCCCGCUCGUUAUCCCACCCAUGAGCUACCCCGCUCGCUUGACAACUGAGGAUACCCUGUCAACUAGGUUAACCAUCCCUUGAUAUUCUACCUAUCCCUAGGUCCAUGUCAAAGUGUUUCAACCAUAUCAAAUCUCAAUGCACAUCACUAGGUCUAGCCAACUCUAGGUUCCACAACACUGGUUUAAUGUCAACUAUGUUAACAACAUUAUAUUAAUCCACUCGAUCUAUCCUAGGUCACGACACUAGGUUUAGAUGCCCACUUUCUCCAUAAUUAACAAUAGGUUAAACAUUCAUUUCAUCUAGCAUAUAUGUUCUAUAAGGCCAACUUGCAUCAUAUAAUGCUAAUAUGCCAUAAUCAACUAGCAUGCAAUCCAUUCAUAAUGCUACGUGCAUACAGUCUCCAUUACACUAGUUCACAUGUCACUAGUUUCAUUUCAAGUCCACAGUUCUUAUUUCUUUCUCAUUAUAGGAUCUCAUGUCUCAAACCUUAUCAUAUGCAUAUUCUAGAUUUAAGUGUCAAGUCUAUAAUACUAACAACUAGACAUGCACUCAAGGAAAGUAGAAAAUGUAACUAUACAUAAUCUAUAUAAUGCAUAAGAACCAAUAUAUGAAUAUGAUCAACUAUUAUCGGAGAUAGAAGGAAGCCCGAUUGCUUCGGAUAGACACCCCCAUUUUUACAGCCGUUCCGAUGCUCGUCGUCACUCGCAAUCGGCCUCCCGCGGCACACCGCUCGGCUUGACCCAAUCUGCGCCGACCCGAACGACCUCGAUCCGCGAUCCGAAAAUUAAAGGGUCUUCGGUUUCUUGUCACGAUGCUUCAAAUCCGUUUCCACGAUUUACGGACGUCGCCUCGCCCUCCAGCGGAAACGAAGUCUAAACGUCCGUUUCUUUAAUAACUUCGCACUUGCUCGACGAAUCGCCGAACGUCGCUUCCAACGCGUUUAGUGACCUAUCGAUAGGUUUACGGAGGGUCAAAUUAGAUCAAACCCUCAUAUUUGAAAAUUAACAUUUUGGAGCCUUAACAUGAAAUAACCUCCAAAUACUCCAAAUUAAAUGAGCAAUAUGCUACUAAUGACUAUUAGAGGCUACUAGAACUCUUAAAGCUAAGGAUUAAGCCAAAUCCCAAAAGCUUACCCAUUGUGAACGCCGCGACGAAAACACGCCGCUCCAACGGGCGCACGAAGCUCGAUCCGUCGCUCCCAACGCGUUCACAAGCAUUCUUCUCGCCAACGCUGCGAAUUUGAGCGAGAAAUAUAGAGAGAUGAGAGAGAUCUCUAGAGAGAGAAAGGCAGGGUUCUCUCCUCCCUUUCAUGCGUGCGUGGUGUGUGGCCAUGGAGGCGGUGGUCGGUUGAAGGAGAAGAAGCUGCAUGCUUCUAAUUAAAGUCAACACCAACACUAUUCACUCCAGGCAACUUUAAAAUCUGAUAUCUUUCGCCGGAGCUCCCUGAAUAUCCGUUUGAGCUCAAAUCUGACAGUCAUAUUCGGUUUUACUUAAAGAGUCCAAAGAAAUUUUAAUAUUUCAGUUUCGACCCGUUUGGUACCGAAAACUGUGCCGAACUGUAAUCUUUAUCAGAUGGCUUUCGGAUUUUAUUUCUCACUCUACGGGUAUCAGAAAAAUAUGAAACUUAAAAUCUAGCCUCAUUAAAUAUUUCUGACAUCCCCGCCAAUUUCAUAAUUUUCGAGACUGUGUAUUUUCUGCUAAUUUAUCUGCCCCGUUAUCAACAGAAAAAUCCAGAUUCUUCUGUUUUCAUCCCGAUUUCAGCACAAGUCACUUCUGAUUAUGUUUUACUUCUCUAGAUCAAUAAAAUGUAUUCUCAUACUAUUUUUUUUAUUUAUAUUUUAUCUUUUAUAUUUAAAUCCGGUAUAUUACAUUACACCGCAACCUUACCGGAACCAUUCAAAUGGCUCUCCAACCAAAUGGACACCGUAACCUCAUGAUUUUAGAAGUCGCGUACCUUACACUCUCCCCUCCUAUAAAGGAGUUUCGUCCCGAAACUCAAACCACGCCUCAAUUCGGCUCCUGAGCAAUUUAGGGCGCUAAUGCACUUUUCUAGUUCGGAAUGGCUUUACCUCUUUGCAACUAUCCAAGAGGCCAACACGGAGGGUACAAUACCCAACUCGUACAACUUUGCAAGGCGCAUCUCAGCAGGUGCAUUACGUUCUCGUUAUUCUGGCAGCAGCGCAAGUCGAGGUCAACGGCUCUACGCACUCCAAAGUCAUUCGCCAACUGGCCACUAAGGCCAAACCACCUCCCUCGAGAACGGGAUACCCGCUAUCCUCAUGGUGUGGAGCUAUCAAGAACGCACCAAUAGUCAUAUGGUCCACCAUCACGACACAGCACACACGGGUAAGCCCUCUCGAAUCACCCGAAUGUCAACAAAGCGGCGCUCCGCCACUUUGGCUAUCCAAGAGUUCGUAUUUUCUCAUUCACGGACUCUUCAUCACUUUCACCAUCCUCUAGGGGUCACAUCCAAUUGAUCACAUAUCGCCUAGAAGCAAUAUCAUUGGUGCAUCGACCCACUGGCGAGUGCUCCAAUCUUCAACCAGACCCUUGCUCUACCGCGGGAUGGCACGCUUCGGCAAUCUCCAACUCAGCCCUUAAAAGAGCAUUAUCUCAAGCUCCAAUUCACUUAGGGGCAUCAACUUCAAUCCUCUACCUCUCGUGGCUUCCAAUAGCUCAAUGUCUCACGCGAGCAGUAUAUCCUCGAAUACCAUAUGCCACGACCAUCACCAACUCGUUCGUGCAAACGAAUCCACAUGAACAUCGUUCGUCAUUCUAGGCCACGCCCAUCACUGAGGCUACUCGCUCAACCACUUCAUCAAAUCAUAGGUGAACACAGGUCACCAAUCCUAGACUGUCGCUUAAACCAGUCUCAACUACGCGUAGUGUCUCUCGCUCACCAGUGUAGACCAAUUAUCACUACUGGGCGAAAUUCUUAUUGGAGAAUUCGCACACACUUCAACCAGGAGCAACUAGACCUCAAAACACGUCGAAUCCUUGGGUUGGGUCACUACCACAGAGGUGUAACCUUGAUCUCAUGAUCCACGUGUGUCAUUCCACGCUCCGAGUCUCAGCUUGGACUACCGCCUGACCAAAAUUCUGCCCUACAUUGGGCCGCUGUCUCUCACAGCUGACUGUGCCUGCCCAAUGGGCCAGGCUCCACAGUCCACAAAUGGUCCAGGCACACGAUCGUCCCCAAGCACUACUCGCCGUCGUCGUCUUAUACGACAUACUCUAUUGAGUUACACGUACCAUUACCGACUCCUAAGUGCCUAAGCACCUAGUAUGAGCCACCAGCCCUCACGAGUGAUCGUGGCCGCUUCACACUUAGCCCUGUCGAAGUGCUACUGCAAUUCACUCGACCGGCUGAAUCGAAACCGCACUUCACGUAAUUACACUCGAGCGCUCUACACGCUCUACUGCGUUCCAACUAGGUCAGCAUUAGGCAACCUUGCUAUGCAUACCACUACACGAGCAUGGACUCGCUGACCUCAACUUGAGGUACUACUCGGCUAACGUUCUCGUAUUCGGCAACUAUACGGCUACUCUCUUCAACAGUGAUUCCACUACUAGCAAUUUGCUAGUACGUCUAGCCCUCCAUCUACUCCAGCAAGCGUUACACCCUCACGCGCAAGCAUGCUCGGGUAUUUAACAUUGUCCGUCACUUUGGUCCUUACUACAUCGAUGCAUCGACGAUAGCAAGCGACCACACGACGAAUGCAUGCAAGGUCCUUCGACAAGGUCGCGUACUCACGACAUCUCGCUUGCCCGCCGCGAGCCUCCGUCGUCACUUCCUCACACUCGUUCUCUAGACCACUCUGUAGACUUCACAUCACAAACUGUCUCGGAGAGGAAGAGCUACCUCCUACAACGCGACCCUGCAAUCGACCGCACGAAUGCCUAUCUCACCACGCAACGCACACUACCGUGCUCGGUGAGAACUCCCACAAUCCCGCAUCUCAACACCGUAGCGUCUUCGGGGACAUCAGUUCCUGAAACGCAAACAUUUGUGUUAAUCAUCUUAACCCGUUAACUCGCGCGAUUACGAGAUAAACGACUCAACAUCGCAAAUUAGGCGGAGCACAAAGUUACUCGUUCUAACUCUUAGUGUCAUGUUGCCGGCCGCAACACAACCACUUCAAGUCAAGAAUUAAUACCACUGGAAUCCGUCUCUAGUAACUACUAGAAACAUACUAUCAACAACUUCAACCCAAUCGAACAACUCCCGCCACAACGCAUAGGUCACGUCACUCACGCACCUAUAGCCUUAAGGUUUCCGUCCUAGGGUCUCCUAGGUCAAUCUAGACUCUCUCUUUGCUUGCUUUAACUCGCUCUGAUACCAUUUUAUCUGUCACGCCCGGGACCGCUACCAAUUUGGUACGAUCCGGGCGCGUCGAACAGACGCCGAACGGACAGCACUCCCCUGUCCGCCCAAGGCUAAACAACAGGAUCAUGUACAACAAGUUCCCAGGAAAUCAACUUGAAUACAUACAUGAUCAAAACAAUAGCGGCACAACCAGUGCGAACAUUACAAGAGCAAGCAUCACAAGCGUAAACAAGUGAAUAAAAGAGAGAAUAUAACUAUCUAUUACAUCACAUUUGACAUUCAACAUUUAAUACAAUUGGUUACAUUUAAGCUUCCAAAAUGAAUACAUAUCAUAUCACAUAUAUAUAAUGCUAGCUAUCCAAAAUACAUCAUUGUAUCUAUAACCAUGCACAGAGGGUGCUCUAGUACAAUAGGAAAGCUCUACUAGCUAGCUAGGGCGCUACGCCCUUACCGCGAUCUACUGCCGGUCCGCUCAGUGUGUACCUGUACCCCAAAACCACACGGGGUGAGAACUAUAAAAAUAUAGUUCCCAGUGGGUUCGGCCGCCGACUCCGCCGAUCUUCCCACUAGGUCUAAGCUGGCACAGAUAGAUAGAUAGAGAGAUAGAAAGAUAUUGAACUGCAACUAUGAUCUAUUGUGCCAUCAAAUGCAAGCAAUGCAUGAAAUAUCAACUAGCAAUAAGCUACUAUCAAUGAUAAUAUGCUUCAACGAUGUAAUGAAUACAAAUACGACAUAGUUAUGCAUUCCACUAACAUAUACUAUGUCUAAUCAGGGUAUGAAUGCAAAUCCACUUAUACUAUUCAUGUCAUUACCCAAAUCCACUAGGUACACCCGCCCUUGUCUCAAAUCACGUAGGUGAAGGACUACUCCGCCUUGUUUCACCGCCCACAACUCUAACACUAUAGGUAAAGAGCUACCCGCUCCUCGCCCAACUCAUAAACUCAAAUGCCUAAGGGCAUGAGCUACCCCGACUCUUCGCUCCGACUCUAACUCAAAUCACAUAGGUCAAGAGCUACCCCGCUCAUAGGUCAAGACGCUACCCCGCGUCGUAGGUAAAGAGCUACCCCCCGCUCAUAGAGUAAAGAGCUACCCGCUCAUAGGUAAAGAGCUACCCCGCUCAAGGUCAAUAGUCCCGCUCAUAGGUAAAGAGCUACCCCGCUCAGUAGGUAGGGUAAAGAGCUAACCCGCUCAUAGGUAAGAGUACGCCCGCUCAUCAAGCGUCAAGAGCUACCCCGCUCGUAGGUAAAGAGCUACCCCGCUCAUAGGUAAAGAGCUACCUCGCUCAAAGGUAAAGAGCUACCCCGCUCAAAUCUCACAGGAGAAGAGCUACCCCGCCCUUCGCCCGACUCACUUCCCAGUCCAAUGGGUGGGGAGCUACCCCGCUCGUAUCCCACCCAAUGAGCUACCCCGCUCGUGUGACAACUGAGGAUACCCUGUCAACUAGGUUAACCAUCACUUGAUAUUCUACCUAUCCCUAGGUCCAUGUCAAGUGUUUCAACCAUAUCAAAUCUCAAUGCCACUCACCUAGGUCUAAGCAACUCUAGGUUCCACAACACUAGGUUUAAUGUCAACCUAUGUUUAACAACAUUAUAUUAAUGCCACUCGAUCUAUCCUAGGUUCACGACACUAGGUUUAGAUGCCACAUAAUCUCCAUAAUUAACAAUAGGUUAACAUUCAUUUCAUCUAGCAUAUAUGUUCUAUAAGGCCAACAUGCAUCAUAAUGCUAAUAUGCCAUAAUCAACUAGCAUGCAAUCCAUUCAUAAUGCUACGUGCAUACAAUCUCCAUUACACUAGUUCACAUGUCACUAGUUUCAUUGUCAAGUCCAAGUUCUUUAUUCUCUUAUCAUCAUAGGAUCUCAUGUCUCAACCUUAAUCAUCAUGCAUUCUAGAUUUAAGUGUCAAGUCUAUAAUACUACACAACUAGACAUGCAUUCAAGGAAAGUAGAAAUGUAACUAUACAUAUAUCCUAUAAUGCAUAAGAACCAUAUAUAUGAAAUAUGAUCAACUAUUUUACUCGGAGAUAGAAGGAAGCCCGAUUGCUUCGGAUAGACACCCCCCACCUUUUUACAGCGUUCCGAUUGCUCGUCGUCACUCGCAAUCGGCCUCCCGCGGCACACGCCGCUCGGCUUGACCCAAUCUGCGCGCGACCACCGAACGACCUCCGAUCCGCGAUCCGAAAAUUAAAGGUCUUCGGUUUCUUGUCACGAUGCUUCAAAUCCGUUUCCACGAUUUUACGACGUCGCCUCGGCCCUCCAGGCGGAAACGAAGUCUAAACGUCCGUUUCUUUAAUAACUUCGCACUGGCUCGACGAAUCGCCGAACCGUCGCUUCCAACGCGUUUAGUGACCUAUCGAUUAGGUUUACGGAGGGUCAAAUUAGAUCAAACCCUCAUAUUUUGAAAAUUAACAUUUUGGAGCCUUAACAUGAAAUAACCUCCAAAUACUCCAAAUUAAAUGGAGCAAUAUGCUACUAAUGACUAUUAGAGGCUACUAGAACUCUUAAAGCUAAGGAUUAAGCCAAAUCCCAAAAGCUUACCCCAUUGUGAACGCCGCGACGAAAACACGCCGCUCCAACGGGCGCACGAAAGCUCGAUCCGUCGCUCCCAACGCGUUCACAAGCAUCUUCUCCGCCAACGCUGCGAAUUUGAGCGAGAAAUAUAGAGAGAUGAGAGAGAUCUCUAGAGAGAGAAAGGAGGGUUUCUCUCCCCCUUUCAUGCGUGCGUGUGUGUGGCCAUGGAGGCGGUGGUCGGUUGAAGGAGAAGAAGCUGAUGCUUCUAAUUAAAGUCAACACCAACACUAUUCACUCCAGGCAACUUAAAAUCUGAUAUCUUUCGCCGGAGCUCCCUGAAUAUCCGUUUGAGCUCAAAUCUGACAGUCAUAUUCGGUUUUACUUAAAGAGUCCAAAGAAAUUUUAAUAUUUCAGUUUCGACCCCGUUUGGUCACCGAAAACUGUGCCGAACUGUAAUCUUUAUCAGAUGGCUUUCGGAUUUUAUUUCUCACUCUACGGGUAUCAGAAAAAUAUGAAACUUAAAAUCUAGCCUCAUUAAAAUAUUUCUGACAUCCCCGCCAAUUUUCAUAAUUUUCUGAGACUGUGUAUUUUCUGCUAAUUUAUCUGCCCCGUUAUCAACAGAAAAAUCCAGAUCUUCUGUUUUCAUCCCGAUUUCAGCACAAGUCACUUCUGACUUAUGUUUUACUUCUCUAGAUCCAAUAAAAUAGUAUCUCAUNUGCUAAUUUAUCUGCCCCGUUAUCAACAGAAAAAUCCAGAUCUUCUGUUUUCAUCCCGAUUUCAGCACAAGUCACUUCUGACUUAUGUUUUACUUCUCUAGAUCCAAUAAAAUAGUAUCUCAUACUAUUUUUUUUAUUUAUAUUUUAUCUUUAUAUUUAAAUCCGGUAUAUUACAUUACACCGCAACCUUACCGGAACCAUUCAAAUGGCUCUCCAACCAAAUGGACACCGUAACCUCAUGAUUUUAGAAGUCCGGUACCUUACAACUGAAGUCCCUUCAGAACCAAUACUAAACCCUAGUAUAGAUAACACAGAAGAGAGACGAGAUGACCCCAUGAUACUAGAAGCAUCUUCUCCCAAACUAAAAAAUAUAGGGAAAAAACUUGAUUUUAAACUUCAUGCUAGUACCAUCCAUUUUCCUUUUAACAGAAAUCCCUAGACAUAGAUAAUGUAUAAAAAUAGGUAUAAGACAAAAUUAGGGUAUAGGACAUGAAAUGAAAACCUUUGUCUCACAGAUCAAAAUUAAACAUCCUAGUGUUAGUAGAUGUCUGAAUUAAUCUUCAUAUUGGACUUUAUAUUGUUCCCACAUACCUUUAAUAGAUUCACCUAGAAAUGUUUCUAAGUAUUUAUACAUUUCUUCUGUAUUGUCAGUAUUCAUGUAGUGCUGAUUUCUAAUAUAGUCUGCAACUACUAAUCCUUUCCAAAUGUCUAUUAUAGAGUCCCAAGUUUGGGGGUCAUGAGCGGCUAUAUUUAGUAUUUCCAGGGUGCAGUAGUGCAAAAGAAAUAUUUACAGGAAAAGAAGGGAAAGAAAGGCCAUUAAGAAAAUAUUUGUGGAGUUGAGAUCGCUCUUAAAAUAUCAUCUUCACUUGUCGUCGAAAGGAUCUUCCUAAAUGAUCUUCAGGACUCUUUGGGAUUUUUUCUUUGAUUGCUUGCUCUCUUAGAAAUAUUUCUCUUCCAUUUUUUCGAUGCUCUUCAGGUGGAGGAAUGGGAGCCUUUUUAUAGGCAGGGUGGAGUGGAGAGGGGGGUGGAUUGGAGGAAAACCGCGGCGGCACCUGGUUUUCGAAAACUGCGGCUGCCUAUGGUUUUUCUAUAGUGAAACCAUCAUGGUGCGGGGCCAAUAGAUGACAUUUUACCUGACAUAUGGAAACUAUUCAAAGACCCUCUCGAAGCACAUAAUAAAAUAUGUACCCCAUUUAUUGGAAGUACCUCAUUUAUUUCUUAGCUAUAUGAGGUUGUAAUUUUAUUUUUCCUUCACCAAUAGUUACUCCUAGGAAGUUUAUAUAUUUUUUGCAAAGUUCGACUUUGUUUUUACUUAUAAUAAUACCAUGUUUAUAUUUUCAAAAGGUUCUUCAAAUAAUUUUUUAAUAUCAGGUAUUAUAGCAUCAAUAGGAAAUAAUUCAAAGACAUGAAUUUUAAUGGCGGAAUAUUUUAUGUUUGCCCAGAUUUUUUAAUGCCCUCCCUAGACUUUGCUAACCAAAUUAAAAUUGGUAUACAAGUUAGAGGAAUAGAUUUAUACGAAGGUCAUUUCCCUUCUUUUCCUGUAAAUAUUUUCUUUGCACUACUGCACCCUGGAUUAAGGAGUCUGUACAAAGAAGUCCUUUCUUUCCCCCCUGGGAAGUCCCGGAAGGGAAACCCUCUGUGUACGGAAUAUUUCAAUAUCAGUAUCUACGUCUACGACAUUAUCUAAUCGAGUUGGUUGGGCUCUGGGAACUAAUGGUAGUGAUGGAGGUUUGCGAAAUAUUCGGUCGACUAUACUUCGUGUUCUAUGUCUAGGGGUUCUUAAAGAAAUUGUGGAUUCAGAAUCCGCAGAUCUAUAAGAACUAGAUCUAGAUAGUUCUGGAGGUUGAGAAGUUGACAUAAGAGGAUCCAUCUACCCCAAAAUUCACAGGCACAGGAAAAGGGUUCUCAGUUUUCUCUUGUCAAAAGAACUAGUGAAUCCAACUCCAGGGCAUUAAAAAAUCUGGGCAAACAUAAAAUAUUCUGCCAUUAAAAUUCAUGUUGCCCGCAACCACCUUGGUCCAAACUUUUUUAUUUCUCCCAAUAUUCGCUCUUCUCCACAAAUUCAAACCUCUACAUCCACUCCCAACCUUGAGAAGAAUAGUUUCUGUGACAAUUGCUCAACAAUAGCCACACAGUUUCAACGGCUAAAAUAGGUAGUAAAAGUUAUCUUAAUAAUAGAUAAAAAUAGGAUGAAGGUCAAAUUUAAAAUCUCCGUGGUGGAAAUUAAGUUGUUUCAAAUUUUGGUGUAGGUCCCGUCUGGUACUCCCUUCUAGGAAUCACGAUAAAAAUUUUGUCGGUUGUUUUUAUAUUUCUAAAACUCUUUUAUCUCUCUAAAUUUUCGUAAUUUUAAUCCUUCAUUACAUAUAUAACUGUCUUCAUAUACUCGUAGAGUUUCUUGCUUAUGAUGAAAUUUAAUUUUCUAAGGUGGAUAGUACCACUUAAGACACAGUGUCGGUGCACAAGACAUUCCUGGCGUACAGUUUUCAGAUAACACACCGGUCAGAAAAACUGAGAGUAAGAGGAAGAAAGGUGAAUUUAUAAGAAUUUUUUGAAUGUCUAUGGCUCCAAGAAAGUCUGUCUCUGAUACCAAGCAGGGGGGAGGGGCUAGAGGGGAUUGGCUAGUUCCAAGUUAGGGUUUAGGGUUUAGGGUUUAGGGUUUAGGGUUUAGGAUGGCUCAGAGAGAGAGGAUGUGCAAAAUGCUUUUAAACACAAACUACUACCCCAAAAUUCACAGGCACAGGAAAAGGGUUCUCAGUUUUAUCUUGUCAAAAGAACUAGUGAAUCCAACUCAUUAAGAAAAUAUUUGUGGAGGUGGGAUCGCUCUUAAAAUAUCAUCUUCACUUGUCGUCGAAAGGGUCUACCUAAAUGAUCUUCAGGACUCUUUGGGACCUGGAUUGGAUGUAUGAGGUCUAGGGGUCCUAAAGGAGUGGUAAAUGGAUGCUGAACAUGAUAUGGUGGAGGAGUUUGUGUAUAAGUUGUAAAAAAUUAAUUAUAAGAUGAAGUGGUAUUCCUAAAGUUAAGGAAUCCAAAAUAAAAGCUUCUAUAUAAUAGGGAAUGUAGAGAAAGUCUAGAAUGGGUUCAAUGAGACAAUAUAAGCCCCUUUCCUGUUUUAUUGCGAGCUUAAAAUCAAACUACACUUCUCAGACAUAUAUUUAUCCAUCCCAGUUAAAUUAGGAUUUAACCUCGACCGUUUUCGACUACAAAUCCCCUUUAACUUAAAGCUCUAAAGGUACAAGUUAAAAAAAAAAAAAAAUUCACGUGGAUGUCAUUUUAUCAUUUUUCACAGAGGCUUUUUUAUUCUAUUUCUGAAGCCUUAGACAUUGCCCGCAACCACCUUGGUCCAAACUUUUUUAUGCCCUAGUAUCUGAAUUACCAGACCUCGACCUUCCGUUAGAUUCUGACUACAUUAUAAUAGAAACAGACGGAUGUGAUUCAGGUUGGAGAGCAGUGUAUAUCCAAAAUAGAUCCUCUAAGGACUCUCCAACAAUUAAUACUCAGACUAGACCAGACCAUCAGAAUCCAAACAGAAUCGCUUGAUCUAACCAUAAUUGUUUAUUUUCUGCGUGCUCCAGUUGCUUAUGGAGUUUUUGUCUGUUAUAUUCUUUACAUGCUGCACUUGGAGCGUUGUCUCCUAAAUAUUGAAAAUCAUAAAGGAUAAUUUGGAAAGGGUCUUCAAAAAGUCGCCAGAUGUUUUGGAUUAUAUUUUCAAAAGGUUCUUCAAAUAAUUUUUUAAUAUCAGGUAUUAUAGCAUCAAUAGGAAAUAAUUCAAAGGGCUUGGAACUUGUGGAUCCAUAUCUGUGUCUGGGCCUGAAAUGUCUGGAUCUGAAAGGUCCAUAUAUGCAUCAUAUUAGUUUUAAUAUGAGAUACAUUAGUAAAAAAGCACCAUAGGUUAGUUACAUAAAUAGUCUCCAAAUGUUAGAUACAAUAUCAUCUAAUGGUUCUUCAAAUAAUCUCCAGAUGUCUGUGAGGAUGUUGUCUUGAUAACAUAAUUCACAAAGAAUUUGUUUAAGUUCACUUAGAAAAGCUUUAAGAAAAACCCUAAAUGUAUUUUGAACAAACCUUUGAAAGAAGCAAAAAACCUAAAAAGGUAGAAAGUGUUUUGAGAAAACCCUAGGGAAUAUUUAAAAUAUUUUUUGGGAUUUUUUCAAGAACAAGAAGAUAUUAUAAGAGACAUAAGACAUCUUUUUGAAUUGACCCAAAAUACAUUUCGAGACCCUACUAUUCAUAUAAUGACCCUCAUGAACCUCGACGAAGAAUGUAGCCAUGAUUCAACUGGAGCAUGCAGAAAAUAAACAAUUAUGGUUAGACAGAAUCCAAGACAAAUUUGAUAUGCAAGUUUGGUUUUCUGGCAUAUCUCACUACCCUGAAUGCGAAUGGGAAAUUUAUUACAAACAAUAUUUUAGGGAAAUGUCUGAAUCUGAAAUAUCAACAUUUACCAUGUUAAUUUCAAAAGUAGUAUGCUCAAAAAAUCCUCUACUUAAUUGGUCAGGGAAAAAAUUAUCUUUUCCUUUAAUAUGUUCGAAAUUGAUAUGAGUUAUGGAUAUUCUAUCUUGAAAAUUAAUCCAUCUUCGCCUAGAGCUAGCUUUUUCGUCUUUUUUAUGAGAAAAUUUUGUGAUGGCUUCACAAUCUGUUCUAACCGUUAUUUCAGGUUUAUUCGGCUUCUGUCUCAAAGAUCUUUUUUCCUAUUUGUAUUUUACAUGGUACAAUUAAGUUUCGUAAUUUUAAUCCUUCAUUACAUAUAUAACUGUCUUCAUAUACUCGUAGAGUUUCUUCAGAAUUUGACAUCUUACAUAAUGAUUUUUUUUACAACUUUGAAAAAUUAAUAAAUGCACAAACUUGAAACCCUUAAGGAAUUACAAUCAUUUUUAGGAUUGGUAAACUAUGCUAGAACAUUUAUCAAAGACUUAGGCAAAAUUGCAGGCCCCUUAUAUGCUAAGACAGAGAAAUCAAGACAAAGACAUUUUAAUGCAGAAGAUAUAAAAUUGGUUAAACAAAUAAAAGCCCUAGUAUCUGAAUUACCAGACCUCGACCUUCCGUUAGAUUCUGACUACAUUAUAAUAGAAACAGACGGAUGUGAUUCGGGUUGGGGAGCAGUGUUAAAAGCAAGAUCUAAUAAAUACAGUAAUACAAAAGAAGAAAAAUUAUGUGGAUAUGCUAGUGGAAAAUAUAGAGAAAGGGGAAAGAUAAGCAGUAUAGACGCUGAGUUAUUAGCAGUAAUAUAUGCCUUAGAUGCUUUCAAAUUGAAUGUUAUCAAUAAACCUGAAAUAACGGUUAGAACAGAUUGUGAAGCCAUCACAAAAUUUUCUCAUAAAAAAGACGAAAAAGCUAGCUCUAAGCGAAGAUGGAUUAAUUUUCAAGACAGAAUAUCCAUAACUCAUAUCAAUUUCGAACAUAUUAAAGGAAAAGAUAAUUUUUUCCCUGACCAAUUAGAGGAAAAAGCAGGAUGGUAAUCAAGUAUAAAAGACUCAAUGAUAAUACAAAACUAGAUGGAUAUACUAUUCCAGACAAAUCUCAAUUACCAUGUUAAUUUCAAAAGUAGUAUGCUCAAAAAAUCCUCUACUUAUUUAUCAAUAAAUGAGGUGCACCUCGUUUUCUCCACAACAAGACAUACAUUUCUUCUGUAUUGUCAGUAUUCAUGUAGUGCUGAUUUCUAAUAUAGUCUGCAACUACUAAUCCUUUCCAAAUGUCUAUUAGGGUUUAGGGUUUAGGGUUUAGGGUUUAGGAUGGCUCAGAGAGAGAGGAUGCGCAAAAUGCUUUUAAACACAAACUACAAGCGUUAAGAUAAGAAAAACUUUAAGAAAAACCCUAAAUGUAUUUUGAACAAACCUUUGAAAGAAGCAAAAAACCUAAAAAGGUAGAAAGUGUUUUGAGAAAACCCUAGGGAAUAUUUAAAAUAUUUUUUGGGAUUUUUUCAAAAAAAAGUAAUAUGCGGAAUGGAUGAGGUUGGGCCAGAUUAUGUAAUAUAUUAAAAAGUGAGGAAGAACACACCGGUCAGAAAAACUGAGAGUAAGAGGAAAAAAGGUGAAUUUAUAAGAAUUUUUUGAAAAUUUUUUGGGAAUUUUUUGGGUAUAGGUGGAAGAGCCUUAAUUAGCGUAGGGUACUAUGCAGAAUUAGUUAAGCAUACUUGUAAAUUUUUAAAAUUAUGACCUUCGUAUACUACUGUUCUUUUCGAAGGCGUACAAACUCUAGAACAAGAGCAAAACCCUAACUGGGAAUUAGCUUCACAUGAUUAUAAGAUACAAUUACUACGACAAAAAGCAUAAGAAAGAAUAGACAGACAAAUAUGGAAAAUCGCAAUGGAAAUACAAGACCAUGAUGAAACAAGAAUAAAUUUUUUUUUUUUUUUUUUUUUUUUUUUUUUUUUUUUUUUUUUUUUUUUUUUUUGAGGGAGAGAACACAUAAAAGCAUUAACCCAUUAAACUUCUCUCAUCAUACGAAUUAUAUCAAUUAAAAGUUCUCAUGAUAUCAAAACUACUCAUUAUAUCAAANNNNNNNNNNNNNNNNNNNNNNNNNNNNNNNNNNNNNNNNNNNNNNNNNNNNNNNNNNNNNNNNNNNNNNNNNNNNNNNNNNNNNNNNNNNNNNNNNNNNNNNNNNNNNNNNNNNNNNNNNNNNNNNNNNNNNNNNNNNNNNNNNNNNNNNNNNNNNNNNNNNNNNNNNNNNNNNNNNNNNNNNNNNNNNNNNNNNNNNNNNNNNNNNNNNNNNNNNNNNNNNNNNNNNNNNNNNNNNNNNNNNNNNNNNNNNNNNNNNNNNNNNNNNNNNNNNNNNNNNNNNNNNNNNNNNNNNNNNNNNNNNNNNNNNNNNNNNNNNNNNNNNNNNNNNNNNNNNNNNNNNNNNNNNNNNNNNNNNNNNNNNNNNNNNNNNNNNNNNNNNNNNNNNNNNNNNNNNNNNNNNNNNNNNNNNNNNNNNNNNNNNNNNNNNNNNNNNNNNNNNNNNNNNNNNNNNNNNNNNNNNNNNNNNNNNNNNNNNNNNNNNNNNNNNNNNNNNNNNNNNNNNNNNNNNNNNNNNNNNNNNNNNNNNNNNNNNNNNNNNNNNNNNNNNNNNNNNNNNNNNNNNNNNNNNNNNNNNNNNNNNNNNNNNNNNNNNNNNNNNNNNNNNNNNNNNNNNNNNNNNNNNNNNNNNNNNNNNNNNNNNNNNNNNNNNNNNNNNNNNNNNNNNNNNNNNNNNNNNNNNNNNNNNNNNNNNNNNNNNNNNNNNNNNNCACAUUAUAUAUAAUGGAUCCUCUUAUGUCAACUUCUCAACCUCCAGAACUAUCUAGAUCUAGUUCUUAUAGAUCUGCGGAUUCUGAAUCCACAAUUUCUUUAAGAACCCCUAGACAUAGAACACGAAGUAUAGUCGACCGAAUAUUUCGCAAACCUCCAUCACUACCAUUAGUUCCCAGAGCCCAACCAACUCGAUUAGAUAAUGUCGUAGACGUAGAUACUGAUAUUGAAAUAUUCCGUACACAGAGUUUAAGCGUCUUAGAUCCAGACAUACUAUAUAACAGCCAAAGAAAAUAUAAUGAAAAAUCAUUGUUCAUUACUUUUAAAAGAGAAGUAUCUGUUGCUUGUUUUGACAAUCAACAUAUCUCUAUAUCUUUAGCUGAUGACAAAGUAAAGCAACAUAUUAUCAAAGAAAAUAUUGCACUUAUACAUGUCGUAUUAAUUGUAGUAGGUAUUAAAGGCCUAGUACGUAAAAAACUAGGUUCUAAAGUGUUAUUAAUGCCAUUUGACAAUAGACAUAAAAGUAUAAUCGAUGCAUCUCUAGGAUGCACAAAAAUAGACAUGAAUUUUAAUGGCGGAAUAUUUUAUGUUCGCCCAGAUUUUUUAAUGCCCUCCCUAGACUUUGCUAACCAAAUUAAAAUUGGUAUACAAGUUAGAGGAAUAGAUUUAUACGAAGGUCAUAAUUUUAAAAAUUUACAAGUAUGCUUAGGAUUUACAGGAUUAUUAACUCCUGUUGUCCAGACAAAUUUUCGGAUGAACCCUAUAGGAGUAGUAGACCUAAUGGGUACACAGGGCAUGCGCCUAAUAGCACCAAUGGAAGUUAGUGCAACAAAAAAUGCAGGCCUCGAAUGGAAUUUAGACAAAUUUACUCUUGUUAAACAAAUAACAAUAGCCCCAGCAGACACCAUUUAUUAUCAAAAUGAACAAGGUAGAAAUUCAAUUAGAUUUACAGAUUUCGAGACCAUAGAAGAAACAGAAAAUAACAACGAUAACGAUACGCCUCUAUUAAGAAGACGUACAAGUACAUCAUCAGAUUCAGAUUCAGAUUCAGAUUCAAAAUAAUUAUAUUCCAUAAGAUUAUAUUCAAUGUUAGGCUUGGAUUCGAGGUUGUAAGGAACAUUUAAGUUUGGUGGAUUGUCUGUAGGUAAUAGGUUAAAGUCUCUGCGGUGAGAACUUGAUUCUCCUAAAUGUGAUGAUGAUGUACUUGUAAGUCUUCUUAAUAGAGGCGUAUCGUUAUCGUUGUUAUUUUCUGUUUCUUCUAUGGUCUCGAAAUCUGUAAAUCUAUUGGAAGAAGUGGUAUCUAUGGCUCUGAUAGCAAGCCGGGGGGAGGGGCUAGAGGCUUUGAUACCAAGAGGAAGAAAGGUGAAUUUAUAAGAAUUUUUUGAAAAUUUUCUGGGAAUUUUUUGGGACAUUUCAGGCUUAGAUACAGACAUGGAUCCACAAGCUCCGAGUCCCUCCAUAAAACUACCUCCUGUUAUAAGACAACCUAGGAUAGCCUAUGGCAAAGAAAAUCUUAUUUAUUAUCCUUCCUUUUCCUUUGUUUUUAAUGUCUUUGUCUUUGCGUGGAUUGUCUUGUUUUUCUAAAAGACUUGAUUCAGGUUGGGGAGCAGUGUUAAAAGCAAGAUCUAAUAAAUACAGUAAUACAAAAGAAGAAAAAUUAUGUGGAUAUGCUAGUGGAAAAUAUAGAGAAAGGGGAAAGAUAAGCAGUGUAGACGCUGAGUUAUUAGCAGUAAUAUAUGCCUUAGAUGCUUUCAAAUUGAAUGUUAUCAAUAAACCUGAAAUAACGGUUAGAACAGAUUGUGAAGCCAUCACAAAAUUUUCUCAUAAAAAAGACGAAAAAGCUAGCUCUAGGCGAAGAUGGAUUAAUUUUCAAGAUCCUCCACCUGAAGAGCAUCGAAAAAAUGUAAGAGAAAUAUUUCUAAGAGAGCAAGCAAUCAAAGAAAAAAUCCCAAAGAGUCCUGAAGAUCAUUUAGGAAGAUCCUUUCGACGACAAGUGAAGAUGAUAUUUUAAGAGCGAUCCCACCUCCACAAAUAUUUUCUUAAUGGCCUUUCUUUCCCUUCUUUUCCUGUAAAUAUUUCUUUUGCAGCGUCUAUACUGCUUAUCUUUCCCCUUUCUCUAUAUUUCCCAAAAAAUAUUUUAAAUAUUCCCUAGGGUUUUCUCAAAACACUUUCUACCUUUUUAGGUUUUUUGCUUCUUUCAAAGGUUUGUUCAAAAUUUUAAAUAUUCCCUAGGGUUUUCUCAAAACACUUUCUACCUUUUUAGGUUUUUUUGCUUCUUUCAAAGGUUUGUUCAAAAUACAUAAGUCCAAGUUUUUGGAAAAUUGCAUCAUCGAAAAUUUAGUGAGAUUAAAAUCUCCGUGGUGGAAAUUAAGUUGUUUCAAAUUUUGGUGUAGGUCCCGUCUGGUACUCCCUUCUAGGAAUCACGAUAAAAAUUUUGGAAGUCUAGAAUGGGUUCAAUGAGACAAUAUAAGCAUGCUAAAAGGAAUCUAAAAAUUGUGUCUAUAGUAAUAUUAAUUUGUGAUUUUAGGUUAUCUUUAUCCAGCUUGAAGUGGCACGUGGUGGAUGUAAUGCUGAUGAACUUAUAUAUCCUUGAAUGCGGUGCAACGUUCAUCUUCUUGACCAGAUGUUUGUGGAUAAUAAUAGAUAAAAAUAGGAUGAAGGUCAAAUUUAAAAUCUCCGUGGUGGAAAUUAAGUUGUUUCAUAGUAACUUGCAUAGUGACUUUGCAUGAUUCAUACGUGAAUAGUAAAUUUGCAUAGUAACUUUGCAUAGUAAUUUGCAUAGUACUUUUAUAUACGUACUAACUAAUUCUGCAUAGUACCCUACGCUAAUUAAGCCUCUUCCACCUAUACCCAAAAAAUUCCCAGAAAAUUUUCAAAAAAUUCUUAUAAAUUCACCUUUCUUCCUCUUACUCUCAGUUUUUCUGAAAAACUAAAAUUAGGGGUCAAAGCUUUUCCCCUAUAUUUAAGUCACUAUGCAAGUUACUAUGCUAAUUAGUGGAGGUUGAACAAAACUAUUUAUACAGGACAAACUAUAUGCCGGACACUUUGGACAAGGGUAGCAAAAUAAUCCUAAGAUUUUUUCGGAAUUUUUAGGAUUUUUUCCGGGCUGGAAUAUAAGUGUCGAAAUUAGUGUAAUAACUAUGCAAAUUACUAUGCACGAAGUGACAUCCACGUGAAUUAGUGUAUAGAACUCUGUGUACGGAAUAUUUCAAUAUCAGUAUCUACGUCUACGACAUUAUCUAAUCGAGUUGGUUGGGCUCUGGGAACUAAUGGUAGUGAUGGAGGUUUGCGAAAUAUUCGGUCGACUGUACUUCGUGUUCUAUGUCUAGGGGUUCUUAAAGAAAUUGUGGAUUCAGAAUCCGCAGAUCUAUAAGAACUAGAUCUAGAUAGUUCUGGAGGUUGAGAAGUUGACAGCUCGCAAUAAAACAGGAAAGGGAAGAGGUAAAAAUAGGGGGUGUCAAGAAUGGGAUAGACACAGUGUUGGUGCAUAAGACCCUCCUGGCGUACAGUUUUCAGAGAACCCCACAGAAGAGAGACGAGAUGACCCCAUGAUACUAGAAGCAUCUUCUCCCAAACUCAAAAAUAUAGGGGAAAAACUUUGACCCCUAAUUUUAGUUUUUGUACAUGUUUCAGUCCUGCUCUGCUAUAUUUCUUGGCAAAUUUGAUAAGAGAAAUGCUCUAUAAAAUUCGCCAUUGAUAGCCAGAGAGUGCUUUGCGGCGUGAGAGCGGGGUUCUCUGAAAACUGUACGCCAGGAGGGUCUUGUGCACCGACACUGUGUCUUAAGUGGUACUAUAGUAAGUCGGCUUCGUCUGUUAUUUUCUCUAAUUUGUCUGAACAACAAGGUUCUCCUUUGGAACAAUUAUCACAACACUCUUUUCAUUUUUUCUGUUUUUUUUUUUUUUAUAUGAAUGUCCUAUCAGGUGGACUAAUAAAACUAAAAGAAAUACAGCAGAGCCAGAUUGAAAUAUGUACAAAAAAAACUAAAAUUAGGGGUCAAAGUUUUUCCCCUAAGGUUUGAAUUUGUGGAGAAGAGCGAAUAUUGGGAGAAAUAAAAAAGUUUGGGCCAAGGUGGUAGCUGAUGACAAAGUAAAGCAACAUAUUAUCAAAGAAAAUAUUGCACUUAUACAUGUCGGACCUUCUAGGAAUCACGAUAAAAAUUUUGUCGGUUGUUUUUAUAUUUCUAAAACUCUUUAUCUCACUAAAUUUUCGAUGAUGCAAUUUUCUAAAAACUUGGACUUAUGAUGAAAUUUAAUUUUCUAAGGUGGAUAGUACCACUUAAGACACAGUGUCGGUUCAACCAUAACAUUAUAAUACUCUGGAUCAGCGAAUUCUGGAAGGUCUUCGUCAUAAGUCUUGCAAACCAUAUUUGUUACAGAAGUCUUUGAGAUCUGAAAAUGUCUUUGAUUCUAUCAAAAUUUAAGAAGAUUUAUUAGCAGAAUUAAAUGGUUGAUUUUUUGAUGUACUAGGAGUGUUGGGUGUUUUAGGUUCUGGUGAAGUUAAAUAUCUUGGAAUUUGUCUAUGGAAAUUCCAUUGCUGGAUAGUUUUCUUUGGAGGAGUAUCUUUUGAUUGUUCUUGAAUUUGGAGUGAAGAAAAAUGCUUUAUGACUUCUUGCACAAUAGGAGUUGUGUCUAUGGUAGGGACAAUGCUGUCAGCAGGUUUCUGUUGUGUCACCAGAAUUUCUAAUGUAUGUAUUCUGCUGUGUAAUCCCAGGCUAGUUCCAAGUUAGGGUUUAGGGUUUAGGGUUUAGGGUUUAGGAUGGCUCAGAGAGAGAGGAUGUGCAAAAUGCUUUUAAACACAAACUACAAGCGUUAAGAUAAGAAAAACUUUAAGAAAAACCCUAAAUGUAUUUUGAACAAACCUUUGAAAGAAGCAAAAAACCUAAAAAGGUAGAAAGUGUUUUGAGAAAACCCUAGGGAAUAUUUAAAAUAUUUUUUGGGAUUUUUUCAGAAAAAAGUAAUAUGCGGAAUGGAUGAGGUUGGGCCAGAUUAUGUAAUAUAUUAAAAAGUGAGGAAGAACACACCGGUCAGAAAAACUAAGAGUAAGAGGAAGAAAGGUGAAUUUAUAAGAAUUUUUUGAAAAUUUUCUUCACUUUAAAGCUCUAAAGGUACAAGUUAAAAAAAAAAAAAAAAUUCUAAGAGAGCAAGCAAUCAAAGAAAAAAUCUCAAAGAGUCCUGAAGAUCAUUUAGGACCUGGAUUGGAUGUAUGAGGUCUAGGGGGUCUUUGUGGAGCUGAAGGAGUGGCAAAUGGAUGCUCAACAUGAUAUGGUGGAGGAGUUUGUGUUACUGGGGGAUUAUGGAUAGUGGAUCCUUCUCCCAUUUUUUCGAUGCUCUUCAGGUGGACGAAUGGGAGCCUUUUUAUAGGCAGGGUGGAGUGGAGAGGGGGGGCGGAUUGGAGGAAAACCGCGGCGGCACUUGGUUUUCGAAAACUGCGGCUGCCUAUGGUUUUUCUAUAGUGAAACCAUCAUGGUGCGGGGCCCAUGGUUUUUAUACAAAACCGUAGGCGGAGGUGGUUUUGGCUGGUGGCGUCAUUAUGGUAUCAGAGCUGACCGGUGUGUUCUUCCUCACUUUUUAAUAUAUUACAUAAUCUGGCCCAACCAAGAGGAUCCAUUAUAUAUAAUGUGGUUGUAUUGAGGAUAAAUCUAAGAAAAGUUUCCUUUUCUUUUCUCUGUCUUGUUGUGGAGAAAACGAGGCUGUUGAAUUGAUUGUUGUGAAAAUGAAGUCUUUAUAGAAGGUGUCUAUCCUAUAGAAAAUGUCUAAAUUAAUUAUUUAUUUGGCUCGAAAAUAUAAUAUUUGGCUCUAAUAUUUUGUCUCUGAAAAUUACUUACAAAAGAAAAGUCUUAGGCACAAAAUCAAACUACACUUCUCAGACAUAUAUUUAUCCAUCCCAGUUAAAUUAGGAUUUAACCGCGACCGCCGCGGUUUUCCUCCAAUCCGCCCCCUCCUCCACUCCACCCUGCCUAUAAAAAGGCUCCCAUUCCUCCACCUGAAGUUACUAGAAUUUGACAUCUUACAUAAUGAUUUUUUUUACAACUUUGAAAAAUUAAUAAAUACAGACUCUUUUAUUAUAGAAUAUGAUUUUAUAGAUUGGGAAAAAGCCCUUUUAAAUAUAGGUUUUAUUAGAAAUCAACAGGACAGACGAAAUAUUACAUAAACUCGAUAAAUCAGAAAUCAUGGGAGACAACCCAAUUAAAUAUUGGGAAAACGACAAAAUUAGUCCACCUGAUAGGACAUUCAUAUAAAAAAAAAAAGCAGAAAAAAUGAAAAAAGAGAAAAAAGCAGAAAAAAUAGAAAAAAAUCAAAAAGAAGAAGAAGAAUCUAAAAAAGAAAAAAUUCCAGAGAAAAAUGGAAAUAUAAAAAAGAAGAAGAAAGAAUCUGGAAAAUCGCUAUUGGUAGCCAGAGAGUGCUUUGCGGCGUGAGAGCGGGGUUCUCUGAAAACUGUACGCCAGGAGGGUCUUGUGCACCGACACUGUGUCUUAAGUGGUACUAUCCACCUUAGAAAAUUAAAUUUAAUCAUAAGUCCAAGUUUUUGGAAAAUUGCAUCAUCGAAAAUUUAGUGAGAUAAAGAGUUUAGGGGAUAUAAUUAUUAAGUGUAAACUUGCAAAAGACACUUAAGUGUGAAGAUAAACUUGCAAAAGACACUUAAGUGUCUUAAGUGUUUGAUUGACAAAUAAUCUUCCCCUUUAUCUAAGAAAAGUUUCCUUUUCUUUUCUCUGUCUUGUUGAGGAGAAAACGAGGCUGUUGAAUUCUAAGAGAGCAAGCAAUCAAAGAAAAAAAUCCCAAAGAGUCCUGAAGAUCAUUUAGGAAGAUCCUUUCGACGACAAGUGAAGAUGAUAUUUUAAGAGCGAUCCCACCUCCACAAAUAUUUUCUUAAUGGCCUUUCUUUCCCUUCUUUUCCUGUAAAUAUUUCUUUUGCACUACUGCACCCUGGAUUAAGGAGUCUGUACAAAGAAGUCCUUUCUUUCCCUCCCGGGAUGUCCCGGAAGGGAAACCUUCUAGAUUUGUGAUGUAAGUUUUAUCCUUUGUUAUAUUAUAUUUCUCGAACUCUUUUAUCCAAGGCAUUUUCUUUGCCUCAUGAUUCCCUUUCCUUGAACUCUACUUAAUUGGUCAGGGAAAAAAAUUAUCUUUUCCUUUAAUAUGUUCGAAAUUAAUAUGGGUUAUGGAUAAUUAGUGGAGGUUGAACAGAACUAUUUAUACAGGACAAACUAUAUGCCGGACACUUUGGACAAGGGUAGCAAAAUAAUCCUAAGAUUUUUUCGGAAUUUGAAAGGACUUCUUUGUACAGACUCUUUAAUCCAGGGUGCAGUAGUGCAAAAGAAAUAUUUACAGGAAAAGAAAGGAAAGAAAGGCCAUUAAGAAAAUAUGUGGAGGUGGGAUCGCUCUUAAAAUAUCAUCUUCACUUGUCGUCGAAAGGACUUGUUCGUAAUCCCUUAAUAUUUCGUCACUAUUGUUAUUGUCUUCAGAUUGUCUUAAAUUUUCGUUGCCGUUGUUAUCGGCUUCAUAUUCUUCGUCCCUCUCCUCCUCCUCUAAAGUAUCCUUCUAUAAUAACGGUAGUGGUCAGAGAACCCCGCUCUCACACCGCAAAGCACUCUCUGGCUAUCAAUGGCGAUAAGUUCCUUAUCUAAAGCAAAUAUGAUACAAGAAAAGAGGUCUAAACACUAACUUGGAACUAGCCAAUCCCCUCUAGCCCCUCGCCCCUGCUUGGGGUUUAGGGUUUAGGAUGGCUCAGAGAGAGAGGAUGUGCAAAAUGCUUUGAAAAAUUAUUGUUCAUUACUUUUAAAAGAGAAGUAUCUGUUGCUUGUUUUGACAUAUAAAAAGUCUUUAAAACACGAUAAUGUAUUAAAGUUCCAAUAGGGUGAGCCUCGUUUUGUCCUCAACAAGACAGAGAAAAGAAAAGGAAACUUUUCUUAGAUUUAUCCUCAAUACAACCACAUUAUAUAUAAUGGAUCCUCUUAUGUCAACUUCUCAACCUCCAGAACUAUCUAGAUCUAGUUCUUAUAGAUCUACGGAUUCUGAAUCCACAAUUUCUUUAAGAACCCCUAGACAUAGAACACGAAGUAUAGUCGACCGAAUAUUUCGCAAACCUCCAUCACUACCAUUAGUUCCCAGAGCCCAACCAACUCGAUUAGAUAAUGUCGUAGACGUAGAUACUGAUAUUGAAAUAUUCCGUACACAGAGUUUAAGCGUCUUAGAUCCAGACAUACUAUAUAACAGCCAAAGAAAAUAUAAUGAAAAAUCAUUGUUCAUUACUUUUAAAAGAGAAGUAUCUGUUGCUUGUUUUGACAAUCAACAUAUCUCUAUAUCUUUAGCUGAUGACAAAGUAAAGCUGUCACGCCCCGGGGUACCUUUUCAGUUUAAAACAAAGCGGAAAAGCGUCUGAAUUUUUUUUUUUUGAAAACCUGACCCCAGAGUAUGCCAGAUCCGCCACAAAUACAGGGAAUCCACUGUUCACACGGACAGAGUCUCCCCUAUAUUUGCACGGCGUCGAUCAAAUACACAGUACAACCAGGAUACAACCACAACCAGAUGAAUAUAAAGAUAACUAUACAUUCAUACAUACCCCUAUAUUUGCUUUGAAAAAUUAUUGUUCAUUACUUUUAAAAGAGAAGUAUCUGUUGCUUGUUUUGACAUAUAAAAAGUCUUUAAAACACGAUAAUGUAUUAAAGUUCCAAUAGGGUGAGCCUCGUUUUGUCCUCAACAAGACAGAGAAAAGAAAAGGAAACUUUUCUUAGAUUUAUCCUCAAUACAACCACAUUAUAUAUAAUGGAUCCUCUUAUGUCAACUUCUCAACCUCCAGAACUAUCUAGAUCUAGUUCUUAUAGAUCUACGGAUUCUGAAUCCACAAUUUCUUUAAGAACCCCUAGACAUAGAACACGAAGUAUAGUCGACCGAAUAUUUCGCAAACCUCCAUCACUACCAUUAGUUCCCAGAGCCCAACCAACUCGAUUAGAUAAUGUCGUAGACGUAGAUACUGAUAUUGAAAUAUUCCGUACACAGAGUUUAAGCGUCUUAAAUCNNNNNNNNNNNNNNNNNNNNNNNNNNNNNNNNNNNNNNNNNNNNNNNNNNNNNNNNNNNNNNNNNNNNNNNNNNNNNNNNNNNNNNNNNNNNNNNNNNNNNNNNNNNNNNNNNNNNNNNNNNNNNNNNNNNNNNNNNNNNNNNNNNNNNNNNNNNNNNNNNNNNNNNNNNNNNNNNNNNNNNNNNNNNNNNNNNNNNNNNNNNNNNNNNNNNNNNNNNNNNNNNNNNNNNNNNNNNNNNNNNNNNNNNNNNNNNNNNNNNNNNNNNNNNNNNNNNNNNNNNNNNNNNNNNNNNNNNNNNNNNNNNNNNNNNNNNNNNNNNNNNNNNNNNNNNNNNNNNNNNNNNNNNNNNNNNNNNNNNNNNNNNNNNNNNNNNNNNNNNNNNNNNNNNNNNNNNNNNNNNNNNNNNNNNNNNNNNNNNNNNNNNNNNNNNNNNNNNNNNNNNNNNNNNNNNNNNNNNNNNNNNNNNNNNNNNNNNNNNNNNNNNNNNNNNNNNNNNNNNNNNNNNNNNNNNNNNNNNNNNNNNNNNNNNNNNNNNNNNNNNNNNNNNNNNNNNNNNNNNNNNNNNNNNNNNNNNNNNNNNNNNNNNNNNNNNNNNNNNNNNNNNNNNNNNNNNNNNNNNNNNNNNNNNNNNNNNNNNNNNNNNNNNNNNNNNNNNNNNNNNNNNNNNNNNNNNNNNNNNNNNNNNNNNNNNNNNNNNNNNNNNNNNNNNNNNNNNNNNNNNNNNNNNNNNNNNNNNNNNNNNNNNNNNNNNNNNNNNNNNNNNNNNNNNNNNNNNNNNNNNNNNNNNNNNNNNNNNNNNNNNNNNNNNNNNNNNNNNNNNNNNNNNNNNNNNNNNNNNNNNNNNNNNNNNNNNNNNNNNNNNNNNNNNNNNNNNNNNNNNNNNNNNNNNNNNNNNNNNNNNNNNNNNNNNNNNNNNNNNNNNNNNNNNNNNNNNNNNNNNNNNNNNNNNNNNNNNNNNNNNNNNNNNNNNNNNNNNNNNNNNNNNNNNNNNNNNNNNNNNNNNNNNNNNNNNNNNNNNNNNNNNNNNNNNNNNNNNNNNNNNNNNNNNNNNNNNNNNNNNNNNNNNNNNNNNNNNNNNNNNNNNNNNNNNNNNNNNNNNNNNNNNNNNNNNNNNNNNNNNNNNNNNNNNNNNNNNNNNNNNNNNNNNNNNNNNNNNNNNNNNNNNNNNNNNNNNNNNNNNNNNNNNNNNNNNNNNNNNNNNNNNNNNNNNNNNNNNNNNNNNNNNNNNNNNNNNNNNNNNNNNNNNNNNNNNNNNNNNNNNNNNNNNNNNNNNNNNNNNNNNNNNNNNNNNNNNNNNNNNNNNNNNNNNNNNNNNNNNNNNNNNNNNNNNNNNNNNNNNNNNNNNNNNNNNNNNNNNNNNNNNNNNNNNNNNNNNNNNNNNNNNNNNNNNNNNNNNNNNNNNNNNNNNNNNNNNNNNNNNNNNNNNNNNNNNNNNNNNNNNNNNNNNNNNNNNNNNNNNNNNNNNNNNNNNNNNNNNNNNNNNNNNNNNNNNNNNNNNNNNNNNNNNNNNNNNNNNNNNNNNNNNNNNNNNNNNNNNNNNNNNNNNNNNNNNNNNNNNNNNNNNNNNNNNNNNNNNNNNNNNNNNNNNNNNNNNNNNNNNNNNNNNNNNNNNNNNNNNNNNNNNNNNNNNNNNNNNNNNNNNNNNNNNNNNNNNNNNNNNNNNNNNNNNNNNNNNNNNNNNNNNNNNNNNNNNNNNNNNNNNNNNNNNNNNNNNNNNNNNNNNNNNNNNNNNNNNNNNNNNNNNNNNNNNNNNNNNNNNNNNNNNNNNNNNNNNNNNNNNNNNNNNNNNNNNNNNNNNNNNNNNNNNNNNNNNNNNNNNNNNNNNNNNNNNNNNNNNNNNNNNNNNNNNNNNNNNNNNNNNNNNNNNNNNNNNNNNNNNNNNNNNNNNNNNNNNNNNNNNNNNNNNNNNNNNNNNNNNNNNNNNNNNNNNNNNNNNNNNNNNNNNNNNNNNNNNNNNNNNNNNNNNNNNNNNNNNNNNNNNNNNNNNNNNNNNNNNNNNNNNNNNNNNNNNNNNNNNNNNNNNNNNNNNNNNNNNNNNNNNNNNNNNNNNNNNNNNNNNNNNNNNNNNNNNNNNNNNNNNNNNNNNNNNNNNNNNNNNNNNNNNNNNNNNNNNNNNNNNNNNNNNNNNNNNNNNNNNNNNNNNNNNNNNNNNNNNNNNNNNNNNNNNNNNNNNNNNNNNNNNNNNNNNNNNNNNNNNNNNNNNNNNNNNNNNNNNNNNNNNNNNNNNNNNNNNNNNNNNNNNNNNNNNNNNNNNNNNNNNNNNNNNNNNNNNNNNNNNNNNNNNNNNNNNNNNNNNNNNNNNNNNNNNNNNNNNNNNNNNNNNNNNNNNNNNNNNNNNNNNNNNNNNNNNNNNNNNNNNNNNNNNNNNNNNNNNNNNNNNNNNNNNNNNNNNNNNNNNNNNNNNNNNNNNNNNNNNNNNNNNNNNNNNNNNNNNNNNNNNNNNNNNNNNNNNNNNNNNNNNNNNNNNNNNNNNNNNNNNNNNNNNNNNNNNNNNNNNNNNNNNNNNNNNNNNNNNNNNNNNNNNNNNNNNNNNNNNNNNNNNNNNNNNNNNNNNNNNNNNNNNNNNNNNNNNNNNNNNNNNNNNNNNNNNNNNNNNNNNNNNNNNNNNNNNNNNNNNNNNNNNNNNNNNNNNNNNNNNNNNNNNNNNNNNNNNNNNNNNNNNNNNNNNNNNNNNNNNNNNNNNNNNNNNNNNNNNNNNNNNNNNNNNNNNNNNNNNNNNNNNNNNNNNNNNNNNNNNNNNNNNNNNNNNNNNNNNNNNNNNNNNNNNNNNNNNNNNNNNNNNNNNNNNNNNNNNNNNNNNNNNNNNNNNNNNNNNNNNNNNNNNNNNNNNNNNNNNNNNNNNNNNNNNNNNNNNNNNNNNNNNNNNNNNNNNNNNNNNNNNNNNNNNNNNNNNNNNNNNNNNNNNNNNNNNNNNNNNNNNNNNNNNNNNNNNNNNNNNNNNNNNNNNNNNNNNNNNNNNNNNNNNNNNNNNNNNNNNNNNNNNNNNNNNNNNNNNNNNNNNNNNNNNNNNNNNNNNNNNNNNNNNNNNNNNNNNNNNNNNNNNNNNNNNNNNNNNNNNNNNNNNNNNNNNNNNNNNNNNNNNNNNNNNNNNNNNNNNNNNNNNNNNNNNNNNNNNNNNNNNNNNNNNNNNNNNNNNNNNNNNNNNNNNNNNNNNNNNNNNNNNNNNNNNNNNNNNNNNNNNNNNNNNNNNNNNNNNNNNNNNNNNNNNNNNNNNNNNNNNNNNNNNNNNNNNNNNNNNNNNNNNNNNNNNNNNNNNNNNNNNNNNNNNNNNNNNNNNNNNNNNNNNNNNNNNNNNNNNNNNNNNNNNNNNNNNNNNNNNNNNNNNNNNNNNNNNNNNNNNNNNNNNNNNNNNNNNNNNNNNNNNNNNNNNNNNNNNNNNNNNNNNNNNNNNNNNNNNNNNNNNNNNNNNNNNNNNNNNNNNNNNNNNNNNNNNNNNNNNNNNNNNNNNNNNNNNNNNNNNNNNNNNNNNNNNNNNNNNNNNNNNNNNNNNNNNNNNNNNNNNNNNNNNNNNNNNNNNNNNNNNNNNNNNNNNNNNNNNNNNNNNNNNNNNNNNNNNNNNNNNNNNNNNNNNNNNNNNNNNNNNNNNNNNNNNNNNNNNNNNNNNNNNNNNNNNNNNNNNNNNNNNNNNNNNNNNNNNNNNNNNNNNNNNNNNNNNNNNNNNNNNNNNNNNNNNNNNNNNNNNNNNNNNNNNNNNNNNNNNNNNNNNNNNNNNNNNNNNNNNNNNNNNNNNNNNNNNNNNNNNNNNNNNNNNNNNNNNNNNNNNNNNNNNNNNNNNNNNNNNNNNNNNNNNNNNNNNNNNNNNNNNNNNNNNNNNNNNNNNNNNNNNNNNNNNNNNNNNNNNNNNNNNNNNNNNNNNNNNNNNNNNNNNNNNNNNNNNNNNNNNNNNNNNNNNNNNNNNNNNNNNNNNNNNNNNNNNNNNNNNNNNNNNNNNNNNNNNNNNNNNNNNNNNNNNNNNNNNNNNNNNNNNNNNNNNNNNNNNNNNNNNNNNNNNNNNNNNNNNNNNNNNNNNNNNNNNNNNNNNNNNNNNNNNNNNNNNNNNNNNNNNNNNNNNNNNNNNNNNNNNNNNNNNNNNNNNNNNNNNNNNNNNNNNNNNNNNNNNNNNNNNNNNNNNNNNNNNNNNNNNNNNNNNNNNNNNNNNNNNNNNNNNNNNNNNNNNNNNNNNNNNNNNNNNNNNNNNNNNNNNNNNNNNNNNNNNNNNNNNNNNNNNNNNNNNNNNNNNNNNNNNNNNNNNNNNNNNNNNNNNNNNNNNNNNNNNNNNNNNNNNNNNNNNNNNNNNNNNNNNNNNNNNNNNNNNNNNNNNNNNNNNNNNNNNNNNNNNNNNNNNNNNNNNNNNNNNNNNNNNNNNNNNNNNNNNNNNNNNNNNNNNNNNNNNNNNNNNNNNNNNNNNNNNNNNNNNNNNNNNNNNNNNNNNNNNNNNNNNNNNNNNNNNNNNNNNNNNNNNNNNNNNNNNNNNNNNNNNNNNNNNNNNNNNNNNNNNNNNNNNNNNNNNNNNNNNNNNNNNNNNNNNNNNNNNNNNNNNNNNNNNNNNNNNNNNNNNNNNNNNNNNNNNNNNNNNNNNNNNNNNNNNNNNNNNNNNNNNNNNNNNNNNNNNNNNNNNNNNNNNNNNNNNNNNNNNNNNNNNNNNNNNNNNNNNNNNNNNNNNNNNNNNNNNNNNNNNNNNNNNNNNNNNNNNNNNNNNNNNNNNNNNNNNNNNNNNNNNNNNNNNNNNNNNNNNNNNNNNNNNNNNNNNNNNNNNNNNNNNNNNNNNNNNNNNNNNNNNNNNNNNNNNNNNNNNNNNNNNNNNNNNNNNNNNNNNNNNNNNNNNNNNNNNNNNNNNNNNNNNNNNNNNNNNNNNNNNNNNNNNNNNNNNNNNNNNNNNNNNNNNNNNNNNNNNNNNNNNNNNNNNNNNNNNNNNNNNNNNNNNNNNNNNNNNNNNNNNNNNNNNNNNNNNNNNNNNNNNNNNNNNNNNNNNNNNNNNNNNNNNNNNNNNNNNNNNNNNNNNNNNNNNNNNNNNNNNNNNNNNNNNNNNNNNNNNNNNNNNNNNNNNNNNNNNNNNNNNNNNNNNNNNNNNNNNNNNNNNNNNNNNNNNNNNNNNNNNNNNNNNNNNNNNNNNNNNNNNNNNNNNNNNNNNNNNNNNNNNNNNNNNNNNNNNNNNNNNNNNNNNNNNNNNNNNNNNNNNNNNNNNNNNNNNNNNNNNNNNNNNNNNNNNNNNNNNNNNNNNNNNNNNNNNNNNNNNNNNNNNNNNNNNNNNNNNNNNNNNNNNNNNNNNNNNNNNNNNNNNNNNNNNNNNNNNNNNNNNNNNNNNNNNNNNNNNNNNNNNNNNNNNNNNNNNNNNNNNNNNNNNNNNNNNNNNNNNNNNNNNNNNNNNNNNNNNNNNNNNNNNNNNNNNNNNNNNNNNNNNNNNNNNNNNNNNNNNNNNNNNNNNNNNNNNNNNNNNNNNNNNNNNNNNNNNNNNNNNNNNNNNNNNNNNNNNNNNNNNNNNNNNNNNNNNNNNNNNNNNNNNNNNNNNNNNNNNNNNNNNNNNNNNNNNNNNNNNNNNNNNNNNNNNNNNNNNNNNNNNNNNNNNNNNNNNNNNNNNNNNNNNNNNNNNNNNNNNNNNNNNNNNNNNNNNNNNNNNNNNNNNNNNNNNNNNNNNNNNNNNNNNNNNNNNNNNNNNNNNNNNNNNNNNNNNNNNNNNNNNNNNNNNNNNNNNNNNNNNNNNNNNNNNNNNNNNNNNNNNNNNNNNNNNNNNNNNNNNNNNNNNNNNNNNNNNNNNNNNNNNNNNNNNNNNNNNNNNNNNNNNNNNNNNNNNNNNNNNNNNNNNNNNNNNNNNNNNNNNNNNNNNNNNNNNNNNNNNNNNNNNNNNNNNNNNNNNNNNNNNNNNNNNNNNNNNNNNNNNNNNNNNNNNNNNNNNNNNNNNNNNNNNNNNNNNNNNNNNNNNNNNNNNNNNNNNNNGUUUUGCCAACACCGACCUCUCCUCGAUCAACGCGCGAUCUCCGCAGAUCCGUCCGUCAGAUUUGCGAACGGAUCGCACCAGUACGAUCAGCACCUCAGAGACAACAAAGCUACGAUUUUGGUUCACCUCGAACGAUCACGGAUUCGCAACGAAAUCCGUUCCUCUCUCCAACAGAAGAAACUACGCACAAAAUACAUAUAAAACACGUAUUUUUGGAUUUUCUCGAAAUCCGUGCGUCAAACUCAAAAUCCGUCAACGCCAGUAGUUCCAGAACAGCUGAACCGGUCGAAACGAGCUAUUGGAUCGCUAUGAACGGAGUCCGAUACGCGCCGAAAGCCAACUCUACUUCGUGGCUUCUCCGGAAAACCGGAGUUACUAUUCACUUAAGUGAAAACUAAUAAUCGCGUAACUUCUCCGUUCUAACUCAUUUUCUCCUGAAACUUGAUGAAUGCUUAUGUAAUUAAAUUACACACAUAAACAUCAUCAACAGAGAGUCUAAUUGCACUAUCAAAAUCUCAGUCCUUACAAAAGCAACAUAUUAUCAAAGAAAAUAUUGCACUUAUACAUGUCGGAUUACAAUUACUACGACAAAAAGCACAAGAAAGAAUAGGAUGUUUU